rnacentral:lncRNA from 1 species
GUAAGGAAAAUCUAAAAGCUAUGGAAGGCCACAAAAUAAUGUACCUGCAGCAGUUUCUCGAACAGAAUUUAUCAGUAAGCGUGGAGGAUUUAAUUACCAUUAUCAAGGAGAAUGAAACAAAAUUACGUGAUUGUUAUGCAGAGACUAUUGAUCUUUGUAGGAAAGACUUCGCAACAAUGAUCUUACUGGAUGCUGUCUUCAUUAUUAUGUUCUUACUGAACGUGAAUUACGGAUUUUGGGUUUCUGCGUCUUUCUCAAGAGAACAAGGGAAAGUUAGGGUAUUUGAUGCGUAGAGAUAAGAGGUAUUAAAAUAAUUGAGAUCAAAUAUAAAAAUAAAAUAUUAAAUAAUUUAUAUAUUAUAAAUGUAUAGCCUUAACCAAAAUAUAAAUAAAAUAUAUAUAAGUUAAAUUAAAAAUAUUAUUUUAUUUUUAAUAAAUAAAACUAUAUAAAUAUUAUUUCAUACGAGGUUCUUACCAUUUUUGUAAGGGAAAAGGGAGCGGGAGAAGGAAAGAAUGAAAUAGAUUUGAGACUGUUGAUUUGUAAAGUUAUGAACGGUAGAGAUGGUGAUCAGUGUGCGAUGUGAUGUGACCAAUAGGAUUCUUUUUACUGGCGGGCUCAGAUUCUUAAACCUUUUGGCUCUUUUAAAAUUUGGAGACCCUCCUCUUCUUUUGGGGAAGAUUUGUGGGCCGCGGAUUUUGAAGAAAUCGACGGUUGUGAAUGUCUGGAGAAAUGUUAGCGGGAUCGCGAUCCGCGUGCUUUGUUAGUAGUCAGUGGAAAUGCUUUAUUUGCGCGGGAACGCGAUGGAUUUUGUGUUUUUUUUUUUGUUUUAUAGUUUGUAAGAUUUGCUACAAAUUUAUCAAAACCAACCGGGUUGGCGAGUUGACUCAGUAGCCGUUAAUUUAUAAUCCAGUAUAAGCUAAGUUUAUUUUUAAAUUGGAUUAGGAUUUGAGUCAGUCAAACCGGAGUAAUUUAGUAAUUCAUUUACUAAUAUAAAUUAAAACUGAAUAACCUAAUUAAACUGAGUGAUUAACCAGAAAGGUUGUCUUGUUGUUAACUGAGUGAUUAACCAGAAAGUUUAUAUAAUUCAGUAUACAUCAAGCAUUUUUAGAUGGAAAUCAGGACAUAUUGUGAUUAAUCAAAAAGUUGAUGAAGUUGUUUUUGUAAAAAAAAAAUAUCAUCUCAAUUUAAAAUUAUUUUAAUCUCUCAAAUAAAAUUUAAAAUAUAAUUUAUAUAAUUAUCUAAUAAAUUCUUCAUUGCAUGGAAUUUAUUCUGAAACAACUUCUUCAUUUGGAAGAACAAAACAAAGAAGAGAACAAGGAUUAUGGGUACAAUUAAUGCAACAUGCGAAUUAAUUCAUACGAAAGAAUUGAAAUUGCAGAAGCUAAACUACUUGAAGUAUAGAGCAGACGGCUUGUACGACAGUCAGAAUGAGAAGAAUAACAGCUCCUGAGACAGAGAUUGCUGCCCAUGGGGUAUUGAAAUAAUGUUGCUCUAAAUUGGCCUUCCACUUGUUCCAUGGCCUUUCGCAGAAUGCAUUCAGAUCUUUAAUGAGACCUGUAAAGAGAAAAGUACGUCGCCGCGGAAAAAUUCCUUUCUUGAGAUUGUUAAAGAGUUCUACCACUUCCUCAGAAGAUGAUAGCCAGUUAUCUACAAUACGAUUUUCAACAAGCAUUCCCACAUCCUUACUGGCCCUGACAAAGAGACCCAUCAAGAAGAUAUAGUCACCAACAUAACUAGGUUUCAGGCGAUGGCACUGCUCAAAGGCUUGCAAAUUCCUGAUUAUGAUUUCUGUUCUGCUCAAAGGCAUUUCUAGUCUCCCUUUAUUUCCAUCGAAUUUUAUGUCAAGAAGAUUUUUGCUUGAACUCAACACAAACUUGACCCCCGCUUGGUGGAGCUCCUUUACACUGGGUGCGGUUAGAACCUCAAGUUCCUCAUUAGGUUGCUGUUCAGUUUGCCGAUGAUAAAUUGUAAGAAAGUCAACCAGAUGUUUGACUUCGGAGAAAUCUACUUUUCCCAAAAUGUCCCCUACUGCCGGCCAUGGGUUGAAUCCAACUGUAAAGAAGCUAUGAGUAAGCUCAAUCAGUGUAGGUUUUGGAGACUUGCCGAAUAUAGGGGAUAGUCCACACAACUCCUCGAGGAUGAAGAACGGGAGCUGAUUUUCAAGCAUACAGAUAUCAGCCUUUACAUCAGACCUCUUGUAUGGAGGAUAGAAAAUGCUGUCUUUGCUUCCUCUGAAGCCUGUGUCCUUGCACUUCAGCAAAAACAUAAUGACGAAGGCAGCAUCCAUUAAUAUCAUUCUUAUGAAGUAUUCGCUACUAAACCCAUUGGUCUCCGCAUAGCAAUGACGCAAUCUCGUUUCCUUCUUCUUGAUCAAUUCAAUAAAACCACUUACCUCGCUAUGGGCAAUGAAUUCUUGCAGGUACAUUCUUUUGUGGUCUUCCAUGGCUUUUAGCUUCUCAUUACCAUGGUGAAUUGGGCCUAUGGAGACUAAUCGAGGUGUGUAGGCCUUUUCGUUCAGCUCUCGUAAUCGCUCAGGAACUUUAUAUAUACAACAUGUGUCGGAGAGAGGAUUUGAGAUUUCCAGCUCUUCCGUCACGGAUUGGCUUAAUCUAUCAAUAUCAAGCGAAACUUGAUGACUCGGCUCAUGAUUAGUGCUUGAUGGUCCACCAGAUUCCAUUCUGUGACAGGACUGAGAAGAUAGCUACUAUUAUAACAAAACAAGCAGAUCAAAAAAAUCGUUACCACUGAGAAAACAAAUUCAAUUACGAAACCCAAAAAAGAGAUGAAACUUCCAGCCUUAAGUUUGCCUUCACUAGCAACAAUUUAACCUGUAAUAUAUAUAUAUAUAUAUAUAUGUGUGUGUGUGUGUGUGUGUGUGUGUGUGUGUGUGUGUGUGUGUGUGUGUGUUGGGGGGGACCACAUGAGUGAUACAAAAUAAGUGGUGUAUUAAGUUUCUUUAAUUAAAAUUAUUAAUAAUGUGCCAUUAUUUGUAUAGUUCCACAUUAUUUGUAUCAAAUGAUAAAAAUUAAUUAUCAAAAUAAAUCAUUAUUAUAUAUUGUUUCAUAAGAAAUUUGCUUACUAAGUUUUCUAUUUGUGAAAAGAAUUUUAAGAGUUUGUCGUUAGAAAAAAUGACAUUUUAUCAUGACAAAAAAAGUAUGAUAAAGAAAUGUGCAAAUGAUGUUGAUAAUUCUUUUCUCUUGAGAAAAUUAUUUUUCACACAAUAUUAUUUAGAACAAAAAAUAACAUAAUGUCAAUCAUAAAAAGCCUGUUGGAUAGAAACUUACAUACCUAAAAGCUCUCGACAACCGACAGUUUUAGUAGAACUUUUGCUCUGCCUCCAGUGUCCAAAGAGAUGUACCAAGAAUGGUAGACAUUAUGUUAUAUACAUUCCAAAAUGUUUUAUUUCUCCAAUGGCAAGCAAACGAUCCUCUUAGAUAAUAUUAGCUUUAUUCUAUAAUAUUUAUGAUGUAGCCGGGUUUCUAAAAAUAUCAUGUUAUGAGUUAUUAUAUAAGCACUGGGAGGGUUAGAAUAUAAUAUAUAUUCUAAAGCAAAUGCAUCAAAGGUUGAAGCAUAAAGCAAUGAGCAUAAAUCAAGGAUCAUAAUAGCAUAAAGCAAGGAUCAUAAUAGCAUAAAGCAUAAAGCAUACAUCAAAGGUGGAAGCAUUUUCUACAAUGGCUUUAAGACAUUACAAUUAUAAUGGAAUAUUCUAUUAUAAACCAAUCAUGUAGAGCUUUUUUGUUGCGGUGAAAUAGAGACGCCUCUUUUUCUUUUCUUUUUUUGUUAAUUUAUUAAAAAAAUUGUUAAUGUUUUGCCAUCAAGAAAUACAGCAGGUAAAUUUAAGAAGCUAUAGCUAGCACAAGUACACACAGAACAAUUGAGAAAGUAGACCUAAACAACUUGAAUGAUAGAGCACACAGUUUGUAUCACAGUGAUCAGCACGAGGAGAAUAGCAGCAGCGAUUACAGAUAAUAUGGCCCAUGGAUUACGGAAAUAGUUUUGUUUCAAGCUUGCCUUCCAUUUGUGCUAUACAGAUAUUUGCCUUCCAUUCUACAGUAUUUAUUCGGAUCUUCAACAAUUUCAGAAAAGUAGAAAUUGUCGAGGAAGAUAAGAUUUUCUUUGUCAAGAUUGUGGAGAACACUUAAUGCUGCGUCAUUAUCACGCAGCCAGUUUUCUAUAAUUCCUUUCCGAACAAGUAUUUCCACGUCCCUGGUGCUAUAGAAAAGCAAAUUGAUCAUGGUAAUUUAGUUAGUCACAUAUUUGUCACUGCAAUUGCAUUGCUCAAAUGCCUCAAGAUUUCUGAAUAAGAUCUGUCUGGUCAGUUACCAGUAAUCGUGGAAUUUCGAGUCUCCCUCUACUUUUAUUGAAUUUUACGUCAAAUAGAUUCCCCAGCUUAAACUUGACUCCAGCUUGACGGAGCUCUGCUGCACUCGGCAUGCUUAGAGUUUUGAGUUUCCAGUUUCCUUGGCUGAGGAAGCUUUGUUGGCUGCUGACAGAUUCUUAGAAAGUCUACAAAAUGUUGCACUUCUGAGGAAUUGAUAACAUUUAAUAUGUCAUCUGUCACCCAUGAACCCAAUGCACCUUUCAAGAACCCAUGGGUAAAUUCAAUCAAGGAAUAUCCCUUAUAAGGCUUGGAUAGCUUAAGCAAGUCAUUAAGAGAAAAGAAUGGAAGCUGAUUUUCAAGCAAGAUCAUGUCAAACCUUAUAUCAUGAAUCAUCAAUGGUCUACUGAAAAUACGAUCGUUGCUGCUCUGGAAGUCUAGAAAAUAGUUUUUCAGCAUGGUCAUAAUGAUGAAGGCGGCAUCUAGCAGCAUCAUAUUCACAAAAACAUCACUACUGAGUUCAAUUGCUUCCGCGUAACAGUUACGAAGCCUUGUCUCUUCCAUCUCAGUAACUCCAAUCAAAUCCUCCAAGCUUAAUUCACUCCACGCAAGAAAAUCUUUCAGAUACCUUCUUUUGUACUCUUCCAUUGCUUUCAAUUCUUCCCUGCCAUGAUGAAGUGGGCCGAUAGAGACAACUUGUGGUGUGUACUGUGUAGGCUUUUUCAUUUAACACUCGCAACCGCUUAGGGACUCUGUAAAUGCAAAAGUCAUCAAGUGAAGGAUGCAAGAUCUCCAACUCCUCUCUCAUAGUCUUCCCUAACUUGUAAAUAUCAAUCGAAACGCGAUCACCUGUCUUCAUCUUCUCGCUUGAUGCCCCAACUAUCUCCAUUCUACGGAUCACAAUGAUUGCUAGUUUUAGCAUCGGCAAAUCACAAAUUACAACACUUUUCUAAUUUUUCAUUAAAUCUUUCAUUGAAGAAAAAAGGAACUCAAGUGAUAGCUCAACCCUACUGAAAAAGAUAAGAAGAAUCAUAGAAAACAGAACUGAAAUUACAAGAGAUCCCAGUUACUACAAGCUUAAGUUAAGCUAGCAUUAGAAAUAGCUUUCUGAAGGAUCAGGGCAUUCUGAAGUCUGUACUUAACACUGCAUAAUCCAACUAGAAAAAUCAUUCAUGUUUAUGCUUUCAUUCGAGUGAACUAUCCUAGUUCUUGAAAGCCUUUGAACUAAGCCCAAGGACCAAUAUCACACAUCUAAAGCGAUCGAUUAUACUGAUGUAUUUCAGCCCGAUAUAUCAAUCAGAACACAAAAUAUAGCAUAAAACAAUCACAUAGUUGGGUAGAGAUAGGAGGUUCUGACGAUUUUUAUAAGGCGAGGGGAGAGGUGAUGGAGGAAGGAAGGAGACAGUGGAAUGGGAUUUGAGCCGUUGAUCAGGAAGCCAAAAGACGGUUGUGAUGGAGAUCCGAGCGCACGUUAAGCGGCCAAUAGGAUUGCUUAUUUUAGGCGGGCUCGUUUUUCAUGUUUUGGAGCUCCUUACCUUCUCUCUUUGGAGAGACUUUGUGGACCGUGGAUUUUGAAGGGAUCCGCGAUUGUGAAUAUUUAGAGAAGCGUGGUGAGGAUCGCCAUCUGCGUGCUCUGUUGAGUGACCAAUAAAAAUGCUUAAUUUGCUUCCUUUUUGGAGAUUUUGGGAGAUUAAAUAUGGACCGUUGAUUUGCUAUUGAACUUACCUGGAUGUCGUCAUGAAUUAAUCUAUAUGAUAAACCAUAAUUAUUAAACCGUUAUGAUAAAACAUAGGUUAGCGUGUUGAUUUGAGAAUUUUGAGAUUUAGAGCUUUUUUUCUUGAUCAAAAUUUUAAUUUAAUUAGACAAUAUAUUAAUUUGAUUGAUUUUAUUAUAUUUUUAGUGAUCUAAUUAAACCAAUAAAACUUGAUUAAAUUAAUAAAAAAUAAAUCAUUUUUUAUUAAAAUAAUAAUGUUUUUUUUAAAAAAAAAUCUUGAUGAUAACCUAUCCAAGUAUGGCCACAUUAAUUGUUGAGUCAACCAUGUUUGGUUGAGUAAAUAAUUUUUAUAGUUCAAAUUAAAACUCAUUGAAUCAACCCAUGAAAUUAGGUUUAAAGCUAUCCUACUAAUAUCAAAAUCAAAAUGAAUGUGACAUGUACAACCAAAAAGAAACAUGACUUAAAUUUUAUUGUCCAAGUAAUCUUCCACUCAAUUGUACUACCUCAUUCUGAAAUUUCUAAUCAAAGCCUAUAUAUAUAUAUGUAAAUGAAAUCAAAGGAAAUUCUAGACUUGUAUAUUUUCUUUAUACACAGAAAUCACCGAGGAAAUGUCAAGGAAGAAGCACGACGAAAAAUAAUAUUAUACCCAAUUGUUUGGAGGCGAAAAAUCGUGGAACCGAAAUGAUGCUUCUCCGGCGGUGUCUCGAUCAAGCCUAAAUUCGGCCUCGUUCACUGCAUCAUUCGGAACAUCAGCUGGCAGAGGCAGUAUUUGAUUCUGACUGAGUUGGUGUGCCAACUGAAUUUCAGGUGGGAAUGCAAGAACAGGAGGGGAGACGGACUUAAACCUAGCACUGCCUGCACUUGGUAAUGGGAAUGUUCUGUCCCACAAGAAAACAUGAAUGAGAAUAGGCACCUUGGCAUGGCGGUGCAAGGAAAGUUUCUGGCUUAGCGAGACGGUGUCAAAACACCGGACUGCUCCUGUUGACGAAACCAUCCAAGGAAGGACUUUCUCGUUUGACACUCUUGAAACAACUAGUAAUCUUGAUGCACUUUUUGCUUCUUUGUAUAGAUUGCUGAGCCCUGACCUUGUCGAGGGUGCACUUUCAUCACCAUCCAUAACGGAGGAAAUGAAGAUAAAGCCCUGUCGAUACAGAGCGAAAGCUAAGCAAACUGUUCAAAACUACAUAUUACUCGUCGAAAAAGACAGCAAUUGUGACUGGUGGCCUGGAGAGUUAGGUGGAAUACCUCUUCUGUGCGGCUAAUGGCAAAUCCGAGCUUUGUAUCAUCUUCUUGUAUUUGGACCUCAAUUGCAAAUUCUCCACAUAAAGGUGCAUACCAGAGACGGACUGCUCUAACUACACCGAUAUCAACCCCAUGAUAAUCCUCAAAACCAUACAAGCUUACAUGAGCAAGAUUGGACAAAUCAGACAAUGAACCAGCAUUCACAGUUGAAGAAGCUGUCUCUCCAGAUAUCUGUCCAAAAUAUAUGAGAAGCAAACAUUUCAUUAUUUUGAGCCAAGAGUAGAUUGCCAGAAUUGUAGAAAGUAACCGUGCUUUCUUUCUUGUAACGUAGAAGAUACAGUCAGUAAGUACUAUUGCCGACAGUUUAAGGACCAAGUUUUAAUGAUGAAUUAAAGGAUCUCUAUGAUAACACUGCUGAAGUAGAAAUAGGUUUUCCAUGGAAUUUGAACUGAAAAUUAGUUAGCAUAUGCAUCUGAAAAACUACAAGUACGUAAACUAAUCCAACUUUCUUGAGGCUAGAGUGGUUACCUUGGUAAGCAGGGAUUCAGUUUGAAUGUUCAUGAAAACAAUUGGAACCCCAGAGGCCUGAGAUGCGUGCAGCCACGCAUUUGCCCUGGCAAGAGUGUCCUCCAAGUCAUUGUACCGAGAAGCAACUGGAUCUGAAGCUUUUGGAAGGAGGAGUAAAGAAAGAAAGCUGCUUGAAUUGGGAACAUCUAGCAACUCCUGCAUCCUCUUUUCCCACGGAUAUCCCACAUAUCCAUCUUGAAGCUUAGCCCUCUGUAAUGCACUAACAAUUCUGGAGCUUCUUGAAGCUGCAAAAUGCAACUAAUCAUUUCACAUAGAUAGAAACAGUAGCAGAACGUAAAAGACAAGUUGCAAAUUAAGUUCUAGUUCACCAAACCAAAACGUGCAAAAGAUUUAAAAUUGUUGUUGACCAGAGAUUCAUUUGCCUGGAUCUAUCAGCUACCUACUGUAAAAUGGAUUUGAAAUGUACACCGAUGUUUUAAGCAUUCCAUCGCAUUUUGUUGAUACUUUUGAAGCUGAAUUAAUUGCUCAUUAAAAGUUGCAGGAAACUGCAACCAAUAACAAGUUUCGACGAUAAUGGCUCAAGAAUGAUCCCAAGCUAAAGUCAUGUAAGAGACUAUAGAACUUCAAGUGGCUGUGACAGGUGAUAUGCAUAUUAAGAUUUUGACAACGUUAAAUUAUUCAAACCAUUGAUUGGGAUUGGCACAUACUACAUUGUGAGACAGGAUUGAAGGAAUGCAGUUAUGUUCAGUUAGUGAAGACAUGGAAAUAUAUAAGAAAGUCAUAGGACACAGAAAGCCAAGGUCAGACAGUGAAAACGCCAGUUGUUUUAAGCAUUAUUAAGGGAUCUUUUAGCUCCAGCUAAAGGUAGGAAAAUGGUGACAUAUCACAGUUACUUUUAAUCAGAGCUUGGGGUUAAAAGAGGGCACUACACAUCAAAUAGAGCAAAAACCAACAUGAAAGACACAGAAGAUGGCAUUCUUCAUCCAAUAUUGUGAUUUUAAAACUUAAAAAUAAAUUUCCCAUUUGCCACCCCUCACAUUCAAGCAUGAUCCGUGACACUCAAACUAAUGCAAGCCAAUUACAGCCCUAGUCCAUGUUACAUGUGCAGAACACUGUUCUCUGUUAUUGAAGCAUCAAAAUCCUAGUCCCCAGAGAAGGAAAAUUGUAAAUAAGAUCAGAUACAAACUAAUUCAAACUAAUAAACUAAAUAACUUUAAAAUGUGAAAUGCCUAUAGACUGAAUCUAAUAUUCAUCAAACAAUGGUAUGGAUGCAAUCAGUUGUAGUGGAGGAAUUCUUCUUGGCAGUCAGUGUUUUUUGUAGAAUCUGAACUCUACAAAGUCCAAAACCAUAGCCACUAGCCCAUGUGUAAACACCAAGCCUCUAUUUUGAAAAGUUGAAAUAUGAUCAAUCAAAUACGAUGUGAUAAAAACAGGUGACCUAACAAAUGCAACUAAAAAAAAAAGGCAAAGCCAAGCCAACACCAUUUAAGUCAAUUUGCACAAAAAAAAAUGUCACCAUGUCAUGUUCACCAUCCCAAAUUAGAGACAACAGUGGAUGAAAGGAUUGCUGCAUUGAUAUGAGAAGCACAUUCUUGAGAAUGACAAGACAGAAAAGGGGAAAAUUCAUGAAGCCAAGUGGGUCAAGAAGAUAACUCUGUACAUGAAAUCCACUGUCUUUUUGUGAACAUCUAGAAAACAAUUAAAAGUAAUGAUUGUCUCCAACGAAAAAAACUAUUAGGAGAAAAUUAUGUGACCAAUUAGUCAAUGCCCACCAAAUUCUGCCCCACUUGGUACAUUUCACACAUUCUAUAGAGUACAAAAAGUUUAAGGCUACUUGAUAUUUCUAACUUCUCUUCCUAACACCCUCUUAAGCUUGAUUAUAAUACUUCUAGUAUUCUAGCUUUUUCGACAAUAAGAGUAUUUUCGGAUGAGUUUAGGCAAGAGUUAAUGAAACUUAAUUAACCCUGGAAGCUUCGAAUGAACAUAAAAAUCAGGAAAUUAACCCUCGCCCCGCAUGCUUGUCUUAAAAAAGACAUGGUACUCGUAAAAAAGUCAAAGUCAAAACAAAACACAAAACACAAACUCGAAAACAUCAAACUUUUCAAAGAUACAAACUAAAGAAAUCACCUUGUAAUUCAAAGCACUCGGCUUCGGACCGAUCUGUGAACCCGACAGAAUAAUUCGGAUCCGCAAUAGACCUCAAAACAUACUUGUUCUUGUAACCCGACUCGGGCACAACACAGGCAUGCAACUCAGCAAACUCAUCUCCACCGCGUCUAACUCGAACGACAAUCGAAGUCUCUUUGUUUUUGAACGAGUUAUGAAGUAUCUUUUGAACCCCACUUUUUCCAUUCUUGAAUGGAGCGCUAUAUCUUGUCAACCCGCCAGACCCGGAUGAAGAUGACGACGACGACCCGGAUCCGAUAAGAAUUUCUUCUACUAUAUCUCCUGUUUGAAGCAUGUCUACCUUCCAUUCGUCAGCUUUUGAAGUCCCUUUUAGACAUUCUAUUGAGAGAACAAGAAUUGAUUUUGAGUCCCUGCCUGGUGUUUCUGGUGGCGAGUUUCGGUCCAUGGUCAUUUUUCGGGUCAGCUUAUGAUUUUCUUGAGAGGGAAGCUUACUGGUUUGGUGAUUAUAGGGUGAUCGUUGCUUGGUUGAUUAAGAAGAGUUAAUCUUGUAACUAAACAAGGACACGAAUCAUGGAUAGAUUCCGGAUUCUAGCUCCAGAAUCUAGAAGAGAAAGGGGGAGGGGGAUAGAGAGAGAGAGAGAGAGAGACGUGGGGGGGGAUUUAAUAUUGUUGUUAGAAAUGAUAAUGGAGAGGGGGCGGUGGGGUUUAUGAGUUGAUUAUAUAGUGAUGGUAUUGUAUAAUAUUAGAUUUUUCGAGGGCUGUUUUGUGAAUUUGUGUGUGUAAUAGGGAGGAUGGCCAAGUCAAAAUAUUCCCUUCUUUUUUUUGUUUGAUUUAUUGUUAUAAAACACGGCUCCAUUCACAACCCAGGAUACAGAUUAUAUGAAUUAAUUUAAAAUAUUAUCAUUUUUAUUUUUAUUUUUUUAAGUAGAACAACAACAUUUAAUAACACGGGUUUGGUUAAGCAAGAAACUAAAUUUCAAAGAGUUUAUGGUUAUUUGCUUAAAACGGUGCGCACUAGAAAUAUUGAUGUGUAGUGCAUCAUCGCUACAACGUAACAGGAGUCUCGAAUCUUGAUCGUUGCCAUUUCAAGUCACCAUCUCUGAAGCUUGAUUCAAGAGGGAAGUCUUUUGUCUCUUGUGUUCGAAUUCAAUGGAGGAUAUGGGGAAAAAAUGGUGAAUCAGUAGAAGUAAAUGAUCUGUCUGAUAUUAUAUUUCGAGGGGAUAUUGAUGUAGUGGUAUAUAUAAAAAUUGGUCGAAGAAUAUGCGAUUGCUGGAGAAAUUAUUUUUACACCAGGAGAAUGGAGAUUGGCAAAUUUGGAUUAGCCAACUUGAUCACCAUGUUUUGUGUGUUGAAUAAGUUUUAUUUAAUUUCACGUAUUAUUCCAAUUACUUCUAAAGAAAUAUCAUGUAUCGGAAAAAGUUUAAGAUUUUUUUAAAAUCAAAACAAGAUUUUAAUUGUAUCAAGCAGGUUACAAGUCAAUAUAUUAAGUUAAUCUCACAUCGAUUUUCUUAAACUUAAUUUAAGUUAGGGGCCAAGUAGAUCAAGUUCCAGAUAGAUAUAUCGAGCUGAAUUGUUUUUAUAAUUAUGUUACCAAUAAUUAGACUUUCAAAAAGCUUCUUUAGCUUUUCAAAAUUUUUUCCACUUUAAAAAAUAUUAAUUUAAAAUUUUUUAAAGUGUUUUUUUAUAGUUUUAAUAUAUUAAUGUUUAAAAUAUAAAAAAAACUUAAUAAUAUUAUUUUAAUAUAUUUUUUAUUAAAAAAUAAUUUUAAAAAUCACUCAUCCUAUUAUUAAACACAUGAAAGUGGCAAGUAUAAAAGUAAUUUUAAGAGAAAAAAAUGCAAAUUAUUUAAUAACAUCUUGGUUAAGAGUUGGUUUAGUAUAUAGUAGCAUUUAUUUUUUUUAAUAUUUUUAUUUAAAAAUAUAUUAAGAUAUUAUUUUUUAAUUUUAAAUUUUAUUUUUAAUAUAAAUUUAUUAAAAUAAUUCAUAAUAUAAAAAAAAUUCAAUUCUUUUUUCCCAUAAAUUUCUUGCCUGGGAAGUACAUACAUUAGGCGAGCAUGAGCUGUUAGUCAAUUAUAGAUAAGGUGGUCAUUGAUCACUGGUCAAGGCUUUUUAUAUUCCUGGUUACAUCGUGCCAGCUAUGGGAAUAGAAGUGAUGGAAAUUAAUUGAUUGAUGCCCCCGCCUACAAAAUAUUACUCCGACAGGGCCUGUUGUUAUUUUUAAAAAAUAUAUCACAAUAAUAUUUUUUUAAUAUUUAAAAAUUAUUUUUAAAAACAGUACAUUAAAAUAAUUUAAAAAUAAUAAUAAAAAAUUUAAAUUUAAAAUAAAAAAAAUUUAAAUUUUUUUCAAAAAUAUUUUUAAAACUUAAAAAUAAAACAUUCCUAAGAAAUUGAAAAAGAUAGCCCUAAGCAUGAUAAGUCGGUAGUUUUUUUUCGUUGAUGGUAAUAAUAGAUGGAAGAUAUGCUACACAAUUAUAUUUCAUGUAUAAGAAACAAAAUAUAGUUUUAAAAUUUUUUAUUUGGGUUACUUGGAUUUUUUUUAUAUAUUAACAUAAAUGUUUGGGUUAAUUUGUUUAUACAUUGACUAAUCUCACGAGUCCUGAAAUUAAUAAUUAUUUAAACCUUCAAUAACCCUAAAAAAAUAUAAAUUCAUGAUCAUUAAAGAGUAAACUCAAGCUCUUAAGCUAACUAAAAUUUUUAACUGGAUUAAUUUUUUUUAUUAUUAUUAAUUAAGUCAUUAAAUUAAUAGAUUAAAUUGAGUUUGAGUUUAAUAGAUUAAACUAGUUUAAUCUUUAAUAGAUGAAACUGAGUUGGAGUUAAAUGACAAUGCCCUGGAUGGUGAUUAAUAUACUAUUAAUAUAUUUAUAUUUUGAUAUUAUAUGUGUAUUAUAUCAUAUGUCCCAUUUUAAUAUAGCUAAUGUAAUCUCAAAAUAAUGCUUACAUUUUGAAUAUGCAGGCAAGGAAUCUAGUGGCAUGGGGCAACAACUGAGAAUAGAUUUUGAAUAUGCAGGCAAGGAAUCAAGAAAAAAGUUACUAAAUUUAUAAUUAAGUUUAAUAGACUAAAUUAAUAAUUAAUAAUUAACUUUUUAUUUUUUUAUUAAAAUAAUAUAUUUUGAAUUAAAAAAAGUCAUGUGUGUUUUUAACUCAAACGAAUCAAAUUUUUUAUAUAUAUAAUUUUUGUUAAUACGAACCAAUCCAAGCCCCUGAUUAGCUUAGAUUUCAGGUAGACCAGCUGGCCAGUACGGUUUUCGAAAGAAUGCUUUUAAUGAGAGGGGAGAAAAAAGAAGCAGGCAAAUAAAUAAUAAUUCUUAGGUUCCCAUGUAAGUGGGCUCCACGAAAGCAAGACGUCACUAUGCACAGAAGUUUUAUUGGACAUCGAAUAGAAGGUGCUUAGAAUAUAAUUGGCUAAAUUGUAAGAUUCAAUACACGCGCUCUUUUGGAGACUGAGGCUACGAACCAAUCACAUAUAAGAGAGAAUUACUUUCCUUAUAUAAUAACUAAUUUGCUAGCUUGCAAGCGACAAUCACGCGCAGUGUGACGUCGGCAAGAAAAAGCUGAUGACUUAGGUUAAUGCGGUUAAAAUUGUUUUUUAAAAAAUAUUUUUGUAAGGAUAUUAAAUUCAUAUUUUUAAAAUAUAUUGUAAUAAUUUUAAUAUUAUAUUAUUAAAAUUAUCUAAAAGGAUGUAAAAAUAUCUAAUAAUUUUUUUUGAUUGAAAACACUUUAAACUAAAUUAAAAAAAAAUAACUAAAAACACAAUACUAAACAAUGUCUUCAUCAAUAAUAAAAUAAAUUUAGAAAAAAUUUCUAUCCUUAAAAAAAAAAAAAAAUAUGAGAAUAGAUAUUUUUUAUUUUAAUUAUUUCUAUAUUUUUUUUUAUCACAAUAACUAAAUAAUAUUUAAAAAUUAUUUUACAUAUGGGCAAUAUUGUUUUUUUUUGCGAUCCAACAAUGAUUUUGAAAACUUUUGAAUUUUUUUACUUUCAAUUAUUUUGUAUUUUUUUAAUAUGUUAAUAUUAAAAAUAAAUUAAAAAAAUAAAAACAAUAUAUUAUUUUAAUAUAUUUUAAAAUAAAAAAUAAUUUAAAAAACAAACUCUAUUACAAUUUCAAAUGUGUUUUAUGACUUGUAUCAAAUUUUCUUUCUGGAUCUUGUCAAGAUGAUGCAUUUUCUCCUCACUUUACAAGCAAAAACAUCUAAAUGUAUGAUAAUUAAAGUUAUAAAGUCCUGUAUAAUUGACUAUUUAGGGGCUGAUUAGAAUUAAAAUGCAACCAUGUUUUAUGAUUUUUUUAUUUUUUUAAUUAUAUUUUUAUAUUUUCAAGUUGUUUUAACAUACUAAUAUUAAAAAUAAAAUUUUUAAAAAAAUUAUUUUAAUAUAUUUCUAAAUAUUUUAUUUUAAAUAAAUAUUAUCACACUUCAAACAUUUCAAUUUAUUUCUUAAAAUUCACAAAGCAUGAGCAUCAAUGGGAUCAUACAAGAGGCAAAUGGUACCUUGGUAAAAGUUUUGACUAUACUUCCAAGGUGGAAAAGAAAAUGAAUUUUGUUCAAGAACCUUCUAUCAUAACCAUUCAUUAUAGCUGACUAGUAUGAUAGGAAAUAAAUUCAUAUUUUUUUCACCACCUUAUUAUAUUUUCCAACCAACUUGGUACGUAUUUUUAUAUAAGACAACAGAUAUUAUGUGGUUUAAAACUUUAUUAAUAAAAGAUAGUAGGUUUUAUUACUAGUUUCUUAAGAUUCCAAAGAAAAAAAAAAUGUUAUUUAUACACUCUGCCUCUCUCUCUCGUCAUUUUAUUUAUUAAUUAAGAUAUUCAAGCUCUCCUCAAGCAUGGCGAGGUGUGCAACCUUCAGCAUGCUCUUGGAAGACAUGUCCAUAUCCAUAGAACAGAAGGUUAUGCAUCCACCUUCACCGUGGAGAUCCAUAACUAUUUUUUUCUUGUAAUUUCAAUUUCGAAUUCUGUGUUUAUUAAUAGAGUGAUUAUUAAAAAUUUAAAUAAUUUUUAAUUUUAAAAUCUAUGAAAUUAAUUGAGAUACAUACAAGCUAGCUCAGAUAUCCAUUUUAUUUCAAAAAAUAAAAAUAAUCCAUCAUUGUCUAUAGUUUCCAUCUAUUAUAUAUAUAUAAUAAUAAUAAAAAAAAGAACAUCACUGAAUUGCCAAAAUUAGGGUGGGUGCCUUGUUGCUUUGUUUUUUCCACUUCAUAAUUCAAAUAUUUUGCUAGAGAAAAAUAAAAUAAAUCACAUUAACUAUCAAUCAAAAGAAAAGGAAAUUAAUUAUUAGCAUGAAAUAAUUAAUUACAGAAACAGAGAAACUUUUUCUUGAUGUCUAUCUUAAUCUUGGAGUUUAGUUAUGGAAAUCCCCAUGUUGCUUACAGCACAUCUAUAGUUUUAGUAAAUUAGGGGAUGAUACUGACGUUGGUAUUUAAAAAUGGCUUCACAAACUAUUUUUGAAGCAGACCGCUGUUGACAUGGUAUAAUCCCUUAUCAUAAUUAACACUAAUUUCUAGUAUUAGUAUUAAUUAGUAUGUGUGUGUGUGUGUGUGUGUAUAAAUAUUAGCAACUUGGCUAUUCAGUUCUAUACAUGAACUAGCCUGUCUGUCGUAUAUCUAGCUGUAAAUGAGUUUGAAAGACGAGGCAAUUUCACUCUUGUUUCCAGCCUUGCUUCACUGCAUUUUCUCCAUGAAUCAACCACCCAAAAACCUACAAAAAAGUAGCAGCAGCAAUAAGGGAAUGGAACAAAAUCUAAAUAUGUUUUCUUGUAAGGCUUUAAUCAGUCAAAACAUAUGGAUUGCCAUAUUUUUUGAACGCAAAUUUAUAGAUCUUAUUGCAAGACUAGUAAAUUGAUUCAUGGAGUUUUGAGGUGUUAAUUCUUGCAAGAAAUGAAUGGUCAGGCGAUAUGAGCUGGAACACUGCAAAGUCCCUCAAUUUCAAGACUUUUUUACAUGGUUCUGGUUGCUUUCUUGAGAUAUGGAACUUCAGACAUCAUUUUUAAUUUUUGAGAUGUGGAACAUCAUGCCGACUUCUGCCCGUUACAGUAGCAUGAUUGAUACCAUAGCAGGAGUGCAUUACUUACUAGAGCCAUCUCUUCUUUGGAGUUGUAUCCUUGGAUGAUCUUUGAGUCUGCCUUCUAAUCUUCCUGCCGUCUCCUCCAGCUAGCAUUUGCUUUGGCUUUGAAGGAGAAAGACCAGAAGAUUCUUGGUUUCUUGAUGUUUCUUUAGGCGGAUUUUCUGCUCUAGAAUUUGCAUGAAGUUCUCUACCUUUCCUUUUAAUCUUCCUGAUGUCCUCUCCAGCUGACAACUGCUCUGGUCUCGAAGAAGAGUUUCCAAUGGAUCUUCGCCUUGUUGGUAUUUCUGUCAGAAGCCUUUCUGAUCUAGACUUUGCCUUUGGUUCCGUUAACCCUACCGAAAACCUUGAAGCCUUCGCUUGAGCUGGUUUCUGGGUUGUUGUCAAAGUGAGGACAUCACUCCGAACAGGAGUCUCCUGAAUUUAAACAACAGGAGGUUUUUUCAGUCUAUACUUCAUAGGAGAGAAGUCUGAACUGGAAAAGCAAGGCUAUUGAUACUAUUCUGCGCUAAGGGUCACCUGAACCGUAAAAGGAGGAGGUUGUGGUUGGUUUGAAGGAGAGGAAUCUGAAUCAGAAGAGGAAGAACUGUCCAGGUCAUAGAGUAUGUUAUCCACCAUGACAGGAAGUUCCCAAUUGUCUGAGAUAGAUAACGAAUGGGAUGGUCUCCGAAGUCUCGGAGAAAGCUCUGCCUGUAAAAAGUUAUACGAGUUUCGGCAAUUGUCUAGAACUCUUCCCUAACUACCAAAUAAAUAAUCCUGCUAAACACUGAAUCCUCACCUUUUCUUCUAAGACCACCAUGUUCCUCUUAAGUCUUUUGAUCAUGGUGUUCUUCCUGCAUAUAAUGUCUUCCAAUUCGGCAAAUCUCUAUUAUCAUGGGGGGGAAAAAGAUGUGUUCAAAUAAAUCAGACCUAGAUAUGGUUAGAAGAAAAGGGCUAAUGCAACAUACUUAUUGAAGUAAUAAUACCUUUGAACCUGCAAAUGAUUGAAGAUCGGUGCUCAGCUCCUUUAUGGUGGCAUCCUUUUGUUCACACUCUUUCUUCAGAUUGAACAUGUCUUGGUCUAUUGCAAAGGUGUUCAUCUGUUAUAGAGACAGAACAUGAGUUCAAAGGUGAUAAGGAAAGCAGCAUAUCACGUUAUCCUCCUUGAUUGUAGGAAAUAAUUUAGCAGAAAAGUUAGGUGAUUGUUUCUAUAGUUAGUUUCCUACUAUAAUUAUAUCUGUAAAUUCCUAUAUAAAUACACCUCUCCACCACAGAAGGAAGUGUGGCUUUACAAUUCCUGUUAAAAGGAAUGCAAACUUCAUAUAUCGGUGAGUUGUUAACUCCAACAGCAAUCCGGCCGUGGGUGUCUCCCAAUAUAUUUAUUAGCAUUUGACUAUAAGAAAACAAAUUUAUGACUGUUGUGGAGAAACUGAGCAACUGAGCCUUUUUCCAUCGUAUGAUUCAUGUUGUGGAGAAUCAUGACUGUCCUUCAUGAUAUUGAAUAUUUGGAAAACAAAUUUAUGAGGCUAUUACAGAUGAAAAAUCUUGAAAAUGUAAUUACUGGGCCAGAAUCAUCCAUUACCUGUAUUUCUUCUGCAGAACCAGUUGAACCCCAAUCUGAAAAAUCUGACAUUUUCUGCUCUUCUGGUUCCUCCUCAUUUCCGAAAGGGAUUUUGCAAUGCAGCACCUCAUCCCCUCUAGGCAUUCUCACAGCAGAGUUCCCCUGGUAGAAAAUGUGGAAAAUUUUAGUGUUUAGAUGCUAGAAACUGAUCAUGGUCUGAAUAUCACCCCUGAAGCUCCAAGUAGGCAAAAAAGUUACUGUAUCUAACAUAAAAUGAUUCUCACCACCAAACCAGCUACAUGUUCUUGGUGUUCAUCACAUUGCCAGGAACCACCGUCAACAAAUUCAAUUCUGUCGCAGCCAAAAGCAUCGUUUGCUUUAGUUUCUUCCUGAUUAUUAAUGUCAUCCAUCUGAUCACACAGAUUAUCAAGCUUUUGCUCCGUGCUUGAUAGAACCUCAUCCUGAAAUUAUUCAAAUUCAGAAAUGAUCAGACCAUUAAAUUCCGAAGAAUUUUUUUUCAUGAUAUAUCUUUGUCUUAAAUAUCACAGUGCAAGAUGGAAGAAACAAAAGGAUCAAUCAUUAAGAUUAAACGCUCAAGAAUAAAUUCAUGAAUAAUUAAUCAUCAUUAAGUACAGUCUAAUUAAUAAAGCAAGCCAAUGAUGAGAUUUCUGACCCUUAGCUCCACAGACUUUUUGAGCUGAUUGAUGAGCCUAUUCUUUCUAGACUCAGCAACAGCAAGACCAAGAGCAGCAACAAUGAGAAACCUUUGAAUUGGACUAAACAGCUCUGAACCCACAUUUUCUUCCAGGUUAAAGCCAAUGCCAAUGGCUAUAUCCGAGCUGGCUUCCCCUUCAUUCACAAGCUGUUCUUGUGGGUCCACCCAUGGCAACCGCCGAGGUGAUGGAACAGCUUGGCUUGGCUUGAACUGGCUCGAGAGCCAGGGCGAGGUGGGAGCAGAAACCGGAGAAAAUAGGGAAAGAGAGACUAGAGGUGGAGGAGCACCGCCCCUAGCUGAGAAGCCAAUCUUGUAAUGAUUAGCCAUGAAGAAAACUUGAAUAUAGCAGAAUUUUGUUUCUUCAAAACGUUGGCAAUCACAAUUGUUUGUCUUUAAUAGCUUAAGUUCUCACUGGAUUAGUUAUUUACCUGUGGUGCUAAAUGAAACACUCACCAAAAAUAUACAUUCAGUGCGGGAUUAAAGAAGCUGAAACCAUAAGCAAGCAACGACCAUAUGGGCUCACGAAGCCAUAGCCAUGUAGAGAAGCACAGCAGCUCAAGUAUGGCUACGAGAGGUGAGAUAUAUGCAGUUAGGCACGUCAGGACUUUGCAUGCAUUGUUUCCUUUUGAUAUUAGAACAGGUUGGAGGGGUCAGAUUGAGGCAAAAGUAGCUAUAACCACAUUACUAAGAGAGGAAAUAUGGUUAUGAUUUUGUGGCUGACAAACUAUGGAGGUUUCUUGAAUGGAUGGUCUAGGGAUCAUGUAUAUUUUAGCUCUAACUAAGUUUUUGUAGGAAAUACGGUUGCCUCGCAUUACAUUCCAAAUAUAGAGCAAAAGGCACUACAUGGCAUCAUGCCUUAAAUAUGAUAUAUUUAAGUAAUUGUUUUUUAAAAUUUUAUUUUUAAAAAAUAUAUUUAAAUAAUAUUUUAAAACAAAAAAUUACUACAAGUAUAUCAAAACAAUAUAAAAACAUAAAAAAUAAAUUUAAAUAAAAAAAAUAAAAAUUUUAAAAUUUUUUAAAAUGCUAUUUGAAAUGCAAUUUUAAACAUCAUUUAAGUUAGAUCGAAUGAAAAGUAUUACAGGUUUUUUUAGUUAUUAUUCAUUUGAAUUACUUAUUUUUCCUUUUAAUUUCAACCUUCAUAGUUUUCUUUGAUAUCAUGUUAUGUCUUGUAUUUAUAAUAUUCAGAAAUUAAAUAUUUAUUUAAUAUAUAAAUAUUUAUUGACACCUUGAGAAUCUUAUGUUAAUUUAAGUUAGAUAAAUUGUUAGCUAAUUUUUCAGUCAAUAUAAUAUUAAAAAUAAAAUAAAUAGUAAUUGCAAUCGAAAAUAUUUUAAGAAAACAAAUUACUCUAAUUUUAAAUAAAUUAGUUUUUAAAUUCUUAUCAUAUCUUCGCCAUCUCUUACAUUAUCAAAUAUUGUCCGAUGACUCUCAAACAUAUGCAAGCUGGGUUAUAAGGGCUUUGAUUCUUAAAUUGUUUUUAUUAUUAAAGUGAAUAUUCAAGUUAAUUUGUGUGAAUUUCAAUUAAUCUCAUGAACUCUAAUAACUAAAUAAGUUUUUAAUAGUCCUGAAAUUUAUAAAACUCAAAUUAAUAAUUUUUAAAAAGUAAAUCUAAAAUUUAAACAAUUAAGUUAUACCUCUUAAGAUUUUUUAUUCUUGAAUUUUAACAAAGUUUAUGAAUGACCGAUAAAAUAUAAUAAAUAAAUAAAAAAAAUCAAACUUACAUAGAAAACUGGACACAACAAUCAUGCAUUGACCUAGAGAUUGAAAGAAGAUCCGAUGACCAACAACUCUAUGUUUUAGAUAGUUUUUUUUUUUUUUUAAAAAAAAAAAAAAACUAUCUAAAACAAAAUUGUUUAAAAAAAAAACUAUCUAAAACAAAAUUGUUUUGAAAAAAAAAGACCGAUCCUCAUACAUGAUUUAACCAGGUUAUCUUUUUGGACCGUUCAAAAACUAACCUAACCAAAAUCAAGCCAGGUCUCAAUUCAUAAGAGUUAUCAAGUUGAUUUUCUAGAUCGAUAACUAUUAAAGAUAAUAAAAACAAUGAAAAUUGUAUUGCUAAAUAGCUAAAUCUAAACGGUGUAGGUGAUUAUAAUGAUCUUUGAACAAAAUAAAAUUUCCAAUUGGAUCUCCUAUUUAUGAAACAUUACCCAAUUAACCACCACCAUCUACACUUGUGAAAAAUAAUGAGAUCAUUGGAAGACAAACAGGUCCUUUUUUCUGAUUCUAAGGAGAUGGUUAUUUGGAAAAUGUCCAAUUGAUUUGGGGGUCCCAGUUGAUUUUAUUUUUGUCUGGGACCAAAUUGAGACUUGGAUGAUAUUUGGGGGAUGAAUAUGUCCUUUACCAAAAAAAAUCAUUAACAGGAAGAAAUAUAACUAAAGCUGAUAUUUUUAGAAAUAAAUAUUAUGUCUGGACAUCUACAGAAAUUCUAUUACUUAAACAACAUAUCAUAAUGAUAGCAACAUGGCCCUUCCAGUUCUUGAUAUCAACUAGCCUGUUGUAUAUCUGCCUGCAAAUGAGUUUGAAAGACAAAGGCAUUUUUCUUCAAUUGCCAGCCCUGUGUUACCCUUAUCUACAUACAUCUACCGCAUAAACCUACAAAGAAGUGGCAGCAAAAAUAAGGAUUCACGACAGAAUAUGCUUUCAGAUGAGCAACAUAUCAACCAACAAGCAUUGGAUAUAUCUAUAUAAGAGUAAAAGAAUACCUCCCUCAAAGGGUCCAGUUGAAUGUGAUAAUGACACAUUUGUUGUUCACAGGGGUUUAUACAGUUGAUGGAAUCAAAUUUCCAGUAUUUAUUCCCAGAAUCUAGCUUAUGUUUGCUAAAUUACAAUGUUGUUUGGGUGGAGAUUUACAGUGUUAACUCCUGAAAGAAUCGAAGAGUCAAACCUUGAUAACAGAAAGCAAAGUUUCCAACUGAGAGCAGGUCAAUUUUUCAAGUCAUUGUUAUUAAGUUUUGAUUGCAUUUUAAGCAUCAACGAGUCAGUUAUUGACUUCGCCUCAUUUUUAAGAUUCUGAGAUAUGAAACUCUAUGCCAACUCCUUGGAAAGCAAAUUUAAAGGUCUUUGGAAAACUUGAAAACAGAAAAUGAUUUGGCUCCCAAGCUUUGUUCGAGUACCUUUAGCAAGUGAAAGUAACAAUUGAAACUGCAUUUAUGUUAAACUAUGACAGGUGUGCAUUACUUACUAGAACCAUCUCUUCUUUGAAGAUGCAUCCUUAAAUGCACUUUGAGACCGCCUUCUAACCUUCCUGAUGUCCCCUUCAGCUGACAACUGCUUUGGCCUCGAAGAAGGGAGUCCAAUGGACUUUUGAUUUGUUGAUAUUUCUUUGAGAGGACUUUCUGAUCUAGAUUUUUUGUGAAGUUCUACCACAGAACUGGAGGCCUUUGCUGGUGCUGAUUUCUGGCUUUUUGUCAAACCAAGCUCACUGCUCUGAACAGGAGCCUCCUGAAGUUUAACAACAGGGACUUGUUUUCCAGUUCAUAGAAUAGAAGUUGAAUUUGAAAGUUACACUAAUUGUACUAUUCUGAUAAGGGUUACCUGAAUAUGAGCAGCAGGAGUUUGUGGUCGGUUCGCAGGAGAGGAAUCUGAAUCAGAGGAGGAAGGGCUAGUGGUGCUAUCCAUAUCAUAGAUUAUGUUAUCCACCAUGAGAGGAAGUUCCGAAUUGUCUGAGAUACAUAAGGAGGACGAUGGUCUCCUAAGCCUUGUAAGAUGCACCACCUGUAAAACCUCAAAGAAAUGAGAGGUCACAAAGCAUAUAUAUCUUCUCAAAUCAAGUUCCAGUGAGUUCCAACCCUUCUCCAAAUAAUUUUGCAAAUACUGACUUCUUACCUUCUGCUCUAACACCAUCAUGUCCUUCCUAAGUCUUGUGAUCAUCGUGUUCUUCCUGCGUAUGAUGUCUUCCAACUCAGCUAUUCUCUAUUAUCAUGGGAAAAAAGUUGUGUUGGAGAAUAAAUCAGAUAGAAAUAUGGUGACUGGAAAAAGGCAAAGAUAACAUAGUUGAAAAAUAUUGCUCAUGAGUCCAAAAUACCUUAGAACCUGCCAUAUUAUUUGUUUCAAGAAUACUGUUCAGCUCCUUAAUGGUGGCAUCCUUCUCUUCACACUCUCUCUUUAGAUUGAACAUGUCCUGGUCUAUUGCGUAAGUGUUCAUCUGUUAUAGAGGCACAAGCAUGAGGUCACUGAAAUGCAGACUUGAGACCAAUUUCGGGGGUUAUUAAUACUAAACUAUUUCUAAAUUCAGGUUUCAGUUGUAUCUGAUCUUGCAAAUUAUGUUACCAAGUGAAAAAUCUGUAAGAAAUAAAUACUGAUUCUGAAUCUUCCAUUACCUGCAUUUCUGCUGCAGAUGUAACACUUGAAGCCCAAUCUGACAAAUCUGACAUGCGGCGCUCUUCUUGUUCCACCUCAUUUAUGAAAGGCAUUUUGUACUGCAGCACCUCAUCACCUUUAGACACUUUGACAACAGAGUUCCCCUGAUACAAAAUUAACAUGUAGUAUUUGAGCAUGCAGACACAAUCUAAUUCUAUGAUUAUAAUUACUCACAACACCAAAAGAAACAAACUUAGCAUCUAAUUAAAUGACUCUCACCAUCAAACCAGCAAGCAGGUCAUGGUGUUGAUCACAAUGCCAACAACCACAGUCAACAAAUUUAAUUUUAUCACAACCAAAAACAUCAUUACAUGGUGGUUCUAAAUUCUUGUUGUUGUUGAAAGAUGCAUUGCCCUUGGUUCCUGCCUGGUUGUUAAUGCUGCUCAAUUGAUCACACAGAUCAUCCAGCUUCUGCUGCAUGCUUGAUAGCACCUGAUCCUGAAACCAGCAUUUCGUACAAAGCAUUUAAUCAGACAAAUCUCAUGGCUACAGCCUACAAUCCAUUCUUUACAUCUUUUAAAUUUAUCUGAAUCCUGCUCACGUUCAAACAAAAGGUAAUACCGAUAGAGAGCAACAGGACAAGGAUGGGGUUAGAAGGAACUGUGCACUAGACAUGAACAUUCAUACCAGUGGAUUCAAAAUUCAAAAAUGUUUUCAACCAUGAUAUCUGGAGUCUAAUAUUUGUAACUGCUGUCUUAACUAUCAAAAUAGAAUACCAGCAUUUACAAAGGGAUCACUCAUUAAGAAUUAAUUAAUCUAAUCUAGCGUUAAACCAUAUCUUUUUAAUACUCCAAUCAUACCAAAGCCCAAAGAGUUCAAGUAACUGCUUUCAAAAGCAGAAUCUUUAAACUCCUGUGAUCCACGGAAUCAUCAUUACAGAUAAAACUAAUUAAUAAACAAAGCCAUUAAUUCAAACAAACACUCCUAAUAAAAUCAGUGAAAACAAAUUAAGCCAUCAAAAUAACACCAAACACCCUCUAAAGUUCCUACCUUUCACACAAAAUCAAGCACCAAACCUCCCGUUUACACUCAAAAACUAAAAAAAAUCAUUUUUUAAGCAAACCCAGUUUCCAAAAUCCAAAAACAACAAACCCGUUCAUAAAAUGAAGUUAACAUCACUAACCCUAAGCUCCACAGACUUUUUGAGCUGAUUAAUGAUCUUAUUCUCCUUAGAUUCAGAAACAGCAACCCCAAUAACAGCAACUACCAGAAACCUUUGAACAGGACUAAACAGCUCCCAAGCCACACCCGCCUCCCCGCUCAACCCAAUGGCUUUAGCCGAGCUAGCUUCCUCAGCAUCCACAAGCCGCCCUUGCAAAGACACCCUAGCCAGCCGCCGAGCCAAUGGGACUGCUCGGCUCGGAUUGAACUGGCUCGAGAGCCGGCGGCGGGAGGAGGGAGUUGCGAUUGGAGGGAAUGGGGAGAGAGUGACAAAUGAAGGUGGUUGAGCCUCUUGAUCCGGGCCGGUGGGGGAGCCGAGCCGGAGGGUGGUAUAGUCGGCUUGCUCUUCUUGUUCCAUGAAGAGAAAGGAAGACAAAAGAGCGUGAUUGCAGGGGAGUUCGUGGUUUUCGAACGUUGGAAUUUAUUUUGAGGGCAUUGAAUCUGUUUCUAUAUUUUUUUGAUACGGAUUCAAAUUUUGUGAUUUGAGAGGGAAUUUAUUUAUUUAAAUUAUGGAUGUUGAACGCUGGUUGUAGUAAUUGGGUUUUUUGACACGUGUCCUUCUUCUUCUUCUUCUUCUUCUAGGAUGACUCUUGGGGUUUUGUUUUUUUCUGAAUUUGAAUAUGAGAAAUUUAAGGAUAUUUCUUAAAGCAUGGUAAGAGAUAGGUGAAUUGGUGUGUGUUUGACUGUCAAAAUGUAAUUUCCUUAAAGUAAGAUUUUGUAUUGCCAAUCAAUUUUUGAGAUUGAAAAUGAGUUCAUGAGAUUUUAAAUUAUAAAUUAAAAUGAUUUUUUAAUUCAAAUUUUUUAAAUUCAGUUUUUAAAAAAUAAAUCUAAACUUAAGAAACAAACUAUAUUUCAUCUAUGGAACAUAGAACCAUGAAAUAGAGUCUAAAGUUCAUAUCCAUGUAUAAAAUUAUAACAAUACUUUAUGAACUAUAAAAUAAAAAUAGACUUAUCAUAUUAGUAAUAUUGAUGAUAAAUGGAGCUCCAUAAAAUAAAAAUAAAAAGGGUUAGAAAAUCAGGUAGGGCUCGAGUUGUGGGAUCUAUAGAAUAAUAUCAGAAUGUGAUGUCUUGAAUUCAUCUCUCUCCAAAUCUAGAAAACAUAACAACAGCACCGAGAAGUCUGGUUAAGAUUGGCAAUGACCAUCACUCUGUCUGAGAUCCUUUUAUGCUGGCCAGAUGAAGACAUAGGGAUUUCUAGUCUCAGCAGCUUGAGCACAAAGCAGGGUUCUGGGAUCAAUAUUCUGCUCAACUUCUCUUGUAAGGUAAAAUAAGUAAUCAACAGCAAAAUUCAGCAAGUCUGCUACGUAUUGCACUGUUUGCUGCAAUUGGGAAAUCAGAGUAAAUUUCUCACCCGAAACUAAACGAUGUAGAAAAGGAGAAACUUCUAACAUCUUGUAGUUUUCACACAAGAAAUUCAUCUAUUGUGUUACAGAAAAGAAGAAGAAAAAGAAGAAGAAGAAGCUGACGGGCAUUGAUAAGGAAAAAAGAAGAAAAUCUACCUCAGUUUGCGAUGAUCAUUGAUUGGCACCAGCAGACAUCGCAUAAAACUUCCACUAUCCAGUAGACAAACCAGCAAAAUGAUCAUUGCUACAGCUUCACGAGAACCACCAUUCUCCCAUGUUUCUGUUCCCCGUUUCAGCAGUACGAUUCCAUGCCUCAGCACUGCAUUGCUUGCCGUUAGCUAAGAUUAUAUCAACACAUUUUCUUUAGUUCAAGUCAAGAUUCAUAAAGGAAUGUGUAGAAAAUGAAAGGCAAGGGCAGAAAACUCACUAAUAUUGGCACAUAAGAAUCAUCAAUUUUGGUUGAGGACAUUGCAAGGUUGAGGACGCUCUGACUGGUUAACCUCCUCUUAUCCCAGACUGCUGAAGAUCGAAUAGUUUCCAGUCUCAGCAGCUUGAGCACAGAGAAGGCUACUCGGAUCAACUGUCUUCAUAACAUGCCAUAGCUUGUCUUGAUAGUCAACAGCCAAGUCCAGCAUCUGUGAAAUGGAUUUUUAAUCAACAGCCCUUAUCUAUCUUAGUAUAAAUAGGAUCAUAAAAAUCUUCAUCAUACUCUAUCUAGAGGUUGCCGCCUCAGUUGUCGUCUAAAAAAUGAAUUUUUAAAGCUGGUCAUGGAUAAUACCUCCGUCAACUGAUGAAUUAUUUCUGCAAUUUAUUUUUAGAUGUCUUCUUAUCACUGGUUCUUGAAUAUUUUUAAAUAAACUUUGAGUUUGUCCUUACACCCUUAAACACGCAUUAAUACUUAAUUAUCUCCUUUUUUUCUUCUCCAAGUUACAGUUCGUGGGUAGAAUUAUAUUUAUUUUAAUGCUUUUUAGAUGUGUCCAAAGCCACAUUUGUCGAAAGAUUCCAUAAGCUAGAAUUAUAUUUCUUCAAUAAGAUUACUUAUCUUUUUAAUGAAGAAAAUUAUUUGUGGUUCACGUUACUGGACAAACAAUCGAAGAAAAAUCUUGAAAAGAUACAUGAAAUAAUUGAAAGUAACAAAUCAAUAAUUGGUUCUUGAUAAUUACUUUCCUCUACCCACCAACAAGUUUCUCUCUCUAGUUUCAAUCACUAGAUCAAUGCUAAACAAGCUGAUUUGACGUUUGCAAACACGACAACACCAUCGCGUUCAAGACAAUUCUUGUCACAAACAAAAUUGUAUGGUGACUCGUGACUAAAGAUAAGGGAAAUAAAUUCUUUUUCUAAGAAAAGGUAUAGAAAAUCUUUGUCAAUGAACAAUGAUGGCUAGUUUCCUAGAAAGAUAAGAUCAAGGAUACUAUUUGGAUCCAUGCACUUCCAUUUUUAGAAAAUCCAAAUCUAUCUCUAAUUAUGUUUAGUGGUAACAGGACACAUUAGUUAAAAGAUUUAAUUUUUUAAGAUAAAAAAACAGAUUUAUGAGACAAUUUUAAAAUGAAUUUCAGACGUGAAACAUGUCUUUUUUAUUUUUAAUAUCUUCAUCUCGACAGUAACCAAACACUAGCGAAUGUUUCCCUCGAGCAAUAUGGAUGUUAUCUAGGAAAUGACAGAGGAACUGUAAGGUUAUCUUGGUUGCUUGGUGAAGAAUGAGUCCCCCGUCCACUUCGUGAUUGAAGACUAGGAACCCUAGCUAGUGGUGGUGGAGAAAAGGAGUAAACACACUUAACCUGGACCUUCCCUUCUCACAAGGGAAUAUAGUGGGACAAAAGAGCAAAGAUAAAUCAGGAACAUAUGAGGAAAGAACACACUGCAUUCUGUAGCGCUGACCCCAACAAGACAAAGCAAGGUGGGUGGUGGAGCUUGAUUAAUUCCAUUGAGCCUUAAAUUAGAUCACAAAUUCUUCAAUCAAUGGCGUCAAUAGAAGGAAAGUAGUCCCCACCUGCUUCCAACUUAUAUGAAAUGAUGCAAUCAUUGAUAGCAACAUUAGCACCACUCUUUAUUUUCAAGACAAAAACUUGUAUAGUGCUAAUAAUCUUCUUCUUAGCAAGACAAGAGAUGAGGGGAAUUUAUAAAAAGCAGCAGCAACACCACGACUAUCUCUUUCUUUUAGCACAUAAAUUUCCCUUAAUUUGGUUAAGUUCCAAAGACUAGAACUAUAUGUUACAACAUGCAUGGCAGCUGGUUUUCUAUCACUUCAUCUAUAACCAUUAUAGUGUUUAGGUUGGAUGAAUCUUGCAGUUAGCUUUAAAUGCACUCUUGAGCUUCACUCCCCCACCCCAACAUAAUAAAUAGCCUAUGGCUAAGCUGUAUCUUCAUCUUUUUCAGUGCAAAAGAGAACCUAGCAUUGCCUUUAUCUCUCGUCUUGCAAAUUCUUAUUAGUUCUGUACAUACAAACCAAUUCUUACUUUGGUUUUUUCAGCUAGGGCUGCUGCUUCUUUAAGCAUGUACAUCUUGCACGAUUCUCUGAAAGUGCCUGGAAAAAAGAACAUGAAACAUGAAUGAAACAGAAGAACCAUUUGAACAUAAGAUGGAACUUCUUCACAGGGCCUUAGGUGGGUGUUUUACUAGAGGGUGUUGGUUUAAAUUCGUUGUUGUAGCAUACCUUGAAUUGUCUUUGAAGGUCUUUAAUGUAGUCAACAGCCAAAUCCAGCAUGUCCGAUGUGUUUGUUUGCUGCAAAUAGGGAAACAAAGCAAUAUCUAAGCUUAAACAACACUAGCACAGAUAUAGAAAAAGGAAGUGCUAGAGAAAGAUUCUACCUUGUCCAUGUUUGGUACAAGGUCCUGGAGUUUCCUCAUUCGUUCACUAAUUCUAGUUCUUCUCACCUACACAUCAUUCAUAUCUAUAAGGACAUCAAGAAUUAAUCCAAAAAGGGUGAUUAAGGGGAAAAUUGCUGGUAUUAACUAUAGAGAUUAAAGAUCCCAAAACCAUGCUUAGCUCAAAGUAGAAAUAAUGACCAAGAAAUGCACUAAAGAGACUUUACCCUCUCAGCAAUGCUUCUUGGAUGGGUGGCACAACCACGCUUGGCUCUGAUCUUACAAGGAACAGAAUCUUGAAAUUGCAAAAAGUUUUCAAUGGUGGACAUCUCUGCUGAUGUUUUUGGCAAGCUCAAGUGAUGAGCCAACAUUGGAGGGCGAUUUCCUGCCUCUUCAUUCUGCUAAACAACCAGAAUUAUGGUAAAACAAAAAAUCUCAAGCAAAAGUGAUCUUAUCAAACUUGAAUCCAUGUUCUCCAUUCCAUUAUCCUAUAAACUAAAACAUAUGCAAAUCGUUAAGUUAGAUGAAGAAUUAACUCAUGCCAGUACAGAAAACUGUGGCACCUGAGUUCCCGAUGAAUUUAGACCAGAAAGUGUUCUGUCAUCAUCUGUAAGCUGUCUUUUUGAACCAGUAGACAUCACAGCCGAAUCAUCCCAUGAUCCAAUAGGGUAAUCAUAAUUAUUGCCAGGAGUUUCACCAAAACCACCACUGUCUGGGCUAUUUUCUCCCAUGUUCUUGUUUCCCAUUUCAGCAAUUGUACUCCUUAUCCCAGGAGAUGAAGGUGGCCUACCAGCUGCAGAAUAAGUUGUGUCUCUAUUACCUGCUCCAAGAUCUCCCAUACCUCUCAAUACAGCAUAGCCUGCCAUAUCCUAAGAUUAUUUUUGUCCCAUUUUCAUAACUCCAGUCAAUCAAAACUCAAAACAAGAAACUGAGUGGCAUCAAAGAAGGAAACAGAAAACUCACUCCAAGACCAUGAAUCAAACAACUUGGAGUAUUAAAAAUAAUAAGUCCUGUUGAUAUUUCAAAAUUUUUUAACUCCCACUUGCUAGUUCAAAUGAUUGCUUAUCAGAAAAAGAAUUUAAUCAAAAAACUAAUAGCACAUGACUUAACUGAAACUGUCCAUUCAUAACACAGAAAAUUUCAACUUUCUACACUUUCUAUUAUUUCUCUGCUGUCCUUCCAUUCUAUUCAUUGGUUACUUAAAAAAGCACAAGCUAACACAAAGCCUUAAUUUUUUUUUUAUCAAAUCAAACACUUUCUUAUCAUUUUUCUCAAUUUUCUAAUGACUGAAACGAAAGGGUAUCAAAAUAAAUAGACAAACUUAACAUACCAUUUUCAAAUUCAAUAUUUAUGUUGGAGAAAAGCCCUGCUGGUGAGCUACUGUGUCGAACUAGAUUCGGAUUGUUUCCACUGCUAGGCUUCAUGGAAGGCAACCUCUCCAACCCCGUUAAAUUUGUUGAUCUAUGAUUCAUACCAGAACCUGGAUUAUGAUCUGGUAAUGGAGGUUUUGAUCGACUUUGAUAAAAACCCUGUGAGGCAGAGUAAUUGCCCUGUUGGUGCUGCUGAUGUUGAUGUUGAUGCAGCCUUGUAUCACUACUAUGAUUAUUCAUUGAAGCCAUCAUCUGGUGUUGCUGGUUAAUUUGUGAGACUGAUUCUUUUACUGGAGAAUCUUGCUUAAUCUCACAAAGAUUUGAACCUGGUAUAUUCUCUGUAUUGCCACCGGAACUGGCUAAAAAUCUCGCGAAAAUUCGUUCUGUUUCAGGGCUUGUUGGCCUAUUGAGAAACUCUUCACAGAAGUCUCUGUCUAAAUUACUAGAAAAAUAUGAACUUGGUGCAGACUGAUAUCUUGUCAACCCAGAAUUCAUUUGUUUCUGAUGAACUUGUUGGUGCUGGUUAUGACCAUGAAGAAAAUGAUGCUGGUGUUGAAGAUCUGACUCCAUUGAAUCCCCUGUUUCUUGAUUAAGUUUCUAAGAAGAAAGGCAGCUCAGUUGCUUUCUGAAAGGCUUAUUUAUUUUCUUCCAAAUCAGAUCAAAGACAAAGACUCACAAAUAAAGAAGCUGAAGAGAAGUAACAGGAGACAGAACCAAGCAAAUCCAUGUGAACUCUACUGAAACAGGGAAAACAGAGCAAGAACAGCGAGCUAGAUGAAAUCCUGCUUGAAUUUUAGCACAACAACACAACAGUUUUCAAAUCUGAAAACAGGCCGUUUUUCUUACCAUGAAACUAAGCCAGCUUCACUCAAGAAGAUAGCAUUAACAACAAAAAGAAGCCACUCAAAAAAAGAACAACUUAUCUUUCUAGAACAAAAACAGAACAAGAACAGGACAAGCACAAAACCCUCUCUAAGAUGCUUCAAAAGGGUGAAGGUGGUGGUGGUGGUGGGGAGGUGGUGUCAAUGCCAUUGAGUGAAGGGAGAGACUGAAUCUUUUUUGGUUGAAAUAUUAAAGAAAACAAAAUUAAUUUAUAAAACCAUUUUCUUUCCUCUUCUAUGAGUAUGGCAAAUGAGAAUCAGGAAAAGAAUAGAGAUUAGGCCGUCAAAUUCGCUAUUAGUCUAACGAUUUUUCGGACCUUAAUGCCCUUCUUGUUUAUUUAUUAGAAAAAAUGGCUGCGUUACAUUAAUGUCAUGUAAAUAUUUGUAGGGUUUUGUUACAAAUAAAAUAUUUUAAGAUAUGAGAUGAUUUUUUAAAAAUCAUAAAAUGUUUCAAGAGGGUAUUUAUUUUGCAUUAUAUAUAAAAUAUCUUUUUAUAUAUAAUUUUUUUAAUAAAUAUUAAUGUAAAAAAUAGUGGUAAAUAAAAUUUUGUGAUUGUAAAGUGAGGAUGAGAGUGUCGCUGGUAGCGGCAUGUUAAUGAAAUAAUGGUCACCUGAAUGGUUAAAAGAUGUUGUGAGCGAUGUAUUGAAAGAAUUCUUUGUUUGCAAAAUAUUUUAUAAAAAUUUAUGAAUUAAAAAUAUUUUUUAAUAAAUAAAUUAAAUUAAAAUUUUGAUUAUAAAUAUUUUACAUUCAUUAAUUUUCUUGUAACAUAUUUUGCAAAAAAUAAACAUAUAUAUAUAUUUUAAAAAGGCAAAACAAAAAUAUAAGAUUUAGUUUAUUAUUAUUAUUAUUUUUAUUAAUGUGAGUGUUUGAGCCAACUUGCGUGCAUCUCAACUAAUCUCAUGGACUCUGAAGUUAACAAUCAUGUAAGUUUCCGAUAGCCUAGAGGUUGAUUAGACUCGAAUUGGUGAUCUCUAAAAAACAAAAUUAAGAUCUGAUCAGUUGAACUACAUUACUUAAAAUUAAUUUAUUAUUUUUAUUAUAGGGGGAGUAGGUAGGGGAUAAAAUUACCGUACUGUCCCAGUUGGGCCCUGGAAUUAGUAAUAUUGGGGUAAGGGCAUUUGAUUUAUUAAAAACAUUUUAAUUAAAAAAAUCGCUUUUCAAAAAAUUUUAUCCAUCAAAUAGUGACUUCUUUUAUUGGUUUUCUACUAAACGAUCGCAAAGCUAGACACUAUUGUGUGUAUUUCGCACUAUGGUGUCGGGAAUUUUAUUUAUUAAGUCUUUUUAUUUGAAAAUACUUUUUUUUAUUCUUUAUUUUGAAUUUGUUAAAAUUAUUCAAUGUUUUUUCAAGCUAUAUACAUUUUUAAAAUACACACUAUUACAAUUUUAAACACAAAAACAAACUCCCAUGGUAAUGAUAUUACUAUUGCUAUGGAAAAAAUCUCAAUGCUCUUAAAGUUAAGUCCGAUUCAUUAGAAGUAAUCCGUUAUGUAUUCUCUUAUGGGUGAAAUCCAUUAUCUUUUCAUUUUUAAUUGAAAUACUCGGAAGUGCACGUCAUCCCUUGAUCUUUAUAGAUUCAGACCUUUAUAAAGGUAAUCAAUCUGUUGAUUUCGUAGCUUGUUUUUUUUUUUAAAAAAAAAAGAUUGAUUAUUUUAGUAAAUUUAGCAUUGUUCUAAAAAAAUUCAAUAAAAAAUUAAUGAAUUAUUAAAAAAUAAAUGAAAUAUAAAUAAAAUUAAAUCAUUAUUUUUGCUAACUUUAAAAUUAAUUAUCAAUAUUCUAGCAUUUGAUAUAGAUUAAGUUUUAAGUUAACUUUUUUGAACUCAUGAGUUCUAAGUUAAUUGAUUUUAAUCUUAGAUUUAGUCUUAAAUCUAUUUACACAAUUUAAAAUUUAUAUUACAGAAUUACACAAGUAUUAAUAUGAUUAAAUCUACUUCAUAAAAAUAACAGUUCAACUGAAAAGAUAAUCAAAUAAUUAUAAAGCAAACUUAAUAACUUAAGAAAAAGAAUAUUUACAUUUAUAGAACUCUGAUUACAUUCACAAAUUAGAACUUCUGGAUAAUAGAACAUUGUUUUAGUAUUUUUGGUUUAUCAAAUUGAAAUUGCAAGCCUAUUAAUUCAAGAAAAAUUACAAACUUACUUAAUUUUCAUUUACAGGAUUAUCACAUAUUGUUCUAUCAUAUGUAAGCUAUCACCUAUUAUUUUUAGCUUUAAAGGCCAGAGAACUUGAACUUGAUAAAACCACAAUGCAAUAUUUUGAGUUUUUGUUGAGUUUUCUGUAUCCCUUCAUCUUUUUUGCGUUUGUCUUAUAUAGUUGAGCGAUAUUAACUUUUAUUUUAAUAUCUCAUCUUAUAUAUAUUAACUGUUAAUAACUUUUAUUUUUCUAAGUUUCUUUUAUAAUCUCAUGAUUAUAAGGGUUAUCGUUGCUUUUUAAAUUACGUGGUUUAUUAUAACUGCUCAUAUUGUGCUCAUAUGCAUUUUUUAUAUAUGCUCUUAUUUUAUUUUUUUUAAUUAUCAAAUUAUAAAAUAAUUAUCUUUUAUCCUUAUCAAUAUCCUAUUAAAUUUACAGUAGAACACCCACCUAGAACUUUGUCAUUGAGUUCUUGGAGCUAUAAAGUACCUUCAUUUAUGAUGAGAAAUUAUUUUUUGUACUGCUUGUCUCAUGAAUUCGUGACUCAAUGUAACAGAAAUGACAUAAAAGACAUUUGAAAUGAAAUGCCAAAUUAUUGUACAUGUCCCUCUUCAUGAUGAUUUUUCUUCUUCUUCAAUCCUUUUUUUUAAUAUACGAUAUUAUUAAUGAAAAGAAUUUCGGUUCACCUUUCAAGGGGUCUCCUUAUUUUGUAUGAUACAAAAACCAAGCUAACUUCUGUUAGACGACACGACUUUGGAAAGUUAGAUGGCGUCUCUUGGCAAACGAGGCCUUGCAAAUUUCAACGCUUGUGAAGGCUUGAGGUGUCGGUAGUCGUCUGUAGAGUUUUGGAAAUUUCCAAAUGUUCUGCUUUGAAUGCGUGCGUAAGGGUACAUUUAUAUAAAUAAGAUAUAGAGGACAAAAUCUGUGAAAAAAGCUUGAAUUUGUUAAAUAUAUAGUAUGAUAAUAUAAACCAGAUGGGGGGAUAUAUAGCUAAAUCACAAAACAACAAAAAUCUCAGUUGCCAACUCGUAUUUCACCAAGAAACCUUCGGACAAUAUUGCCUUUACAAACCUCGUCUUAAUUGCCCUAAAUCUUCUUCUUCUUCUUUUUUAAAGAAAAACAAGUGAUGAUUAAUAAAGGGACACAGGGGACUUUUUAGUAUGAUUUUUCUACCAAAUACUGUGUAUAAAAACAUAAAAUUCCCUCCAACACUAUGGGAGACAUGGAAAAACAAUACUUAGAUAUAUGAGUUCUAUAUGAUUAGAUUUUGACAAAUAGGAGAGUGACAAGUUCUAUUUUUUUCGUGGGAGAAUAUAAUAUAUGCAGAAAGCUUCAAUAAUUUAUUUUUAUAGAAAAUAAAAGAUGGGUACCAUGCUCUAUAUAUUUUAUUUAUUUAUUACACGGACCAUACUUUAUUGAUGCACACUUAGGUGUAACAUAUUGAGUUGGAUUUUUCUUUAUAAUUUAUGGGGUUUGUUUAUUUAUGGGCGAGACAUUAAUUAUGAUUGCAAAAACAAAAAAAUAAUAAAAAACUUAAACUCACCGCUAAUAAUUUAGGAAUUGACUAGGUCGAGUCAAUUUAUAAAUCAAGUUAAUUUAUUUGACUUGUAAUUUAAAUUUUUUAUCGAGUUAAUUUAUGAAUGAAGUUUAAUAAUUCUGGACAAAAGUAUUCUUCCUGAACAUGAUUAGUUAUAUGAUCGUGAGAAAAAUAUUGCACAAUAUCACCUAUACCAACCAUGUCUAGAGUGUCCUUAUUGUUAUAUUAAUCAAACAAAAGUAAGCCCUUCACCUACCUUUUUCAGGGAGAUAAUGCCCUCCAAAAAUAUGGCACCUUGAUUUUGGGUUCGGUUCCUUGUAAACAUAAAGAAGAAUACCAUCGAGAAAAUCAAGUCUAAAGUGGUACCAAAAGUUUUCUAAAAUAAACUCUUUAUUCUAUGUAGUUCAUGGCCAAUCACAGCUUGUAUGCCAUUACAUCAUCUUUUAGACCUUGUUUUCUUUCUUUGUUUUAAUCAUAACCAUUGGUUUUCUCUGCGUGCUAGUUCAUUUAUUUCACAUAUUCAUAUCUCGAAUUAAAAUAUAAAAAUUAGCAAAAUAAAGUUUCUUUUAAAAGUACAUAAGAUUCAAAAUAAAAUAGAAAAACAAUUUAACAUUGGGAUUCAUAAAAAUCACUAGAAGACAAGCUUCAAUUCGAGUGGAGUAGGAGCACAAUGAUCUCAAAAUUUAUAUUAUUUUAUUUCCACUAACGACACAAAGAUUAUAUAAUAAGAGAAGUGUUUGUCUUUGAUGUAAAGUUUUAAUUAUUUUUUUCAUUGCAUAUCUUUUACACGUGACAAGCCAUAUCUUGGCAUGUGCAAAUCUGAGGGUCCAGAAAAUAUAAAUAACAAAAACUAAAAACUAAAAAUCAGUGCAAGUAUUGAUGCGAACAAGGUCGCCUUCUAUACGUGUUCUGCUGCAAUAGCAUUGGACCACCCUCCAUCAUUUUGGGAGAGCUUUUUGUCAACGUUUCGUCCAUACUGUAAAUUUGAAAGCUUCUACUUUUAUUGUAAAAAAUAAUCAUUUUUUUACUUGCAUCUGAAUGGUGGAGAAAUUGUACAAUUAGGAUAUUAAUAGUACAACAUCGAUGGAUUAACAUAGUUUGAAAAAAAUUUAAUGAAGUAAUAUAUUUUUAUUUUAUCGCUUUUAAAAUACAACAAGAUAAAAGUAUACUAUCAUCUAGUUUAAGCGGUCAAUCAAUUCGUAAUAGUCAGUGAAACCAACAAACUAGUUCAAAAAAUAACAAGAAAAAUCUAAAAUUUGUUAAAAUCAGGGGAUCUUAGAGAAAUUUUUGAUUUGACGGUCCAAACAGCGAUUCAGUGAUUACUAUAAGAAAAACGGCAUCCAAAAAAUCUAAUAAAAAUUUAAGUGCAAUCCAAUCAUUUGAUAAAAAAUAAUGACCAUUUUGAUAUGUUAUUCUAAUUUGGUGUGAUCAGAUCUCCUCGCAAGCCUAAACAUGUCCUACUAGUCCAUAAAUAUAUUUAUUAAGGACAGAUCCACACUUGACUGCUCAAAAUCAAUCGUUAUCACAAGAUCGACUAUAUCAUUGACAUUAAAAAACAAGCGACAACUGUUGUUUAGAUAAUAAGUUUUUGAGAUUUUAAUUGGAGUCUAUUUUUUUAGCCUAUAAAUUGAACAAAUACGUAUAUUUUGACUCAUAAAAUAUAUAUGGAAGAAAAGGUUCAUAAAAUUAUAGUUUUUAUGUGAAACGAUUGAACGAUUAAUAUAACUGGAUCCACCCGGCCGACCGGUUAAGCCAUAUGAUUGGAUUUUCACUUUAUCACACUUUAAAAGUGUGACAUUUCCUAAAUAUUGCUAUUAUGAAACGUGACGAUAUUAAAAUGUGCUAUUUCGUCAAAUGUUUUUCAAACAGUGGGAUUCCAUCAAUUUUUUAUAUUUACUUCCAUAAUUUGAUAAAAAAAAAAAAAAAACAUGAGUGAUUUGGUGAUUUUCUAUUUUUUUUUAAUUAAGAGAGUCGUAUAAAACACUAGGGACCUGUAACAUAUGAUUUCAGCGAAGAAGUGCUGGCGAGGAUAUGUAUGGGUUCUUGUUUUUGUACUGGGUGUGCUCUUUGUAAAUAAAUCUUUAAUUUGAAAGCAUAAAGUAAUGAAUGAUUAGUGGAUUUUAUAUAUAAACAUUUUACUUCUCUCGUUACUUUUAAUGUGAUAUCUUUACAACUUACAUGUAUAUCCAAUAAAUUUCUUCCUUAUAUAUAAGCUUGACUCAUUUGAACAUGACUUCUCAUUUGGCAGAAUUAUUUAACAAUUUGAGUAUGAUAUCCACAGUUUAGAGCUUAACUCUUCCACUAAAUAAAGAAGGAGAAAACAAAAGGAUAACAUUCUCUAUAAUAAUUUACUCAAAACUCAAAAUUAAAUAAAAAAAUUUUGAUAUACGAAAGCUAUAUUGAAAAAUGCCCUUGAUUGUUAAUACUCAUAAUUAAAUUGAUCCCUAUAUUAAUCAACAUAUAUAGAAGCAUAGAAACACCAAUGUACACCAGAAUUAUGAAAGUAUAUAUAUAUAUAUGGAAACAAUUGAACUCAUUGCAGACAUAAGAUUCCAACCGAAAAAAAUAAUUCUGCUCAAAUUAUGGCAAAGCUUAAGGGUUCACCAAAAUAAAUUAUGGUUAUUUUAUGAAAUUUGUAGCACAAAUCUUGACUUUGUUGCAUGAUUAGUCACCACCGAGUAGAUAAUAAUUGAGUCGGCUGUCCACAUAAUCAGUUUCCAUAGAAGCUUGGAUUUUUUAGCACUGUUGCUUGAAUUUAAGAAAACGAGAGGAAAGGAAUUGGUAACUAACAACUGUAGCUCACCUUCCCCAAAAAGGUAGGUUAAGACUUCAGAUCAUUAAUAGAUAAAGAUUAACUAGUUAACAUCAUAUGUGCUUUUUUGCUUUUCUAUAUCUAAAUAUUUCCUAAGUCAAAGUACAAAUCUUGCCCCACACGUGGGGGCGGAACUAAGAGGUUGCAAGCAGAGUCCGGAUCCCAACAAAAUAUAUUAGAAUUUUUUUAUUUAGUAUUUAAAUAUAACAAGUAAUGGUUUUCUAAUAAUAAAAUAUUAUUUUAUUAAUUAUUUUUGAAUUUAAAAUUAUCUCUUCAUGUAAGUUGGACAAAAUAAAUAAAUAACCUUUUUAAUUUAAUUACUUUUCUUUACUGUUUCUCUAUCUUCCUUCUCUAGAGUCCUAACCAAAAAUUAUAAUAAAAAAAGUAAUACGGAAAGGUUAAAAUAAAGCUGUCAAUUAAUUCAUUGUUCAUCAAAAUAAGGUAAUUAGUGACCCAAAUUUAAAAUCUUUUGUUUUUUUAUGUUUUUUCUAAUGAAUUUGAUAUAUUUUAUGAAUUUGUUUCGAUUAUAUUUGGAUUUUUUUAUGUUUUAUUUUUAGCAGAAUUGUUAAAAUUAUUAAUUUUUUCUCACAUAUACCUUAAUAUCACUAGGUUCAAUAUACAAUUAAAAACGAUCUUUCUAGCCAAAUUAAGUUCUUUGAAAAGCAUAUACUCAACUUUAAUUCAAUUUAAGUUUUCUUUUUUAUGAACCAAUAAUCUCAAUUUUUUUAAUGUUAGAUCGAUUUGUUUUUAUAUAUCAGUUUUUUUUUAAUAUGUUAAUUUUACUUUUAUAUGUUAGUGUGAUUUACAUGUAAAAAAUUAUAUCUUGUUAUGUUAAUUUUGGCCCUUGCCCACACCCCCCACUUCCAAGCCAUUAAAUCUUGAUUUUAUUUGUUAAUUUCUCUUAGCUACUCUUUCCUUCGACAAUAUACACUUUCAAAUUUACAUUCUAGCUAGUGUAUGAUUAAUAAAUUUUGAGUAUAUGGUAAAUCGACUUGAUUCAAAAGGAAAAGAGCAAUUACUAUAUCUGUGUUUUAUACAUCAUUAGUUAGCAUUUGAUUACAAAAGAAGAAGAAGUUGAGAAUAGUUCAAAUAGAGAGGAUAUUUUUCAAAAUAAUAAAAAUUCAUUUUAAAAUUAUCUUAAAAACAAAUUUAAUUUUAUGUUUGUCUUUCAAUCUAAACAUGUUUCUAUCAUUUCUGUAUUUGCCUCUUCUUUUCUAAAACAUUAAUCAAAUAUAAUCUUAAAUUAAUAUCUUAUAGCAUCAGUUAAAUAAAACAAAAAAAAUAUCUAACAAUAUAAAUACUAGCAAGAAAAGGAAAGGAUAUAUCUCAAGCUAAAUUAUUUUUGCUAGAAGAAAAGGAGGCCAAAGUAAUAAGUAAUAAAUGAAGUUUAAUAAAUACACACAAGCUAAAUACACUUUGUUAUUUUACAGCAUAGUUAUAAAGAUUUGUUAUAUAGCUCGGGUUACGUGUUGAAUAGAUCAACUUGUAGAUGGAGGAAUCAAUCAAAUUUUAUUUUUAAUUAAAGCUACAUUGUUUUGUUUUUUCUAAGAAUAACCAAAAGACAUUGUUUCACUUAAAAAAAAAAAACUGAAAUAACAUCAUAUUAAUAAAAAAAAUGAAUUGAAAAUGAAACUUAAUUUGUUUAAAUUAGAUUUUAAGUUAGCUAGUUAUUAAAUUAACCCAGUGAGCGGAGCUAUAUUUUACAACUAUGUCUGGGGUGUGGGGACAAUCCAUUGCAGAGAUUGUAGAAUGUCGAACAGGUCAAAUUUGAAGAAAAAUAAAUCAUUUCCACAUAAAUUCUUUCGAGAAAAAAGCUGGAGAAGAAGAUUUUCUUUUUGCAUGAGUCGUGUGAGUGGGUUGCAAUCUUUAAUUCUUGUGGGCCUAGGUCCUCUACCUCUUUUAGAAAUUAGAAGUAGAUUAGAUAAAAAAAUAUAUAUUUAAUCUAUAUAAAAUAUAUAAAAAAUAAUUACAAAUGAAUCAUGUUAAUUUUUUUAAAAAAUUAAACACAUUAAAUAUAAUUAAAAAAUAAUUAUUAUUUAAAAAAUUAAAAAAGCCAAAAAAUCACAAAGAAGAUGUAUUAAUUAAAAAUAAAUUUUAAAACUAUUUUAGAAAGACAUAUAAAAAAACAUUAAUAAAAAUAAAUUAUUUUAAAAAAAUAAGGCUGAUAUGGACCUGGUAAACUAGGUCAAGAACGUGGCCCAUCAAAAAAGGGCCCACAUGCGAGCUUGAUUUUUUUUUUUGAGUUAAUGGGACGAACACAUGUCGUCUAUCCUAUUUUUUGAUAAAAAUAAAAAAAUAAAUGACGCAUCUUCUAUAAUUCUCUAGAUUUCGGUUAUUAUGGUGACUGGAAAAAUAAGGUUUUUGUUUUUCACUAAAAAAACUUAUUUUGGAUCUAAAACACCUAAUAAAUACCUUGGAAACUUGCUAAAUUAAUUCAAGACCUCCAAAACCGUCCUAAAAUUAUAAUCAACUUGAAAUCAAAAAUCCUUUCAAGCUAAUAUUUGUUUUUUAAGUGAUUUCAAGGUUAAAAAUAAAUAAAUCAGAUAGCAAUAUACUUAUCAAACAUAAUUGUAAGAAUAAUGUUAGUGGAUGGUGCGGUGUUCUCUUCUUAAUAUAUCCAUUACCUAGUUCCCCACUUUAUGAUUUCCAAGAACAAGAUAGUAACCUAAUUGGAUGAAAACGUCAGGUAUUCACUACUGGGUUCAAUAAUCAAUAUACAAGAUAGCAAUACACGUUGUGUAUAGAAAUUAGAGUUAUCAAAUCCAAAGAUUAUUAUUUUAAACUAUAAAAAAAAUAGAUAAAAAACUCUGGUAUUUUAUGAAAAGUCUAAAAUUCAAUAAUACAAUGAAAAAUAAAUAACAGAUCAACUAUUAAUAUAGAAAUCAAAACUAACCUUAUCAAAAGAAUCCAAAACUAAAUAUGAAAAAUAAUUAAAACAAUAAAAAUAUCAUCUUCUAGAUCUAAUUUGAUGACCUUCCAGAUCUAUUAUAGUACAUAAGCACUUUACACUUUAUAAUAUGGAAAGAAAUGAUGGCCUGUACCAAGAAUAGCACGGAGGAAUCGAAUAGGGCAUUGGAAUUUAGGGCAAAGAUUCCCCCAAGUGCUUGGUGGGUGUCUGGCUGACGUGGAAGGCAAAACAUGCAUAACCAGAGCACAUGGGGGUAAUUGCUUAAUUUCUCAUAGUAAUCAAGGGGCCGAAGACAAUAGAGGUUAGAUUCUCUCCCAAGUUGUAAGAGCCAACAAACAGCGCUGAAUAUCUUCAUCUUUUUUUUCUUUUUUAUGAAGUCUCCGAGUCCCAUUUUGACAUUCCUGUGGGAAGUGCUUCUCUAGCUCCCACAUCUUGGUGCUGCUUGAAUGCCAACUUGGGAAGCUUAGGGUUGCUUUUUUUCAUCAUUAUGCUCCUACUUUCUUUACCAGGUUAAUUUGCACAAAGACAAGUUUCGUGUCCUUGACACCUUUUCAUUUGAUUUGUUUUGUUCGACAGGAAAUUCCAAAUCACUCAUCAUCAAACAAAAAUACCACACUUACAUCAUAUAUAUAUAUAUAUAUAUAUAUAUAUAUAUAUAUAUAUAUAUAUAUAUAUAUAUAUAUAUGUGUGUGUGUGUGUGUGUAAAAGGAGUUUUUAUUUUAUUUCAUUCCUUUUAUUUUAGCACAAUUAAAAAAAUUGGAGAAAAACACAUUGCAAAAAAUAUUUUUUAAAAAAUAACAAAAUUGAGAGAGUCGGGGAUGACAUUUACGACUCACGAGUUGCAAAUGUCACAUGUUCCUCUUUUAAAUUACCAAAUGGUCAAUAAAAAAAUUAAUUUGAAGAGAGAGGAAAGAGAAAAAAGAAAGAAAAAAGAUUUUAAAAACAUACCAAAACUCUAAUAAUAACACUAUAUAUCAGUAUUAUAAAAAAAAUCUUAAUGAGAAGAAUCUAGCGAUACCAGAAAAGCUUGCUAACAGAGAUUGGAGUGGGUCACAUGAGCUAAUCAAAGAUGAUAGGGUUUGCUUGAACUUUCCUAACGUUGUUAUAUUUGUCUCAACAAGAUUUUUCUGAUAAUACCGAUGAUAUCAUCAUUGAAAUUUUAGUAUGUCUCUAAUAUCUUUUUGUUUUUUUUUUUUUUCUCUUUCCUUCCUCUCCUCUCAUCUUAAUUUAGUUUGCUGCAAAUCAUUUUAUAAUUUAGAGAGAAUCGCAUAUAAUACUUACAAUUUGUGAGUUGCAGAUCUAUAACUCUCUAUAAUGCUCUAAGCCAUAUUGAUUUUCUAAAUUAUUUUUACACAGUAUAUUGUUUUGCACGAAAACUCUAUAACAAGAUACUUAGUACAAUAAUCUUUGGGAAUAUUCAUAUUUUGUCUCUUGUGAAUAAUUGUGAUCUAUUUUUAUCUCAUAUUAAUAUUAUUGUAAAUGUUGAUUACAUUCAAAUGAAAUUAGAAAUUCAGAAGUGGAAAACAUGAUUAGAGGCACCCUUCUUCGAAUCCUUUAAACCUCAUUUCUCAUCUAAGAGUUUGGAUAAGGGACCGUUAAAUGAUAAUUUUAUUUCUUAACUACUUUUCAAAUGUUCACUUGAAGACAAAUCUUGCUUGGUUUAGCUAACUAGUCACUACUCACUACAACCAAUGACAUCUCGAUAAACAUGACAAGCUUGGACCACCUCCUUCUACUCUUCAUAAAUGCUAAUUUAAUGCCGACAACAAGUCUUAUAAAUAUUCACGGUCGAUAUUUAUUCAUCUUCUGCCAUGGCUUUCUCGUCUUCUAGGAGCAUCGUUAUUUAUUCAUAAAAAAAAAAAAAAAAAACAUGAAUUAUUAGGUUGUUGAAUUAAUUUGCAAAUCAUUAAAUUAUUUUUUUUAUUAAAAUAAAACCAUUUUAUUAUUUUCUUUUAAGAAUAUUAUUGAUGCUACGUACCAUGUUUGUAUUUGUAUUAGGUUUGAAUGUGUCAAUUGAAUUACUAAAACAUAAGAUAAAUUAAUCAGGUUUUAAACUCUAAAUUAUCUAAUCAAUCUAUUUAGAUUAGGAUUGAAUUUAACAACUAUAUGAUAAUCUUAGCUUUGUAUUUCAAUACGACAUUCCAAAGACGAUGAAUGUUGAUGAUUACGUGACGGGGAAAAACAUGAUGGAGAAAUACAAACAUCGAUCCUUUUCUUGUAUCCAUUGAUGUAUUCCAUGCUCUUGAAGCUGUACCGCACAAUGAUUUCACUACAAGACAACUCCAUACAUGCUUGAUGCGACUAUUGCUUCUUCUUUUUUUGCCAUGGAUAAAUUACAAGAUAUUGGUCGCAGCAUGCCCAUUUUCCUCGAAUUAAAGAAUGCAAAAGAAGGAAUCAAAGUCUUUUUGCUAUGCAUUUAAAUUAAUAUAUAGGACAACUGGUACUUGUGGAUGGUCACUUUGUUAGAUUAAGAUGGGUGUGUGUAACAUCCUGAAAUUUUAUUUAAGAGUUUAAAUUAUUGGAUUAAAAUGGUUUUUUCAUAUGUUAUCAGAGUCUAUAUAACCAAGCAGUCACGAGUUCAAAUCUCACAAUUCCUAUUUAUUUGAUAAAAAUUAAGCACAAGAUAAUACGAGUCUGUACAAGUUUAAGUUAAAAAAACUUUCACUUGAGAGGGUAUGUUAGAGAAUAAUAUAAAUUAUAUUCUAAAACCUCAUUUAAAAACUUAAACUAUUUGGUUGAGAUGAUUAUUUGACAAUGUGAAUCUUAAAAGCCAGAUUGUUGAAAAGAAAGAUAAUCAAUCUAGUAUUAUAAUUUUUGAUAUUUUGAUCAUUAAUUAAAUUGAAAUGGGUGAAGAGGAAAUAAAAUAAAAAUAGAAGUGCAAGAAAUUAUUUAUUUUUUCUUCUCAUAGAAUAUCUUACUAUUAUAAAGUAUGGGGAUGCUCCUAUUUUUUUCCUCUCUUGAUUAUAGGUUUUAGCUGCCAUUCCACCUCUAUUAAAAAAGAAUAAGAAAAAAAAAAGUCACUAUCAUUUUAAGGGUACGUUCAUGUAGAAAUCCUAGUACUUAAACUCGAGAAGAUCCAAUCGUUUAAUUCAAUUCGACAAUCAACUUUUUUUUUUUUUUUUAAUUGUGAUGACAUUAGAGGAUCACGACGCAUGCAAUGCUAUGAUGCAAGUAAUUUUUUUUUUCAUAUAUAUAUAUAUAUAUAUAUAUAUAUAUUUAGGUAAAGAUUGCAUGUUUUAAAUUUAUUAUUUGAACUGGGUUGCUUCUUCAAUCUGUUUUUUUCCCCUCCUUUUUCUCCCAAAAUGCUCUGGAAAUAUUGACCAAGAUUUGCCCUUCGUUAAUAUAUUUCUCAAACAACAGCAUUUAAAACAUGAAAAAAAUUAGCAUGCAACCAAUGGAUAAGAUGCUUGUACUGUUCUGUUUUUCUCAGGAAAAAUCUACACCAGGAAAAAAUUGGUGGUCAAGGAAGAUUGUUCCUCAAUAAUGUGUGGCCUCUUUUUUGUGCUGUCGGUGUAUUCUUCACUGCCAACAAAUUUUAUUUUAGUUUUUUUUAAAAAGUAAUAUGCUAGUAGUGACCAAGCUUGGUUUGUUAUAAUAAAUUAACUUGAAAAACUCAUAAUUUACAAUACAAUACAAACUAAAUCUUAAAUUAAUAUAAAAAAAAUAUUGACCUAAUUAAACUUGAUAGACUUGAUAAGAUAACUCAUGAUUUGGUCAAACUAGCCCAAAUCAAAAGAUUGAAUAUCAAAAAUAUUUUUUUAAAAGAUCAUUUUAAUAAAAAUAAUUAACUAGUGGUAAACCAACUCUUUUCUUGAUGGGAUCCAGAACAGGUUCUAACAACUAUGAGAUAAACUAAUAAAAGAGAAUCUCAUCAUCUCUAUUUAUUUGAUAAAAAUUAAAUACAAGAUAAUACGAGCUUGUACAAGUUUAAGUCUAAAGAGCUUUUACUUGAGAUGGUGUGUUAGAGAAUAAUAUAAAUCAUAUCCUAGAACCUCAUCUAAAAAUUUAAGUUAUUUGAUUGAGAUGAUUAUUUGACAAUAUGAGUGUUAAAAGCCAGAAUAUUAAAAAGAAAGAUAAUCAAUUUAGUACCAUAAUUUUUUAUAUUUUGAUCAUUAAUUAAAUUGAAAUGGGUGAAGGGGAAAUAAAAUAAAAUAAAAUAAAAAUAGAAGUGCAAGAAAUUAUUUAUUUUUCUUCUCAUAGAAUAUCUUACUAUUGGUCCAGAAGAUCAUAAGAGAUGAACCCUUUCCUUCCCGAAGACUUUGGACAUGAAACCAGCAUCUUUCCAUUUAUAAGGAAAAAGUGGUGCAAGCUUUAAUUUAAUGCCGACAAUGAGUCUUACAGAUAUUCACGGUCCAUAUUUAUUCAUCUUCCACGGCUUUCUCGUCUUUUAAGAGCAUAGUUCUUAGAUCCAAUUCCCAAGGUUUUGUAUUGAAUUAUUCAGUUUUUAAAUUAACUUGCAAGUAAUAAGAUUAAUGUUUUUUUUAUUAAAAUAACAUUGUUUAUUAUUUUUUAAAAAAAUUAUUAAUAUAAUCUGGCUAGGUUUAAAUUGAAUUUAAUUAAAUCAACUAAAUUAAAUCAACAAAUUUUAACGCGAUCAAUAUUUUAUUUAUUAUCUUAGCUUUGUAUUUCAAUACCGAAACCAAAAGAUGGUCAAUGUUGAUCAUGCGGUGACAGAGAAAGACAAUUCAGGAGAAAUAGAAACAUCUUUGUCUUGUAUCCAAUGAUGUCUUUUCAUGCUCAUGAAGCUGUACCGCACAAUGAUUGCACUACAAAACAACCACAUACUUGAUGGUACUAUUGCUUCUUCUUCUUCUUCUUCUUCUGCCAUGGAUAAAUUACAGGAGAUCGAUCGCAUCAUGCCCAUUUUCCUGGGAUUAAAGAAUGGAAUUAAAGAAUAAAAGUCUUUUUUGUUAUGGAUAUAAAUUAAUAUACAGCUCAACUGGUACUGGUGGAUGCCCGGUCUCUAAGUGAUAAAACAAGAUUUUAUCAAUAUAUUUUGAUAAUUAAUUAAAUUGAAAGAUAAUUUUUUUUAAUUCACCAUAAUUUCUGAAAUUUUGAUAAUUAAUUAAAUUGAAAUGGGUGAAGAGGAAAUAAAAUAAAAAAUAGAAGUGCAAGAUAUUAUUAUUUUUUUCUUCUCAUAUAAUAUUUUGCUAUUAUAAAUUAUGGGGAUGCUCUCACUUUUUUUUCUUCUCUUGAUUAUAGGUUUUAGCUUCCAUUGCAACUCUGUGAAAAUUUGAGAGCAUUUAUGUAGGAAUUUGAUGUAUGUAGAAGCUAAAAGAUUAACAAUAACAUAGAAAAUAAAAGAAAUUUUAAUGAGAAAAAAAGAUUGUAGAGGUGAAUCUUAAAUUCACAAUUUUAUUCUUUAAAAACUAAGUAUUGGGUGGCUGCAUCCUUAAGAGAUGUAUACGACCUUUAAAUAGGCUAGGAAAAACUACAUUUACUAGGAAAUAACCUAAAAUCCAAAAAUAUUCAAGAAAUUAAAAAAAAAUCCUAAAUAAAAAUAAUAAAUUCAAAAAAUCCUAGGAAAAUAAAAAAAAUAGCCCAAACAAUAACUUUUAGGCUAAAUUUUGAAAGAUCUAAAAAUAAAAAAGCGACAUGUAAUGUUGCUAUUCCUUAAAAAACUACAUAUAGAAUUACUUCAAAAAAUUUAAACUCAAUUCAAUAGUCGGAUAUCUUGUUAUUUUAAUUCUCUAAAAUGUUAAUUUAAUGUAGCGCGAUCAAACUUCUUUUUCAGUUUAGACCUGUUCUACUAGUUUAUAAAAGCAUAUAUUAGACCAUGAACAAAAUAUAUUUGGAUCAAAUCCUUAUUAAGUAAUAUUAAAUCUGAGUUGGUUGCUCAAAACUUCAAUUUUUAUAAGCUUGGUUGCAUUAAAAUUCUAUUGCUUAAACUCAAGAAGAUCCCAUUACGCAAUGAUUGUAUAUGAUUUAUCUUAUUUGAACUAGGUUGCUUCUUCUUCAAUAUGUUUCCCCCCUUUUUUAUCCCUCCAACACAAUGGAAAUAUUGACCAUGAUUUGCCCUUCGUUAAUAUACUCCUGAAACAACAACAUUUAAAGCAUGAAAAAACUGGCAUGGAACCAAAUUUUGAAUGGAUAAGAUGCCUCUGUUUUGUUUUUUCUCAGGAGAAAAUCUACACCAGGAAAAAAUUGGUGGUCAGGAAGAUUGCUCCUCAACAACGUGUGCCCCCUUUUUUGUGCUGUCGGUGUAUCCUUCACUGCUCACAAAAUUCUUAAAAGAAAACAAAUAAAGCAAAAGAACACGUCCCGUACGUUGUUAAUAAACUUGUAAACUAAUUAGGGCUCGGUUUAAUUUUAGCUAUAAAAGAUAUUAACUCAACAAAUUUGAUAGAUUUGCUGGAUUAACGCAUUACUUAGUCAAAUCAAUCAAAUUCCACUGAAACAACAUCAAUGAUUUAUUUAAUGAAAUAGUUUUAUUUUAAUAAAAAUAAUUUACUUGAUAAUCCAAUAACCCUAAUUUUUUCUUGGAUAAGAUCUCAGGCCAAUUCUGACGAUGAUAUAUAAAUAUCUGUCCAUAAGCCCAUAGGAGAUGAACAAGCCUUGAGUUUGGACGAGGCUUUUCAUUUUUUUUCAUCCACUCCCGAGAGAAAUGGUGAAGGCCCAAUACACCAAUACGAAAUUUGGAUAAUUGGCUAAAAACUUUAAUAUUCGAAUGCAUUUUUCAAAAGAGAAGAAAAGGAAGACAAAGGAAAUUAAACCAAUAUAUGAACUGCAAAAAUAAAAUAUGAAAUCAAUCUUUCAAUUAUAUAGUGAACUAUUAAGUUCUAGCCCCCCCCCCAAAAAAAAAAAAAAAAACUCAAUUGAAUUUUAAAUUUUAAUUCUGUUAAUAUCUUUCAAUAUAAAAUCACCACAUUUUUCAUGAAAAAUAUUUAAAUAAAUAUAUUUUUUGUCUAUAGAAAACAUGUAUUUUCAACAAAAAAAAAAUUAUAAAAAAUAAUUGAAUAUUUGCAAGGCUAGCUUUCACUCAUCAAAUUAAAAUUUCUUUUUAUUAUAUAAUUUAUCAUUAAUGUUUUAGUUACAGGAUCACUUUCAUUAUUAGACAUUAGUUCAAAUUAGAUCCACUAGAGCUAGUCUAAGUUAUCUUUUAUAAUAAAUAAACUUAUUUUAUCUGGAUAUAACUCAAUUAAAAACCCUUUGAUUUUUUAAAUAUUAUUGUUUUAAUUUUUUUAAAAAUAAUUUUCUGUAUUGAAAAAUCAGUCCAUUCUAUGACCUGAGUUUUGACUCAAGUUAUGUUUAUUAAAAGUAGUUUAUUUUUAUGUUUUAAAAAUAUUUUAAAAAAAUAUAUUUUUAUUUUAUUUUUUAUUUUAUUUUAAAUUAAUAUUUUUAUUGGUGUUUUCAAAUGAUUUUGAUAAAGUGAUAUUAAAAAUAAAAAUUUUUAUUUUAAUAUAUUUUUAAAUAAAAAAUAUUUUAAAAAAUAAAUUCUGAAAAUCUCAAAAUAUGCUAAGGAGCCACCUCAUGAAAGUUGUUUUCAGGGACCGAACUGAUUAUAUGUUUUAAUUUGGUGACUAACUUGAUGGUUGCCCAGAAAAGAAAAGCCACUUGCAAUGCCACUCGCACUGUCCUACCAAAAACCCCCUUGACUUCCUCAUAGAGAAUAUGCAAAACACCCCUUAACCUCCACGCGUCACCACCACAAAACGCUUGGUAUAUCACUCGAAGCACAGAGCGUCGGAAAAAUCUGAGAUCAUCCUCGCUCGCUUCUCCCCCUUCACAGACCCGAAAACCCUAACCCGACAACGAAAUCUUCAUGUCUCUCCAAAAAUCUAAUCUUUUUCAACCUCCAAGACUCAAUUUUUAGCUAUUGUAUCUGUGGGGACUCAACACUUUAGCAAGUUUCAGGUACUUAAUGAUUUUUUUUCCAGCUCAAGCUCUGUUAUUAAGUCUUCUUUUGAAAGUUUUUGAGAUUUUUAGUUUCGUUUUUGUUGGAAUUUAUGGAAAGAAGAGAUGGGUUUGUUUUUAAAUUUGUGUAAAAAAUAACGGGUUGGUGAGUUUUUAUUGGAAAGUUUUGUUCGUUAUGUGUUUUGAGCUAAAAGGGUUUGUGUAUUUUUGGCUUUAGAAGAGGAAUGAUGGAGAGUUGUGGAAUGUUUUGCAUCUUAGAUGAUAAAAAAUAGCCAAAAAUUUGGUGCAUGUGUUGAAGGUGAGAAGGAAUACAUGUUAAUGUAGAAAUUAGAAAUAUUAAGUUGAAUUUGUAUCUAAUGGUUUUGUUGAGAUUAUAUGAUAUUUUAUGAAUUUAGUUAGAUAAAUGGGAAUGGUUGGAAUGAAGAACAGGAGUCGCGUGAAUGCCGUGAGAUGCAAAGCUUCUGUUCUGAGUGUUAAAUGGUUAUGAGCAUUGUGUGUUGUGUAUGGAAGUGGAAUGCAAUGGAAGGAGAAGGGAUAGGAAAAAUAUUUGGAAACGAACCAGUAUAUGUUAGAUGGAUGAAUUGAGCACAACGGGUGGAUGAUCUCAUUAAAUUGCUGUGAGAUUUGUUGUGUUUUAUUUUUUGUUUUCGUUUGGGAGUUAUGGUCUCCAUGUGAUUAUUUUUUGCUAAAAAAAGAUGUGCUUGAGGCAUUGUUAGGUUGCAAUUAGGUGAUCUGUGUGAACAACUGGUAUUGAAUUGGUUGCUGGGUGCUAAAUUCAUUUGGACUUUUUUGAUGCAUUGUGUGUUUAGUUUGAGAUCGAGGCUUUGCAUGGUUUGGAAUGGAUAUUGCUUUGUUAACUUUAUUUCUUGCUGAUAUGGUUUGUCCAAUCAUGUUCUUUUGUUUUAGGUACCAUGGCUAUGAAAUCAUAAGUCAAAAAUUUAUACUACCUCCAUCUGAGGAGAUUUUGAACAACAUGUAUUGUAUACUUUAUGGAGGACCGCAGAUUUUGAUUUGAGCAGAUUGGGGAUACAAAGCUGAUCUGAAUCUUCUCACUACAAUAAUGGAUUCCAGUGUGAUCACAGGCAGUACAAUUCCAGAACCUCGUGAUGAUAUUGAAUUUGAAUCACAUGAAGCUGCAUAUUCAUUUUACAAAGAUUAUGCCAAGUCUGUAGGCUUUGGUACUGCUAAGUUGAGUAGCAGGCGAUCUAGGUCAUCAAAAGAAUUCAUUGAUGCAAAAUUCUCAUGCAUAAGGUAUGGGAAUAAGCAGCAGUCUGAUGAUGCCAUUAAUCCACGACCUUCCCCAAAAAUUGGCUGUAAGGCUAGCAUGCAUGUGAAGAGAAGACAGAAUGGAAAAUGGUACAUAUACAGUUUUGUAAAAGAACACAAUCAUGAGCUUUUACCAGCCCAGGUCCACUUCUUUCGAAGCCAUAGAAAUGAUGAUCCUCUUAAGAAUGACAUCCGGAUACGACGACGAAAGAAUCUGUCUUCAGUUUCCAAACUUUUUGGUGCAUAUCAAAAUGUGGAUUGUUUAGAGGGUUACAUGAGAAAUCAGCAUGAUAAGGGGCGGAGUUUGGUCUUAGAAUCAGGAGAUGCUCAGGUAUUACUAGACCUUUUUAUGCAUAUGCAGGAAGAGAACCCUAAGUUCUUCUAUGCUGUUGAUUUGAAUGAAGAGCAUCGGUUGAGAAACUUGUUUUGGGUUGAUACAAAAGGAAUGGAAGACUACAGCAACUUUGAUGAUGUAGUUUGUUUUGACACUACAUACUUCACAAACAAGUAUAAAAUACCAUUAGUUUUCUUUGUUGGGGUGAAUCAUCACAUUCAACCCACAUUGCUUGGUUGUGCAUUGAUAGCAGAUGAGACAUUUUAUACUUUUGUUUGGUUAAUGCAAACAUGGUUCAUGGCAAUGGGGGAACGUGCUCCACAAUUAAUGCUCACUGAUCAAAACAACGCCUUAAAAGAAGCUAUUGGAGCAGUCUUUCCACAAACAUGUCAUUGUUUUUGUCUUUGGCAUAUAUUGGAGAAGAUCCCUAGGCAGCUUGAAUAUUUGAGUCUUUGGCAUGAUAAUUUUAUGGUAAAAUUUAAUAAAUGUAUUUUUAAAUCAUGGACAGAGGAACAAUUUGAAAAGAGAUGGGGGAAGUUGCUUGACAAAUUUAAUCUUCGAGAGGUUGAAUGGCUUCAAUCGCUAUAUGGAGAUCGCAAAUAUUGGGUGCCUACCUUCAUGAGAGAUGUAUCUUUUGCUGGUUUGUCUACAAUGUCGCGCUCUGAAAGCUUGACCUCUUCAUAUGACAAAUAUGUGCAUGCAGAAACAUCAAUGAGAGAGUUUAUAGAACAAUACAAAACGAUUCUUGAAGAUAGGUAUGAAGAGGAAGCCAAGGCAGAUUUUGAUGCAUGGCAUGAAACGGCUGAGUUAAAAUCCCCAUCACCUUUCGAGAAGCAGAUGUCACUUGUGUACACACAUGAAAUUUUCAGGAAAUUCCAAGUUGAGGUUCUGGGAGCAGCUGCUUGUCAUCUUAAGAAAGAAAGUCAGGAUGAGACAACCACAAUGUAUACUGUGAAGGACUUUGAAGACAGUCAGAACUACGUGGUGGAAUGGAAUGAAACAAAGUCGGAUAUUUAUUGUUCAUGUCGUUCUUUUGAAUACAAAGGUUAUCUCUGUAGACAUGCUAUUGUUGUUCUUCAAAUGUCAGGUGUUUUCAGCAUUCCACCUAAAUAUGUAUUGCAACGUUGGACAAAUGCUGCUUUGAGCAGGCAUCCCAUCAGUGAAAGAUUGGAUGAGGUGCAAACUAAGGUCCGUCGCUAUAAUGACUUGUGUCGACGAGCCAUAAUACUAGGUGAAGAGGGUCUCUUUCACAGGAGAGUUACAACAUCGCACUUUGUGCUAUAAGAGAAGCUUUGAAACAAUGUGCGAGUUUAAAUAACUCUGCUGAAACCAGUGCUUGUCCUAACACCUCAGGGAGCAUUGAGGAAGAGAAUCAGUACAGGAAUACUUCUAAAGAGAGGGCACCAGAUCUUCAGGUUACUGGUGCAGACAAGGCUACUAGAAGAGCUGGAGCAGCAAACACAAAGGAAAGUAACCACAGUAGUGCGGUUAAAAAGGGAAAGGUCUGCUGAUUGCUGAUAUUCUUUGGCUAUGUUGCUAAUUUUUUUUUUUAUCAAUAAUCGGUGUUCAUUAGAACUUGUGUCAUGUAUGCAGCAGGUAACUCGGUCAGGAGAUGUGAACGUUGGGGGGCAGGAAGGCUUCCAUCUAAUGGUUUGUGAUACUGCCAUCUUGUUUAUUUUCUUGCCUAAUUCUUUUGCAGCCUAAUGCUCUUUAGUUCUCUCUGUGUGUAUUUUCUGAUAAGAAAUCAACUUUAUGAUGACAACCAUUUAUCUCCACUUCUUUCUGGGAUACCUUAGUUGAGCCUUCAUCAAUGAUCUGCACUCUGAGUUCUUAUUAAUUUAACAUCCUAUUAUACUAAUCGCAGGGCAUAUCUGACCUGGGGCCAACACAAUCACAUAAUAUGAUGCCAGCACAGUUGCAAAAUGCUGUACCUACAGUAUUUCAUAAUAUCAUGCCUACUCAGUUCCAAAACAUAGCUUCAACACAUUUGCACGAGACGAGACUCCCUCGUUAGUAUGAUUUUGCAUUUGCUUGUAAAAAAUUGUAUUAUUGAUUUCUGUAACACUGGUCCCAAGAAUGCAGGAUGUGUUGUGCAGUUGUUAAUCUCUGCUUGUAUGUAAAAGCUUCAACUAAUUAGUUACAAGUCUUCUUGGCUCUUCCAUUGCUCACUUAAUUAGACCUUACUCUUCUGUUCUUGCCCGAUUUAUAAUACAAUUAACCUUGAGCAAGAAAGCAACCAAAGAUAUAAAGCUGAUCAUUGCAUGGCUAUUUGUUGGUUGUUCCAUAAGUUUUUGUUUGGUUAGUGUUCUAGAGACAAAUACAUAAGGGUUAGGACAGAAACAGACAUCUUUGAGACAAUUUUGAAAUAAAUUUUUAUACUUAAUAUUACCUAACAUGCAAAAUAUAAUUUAUAUUAUUUUAUAACAUUGAUUUUUCCUAACAAAUUUGGAUGAUUGGAUUCAUAAAAUUUCAAAUGAUUAUAACUUAGAUAUUGCCUAACUAACAAUUUGGAUGAUUGGAUUCAUAAAAUUUCAAAUGAUUCUUCCCAUCUAUUUUAGGUGGAUUUCUAGGGAUUCAAAGGGUUAUUUUGUUUGAUCAUAUUAUUUUCUUUUAAGAAGAGAGAGGAAGUGCAUGAGAAAGCAAUGCACUUGUGAAUUUCAUAUCAUUUAAGAGGUUGUUUGGGUUACGGUAGAAUUAUAAUUUUGUAAAAAAUUUAAUUUUUUUAUAUUUUUAUACUGUUGUGUUGAUAUAAAAAAAAUUAAAAAUAUUAUUUUAAUAUAUUUUUAAAUAAAAAAAUAUUUUAAAAAAUAAUAUCCACCACUAUUCUAAACACCCUCUCAUUCAUGCAAAUUUAAAAGCUCAAAUCUUGAUCUUCUUAUGAGAGCCUAAAAUAGAUAAAUAAUAAAAAGUGUGAACUUUUCUUUGCUGGACCCUCUUGCACAUGCACCACAUGGCUGGUACCUAAUCAUAUGAUUAUAAAAAUGGUAUGAUCAAAGUGUAAUUUGACAUAAUCAUUUGAUUUCUCAUUGAAUGCAGAUAUGCCACACCAACUUUGGAUUUUUGAAACACAUGUUUUUAUUCACCAUUUUAAUUAUUUAAUUAUCUCACCACUGACGAAUUUUUUUUAAAGCAAUAUUUUGUUAGUGGCUGGGAAAUUAAAUAUAUACUCCUACUUUUUUUAGUUUUGGAUAGUAAUAUGGUAUUUUUAUAUCAUAUAGUUUGAUUCUAAAGUUAAUUUGAUUAAAAUAUUCAUCUUGAAAUAAAAAAAACUCAUAGAAAUUAUACUAUUUACUUUGAAACUAAAGAAAAAAAUUGUUAAAAGUUUGUUUUAAGAACAUAGUAUAUUUGCGAUCAAAUUAAAAAUAAGAUACACUUAUUUGAGAAUUAAAAGUUUAUUGAACUAAUUAAGUAUUUUAAAAAUAUAGUUAACUGGUCAAUUUUAAAAUAUAAACUAUACUGUUUUUAACAAAUUAAAAUGUGCUGCUGGCUAAACUAUGAAUUUAAUUAAUUGUGAAAAGUUAACCUCUCAUACCGUCAACUAUGAAUGAGGACGGAAGGACCCCACUCGAUCAUUAAUAAAAAAUAUAUGGUGGGUUUUUGUGUGACCAAAAUUGAAUUAAAGGGCAAAUAUGACCAAUUAUAAAAAAGUGAGGGACCAUGAAUGUGUUUUACCCCAUCUCUGUAAUUUACAAUAUUGUCCUUUUCAUCUGUUCAUACGCAGUUAAAUGUCAGUGUUGGCUGAUCACUUGUCUUCAAGAUAUGCUUGAAAUUCGAGAGAUUACAGGCUGGUUUGAAAUCUUCACGACAUGGGAAAAUGAUGGCCUGUCCUCUCUUGAUUUACGUACAAAAUUUUAUGUCCCACACACCGAUCUUCUCCUGGUGGAUCGAUUUUAAACAGUGUAAAGAUAGGGCAUGUGGACGAGUCAGAUUUCUAAGGGGCAAGGAGUUUUUUUUUCCUUUCAUGGAGGACCACAGCUGUGACUCCACUCUGGGAGACAAAGAUUCAGUUCUGGGUCAAUUAAUCAGCAAGUAGAGUCCCAUUUUAUUGUCCCAAAGUUUUGAUAGAACUUUGUUCUGAAUUGAUUAAAAUUUAAAGAGGACAUUCAUGAAAAAUGGUUCCACUCCAUGGAAGGAAACACUUCAGAAACAUUAAUUUACUCCAAAAAACCAAGCAUACCAUACAAAACUUCAAGUUUUAACGAAGCCAGAGUGUCUGCAUCCUCAACAGUCCAAGAAAGAGAUCCUGAGAUCAGGCAUGGUUAAGAUCUCACAUCUCCUGUAUACUACCUACUUCAUAGAGUCGCUUUCCCUCACCUUCCAAUGGCUAAUAAUUUCUCUUCCUGGCAAUGCAUUAUCCUAAGCAAGGAAGGCUUUUGCGUCAUAGAAGAAUUAAUUUAUUUUCACAGAUUUAUUGUGGUCACCACAACUUUCUGAUCCUCUCCAGUCAUGGACCUCGAAGAGCCACGAUGUAUACAGCACCACAUGCCCCCAACUCUCUCCCUCACCCUCCCUAUCUAACCUCACAGCCGAGCUUAUCUCCUUGUUGAUAUGCUCUUCCUCAAUUAUUAGGUUCAGCUCCCCCCUCCCUUGAUUUCUAACCUCGAAUUUGCACCCUGUGUUUCUUGUCGAGACAUAAUGAGAGCUGAUAGGCAAGCUGGACAUGAGAGACACCGUCGCUUCACUGGUCUAGUACUACCUGCAUCUUGGAGAUCACAAGUUCAGGAUUUUAGUUUGGUGCAUUGUCAAUUUAAGAAUCUACGUUAAUUGAUUCUCUCAAGAUCAACCAUAGUUAGCAGCUAAACAUUUAUCAUGAUCCAACCAACAUACAUUAAUUUGGAGCGCGUGCUUUAUUGAUGUUGUCAGUAUGUAUUGAAUCCCCAUGUAUUAAUUUUCCCAGAAAUUUCUGUAGCAGUAUUAACUCUAGCUCGUACGAGUCAGUGAUUCUUUUCAUCAGAACAGAUGACCUUACCUGAUAAUUAAUAACAGCUAAUUAAUUCAUAGAUAUCAGAUUAUAAUUACUCACACGCAUCCGAACAUUUCCUUUCCUAAAACAUCCAUAAAGAUUCUCGAUUCUGAGAAGAGACUAGAUUCCUUGUUUGCUUUGAAGGGAUAUUAAUGUUUAGAUGACAUGUUGAAUAAUAUACUGUUAAGGAUCCAAUAAAUAGAAAAUAAAUAGUCUUAAUUGAUAUGGGAUUAAUUAGUUAUAAUCCUGAUCCUACAAGAAAUAUAUUUUUUUCCUUAGAAAAAACAAUCCUAGUUCUAUAAAUUUUUCAUUAAUCAAUGUGAAAUCCUUAAACAACAUACAAAUUUUCAUUGUUAUCUUGAAAAUGUUUUGUUUUUUUGGCGAAAUUAAAGUUUUAACAAAUUAUCCAUAAUAAUUGAAAAGGCAUGUACAUGCACUUAGAUUUUUAUCAUCAAUUAAUGAACUAAUUGAGAUAGAAUCUUUCUAUCAAAUGAUUUUAAAAACACAUAUUUUAUCAAAUUGAUAUAUGUAUGAUAAUAAAUUCUCUUAAUUAUUCAAUUUGAUAUAUUCAAAAUAAUGAAUUUUUAAAAUUGCUAAGGUUAAAACACAAAAAAUUAAAAGAAUUUUUUUAUAGAUUAUGUUCGGUUAGUGAUUCAUGAUAGAAAAAAUAAAUACAAAAGAAAUGUAUUUGAUUAAAAACAAUUUUAAAAGAAAAAUUUUAUAUUUUUAAAAUAAAAAAUACAAAGAAAUAUAUCCAUUUUAUUCUUCCCGUUUCUACAUCUUCCCCAUGACUAGACAAUCAUCAAACAUCACUUUAUUUAUAAAAUUAACAUCCUAUUGGAUAUUAUGUCUUCCAAUAACUAUUUAUGAAUUCACACACAAAAAAAAACCCUAUCAUAAUUAAAAAAAAAAAACAUGCAAAUAGGUAUCACCCAUCAAGAAAGGCAAGACCUGUAACAAUCCACGUUAUGGGCAAAAUCGUCACUAUAAUAAUCCCACCCAAUAUAUAUACACACACAAACAACCACGUUAUCCCUCAUCUCCAUGCCCACACUUCACUCCCCAGUCCCCAACCUAAACUCAUAAAAAAUAGCAAAUACUCUACACGCAGAAAUCAAGAAACAAUGACAAUGUUUUCUUACAUUACAUUACUAGCAACCUUAACAAUAUUCAUCUCUACUUGUACAGUUCGAAGCUGUCCUCCUUCAGACAGGGCAGCUUUGCUAGCUUUCAAAGCAGCUCUCCACGAGCCUUACUUGGGCAUCUUCAAUUCUUGGGCGGGCACCGAUUGUUGCCAUAACUGGUAUGGUGUCAGCUGUGACAUGGAGACCAAAAGGGUUGCUGACAUUAACCUCCGAGGUGAAUCUGAAGACCCCAUUUUCCAAAAAGCUGGUCGGUCCGGGUACAUGACUGGUUCGAUCUCUCCUUCUAUUUGCAAGCUCAAGAGGCUCUCCAGUCUUACAAUUGCUGAUUGGAAAGGGAUCUCAGGUCCGAUUCCAGCCUGCAUUACGUCGUUGCCGUUCUUGAGGAUUCUUGAUUUGAUUGGGAAUCGGCUUUCAGGCCAGAUUCCGGAAGACAUCGGACGGUUGCACAGGCUGACCGUUUUGAAUAUCGCCGACAAUCUUGUAACAAGUAGGAUCCCAAGAUCCUUGACUAAUUUGUCGAGUUUGAUGCAUCUGGAUUUGCGUAACAAUCGGAUUUGGGGUUCUUUGCCUCGAGAUUUCGGGCGUCUUCGGAUGUUGAGUCGUGCUUUAUUGAGCCGAAAUUAUAUUGGCGGGACAAUUCCCGAUUCAAUUUCCAAAAUUUAUCGUCUCGCCGAUUUGGAUCUUUCCUUGAACAGAUUAUCGGGCGAAAUACCAGCUUCUUUGGGUAAAAUGGCAGUCUUGGCAACACUAAAUCUUGAUGCCAACAACUUAUCAGGAAAGAUACCUUAUAGUUUGUUUAAUUCAGCUAUUGGUAACUUGAAUUUGAGCAAAAACUCAUUUCAUGGAUACCUACCGGAUGUUUUCGGUCCGGGAUCUUACUUCAUGGUUCUUGAUCUAUCCUACAAUAACUUUUGGGGUCCGAUACCAAAAUCUUUGUCCCAAGCAUCAUUUAUCGGGCACUUGGAUUUGAGUCACAACCGCCUAUGUGGGAGGAUUCCAGCAGGGCCGCCUUUCGACCACCUCGAAGCAUCAUCGUUUGCUUAUAAUGCUUGUCUUUGCGGUAAGCCACUCGGAGCUUGCAGGUAGUCGACGUACGAGACUAUAUGUUUCGGUCAGCCGAGAUGGAAGCUAGUUUCAUUUUUUCUGGAUUGGUUAAAUACCACAUGUUUGUAUGAUUAUGUAAUGUAACAGUAAAGCGUGUUUAAUUAGUAACGUCGUUAGGGGAAUUAAAAAGGUUAAUCUCAUGCACGUAAUCUUGCAUGAAAUCAAGCUUUGAUGCAAUGAGUGUAACUAUAAACAUAGAUGUAAUACCAGAUUAUGUCAAAUCAAAUGAUAAAAAGCAAGUUAAUGUUAUUUUCUUUUCAAAUUUCUUUAUUAGUUCUUCCAUGGAUGAUCCUAUCUAGCGCUAAGAAAAAAUAAAACCAUUCGAGUACUCAAACCCACUUGACACCACCGAGAUUUGUAAUAGACUACGCAUGAUCAUGGACAUUGAAGAUUGGAAGGGAAGAUCUACAUCUUUACGUUACGGCUGUGCAUAUCAAUUUGGCAAGUAGUGCUGGGCAUCCAUACAUGGUGCGAUGAAGUGUUUUUUUUGGACCAUGGGUACUGUUCAGCGAUGAUUUGACCUGUUUGGAAACCACUUCGGAAAAAUUUUGAAUUUUUUUUUUUGAAUUAAUAUGUUUUUGAUGUUUUUAAAUUAUUUUUAUGUACUGAUUUCAAAAAUAAUUUUUAAAAAAUAAAAAAAAUAUCAUUAAUAUAUUUUUUUAAAUAAAAAAUAUUUUAAAAAAUAACAGCAACAAUACUCCCAAACACCCUGAAAAUAUACACGUCCUUUUCCUUUAUAAAACAAGACAGCGCACGUGAAGCAUUAGUGUGAUAAUGACACGACUUGCCUUCGCAUUUAAAGAUAAGGGGCCUGACGGUGGGGAAAUGAUUCUUCACUGGUGCUGCAGGGACUUGCAGAUUUUAGAACACCGCAUCUAUAUUAUGGCGAGCGCGCGCGCUUCACAGGGAUUCUGCUACAAGCUACUAGCCAUGCCUAUUUCACAGAUGAUAUAUGCUCCUCUAAAAUAAAAUUAAUCUGUUCUACUUGAAUUGAUGCGCUUUGCCUGUAGAGAUGUUUGCAUAAAUGUAUGUCUAACAGAUUCCUGUGCUUUUUCAAAGAUGCAUGUGCAGUUCUACUUUCUUUGUUUUUGUGUUCUUGAAUUUUGUUUGGAUCGUCGGUGAAUAUAUUCCACCUCUGCAAGAGUUGAGGGGGUUAAGGCUCGGAGAACGAGAGGAAUUAUUACACAGAUUGAUCUACUGCAUUAUUCAUAAACUAUGUUAAUAAAACACUUAAAUAAAAUCAUGUGCAAUACAUAAAUCAUUAGGUGGGGGCUAUUAUAUUUUAUCUAUGUGUCUUGUGUUUAUUGGUUUGUUUAUAGAUAAUUUGAUACUUAAUCUAUGUAAUAAUUCAUUUUAAGUCUCCAUUCACUGUUUUUCUUUUUCUCUUUUAAAGAAUAGCAUUUGUUCAUCUUGCUGCGAUUUUUCUGAGCUUGUAAUUUGUUUAAGCCCCAGCUUUUGUUUUACCUACAAGCUAUUGAAAGGGAGAUGGGAUGUAUAGUUGGUUGGCACAAGGCAUUUUGUGCCUUUUUUUUCUUCCUGGAAACUUUGCAUGAGUAUACUAAUACUACUAGAUAUUUUGACGUAGUUUGCUUUUUAUUUACAAAUUUUCACUCAACUAAUUGAGAUUUUUUUGUCAAUAAUUCAUUGUAGACUCGAACUCUUCCUCCAUAAAAAGUGAUUAGAAUUGACCUGACCCUACUAAAUGAAAGCAAAAGUCACAAUUCUUGAGCUAAAGUGAGAAUCAUAUAUGAAAUAAAGAGAUUUAUUGGAUUCAUUAAUUUUCUAUUGAUGCAAAACAUCAAAUUCUUCAUAAUGUCAUUUAGCCCGGUUGAUUUCAAAAUGGUGUAGCUGCCAUUUUCAAUUAAUUAUCUAGUGUAUACUGUCUUAAUCCAAAAGAUUAUAUUAAGUGAGUUUUGUAAGUAAUUUUAUAUUAUUUUCUAAUACGAUUAAGCUACUCCCUUCUUAGUUAUAUGUUAAGGAUUUGAUAAUAUAUUAAUUUUUUUUAAUGUUAUGAUGAACACACUCAUAAAUAUGAUCCACAUAAUGCUUAAGGUAUAAUAUUUCAAAUUAAAAUUGAAGUUACUAGAUGAAGCUAAAAAAUGUUUUAAUAUUAUUCUUUAAUAUUUUUUUUUAAUUUCUUGAUUGUUCAAACAGGUGACAGCUUGUAAUUCGCUUAGCGUGCUUACAUGUUGCAGUCGUCAUUAUCGUUUUCAUUAAUCAAGAAGAUUAGGUAAUUCAGCAGUUAAGAAAGUGAAGUAAUUGUUUUUGUAGAGAUAUUUCUGUAGUAAUAGUCGAUUAUAUUAUAAAAUGCUAGUAGUAGAUGGCAAAUAAAACAAUUUUGUUUUUUUUUUAGUGAGAGUCAUCUUUAACUUAAGAUUAGUAUAUGGCAAGCACUCUACAGAUAUAAAGUUAAAGUGAGAGUUCCUUUAACUUUAUAUCUGUCGAGUGUUUGCUACAUACAAUGUGUUACAUUUAGAGUGAGAACUAUGCUGACGUCGACCAUUGGAAAAUAAAAGGAAGUUAACUCUUCACGGAGAAACAGGGAACCACUAUCUUCUGGGACAGCGUCAAGGACGUUUUCAAGCCAAUCUAAGUAAGUAGAAAUUGUUGUGCGUAGUUAUGUAGUCAUCAAUAGUAAGAAAUUAGAAAUUGAAGUUUAAAAUCCUUAUUUAAUUUAUUGCAUUCUCGCAGUUGCUUGAUAUUUAAUCUUUUGUAUAUUUUCAUCUGUUUCUACUUAGUACGUAGGAGUUGGAUUUGUUCGAGCAUUUGUAGUAAUGAUAAAUUUAUUGAUGCCAACACUAGCAAUUUUCUCAACUCUGUCAUAUGCUCAUCAGCAGCAAUUUUUGUAAGUGCUUGUAAUUAAUUAGUUCUAGAUGAACACAACCUUGAAGUAAUAGGUAGCUAUUCCCCGGUCCAUACUUUUAGCAACCAGAUUAUUUUUUUUUUUAAACUGAAGCAAUCAGAAUUAGUCUGAGACUACUUAAUGGUAGUCAAAUUUUUUAUAUUGAGUCUGACAAUAGAAUUGCUUUGGUCAGUAUCCCCACAAGAUGGAGGAUGUAGGAACAUCGGUUGAUGAUCAGCAGGUAACAAUAUAUGAUCAGGAUUCACAACUUUCACUUGAUAUUAACAAGUUGGCGAAGUCCUUGAGAGCGGAUAUGGAAAUGUUGCAUUCUUUCUCCGAUCAAUGUUGUAUCUACAGAGCCCCUGCUCGACUACGUGAGUCGAAUGAAAAGAUCUUCACACCUCAAGUAGUAAGCCUUGGUCCACUUCACCAUGGAAAAGAAGAGCUUAAAGCAAUGCAGGAGCACAAAAUAUUGUACUUGCAAGAUUUUCUUGAAGGGAUAGAGACAAGCAUGGAGGAGUUAAUUAGAGUUGUAGAGGAGAGAGAGACAGAAUUGCGUAAUUGUUACGCAGAAACCAUCGAUCUUGGUAGUGAAGACUUUGUGAAAAUGAUGUUACUAGAUGCCUCCUUCAUCAUUGUGGUCCUGCUCAAACGUUGUGGUGUAGGAUUUGAAAGUAGCAAUGACCGUAUAUUCAAUAAACCAUGGAUGCAGAGCGAUGUAUCACUUGACAUGUGCUUGAUUGAAAAUCUGCUCCCAUUCUUCAUUCUUGAGGAUUUGCUUGAAGCAUCCAGCAUAACAGAGUAUGCAUUGAUUGAGCUUACAUACAAGUUCUUCGAAGAGAGACUGGGGUCUUGGAUAUUGAAAAUGGGAAUUUUGGAGGAAAUCGAUCCGUCUGAAGUAGCACAUUUUGUUGACUUCAUAAGAAAAUGUCAGUUGCCAUCAGAGUCAGGUAGAACGGAGAAAGAACUGGAGACCACAAACGUACCAAGUAUAACUGAACUCCAUCAAGCUGGAGUUAAGUUCAGGUUUAAACCGGGCCAAAGUUUGCUCGACAUGAAAUUCGAUAGAGGGAUCCUGGAAAUGCCAAUAUUGAGAAUAGAUGACGACACAGAAAUCUUAUUCAGGAAUCUCCAGGUAUUUGAGCAAUGCCAUUAUUUGGACGAAAACUAUAUAGCUAACUAUAUUUCAAUGAUCAAUUGCCUUGUCAUUACUCCUAAGGAUGUGGAAAUCCUUGUUCGAAAUGGAAUUAUAGACAACUGGAUACAUGACUAUCAAGCAGUUACGACUCUUCUUCAUAAUAUUUCCAAGGGAAAUUCUCUCACCCCGGAUGAUUUCAUCUUCGCUAGUCUCGUUGAGGAUCUGAAAGCAUACUGCAGGAGGCCUUGGAAUAAAUGGAAGGCAACCUUGAAACAAGAGUAUUUCCGUACUCCAUGGGCCAUAAUGUCUAUUAUCGCAGCCUUGAUUCUCCUCAUACUCACUAUGGUACAAACUGUGUGUUCUCUUAUGCAAGUGUAGCUUCCAGGAUUUCAAUUAAGUGUUCCAUGGAUUUGGAUUGCUGUGUGAUCAAUGCUUGUUUCUUUCAUGUUUUGUUUUUUUCCCCUUAAUUAGUAUGUAUAAGUUUCCAGUUAUCAACUAGCACUAUGCUUCAGAAUGUUAUCCUUGAUUAAUAUAAGAUCAAAGCAAAUGAUUUGUCAUGCUAUUCCAGAUGACAUGAUCAUGCAGUCGCAGGCAAAUAUUUAAUCAAAAUUUGAAAAAAUAACAUGUUACCAACAUCUAAAGAAUUAAAUGCAGUAUCAGAAUAUCCAGGCUAUCUGUUCCUUGCCUCAGCUAAAAUUUGCAGAAUCCGGACAGAGUUCAUGUAUAGCCAGUUAUGGGAGGUGCUUUACUAUUUUCACAUGGAUACAUUAGUCAUAUGGGAGAUAGAUCGAUUUUUUCAAAUUUUUAUGCAAAAUAAAAUGAUUUAAUUACCUUUAAAAUUAAAUUUUUUAAAGUUGAAGCUUAAGGUGUUUUGGUAUUUUCAACUUUUAUGCAAUUUAUAAUAACUAAAUUAUCCCUAAAAAAUAAAAUUCCAUUCAUGAUUAGGGGUGUUUUGGUAUUUUUGUAAUGGAUUUUUUUAUAUAAUUAGGGUGGUGGACGGGGCUUAAAUUCACAGAGAUUUCAAUUUUUUAUUCCCAAUAAAUUACUUAACUGCUAUGGCUAUCAAAAAUCUAAAGUUUCCUCGCAUGAGCUUUUUCAUCUUUUGCUAUUAGUUUUUCUUUUUUUUAAUUUUUUGCAGCCAGUAUGGGAAAUUGCCUUCUAAAUUAUAAUUAUAUAGCCUUAUAAAUUGCUGAUAUGAGCUAGGCCCAUGUUUCAGCCUUGAAAUCUAUGCCUAAUCAAGCCCAAUUGGUCCAAAACUCAUGUCCAGGCUCACUGAGAAUACAUUGGACAUGGACUCAAGCAGACUGGUCCAUGAUUUGGUUCGAUGGUAGCACAUGAACACCUUUUUUAAAUAAAAUUUACUUAUUAAUAAUUUAAAAAUAUAAUUAAAUUAAAACAUUAAUAAAUUAGAGAAAGAAUACGGUUGUCCCUCCACUACUAAAACAAUAUUUUAUUGGUUCCUCCACCAACUUUAUAUCAUACUUGUCCCUUCAUAAUAAUUUGUUUUAUUAAAUAACAAUCAUAAGUCAUAAUAAAUAGAUUAAUUUACACCAAGGCUUGUAGCCUAGCGGUGGCAUGUAGUUUCUUUGGUUUUGUAUUUUGGGUUCAAGCUUCAGCGUAUAUGUUUGUUAUUUUUGUGGUGUCUUACAUGCUCACUGAGUUUGCAGGAUGUUCAGUGAACCGUGGGAUUAAUCGUGGUGCGCGUAAAUUAGCCCGGACACCCACGUGAAUAAAAAAAAAAUAGAUUAAUUUUUUAUUAAUGUUUUUCUUUAAAAUAAAUAGAGAAAAUAAUUAAAAGGAUAUUAUUAGUGAUUCACUAAGCACUAUAAAAUUUAUCUUAGCUCAUGCUCUUAAGUACUUUCCAAUCAUAAAAACAAAAAAAAAAUACAAAGUGGUUAAAUGUCUAUCACAAUUGAAGGAUAGAGCAGACCGUUUGUAUGACAGUGAGUACAAGAAGAAAACUAGCAGCAAAAACAGAGAUGCGAGUGCACGGAUUUUUGAAAUAAACCUGCUUCAAGGUUGCCUUCCACUUGUACAUACGCUUUGUGCAGUGUGACUUCGGGUCUUCGCAGACACAUUUUCUUUGUCGAGGCUGUAAAGAAGAUGAGACACAGCUUCGUCACUGUUUAGCAUAUUUUUCAAAUUCUCAUUACGAGCAAGCACUUCCAGAUCAUUAGGAGCAUGGACGAGGCAGCCGACGAAAGUAAUAUAUUCACUUACGAAAAUACACUCCAACCUAUGAUGGCAUUGCUCAAAGGCCUGGAGAUUUCUGUGCUGUCAUCUAUUUUUAGUUGUGGAAUUUCCAGAAUCGCAUUACUGAAUCUUAUGUCAAAUAGUGAGUUUUUUUUUAUCUGGAUUCUUAAACUUCACUCCAGAUUGAUGGAGCUCCGUUGCUGUGGGUGCGCUUAAGAAAGUAGUUUUUUUCGCUGGAAGAUACUGUUCCGUUGGCUGCUGACACUUUCUUAGGAAGUCAACGAAAUGUAGGACUCCAGAGGAAUUUAUGUUUUUCCAACUGUCCUCUUUUACCCAGGUAGCCCAGAUUUCUUUUAAUAACUCACAGGUAAGUUCCAUAAUGGUACAAUUCGUAGGAUUGGCUUCACGGGAUAGCUCAAACAACUUCCUGAGGAAGAAGAAUGGAAGUUGAUUUUCUAUCAAGCACAUAUCGAACACUACGUCAACAAACUUCCAUGGACGAAAGAAAAUCUGACUUGGAUGAUCUGUUGCUGGCUUCUCUGUUGCUGCUGCUGCUUCUUUUCUCCUUAUACUCCAUUUUUCACAUUUCUUUAUCAUAAUUGUUUCUAAUGGUAAAAUAUCAUUUUACAUUAAAUCAAUUAAGGAUAUCAAAUAUAUGUUCCGGUUUCCCUACCUAGCUACACCAAAUAUUUUGUUUUUAAUAUUAAAUAUUUUAGGAAGACAAACUCUAUGAACUUUUUUUCUUAAUGGUUCAAGAUCAAAGCCACAAAACACAGCUUGCCAGUGGCACUAGUUGUAAUGAUAAUAUUUUCUUUUAUCUUUUAAGAAAACUUUGACAAAUCAUGUAGUAGAUUGCUCCUUCGAAUUUCUCCCGUCAUUGAAUAAAGGUCGUCUAACCGUGUAAAUAAAUUCAAGGAGCGUAUCUAAAGCAGCUAAAUUUCUAGAAUAUAGAAUUAAUUGUAAAAUAUUUAAGAAAAACAUGUUAAAAAAUCAGUGAUUGAAUGGUAGUGGCAGGUGAAAGAUUUAUGAUAUUAAGAUUUGAUUAUUAUUAAGAAAAUAUUGUAUAGACCUAUUUAAGCUAAAACAAUUAAUUAAUAAAUUAAGUUUCUAGAUUUGUUUGUAAAAUAUUUUAUAUCCUAUACAAUAUCUUACAUAAAGUAAACAUCCUUUAAUUGAAGAUAAAUAUUACUAUCGUAAAAGCGGAUCUCAUAAAGGUUGAAGAUGUUGAAAAAUGUCAUCAAGGUAGAUAACUAUAGAGAUGAAACUUCCACAAAACUAUUAUACAAGUCUUGCAUUAAACUUUAUAGGUUGCUAGCUUCUGUUUAAUAAUGGACAGAAAUGGGGCAGAUGAUCAACAUGCGAGUCAACACAUUGCUUUAAGAAACUCUUUUUAAAACACCAUUAUCACAACAGCUUUCAUGAAUUAAUUAUGUAUUUUGGCGAAGACUCGUGUCAUUAAAGUCCGGUAGCAUUGUUCGGCUCAAUAUAUAUUUAAUAAUAAAAUAAUGAUAUUAAAAUAUUAUUCUUUGCUUCGUGGAAAGUCAUGCCAGAAAAACAAUACCUGCGGUCACAGUCCUAAAAGUAGGCUUUGUGGAAAGUCAUGCCAAUUAUUCAUGCAAAUUGGCAUGGCUUUUAUAGUCGUGCAUUAAACUUUAAUAAUGGACACCCUAUGUUUUACAUGGAAAUUCUGUUGAUCGUUUUUAAAUCCGGCCGGUUAACUGAUCCAGCUCAAAGCUUUAGGUAAUGAAUUUUGAUCAGGUUACUUAGAUUAAUUUUAUUGUUUUAUAAAUCAAAAUAAUAUUGUUUUGGUUAAAAAAAAAUUAACAGGUUGUAAUUUGAUUUUUAACCAGUUCAUUUGGGUUUUUAACUAUUAUUUUUUAAAAAAUUUGACCCGAUUCUAGUUUAAAUCCCGAAUCAACCUGUCGAGUCAGUUCAAGUUUUAAAAUAUAAUUCUGGUUUGAAAUUGACACAAAUAGGGCAAAUGAAUAUCCUAGUCCAAUUAUUAAGAUUGCUUUAAGAAAUUGUUUUUAAAACAUCAUUAUCACGACAACUUUCAUGACUUCAUUAUGUAUUUUGGUGAAAAGUUAUUAUCCAAUAAUUCAAUUUUAAAUUUUAAAUUAUUAAAUAAAAUUAUAAAUUAUAAAUUAUAUUAUUUUUUAACAUAUUUUUUCAAGUGAAAACCUUUUAAAUUUGAAACUUGUAUAAAUAUAUAUUAUUUUAUAUUUAAUUUUGAUCAAAUAAAUAAAAAUAAUAAGAUUUAAAUUCAUAACUAAUUAAUCAUUAAAAUUUUAAUAUCAUAAAAAAAAAUAUAACUCAAAAAAUUAGAUUAUUAAAUAAAAUAUUAUAUAUAAUUUAUAUUAUUUUUCAACUUCUUCAAAGUAACUACAUUUCCCCCACAUUUAUUGUUGCUUUUUAACUGCUAUCUUUGUGGAAAGAAAGUUGAAAAGUGUUAUAUUUUCCUGUAAUGCGAAAUUGAUUCAGAGUUUCAUAAAAAGAUUAUGUUUUUUAUUUUAAAAUAUAUUAAAAUAAUAUUUAUUUUUUAAAAAUAUAUAUAUUUUAACAUUAAUAUAUCAAAAUAAUCUGAAAACAUAAAAAAUAUAUUAAUUUAAAAUAAAAAAUAAAAUAAAAAACUUAAAUUUUUUUAAAAAUACUUCCAUUAUUAAACACUACCUGAAAAGGUGCAAAACUGUAGAAGAUGAAAAGUCUUCGGUAAAACUGCAGAAUUUCACAGUUUGUGUGAGAAUUGAGAGCUAUCGAGGUUUUUUUUUUUUUUUUUUAAUGUAUGAAGGUCUCAAAACUAGUGUUAUUAAACCCGGCCCGGCGGGUCAACCCAGUGGCUGGACCAAUCCGAGUUUAAUAAAAGACCGGCUGUGGCAACAACCCGGCCAAACACGAGCGACCCGGCGGGUCGACCCAUGACCCGGGCGAACCCGGACGAGACCCGGUUUUUUUUUUUUUAAAAUGUAGGAUUUGAAACUAAUUAGUAUAUAUACUCUAUGUUCUCAGGAAAAAAAAUCAUAUGUUUUCAAUAUGUGAUAAAAAAAAACAUUUUGGUUUAAAUACUUCAACUAAAAAAGAUAAUACCUUUCGUAUAUAUACUCUAUGUUCCCAUGAAAGAAGUUAUGUUUUUUCAAUAUGGGAUUUGAAACCCAUUAGUAUAUAUGUUCUAUGUUCCCAAGAAAAAAAAUCAUGUUUUUUCAAUGUGGGAUAAAAAACUUUUUGAUUUAAAUACUUCAACUUAAAAGGAUAACAUAGUAUCUUUUCAUAUAAUUCGAUUAUUAUUUUAAAAUAUAUAUUAUAGAAAUAUUUAAGUUAAAAGUAUCUUUUAAUGAAUAAAUUAACUUCAUAGAGUGAUGUGUAAAAUAUUUUAUAUCUCAUACAAUAUUCCAUGUAAAAUAAACAUUUUUUUUAAUAGGAUUGAAGCAUAUUUUUAUGGUUAUAUAAAUUAUUUUGUAGAAAUGCUAGGCAAGAACAAAUUCAUAUUUUUUAUAAGAAUUUCAUGAUCAUUGUUGCAGGGUCGUGAGCGCCGAUGCAACGUCGUCUGGCAAUGACGGAGACUCUUAUCCUGCCUCCUAUGUGAGGUGUGGUGUGUUGGGAAGGUUUUCUGAAUUUAAUCAUAAAAUUAUGAUUAAGGUUCAGGAGUCGCUACCUAGUAUUAUGGUCAUUAGGAACCUAUGGUCUGCAAGAGUCUGGGUAAGGGAUUGGUUGUGUAAGGUAGAUGUAUCACCCCUAGUGCACCUUACUUAAGGUAAGCUGCAUUGUUAUUUGAUUGUUUUUUUUCUAAGUCGGGUUUCUAUUCGUUGGUCUUUUUUAAGGUUCAAGAAAGAUUUUUCUUCAUGAGAGAGUCUCUACCUUAUCGGGUUAAAAAAAUCUUAAUCAUUCUAAAGUCUGAAUUUUAGCAUCGCAUUUAUUUACACCUUGUAUCUUUAAUACCUGAGGGUAUACUUUAUCGUGUAAUUUUACAUCCGACAAAUAUUAAAGUCUACAUCUGGAUCCUAAAAAAAAAGAUUGGAAAAAUAUUUUUGACAUGUUGACCAAAUCCUAAUGGAUAAUUAUAAACUGGUUACGAUAUCAAUUUUUGAAUUUUCAAAACAUGAUAAAGAUGCAAUCUUUUUAAUGAAAAUAUGCUCGGAAAUUUUUUAGGAUUUGGCCGUAAGUAUGAAAACAAUUUUAUUUUUUCUUUGAAAAGGGAAAUUGAUUUAAAAGUUUUUUAGAUUUUUUUGAAAAUGUUUUGAUUAAAAAAAAAUAUUUUGGAGAAAACUAAGUAUUUUAAUACUGGAUUUGUAUUUUACAGUGUAAAUAUACAACCCAAUAUUAUGCAAAAUUGGUAGAAAACUAUGCGAGAAAAAUCACAAAUUUUUUCAAAGUAUUUUUGAAAUUUUUUUGUUUUUGUUUUUUUUUUUUAAAUAUAAUAAUAAUAUAUAAUAUAUUGUUAUAUUAAUACAUUACAAAGAGUUCUGUUGCAAAACGUGAGCAGUUGCUGUUCACGUUCUACAUGCAACCAAAUGGUUACAGAAGUUGGAGAUGGGCGGAGGAGAAGGCUACCGGGCGCGAUGGUGGUCUGACCAUGGAGGACGAUGUGCAGUGGUGAGGCAGGCAAUUGACAUGGUGGCCGAUGGCAGAGGAAGCAGAAGAAGAAGAAGAAGAAAACGGGUGGGGCUGCAGAGAGGAGAGAGAAACCAACGGUGGCUCUUGGUGGUUAAUUGGUGGUUGUGUUGGCUUCCUGUGGUUGAGCUGAUGGUGGGAAGACCGAUGAUGUGGAUGGUGGUGGUGGCUGAAGGCCACGACAGAGGUAGAGAAGAGAGAGGACUGUGCAUAAACCGAAAAAACUGGUUUUUUGGCUGACUUUGGACCCGAUUUUCUUCUCCCUCAGAACAUGAAAAUACACCUCUAUUUAUAGGUGGUGGUAGAGGGAAAUCUUGUUUGUAUUGAGAAAAAAUGUUAGCCCUUGACUAAGUUGUUAAUUUUUAAAGUUCAUUUCAGAAGAAGAAGAUGAACAGUAUCAAAGUUGUGAUUUUGACCAAAGUUCAUUUCAGUCCUCCCUUGUUAAAUUUGAUUUAAUUGCACCUAUAAUUGACCAUUAAACUUUGAAUUUCUUCGAUUUUACCCCGGUUUUUGUUGUCAAUUAAGCUCCUAUAGUCAUGUGCUUUUUACAAAUUGGUCCUUGGCUAUGAAUUUUGUCAAUUUAACCUCUAAUUAACUAUUAAAUUUUCAAUUUCUUCAAUUUCACCCCCGGUUUUUGUCAAUUAAGCCCUAUAUUUUUGCACCUUUUGCAGAUUGGUCCUUGGCUGUGAAUUUCUUUAAUUUAGCCCCUAAUUGACCCCAAAGCUUCAAUUUUCUUGCAAUUUGGCCCCUAAUGUCAAUCAAUUAAAUUGAUAAAAAUUAAAAUUAGUCUCUUAAAAUUCUAAUCUUCUCAAUUAAGCUCAAAUUAGACUCCAAAACUUAAAUUUUCACCAAUUAAUCCCCAAAUAAAAUUAAUUUAACCCAUUUAAGUAUAAUUAAAUCCUUGCACUUAAUUAAAUCCUUCUAUUGGACCCAAAUUAAUUCUUAAACAUAAUUAAAAUUCAAUUUGACCCAUGCUUAAAUCAAAUUGGCCUAUUAAAAAUUUAAUUAUGUCCUUGGACUUAAUUUUUAUGCAAAUUCGUCCAAUAAUAAUUUAAUUUGACAUUGAAUUUGUAUUUUUCUCUAUUUUUGAGCUUAAUGAGGUAUAAUUAGGCCUUGAAUUUCCUUCAAAAUUGCAGCUUGAUUCCUUGGUCUGCUUUCUCCAUGUUGCCAGCCUUUAUUAUUAUUUUUUAAAAAAAUUGAUUUUUGGAGAAUAAACUGGAAUUGGGUUAUGACAAUCAUAAUAUUUCUAUAAUCUUUUUUGGAAAGUGUUUUAUUCAAGAAUUUUAUCUUUAUUCUAAAUUUAUUUAUCUAACAUUAAAUUCAUAAAUUAAACAUAAAUAAGUAUUAAAAACAAAUAAGGUAUUUAUUAAUAAAAUUAAAUAUGUUUUACAUGAUUAAAAUUAAAAUAACAUUUUACAUUAAAUGAAUUAAAGAUAGCAAAUAUAUGUUUCGGUUUCCUACUUCCACUAAAUGUUCUUCAAAACAUAAAGUAUUAAAUAUUUUAAAAAGACAAACUCGUAGAAUUGUUUUUCUUAACGAUUCAAGAUUAAAGCCACAGAACACCGCAUAUGAGGGGCACUAGUUGGGAUGUUAAUAUUUUAUUUUAUCCUAUAAAAAAAAAACUUUGAGAAAUCAUGUAGCUUUGACGUAGAAUUUUUUUUCUUAACGAUUCAAGAUUAAUUAAAGCCACAGAACCAUGUGAGGGGCACUAGUUGGGAUGUUAAUAUUUUAUUUUAUCCUAUAAAAAAAAAAACUUUGAGAAAUCAUUUAGCUUUGACGUAGAACUAGUGUCUUUCUUAACGAUCCACAGAACACUGCAUGUGAGGGGCACUAGUUGGGAUGUUAAUAUUUUAUUUUAUCCUAUAAAAAAGACUUUGAAAAAUCAUGUAGCUUUGAAUUUUUCCCACCAUUGAUUAAGGGCGUGAAAAUUCUAGUGUGAAAUCGACAAAGGUAGGGCAGAUGAAUAUACGAAUCCAAUUAUUCAAUUGUAUCACAUGCGACCAUGCCCCGCAUGUGAAAUCGACAAAGGUAGGGCAGAUGAAUGAUGAAUAUACGAAUCUAAUUAUUCAAUUGUAGCACAUGCAACCAUGCUAAAAAGUAUGGAAUAUCGCAAUAUUGUUAAUACAUAGAAACUCAUAACGACAUAUUCUACGUCAAAUUGCGAUAUUCCAUGCAAUUUGUUCCACAUGGAAGGAUUUAUAUAUUCAUAAAACUCAAAAGAAUGGUUAAGACUAUAGUCUUUAAAUAUGCUAAAAAGUAGUUAAUAUCGCAAUAUUGUUACGUAGGAUUCAACUCAUAACGACGAAAGAAACCCACUGAACACCAACUUGACCACACUAUAAUUAAAAAACAUCGGACCCGAUCGAUCAGUGCUACAACAGGAUUGCACAAAGAAACGUGAAAACAUAUAGCUAGAACCACUGCAUUAUAAUACCAAUUUCAAUAAUUUUAUAUUUUUACACCGAAAGAGAUCUGAAAAUAACAUUUUUAUUUUAUGAUAUUGAUAUAAUAUUGAUAUGUUUGUCAGUGCAGUAGUAGUUGUUUUUUAAAGUGUUUUUUAUUUAAAAAUAUAAUAAAAUAGUAGUUUUUUAAAAUUAUUUUUGAUAUCAACACAUCAAAAUAAUUUAAAAAUAUUAAAAAAUAUAUUAAUUAAAAAUAAAAAGAUAUAAUUUUUUUUUAAAUAGCUUUGAAAUGUAAAAACCAACUGUUAUAAGGUUAGUAUUUGGAGCACGCUGGUGGGGGUCAAUUUUAGACCAAACAUGGCCUAGAUUGAUUGAUUUUUUUUUAAAAAAAUUGAGAGUUGACUGAGACCUUAAUAUUGUUGGUGAAAACACCUUUUUAAAAAAAUUCAUAAAUCGUCCUUUUAACUUUCUUUAAUUUUUUUUUUAUUAAAACAACGGUUUUUUUUUCCCUCUUCAUCUGCCAAUCAAUCGACGACUGCGUUCCCAGCUAGCUCAAUAACUUGGGUAUCAUGUUUACAUCAUAUCGCAGCAAUUGAACACAUCUUAAUUAAGAAACGACUGCAUUAUUUGUUUAAAACCAUGAAUUUCCCACUCCAGAUCAAAGGCACUUUAGAAGCUUUUGUUGUUUUUUCCUGUAAAAAAUAUUCAGUAAAAAUGCAGAGUGUUGUUUCGAGGGAUUCGAGAGUUGUUCGAAAAAACUUUAAAUUUUGAUCCCGUUAUCAUAUCCUACAAAUUGAAGGCUGCCCAAAAGGUAAGGAACUUGUCAUCCUAUUGAAGUAAAUGAGGGCCUAUCAUUCAAAAUAAUAUUCUACAAUAAUUAUUUGUUGAUUAUUAAGCUCAUUGAUGAAUUGAUGGAAAUAAUAAAUAUCUCAUAAAUGUCAAGAAUGUCCGGGUAGUUGAGAGAUAAUUGUUUGUAUCAAUUCAUUGUUUGUACAAUAAAUCCUUUUUAAGGAUGAAAAACUAAGAAUAGAAAUUUAUCAAAAUCUUUCCUAAACUUGUUCCCGACUUCUAGUUUUCCUUAUUUGUAAUAUUUUUUAAACCAAGAAUUAAUCUUUGUCAACACUCCUUCUCAAGUUGGUGCAAAGAUAUCUCGUAUGCCUAACUUGUUGAAAGAGCAAUGAAAUACUUUACUUGAUACUGCUUUAGUAAGUAUAUAUGACAGUUAAUCCUCAGAUUUGACAAAAGAAAAAAUCACAGUCUUCUCAUCAAGUUUCUAUUUGAUGAAAUGUCUAUUUACUUUCACAUGUUUAGUUCGAUCAUGUUGAACUGAAUUAUUAGCUAUGGCAAUUGCAACUUUGUUGUCAUAGUACAUCUUGAUCUCAGUUUCCAUAAGAUAUCCUAGCUCUUUUAGUAGCCCAUUUAUCCAUAGUAUUUCAUAUAAUCCUUUGGUCAUCCCUCUGAAUUAUGUUUCAGCAUUAGAUAAAGCAACAACAUUUUGCUUCUUAUUUUUCCAGGUCACCAAGUUUCCUCCAACAAAGGUAAAGUAUCUUGAAGUAGACUUUUUGUCAGUCAGAUUUCUUGCCCGGUCUACAUCAAUAUAACCAAUGAUGUUACGGUGACCAUUCUUUGAGAAAAGAAUUCCUCUUCCCGGAGAGGAUUUUAAGUAUCUAAGUACUCGCAAUGUUGCCUCUAUAUGUACUUCACUUGGGUUGUGCAUGAAUUGGCUUACUAGCCUGACUACAUAUGUGAUAUCAAGGCGUGUAUGUGAAAUGUAGAUUAGGCUUCCCACCAAUUUCUAAUAUCAUUUUCUAUUUAUGGGAACCUGGUUUGGAUAUUCCGUUGAACAAUAAUUUUGUAUGAUUGGUGUAUCCAUAUGUUUGCAAUCCAACAUACCUAUCUCGACUAACAGGUCCAAUACAUACUUUCUUUGUGAGAGGAAUAUGCCUAGUUUUGAUUUGUAUACUUCAAUGCCCAAAAAAUACUUCAACCACCAAGAUCCUUCAUUUCAAAUUCACUUGCUAGAUACCUUUGUAAUUCUGAAAUUCCUUCUUCAUCAUUUCUUGUGACUAUCAUAUCAUCAACAUAAAUAAUCAAGGUUGUUGUUUCCCCCCAUUUCUUUUCAAAAAUAGUUUAUGGUCCAAGUUGUUUUGGCUAAAUCCAUGCUUUCGCAUUGUUAGACUGAAUCUUUCAAACCAUGCUCUGGGAGACUGUUUUAGUCCAUAAAGUGAUUUUGUAAGCCUACACACCACAUUUUUUUUCCAGUAAAAUUAGGAGGAACAUCCAUAUACACUUCCUCCUCUAGAUCUCCAUGAAGAAAUGCAUUUUUUACAUCAAAUUGAUGUAAAGGCCAGUCUAGGUUUGCUGCAAGUGAUAGGAGUCUCCGAAUGGUGUUCAAUUUGGCUACUGGUGAGAAUGUUUCCUAAUAGUCUAUGCCAUAUGUUAAUGUAUAUCCUUUAGCUACCAGUCUCGCUUUGUAUCUUUCUACUGUCUCAUCUGCUUUAUAUUUCACAGUAAACGCCCAUUUGCAUCCAACUGUUUUCUUUUCAUCUGGCAAUGUAGUUAGUUCCCAAGUAUUAUUAUUCUAGAGAGCUUUCAUUUCAUCAUAGACAAUUAUCUUCCAGUGUUUAUCUAGCAUAGCUUCUUCAAUGUUUCGUGGGACCUAUUCUGAAAAUACUUUUCCCAUGAAGACCUUUGUUGCAUCUGACAUGUUAUGGGCUGAGAUAAAAUUUGCAAUGGAGUAUUUGGACUUUCUUCCUUCUGUUUUUGGUGAGUACCGGUUUGGGGUACUCCCUGAUUAUGCAUGUGAGGUAAAUUGUAUGUCAUAGAAUCAGGUAAUGUAGGAGAGUCAGGAGAUCUUACCUCAGUUGUAGUGUCUGGAUUGUCCUCACGAUUCUGAUUUUGGUCAUGUUGUAUAUUGGAGAGGGGGUUAUUCGAUGUGGCUUGAGUAUGUAAGUCGAUAUGGUUGAUCUGUUCAGAAAUUUCCGGUUCUGUUUGAGUAUGGUCAGGAUGAACCCAAUCCAUAUUUGUUGUUCAUGUCUAUUCUCCCCUGAAAAAGACGAGGAUGGUUCAUUGAAGAAAUAUUCGGUCUCAAGAAAGGUUACAUCCAUAGUAACAUAGAGUUUCCAUGUAAGGGGAUCAUAACAUCGGUAUCCUUUUGUAUGAGAACCAUAGCCAAUAAGACACAACGAACAACACAUGGAUCCAACUUGGAUCGUUGGUGCUUCAGAACAUGUACAAAUACAACACAACCAAAUAUUUUGGAGGUAUAUGGAGUGUUGAAGGUAGUUUAACAUACUGUUCCAAAGUCUGGAGUGGUGUGUGAAAAUUAAGUACUCGGGAUAACAUCCGGUUGAGAAGAUAAAUAGAUGUACUCAUGGCAUCAGGCUAAUAUUAUUGGGGCAUAUGGGCAGCUCUCAUAAUGGUUCGUAUUGUCUCUAGUAUGUGUCUAUUUUUUCGGAAUUCCAUUCUGUUGAGGAGUAUGUGGACAAGUAGUUUUGUAUGAUGCCCUUGCUAUCACAAAAUUGUCUAAACUCUUGGCUAAUAUAUUCCUUUAUUAUCAGAUCGAAGAGUUUUAAUGCCCAUAGAGAACUGAGUUUGUAUAAGGGUGACAAUUUCUGAAAAACUGGUAGGACAUCUUUCUUAUGUUUCAACAUAUAAACCCAAGAGACCCUUGUACAAUCAUCAAUAAAGGUGACAAACCAUCUAAAGCCAGCAGUAGUCAUAACAGGUGCAGGGCCCCAUAAGUCAAAGUGAAUAAUCUCAAAUGGUGCAUUGCAUUUAUUAUAACUGAUGGGGUAAUUUGUUCGAUGACUUUUACCUAGGAUACAAUCCUUACAUUUGAAACUAGAGAGUAAUACUUUUUCAAAUAAAUUAGGGAAUAAAUGUUGUAGAUAGCUGAAUGAUGGGUGUCAUAACCAGUAAUGCCUUAACCAAAUGUCUUGUUCUUGCCGCUGUGAUGAUUGGGCGGAAUGAACUUUUCCAAGGUCUAAAUCAUCCACAUAAUAUAACCCUCCCCUCUUAGUACCACGAUAAAAAAUCUUCUUCAUGAAAACAUCCUAAAACAAACAAAAUGAGGAGUACAUCAGUACGCAAUAAUUUAAAUCUUCUGUUACUUGCCCUACUAAUAGUAAUUUAGUGGAGAGUGAAGGAAUAAAAAGAGUAUUAGAAAGAAUGCAUGUGGUUGAUAAUUCCAUUGUUCCUCCCUCUAUUACCGGAUAUAUAUCACCGUUAGCAUUUGAUAUAGCCUUCCGUCGAGGAACUAACUUUUUUUUAAUGUCAUUAUGAUCAUAGGUCAUGUAAUCUAUCGCCCUUAAGUCAAUAAUCCAAUUGUUUAUAUGCUCACCGUUGGAUACUAAGUUUAUGGAACCAAUAAUACCUGGGUCUUGAGUUGAAGACCGAGGUUGACUAUCAAGUGGUAUAAGAGUAUUUGGUUUUGUAUAAGUAAUAAAUGUUGCGUGGCCAUUCCGUUCGUGUUUUUUUUCCCUUCGGUUCAUACCACCACUCUGGAUACCCGUGUAGCUGAAAACAUGUGUCUUUGGUGUGUUUAUUUCCGCCACAAUGAGUGCACACGCCCUCCUGGGAUUUUGGUCUAAGAAAAAUUUAUCUGCUGAAAUUCAACCCAUGUGGUCCAGGCCUGGGCUAAAGGGUCUAUUUAUUGGAAGAUGAUGGGCCAAAAGAUGGUUUGGAUGAGUUGCCACCAAGUCCAACCAGUUUGUUCAGGUUUAUGAGAGCUUUGUCAUUCUGUUGUCCUAGAUUUACCAUGUCUUCCCUUCUCAUGUCACCCCUGUUUAUGUCUUUGCUCCUUGUUAGUAAACCAAAACUAUCUCCCUCUUUCUUCUUCAUCAUCACAGUUUGUCUAAUGUUCUCUCUUCUUACUUGAGCGAAGGCUUGUUCGAUCGAUGAAAAUAGGGAUUUGUUAAAGAAUGUCUCGGUGGGUUUGAUCAAAUUGAUCAUCCAAACCAUUCAAGAAGGUAUAAAUUUGAUCUUCUUGAAUUAAUUUGUUGUAUUCCUUAAUGUCCUCAUUGCAUGUCAUGGGAUUUGGGUAUCUAUAGUCAAUCUCUCGCUAUAGAGAUUGUAAGCCAGUGUAGUCGUUUCCUAGAGAACCCCUCCUUUGUGUGGUUUGAAUGACUUUUCAUUUUAGGUUAUAUACCUGGAUAUUAUCUCCUCUAUCGAAGUAGCUUGUGGCAAUGAUGUCCCAAACACCUUUAGCUGUAAGAAACAUGAUAAAAUUUCCAAUUAAAUCUGGGGUUAGGGAAUUGAUAAUCCAAUCUUUAAUAAUUACAAAAAUAUGUUUUAUAAAAUUUAAAAAAUAUCAUUAUUCAAAAGCAACUUUAUCCAUACAUGUGCUUCAAAACAUUUUUCCUUUUAUUUUCUGUUUCUUUUCUUGUAAUAUUUCCUCACUCUCUUUUUCAUAAAAUCAUCAAAUUUCAUUAAACUCAAGAAAUUGAACACAUCAUCAUAGACUGUAGCUUCAAAUUUUUCCCACCAUUGAAUAAGGGUAUGGGAACUCUAUUGUGAAAUCGACAGAGAUAUUAUUAUCAGGACAACUUUCAUGAAUAAUAUAAAAUCCAAUUCUAAGAACAUAUUAAUGUAAAAUAAAUUAUAUAAUUUUAUUUAUACUCUUUCUAGAUUUAAAAUGAUUAUUAUAGAAAAUCACAUGAAUGAGAUUCUUAAAUUAAACAAUUUUUUAAAUCUUAAAGAUUAAAUAUAUAUUAAAAUAAAACAAUUGCUCCUUCGAAUUUCUCCCACCAUUAAAUAAGGGUUGUCACCGUGUAAACAAAUUCAAGGAACAUAUUUAAGCAGUUAAAUUUCUAGAUUAUAGCAUUAAUUGUAAGAAUAUCUAAGAAAAACGAAUCCAAUUUUGAAACAUAAAAACGUGUGCAAAACUUAAUGAUUGGAGAAGUGACAGUGAUUGUAGUGGCAGUAAUUUUCAAACAUUACAAUAUAUCAAGAAACCUCCCCACCAUUGAAAUACGUGUAUUGGAAAAGAAAAUUUUACUAUAAAGAAAAAUUUACAAUAAUUAUUUAUUGAUUAAGUGAAUAUUUACAUUAAUUUUUUUUAGAUUGAAUGUUUUUUAAUUUUUUAUUCAUUAUAAAUUAUUUUUUAAUAUUUUUAGAUCGUUUUAAAGUAUUGAUAUUAAAAUAAAAUUUAAAAUAUAAAAAAUUAUUAUUUUAAUAUAUUUUUAAAUAAAAAAUAUUUUUUAAAAUAACUUUUUAUCAUAAAAUUAAAAUUUAAUUGAUGGAUCGACGGAAAUAAUAAAUAUCUCAUAAAUGUGGGUUUAAAAAAAGAGAAAUUUUGCAAACCUAAGGCUGUUUAUAUUACUUGUUAAAAGGAAGCAAAUAAAGCAUUUGUAUUGGUCACUCAACAGAGUACGCAGGUGACGAUCCUCAUCACGCUUCACAACCGCUGAUCACAUUAAGAUCCACGGUCCAGAAAGUCUCCACAAAGAGAGGUAAGGAGCUCCAUGAGAUGAAAAACGAGCCCGCCUGAAAGAAGCAAUCCUAUUGGCUGCAUCACGUGCACGCGGAUCUCCAUCUCCACUGCCCAUUAGCUUACCGAUCAACGGCUCAAAUCCCAUUUCACUGUUUCCUUCCUUCCUCUUUCACCUCUCCCCUUGCACUAUAAAAAACCCCAGAACCUCCAAUACCUACACACGAAAACUUCUCAAAUACCAUUCCAGGCACAUCUUUUUGGACACUAGAGGUAUAUUGUCAUCAUUUGAGACGAGAAGAACUUCUAAAACUGCCGGUUGUCGAGAGCUAUUAGGUGUGUAAGUUUCUAUCCAGCAGGCUUUUUAUGUCUGUCAAUUGCUUUUAGAGUAAUAUUAAUGGAAUUUUAUGAAAACAAGGGUAAUAGUGGGAAAAUUGUAAUUAUAAGAGUAGAAGUAGGAACAAUGAUGAAUCUGUAAGGAUAAUUAUUGAGGUUUACCCUUUUAUUUUACAGGAAGACACCACUAAUUUGCAUUCCGUAAUCAAACAUAAGUGAAGAGCUUGUCGCUAAAAACCCCUCAGAAAACUGAAAUUUUUGAGUCCAAAACUGGGUAACAUAUAGAACUGGAUGCCAGUUCUAUAUGUUAAUUGUUUUAAUGCAUAUUGUUUUGGAGUCCUAUAGGCUUUUUAUGUCUUUGUUAAUUAUUUUAAUGCACAUUGUUAUUUUCUUCCUGAGACUACAUUGAAUUUAUUUUAGCAUUUUGGUAUUUUUGCCUUUAUAGAUUUAUCAAUGUUUCACUUUUAUCCCUAUAGUUUUAAAUUAUCCAAUGUUUUCACAUCUAUCCCUCUAGUUUGUUUGCUACCAAGUAACUGAAAAAAAGGUAGCUUUUCAUAGUUUUUCUUACUUUUCAAGUUGACGUCCCAAGUCCGAAAACGUUGACGAGGAAUUUUGUGUAGAAUUGGAAGAGGUGCAGAAUUGCAGGAAAAAAAAGUAGCGGACAAGAAAACUCUUUAGAAAAACUUCUGAAUUUCACAGUUUGUGUAAGUGAGAGCUACCGAGUCCUUUUUGUUUUUUGUUCAGAAAAAUGCUUGUAAGUUUAAUGUAGAGAAGCUAUGGAUUUUUUAUUUUCAGCUCUUUCAAGUAGUCAAAGACAUGCAUUUAUGUGUAACAUUUACAAUUAGAAAAAGAAAAAAAAAAUCAGAUUUGAUUCACUAGAGAUGCUCUUAUGGUUGUCUGGGAAUCUUGUGUUUGAUUGUGCAUUCUUCAUCUACUUUUACAACUGUUAUUGAAAUUUUUGUAGCAUUUAUCUAACAAAUUGAUAACUGUGAUUCUAGCGAAUGUCUAAGCACAAGAAGAACGUUGCUGGAACAUCAAGAGAUCAGAUGAAUAGUUCGCUUGACAUUGGCAAAUUAGCAGACUCCGUGGAAGGAAAGUUGAGCAUCUUGCGUCCUUUCUCCAAUAAUUGUUCAAUAUUCAGAGUUCCUAAACGAUUACGUGAGUUAAAUGAAAAGGCUUACACACCAAAAGUAAUCUCCAUUGGCCCACUUCACCACGGAAAAGAAGGGCUCAAAAAAAUGGAAGAGCACAAGAGACUGUACCUGAGGGAAUUUCUUCAAUUGAGCGGGGUGAAUGUGAAGGAUUUUAUUGCAGCUAUUGCAAAGGAGGAGGAUAAAUUGCGUAAUUGUUAUGCAGAAACCUUUGAUAAUCUACGUGCAGAGGAAUUUGUGGAAAUGGUGUUGCUGGAUUGCUCCUUUCUCAUUAUGUUCUUACUGAAGAGAUGCUUCGCUGAUGUCCGAGGUAAAACUACUGACCACAUAUUCAAUAAACCAUGGAUGAAAGAAGAUAUAAGGUUUGAUUUGUGCUUGCUUGAAAAUCAGCUUCCAUUCUUCAUUGUUGAGGACUUGUUCAAACUAUCCAAAAUACAGGGUGAGAAAUAUUCAAUGACUAAGGUUACUGGUGAUCUCUUAUCAUCUGCAUGGGGUUCAUGGGCGCCAAAGGACAUUUUGAAGGAAAUCAAUUUGUCUGAAGCAGAGCAUUUUGUUGACUUUCUAAGAAUCUGUCAGAAGCCAGCAGAGCAGAUGCAGCCAAAGAAACUUGAAACUCUAACCGCACCUAGUGUAGCGGAGCUCCAUCGGGCUGGAAUCAAGUUUAAGUUAGGGUCCAGCAAAAACCCACUCGACAUAAAAUUUGAUGCCAAUGAAGGGACGUUGGAAAUCCCACUAUUAAAGAUAGGCAAUCGCACAGAAAUCCUAUUUAGAAAUCUCCAAGCCUUCGAGCUAUGCAAUUGCGUUAGUCGUGAUAGAUAUGUAAGAGACUAUAUUGCAAUGCUCUCUUUCCUUGUAACCUCUGCUAAGGACGUGGAAAUACUCGUCAAAUCCGAAAUCUUAAGAAACUCCCUCGGUGAUAACGAUGCAGUUUCAAUCCUUUUUCGCAAUCUUUCCAAGGAAAAUGUUAUCAACGCCAACCAUUUCUACUUUUCUGGUGUAGUUGAAGAUCUGAACAAGUACUACGGAAAGCGGGGGCACAACUGGGAGGCAUUCUUGGAACGGAACAGUUUCCGCAAUCCAUGGACUAUAAUCUCUGUUGUAGCAGCUGCUGUUCUAGUCAUACUCACUAUCAUACAGACUGUGCUCAAUCAUUCAAGUUGUUUCAUUAUGAUAACUCAAUUGUUUUGUCUGGUUUUAAGCCUGAAAUUCUAUAAGAUGGUGACAAGAGCAUAGAUUAAGGAAUGUGUUCUUCAAGAGAGUAUAGUACUAGUACUCUUCUUCUUGCUGUAAGAGCCGGACUUGAAUUUGAGCAGAAAGAUCAAAGCAGUCAGAACUCUAAUUCCGGUAGCAUUUUAAUUCUAUUCAAACAAGUGUUUGGGAAUCUUAUCCACGUAGAGUAUUGGUGUAUAUUUAUUUAUCUUAUCGAACGAAGCCUGUGUUCUCAAGUCGUGGUGCAGUUGCAUAGAUUGGUCCACGGUGCUGUUAUUUUUGUUUCCCUACAAAAUUAAUUGAUCUAGUUUCUUUAAAUACAUACAGAACAUAUAUGAAUCAACAUUUAAAAAAAAUUCAGUAAUUGUUGAUAGAAUAUGAACUUCAAAUUAUAGAUUGAGUCAAUGAUCAAUAUUUUAAUCUUCAAAAAUUAUGUUUAUAGACCUUGACUAAAGAGUUAAUCUCUCAAGUAUAAGAUAUUAUGAAAACUAUAAGAGUAGAAGUAGAAGUAGAAUAUUAAUGAAUCUGUUACAAGGAAAAUAAUUGAAGUUUACCCUUUUAUCUCACAGCAAGACAUGAGUAAAAAGCUCGUCACUAGAAACCCCUUGAAAACUAACACUGAUAGAAGUAACCACAAAUUAAUUGAGAUUGUAAGGUGAUAAUUGUACCCUUACUGAGCUUACUCGUGGGUUAUUAGAAGUACCGUGGGUUGACUGGGUAAAAGAGGGCAGUUCGCAAAUAAUCUAUUCCUCUAGAGUCCUGCAUUUCGUUGACUUCCUAAGAAAUUGUCAGCAGCCGUCCAGCGAAAGAAGAAGCUUUUUUUUGGCGCACCAACCGCAACGGAGCUCCAUCAAUCUGGCAUGAAGUUUAAGAAUCCAAAAAAAGGCUCAUUAUUAGACAUAACAUUCAGUAAUAGGAUUCUGGAACUUCCACAACUAAAAAUGGAAGACAACACACAGAAAUCUUAUUCAGAACCUCCAGGCCUUUGACCAAUGCCAUCAUAGGUGUUAAAAUAAUUAAGAUCAAGUAAGGCUAGAAUUCUCAAUGAUCUGUUUAUUAUGAGUGCUUAGUGUUAAUCUAAAUACAAAGAAAAUAUAUAUAGGUUAAACUGAAAAUACUAUUCUAUCCUUAAUAAAUAAAACUACAUAAAUAUUAUUUAACAUUUCCCCUCAAACUCACGAUGCGACAACUACAAGCAUUGAGAGUUUGCCAACUAAAAAACAAAAACGAGAGAUAAAAUGCGUCUUGGUAAAGAAAUCUACAAGAAAGAAGGAACAAAAGACAAAGUAAUGGUAUCAUGCAUUGUGAGUUUUUUUUUGUCUCAUUCUUCUGCUUCUCAUUAUUAUAUAUAUUUUUUAAUUUUUCAUAACCCUUUUGUUUAUAAUGCCCACGUUGUGUUAAUGUUUCAAUUGUUAGGGUAGAAGAUAUAAUUAUGGGGGAGAAGUGGGUUUUCUUUAAUUUUCCUCAAUGUUGGGUUUGUGUUCUAUAUUAUUUAUGCAUCAGGAAACUAAAUGCUAGACAGUAGACAUUGUAAAUCUUGGUCAUUAGUUUUUGAACGCUCUGCUAAACCAAGCCAGGUAUCUUUAGUCAGAUUGGAUUGGAGGUCUUGUUCUUACACUUGUAAAUCUUGAUUGUGUUACUGGGAUGUCUCGGUUUAUAAAAGAAAAUCUGUAGUAAUUCAUUUGCUAUGGGUGGAUUUUGGAAGUGGGUUGUCAUGGAUUAGUAUUUUAUCUUUGAAUUUUGGUAUCUUCACCCCAUUUUAAUUUAACUCUUUUUUUCUCAUUAUUUUGCAGACUAUCACAUCCUCUGGAAUAAAGAAAGGUGACUUGCUUGCUGCUGAUGUCAAUACUCAGCAGAAAAUGAAACUUAGUUUUUGAAUCUUUUUAUAUGAAAGAAUUGAAUUGAGAUUUUAGAAUUAACAAAAGGAUGCUAGUGUUUGGAAUCCCUAGCUAAGGAUAAGGAUAUAAACACCCAAUUGAGUGGCCUGCAAGCAGGGAAAAGGUACGCUCUAUAAGUUUAUGCAAGUUCAUUGACUGCCCAUCAUUUUCUUGCAAUGUUGGAUUAAUACUCUGUGUUGUUGUAGUCUUGCAGAUAUGGUACCAUAAUGCUCCCCACACCAAGCUUACACAAAUUAAGGGGCAUCAAAACUAGGUGAAAGUUACUGGUGAAUUCUUCACUUUCCCUGGUGGUGGAACCCAGUUUAAGCAUGACACUCUUUAUUACAUUGACUUCAUAAAUGAGGUGAACCCAAUUAUAUGUUAUUUUAAUGCCCUCUUUUUAUGUGUUUUAUGAAUGUAUGGUUUGUUACUUUGCUACUCUCCUCCCUUUGGGUUGCAAGCAUUCUAGAGUUAUUAAUGUGAUUAUGCAUACCUAGAUGUGUGUUAUCAUUGUAAAUAUUGUUGUUUUUAGUUUUCUGAAAGUAAACUUAAGAUUGUGGUUGAUUGGUAAGCUGUCUUAAGAUCUUUGCCUCAUGAAUAAUUUUGGCCCUUCUAUUGGUGGUUAUUCUAAUUAAUUAUUAGUUAAUGAAAAAUUGCUUAAAUUAUAUAUGAAUUUAUUUUUGUGUGUUUUAUGAAUGUAUGGUUUGUUACUUUGCUACUCUCCUCCCUUUGGGUUGCAAGCAUUCUAGAGUUACUAAUGUGAUUAUGCAUACCUAGAUGUGUGUUAUCAUUGCAAAUAUUGCUGUUUUUAGUUUUCUGAAAGUAAAUUUAAGAUUGUGGUUGAUUGGUAAGCUGUCUUAAGAUGUCUAACAGAUUCCUGUGCUUUUUCAAAGAUGCAUGUGCAGUUCUACUUUCUUGUUUUUGUGUUCUUGGAUUUUGUUUGGAUCGUCGGUGAAUAUAUUCCACCUCUACAAGAGUUGAGGGGGUUAAGGCUUGGAGAACGAGAGGAAUUAAUUAUUACACAGAUUGAUCUACUGCAUUAUUCAUAAACUAUGUUAAUAAAACACUUGAAUAAAAUCAUGUGCAAUACAUAAAUCAUUAGGUGGGGGCUAUUAUAUUUUAUCUAUGUGUCUUGUGUUUAUUGGUUUGUUUAUAGAUAAUUUGAUACUUAAUCUAUGUAAUAAUUCAUUUUAAGUCUCCAUUCACUGUUUUUCUUUUUCUCUUUUAAAGAAUAGCAUUUGUUCAGCUUGCUGCGAUUUUUCUGAACUUGUAAUUUGUUUAAGCCCCAGCUUUUGUUUUACCUACAAGCUAUUGAAAGGGAGAUGGGAUGUAUAGUUGGUUGGCACAAGGCAUUUUAUGCCUUUUGUUUCUUCCUCGAAACUUUGCAUGAGUCUACUAAUACUACUAGAUAUUUUGACGUAGUUUGCUUUUUAUUUACAAAUUUUCACUCAACUAAUUGAGAUUUUUAUGUCAAUAAUUCAUUGUAGACUCGAACUUUUCCUCCAUAAAAAGUGAUUAGAAUUGACCUGACCCUACUAAAUGAAAGCAAAAGUCACAAUUCUAGAGCUAAAGUGAGAAUGAUAUAUGAAAUAAAGAGAUUUAUUGGAUUCCUUAAUUUUCUAUUGAUGCAAAACAUCAAAUUCUUCAUAAUGUCAUUUAGCCCGGCUGGUUUCAAAAUGGCGUAGCUGCCAUUUUCAAUUAAUUAUCUAGUGUAUACUGUCUUAAUCCAAAAGAUUAUAUUAUGUGAGUUUUGUAAAUAAUUUUAUAUUAUUUUUUAAUACGGUUAAACUACUCCCUUCUUAGUUAUAUGUUAAGGAUUUGAUAAUAUAUUAAUUUUUUAAAAAAUGUUAUGAUGAACACACUCAUAAAUAUGAUCCACAUAAUGCUUAAGGUAUAAUAUUUCAAAUUAAAAUUGAAGUUACUAGAUGAAGCUAAAAACUGAUUUUAUAUUAUUUUUUAAUAUAUUUUUUUUUAAUUUCUUGAUUGUUCAAACAGGUGACAGCUUGCAAUUCGCUUAGCGUGCUUACAUGUUGCAGUCGUCAUUAUCCUUUUUAUUAAUCAAGAAGAAUAGGUAAUUCAGCAGUUAAGAAAGUGAAGUAAUUGUUUUUGCAGAGAUAUUUUUGUAGUAAUAGUCGAUUAUAUUAUAAAAUGCUAGUAGUGGAUGGCAAAUAAAACAAUUUUUUAUUUUUAUUUUUAGUGAGAGUCAUCUUUAACUUAAGAUUAGUAUAUGGCAAGCACUCUACAGAUAUAAAGUUAAAAUGAGAGUCCCUUUAACUUUAUAUCUGUCGAGUGUUUGCUAUAUACAAUGUGUGACAUUUAGAGUACGUAGAAAUUGUUGUACGUAGUUAUGUAGUCAUCAACAGUAAGAAAUUAGAAAUUGAAGUUUAAAAUCCUUAUUUAAUUUAUUGCAUUCUCGCAGUUGCUUGAUAUUUAAUCUUUUGUAUAUUUUCAUCUGUUUCUACUUAGUAGGAGUUGGAUUUGUUCGAGCAUUUGUAGUAAUGAUAAAUUUAUUGAUGCCAACACUAGCAAUUUUCUCAACUCUGUCAUAUGCUCUUCAGCAGCAAUUUUUUGCAAGUGCUUUAGUUCUAGAUGAACACAUUGCUGGUUACUUCUGACAUUACAAAUCAAAGUUGUUGGGUAGCAUUGAAUUACUGUCUCAAGAUACAAGAAAUAAAGAUAAUAGAUGUUUUGAAAGAGAAUGUGAAUGUAAGAGAUAGAUUUAUUUUUAUAUUUUUAUAUUUGUCUCUCUAAUAAAAAACGUUUUUGUCUUUUAUGUUCCAAAUGCAACCAUGAAGUGAUAGGUAGCUAUUCCCCGGUCCAUACUUUUAGCAACCAGAUUAUUAUUUUUUUAAACUGAAGCAAUCAGAAUUAGUCUGAGACUACUUAAUUUUUUAUAUUGAAUCUGACAAUAGAAUUGCUUUGGUCAGUAUCCCCACAAGAUGGAGGAUGUAGGAACAUCGGUUGAUGAUCAGCAGGUAACAAUAUAUGAUCAGGAUUCACAACUUUCACUUGAUAUUAACAAGUUGGCGAAGUCCUUGAGAGCGGAUAUGGAAAUGUUGCAUUCUUUCUUCGAUCAAUGUUGUAUCUACAGAGCCCCUGUUCGACUACGUGAGUCGAAUGAAAAGAUCUUCACACCUCAAGUAGUAGGCCUUGGUCCACUUCACCAUGGAAAAGAAGAGCUUAAAGCAAUGCAGGAGCACAAAAUAUUGUACUUGCAAGAUUUUCUUGAAGGGAGAGAGACAAGCAUGGAGGAGUUAAUUAGAGUUGUAGAGGAGAGAGAGACAGAAUUGCGUAAUUGUUACGCAGAAACCAUCGAUCUUAGUAGUGAAGACUUUGUGAAAAUGAUGUUACUAGAUGCCUCCUUCAUCAUUGUGGUUGUUGUAACCCAUUUUUGGGUCCCCACAAAAAUAAAUAAAAUAAAUAGCCAAAAGAGGCUAGAAAAAUAAUAGGAGGCAGAAGCGCUCGACAAAUGGUCAGAAAAAUCGGUCAAGGAGGUUAAAAAUACAAAGAUUGGAUUUUUGACAGUAUAUUCUUGAAGGAUGAGAGCCCUGUUGAGAAGGAAAUUUAAAUUUUGAGGAGAAAAACCCAAGUUUGGAUGUUUAUGGACUUAAUUGGAUUUUUAAUUGAUUUUAUAGAGGAUUUGAUUGCAAGGAAAAUUGAUUUUUAAGUCAAUUUGGGCUUUAAUUAGAAGAAAUUUAAGUUCUGGGGCCAAAAUAUAUUUUUUAGGAUUUUAUUGGGUCAAAUCAGGGGCUUAAUUGCAUAAAUAUUGAAGUUUAAUGGCCAAUUAGGGACUUAAUUGAGAAAAUCCGAAACCAGGGAUCAAUUUGGAAAAGGUGCGUAAAUAGGGGGCUGUUUGGGAUUGAUCCGGGGUCAAAUUGAAAGAAAUUGAAAACUGGAGGACUAAUGUCGCCUGUUACUGUUCACUUUCUUCCUCAAAAAGCUGCCUGAGGGGCUGCUUUCCAGGCGCAUUUUCCGGCUCGUGUGGCCUCCAAAUCCGACCAAACUUGCACCAAAAUAUCCACAUGAAACCCCUUUAUCCCGGAGAAUGGUCCGGUCGGGUCGGAAAAGUUAGAAACGGCUCCGUUGAGUGGCUCAAAGUGGCCACCUCGGGCAGUUCACAGCCUUGAGCUGCCAAAUUUGGCAGCCGAGGUGCACACUUUGAGCCAACGGUUGAGAUGCUUCCCAACUGAAUCAAGGGCUGAAAUUUUUCCCCAACGUAGACAAGAUUGCCCUCUUCCACAGCCUAUAAAUAGAGUCGGAUUUGAUGAUCUGAGGGAGGAGAAAUUCGGGUCCAAAGUCAGCCAAAAACCAGCAUUUUCGCCCAAUUUCUGCAGAUUUUUCUUCUCUUCUUUCUUCCUCUGCAACAGGAACCCGACGCCGUCUUCCUCCAACUCCACAGCUGCAACCACCUCAUCACAGCAGCCACAACCCCUUCGGCCAAGUGAGCCCUCCUUCCUUUCCUCCUCCUUCCUCUUCCUUUCCUCCUUUUCUUCUUCUUCCUCCAGUUACUGUUCACUGCAUGAACAGUAGGCGUGAAAUAUAAUUCACGUCCUACUGUUCACGCAGGACGUGAGUUAUAUAUAUAUAUAUAUAUAUAUGUGUGUGUGUGUGUGUGUGUGUGUGUAUUAUAUUAUAAAAAUAAAAAAUAAAAAAAAAUUCCAAAAUCAUUUUAAAAAAUGUUUAUUAAAGAAAAAAAAUGUUUUGUUUUCAUGCAUACGGCCAAUACUCUAACAUGUUUUGAAUGUUCUUUUUAUAUAAAAAAAAAUAUUGGAAGUUUUGAAAAUGUGUUUUCGCAUAGAUUUCUUAAACACAAAUUAUUUUCUUGCAUUUCUGGAUUUUACAACAUGUUUGUAAAACUCCAAAGGGUAUUGGCCAAUAUUCCAAAAACUAUAAAAAUCUUAUUUUGGGGGGGAAUUCAUCUAUUAUUCACCGCUAAUGUUUGGAUAAAGAAAUCCUUAAAGGAUGAAUAUCCAAAAUAUUAUUGGGAGUAAUAAAUCCGCACACAUCCUUGAAAGAAGCCUUGAUUAUAAUCGAGGACAUUUCAAAACUUCAAAUUUUUUACUCCACGGUUUACGAGCCAUGAAAGUAUGAAAUACUAAGGCAAAAGGAGGCUUUUAAAAGCGCUUUGAAUUUCCUUAGAUUUCUAAAUUUUUUGUCCCUCCUUCUUGCGAUUUACGAGUCGCAAACUUUUGAAAUACUAAGGGAAAAAUGAGCUUUCGAAGCACAUGGAAUCUCCUUGGAUUUCUAUCCAAAUAAUUUUUAUUUGAAUCAAACCUAGGAAAAUUGAUGGGAUUAGAAAACACCAACACCAUAGCAAUUAUAGAGCAAACCAAACACCAAGCAGCUUACCUUAGGUAGGGCGUACUAGGGGUGCUAAUACCUUCCCUUUACGCAACCAGUCCCUUGCCUUAGAAUCUCUGAAAGACCAGUUAGGGUUCCUAGUGACCAAAAUACUAGGUGGCGACUCCAAAGAACCAAAUCAGCAAAACAAAAAAACAAAACGAAAGUCGCCAGCCGAUGCCGCACUUGGAUUUUUUAGGGUGCGACAGUGGUCCUGCUCAAAGGUUGUGGUGUAGGAUUUGAAAGUAGCAAUGACCGUAUAUUCAAUAAACCAUGGAUGCAUAGCGAUGUAUCACUUGACAUGUGCUUGAUUGAAAAUCAGCUCCCAUUCUUCAUUCUUGAGGAUUUGCUUGAAGCAUCCAGCAUAAACAGAUAUAGCCCUGCUGAAGUGGGAUAUUUAUUGAUUGAGCUUACAUACAAGUUCUUCGAAGAGAGACAGGGGAAUUUUGGAGGAAAUCAAUUCAUCUGAAGUAGCACAUUUUGUUGACUUCAUAAGAAAAUGUCAGUUGCCAUCAGAGUCAGAUAAAACGAAGAAAGAACUCGAGACCACAAACAUACCAAGUAUAACUGGACUGCCAAUAUUGAGAAUAGAUGAUUAGACAGAAAUCUUAUUCAGGAAUCUCCAGGUAUUUGAGCAAUGCCAUUUUUUGGACGAAGAGUAUAUAGCUAACUAUAUUUCAAUGAACAAUUGCCUUGUCAUUACUCCUAAGGAUGUGGAAAUCCUUGUUCGAAAUGGAAUUAUAGACAACUGGAUACAUGACUAUGAAGCAGUUACGACUCUUCUUCAUAAUAUUUCCAGGGGAAAUUCUCUCACCCCGGAAGAUUUGAUCUUCGCUAGUCUCGUUGAAGAUCUGAAAGCAUACUGCAGGAGGCCUUGGAAUAAAUGGAAGGCAACCUUGAAACAAGAGUAUUUCCGUACUCCAUGGGCCAUAAUCUCUAUUAUCGCAGCCUUGAUUCUCCUCAUACUCACUAUGGUACAAACUGUGUGUUCUCUUAUGCAAGUGUAGCUUCCAGGAUUUCAAUUAAGUGUUCCAUGGAUUGGGAUUGCAGUUUGAUCGAUGCUUGUUUCUUUCAUGUUUUGUUUUUUUCCCUCAAUUAGUAUGUAUAAGUUUCCAGUUAUCAACUAGCACUAUGCUUCAGAAUGUCAUCCUUGAUUAAUAUAAGAUCAAAGCAAAUGAUUUGUCAUGCUAUUCCUGAUGACAUGAUUUGAUUUUUAUGCGUUUAGGUACUGUGAGCUCAUCUAUGUUUAGACACUAGAAAUCAGAGAGGGAAUUAUGCAGUCGCAGGCAAAUAUUUAAUCAAAAUUUGAAGACAUAACAUGUUACCAACAUCUAAAGAAUUAAAUGCAGUAUCAGAAUAUCCAGGCUAACUGUUCCUUGCCUCGGCUAAAAUUUGCAGAAUCUGGACAGAGUUCAUGUAUUUUAGUGGGUCAAGAUCUGGAUUAAUAUUAAAAUUAAAAGAAAAUAUAAAACUAAACAUGUAGCGAUGCACAGUGUUUUUCCAGUAUUUUGCCCAUAAUAACUAUAUAAUAAAAUUUACUUAUUAAUAAUUUAAAGAUAUAAUUAAAUUAAAACAUUAAUAAAUUAGAGAAAGAAUAUGGUCGUCCCUCCACUACUAAAACAACAUUUUAUUGGUCCCUCCACCAACUUAAUAUCAUACUUGUCCCUUCAUAAUAAUUUUUUAUUAAAUAACAAUCAUCAGUCAUAAUAAAUAGAUUAAUUUUUUUCUUAAUUGAAGGAUAGAGCAGACCAUUUGUAUGACAGUGAGUACAAGGAGAAAACAAGCAGCAAAAACAGAGAUGUUAGUCCAUGGAUUUUUGAAAUAAACCUGCUUCAAGAUUGCCUUCCACUUGUGCCUACGCUUUGUCAAUGUGACUUCAGGUCUUCGCAGACACCCGAAAGAAAACUAUUUUUAGUGACAACAUUUUCUUUGAUGAGGCUGUAAAGAAGAUUUGACACUGCUUCGUCACUGUUUAGCAUAUUUUUCAAAUUCUCAUUAUGAGCAAGCACUUCCACAUCAUUAGGAGCACGGACGAGGCGGCCGAUGAAAGUAAGAUUUCUGAAUACACUCAAACCUAUGAUGACAUUGCUCAAAGGCCUGGAGAUUUCUGAAUAAGAUUUCUGUGCUGUCAUCUAUUUUUAGUUGUGGAAUUUCCAGAAUCCCAUUACUGAAUGUUAUGUCAAAUAGUGAGUUUUUUUUCUGGAUUCUUAAACUUCACUCCAGAUUGACGGAGCUCCGUUGCUGUGGGUGCGCUUAAGAAAGUAUUUUUUUUGGCUGGAAGAUACUGUUCCGUUGACUGCUGAAACUUUCUUAGGACUCCAGAGGAAUUUAUGUUUUUCCAACUGUCCUCUUUUACCCAGGUAGCCCAGAUUUCUUUUAAUAACUCACAGGUAAGUUCCAUAAUGGUACAAUUCGUAGGAUUGGCUUCACGGGAUAGCUCAAACAACUUCCUGAGGAAGAAGAAUGGAAGUUGAUUUUCUAGCAAGCACAUAUCGAACACUACGUCAACAAACUUCCAUGGACGAAAGAAAAUCUGACUUGGAUGAUCUGUUGCUGCUGCUGCUUCUUUUCUCCUUAUACUCACUGCAUGCCAUACAUUUUUCACAUUUCUUUAUCAUAAUUGUUUCUAAUGCCAGAAAAACAAUACCUGCGGUCACAGUCCUAAAAGUAGGCUUUGUGGAAAGUCAUGCCAAUUAUUCAUGGAAAUUGCAUGACUUUUAUAGUCUUGCAUUAAACUUUAAUAAUUCUGUUGAUCGUUUUUAAAUCCGGCCUGUUAAUUGAUCGACCAGGUAACUGAUCCAGCUCAAAGCUCAGGUAAUGAAUUUUGAUCAGGUUACUCAAAUUAAUUUUAUUUUUUUUAUAAAUUAAAAUAAUAUUAUUUUAGUAAAAAAAAAAUCAACGGGCUGUAAUUUGAUUUUUAACUAGGUUAAUUUGGUUUUUAACAACUAUUUUUCAAAACAAUUAACCCGAUUCUUGCUCCAGAUCCCAGAUCAACCUAUCAAGUCAGCCAUGUUUUAAAAUAUAAUUUUGGUAUGAAAUUGACAUAGAUAUGGCAAAUGAAUAUCCUAGUCCAAUUAUUCAUUGCUUUAAGAAAUUGUUUUUAAAACAUCAUUCUCACGAACUUUCAUGAAUUAAUUAUGUAUUUUGAUGAAAAAAUAUUAUCCAAUAAUUUAAUUUUAAAUUUUAAAUUAUUAAAUAAGAUUAUAAGAUAUGAAUUAUAUUAUUUUUUAACAUAUUUUUUCAAGUAAAAAUCCUUUAAAUUUGAAACUUGUAUAAAUAUAUAUUAUUUUAUAUUUAAUUUUUAUCAAAUAAAUAAAAAUAAUAAAAUUCAAAUUCAUAACUAAUUAAUCAUUAAAAUUUUAAUAUCAUAUAAAAAAUUAAUAUAACUCAAAAACUUAAAUUAUUAAAUAAAAUAUUAUAUAUAAUUUAUAUUAUUUUUCAACUUCUUCAAAGUCACUACAUUUCCCCACAUUUAUUGUCGCUUUUUAACUGCUAUCUUUGUGGAAAGAAAGUUGAAAAGUGUUACAUUUUCCUGUAAUGCGAAAUUGAUUCAUAGUUUCAUAAAAAGAUUAUGUUUUUUAUUUUAAAAUAUAUUAAAAAUAAAAUAUUUUGUAGAACUACUUGGCAACACAAAUUCAUAUUUUUAAUAAGAAUCUCAUGAUCAUAAUAUUUCUAUAAUCUCUUUUGGAAAAUGUUUUUAUUCGAGAACUUUAACUUUAUUUUAAAUUUAUUCAUCUAACAUUAAAUUCAUAAAUUAAAUAUAAAUAAGUAUUAAAAAUAAAUAAUCUUUUGAUUAAUAAAAUUAAAUAUAUUUUAUAUUAUUAAAAUGAAAAGAUCAUUUUACAUUAAAUUAAUUAAAGAUAACAAAUAUAUAUUUUGGUUUCCCUACCUACACCAACUGUUCUUCAAACAAUAAAGUAUUAACUAUUUAAAAAAAAAAACUUACAUAUGAUUCAAGAUCAAAGCCACAGAACACCGCAUGUCAGUGGCACUAGUUGGGAUGUUAAUAUUUUAUUUUAUCCUAUAAAAAAAAACUUUGAGAAAUCAUGUAUUCCCACCAAUGAAUAAGGGCGUGGAAAUUAAUUCUAGUGUGAAAUCGACAGAGAUAGGGCAGAUGAAUGAUGAAUAUACGAUUCCAAUUAUUCAAUUGUAUCACAUGCAACCAUGCUAAAAAGUAUGGAAUAUCGCAAUAUUGUUAAUACAUAAAAACUUAUAACGACAUAUUCUAUGUCAAAUUGCGAUAUUCCAUGCUAAAAAGUAUGGAAUCUCGCAAUUUGUCCCACAUGGAAGGAUUUAUAUAUUCAUAAUACUCAAAAGAAUGGUUGAGACUAUAGUCUUUAAAUAUGAUAAAAAGCAGUUAAUAUUACUUAAUUUCAUGACCUUUCGAUCCCCUCUUCGGAUUACACUUAUAGUUUUCCAUUAGCUUACCGAUUUCACUGUCUCCUUCCUUCCUCCUUCACCUCUCGCCUUGCCCCUAUAAAAAUCGCCAGAACCUCCUAUCCCUACCCAUCAAAAACUUUAAAAUCUCUAGCUUUCCCUCGUUUUCUCGAGAAACAAACAGAAACCCGAAACCCAACAGCAAGAAAAUCCACCGGAGGGAAAGCCCUAAGGAACAACUAGCCACGAAGGCAGCCAGGAAAACAUCUCUUUGGACACGAGCUAAACUUCUAAAACUGCGGUUGUUGAGAGCAUAGUUAUUAAACCCGGCCCGGCCCGGCGGGUCGACCCGGUGGCUGGACCGGUUCGGGUUUAAUAAAAGACCGGCUGUGGCAACAGCCCGGCCAAACCAGGGCGACCCGGGACCCGGGUGACCCGGGCAAACCCGGACGAGACCCGGGUUUUUUUUUUUUUUAAAUGUGGAAUAAAAAAAAUUUUGAUUUAAAUAUUUCAACUUAAAAUGAUAAUAUAGUAUCUUUUCAAUGUGGGGUUUGAAGCUCUUUCAUAUAUAUACUCUAUGUUCACAUUAAAAAAAUUAUAUUUUUUCAAUGUGGGAUUUGAAACCCAUUAGUAUAUAUACUCUAUGUUCCCAAGGAAAAAAUCAUUUUUUUCAAUGUGGGAUAAAAAACCUUUUGGUUUAAAUUACUUCAACUUAAAGGGAUGACAUAAUAUUUUUUCAAUGUGGGAUUUGAAGCCCUUUCAUAUACAUACUCUAUGUUCCCAUGAAAAAAGUUAUGUUUUUUCAAUGUGGGAUUUGAAACCCAUUAGUAUAUAUACUCUAUGUUCCCAAGGAAAAAAUCAUGUUUUUUCAAUGUGGGAUAAAAAACCUUUUGGUUUAAAUACUUCAACUUAAAGGGAUAACAUAAUAUUUUUUCAAUGUGGGAUUUGAAGCCCUUUAAUAUACAUACUCUAUGUUCCCAUGAAAAAAGUUAUGUUUUUUCAAUGUGGGAUUUGAAACCCAUUAGUAUAUAUACUCUAUGUUCCCAAGGAAAAAAUCAUGUUUUUUCAAUGUGGGAUAAAAAACCUUUUGGUUUAAAUACUUCAACUUAAAGGGAUAACAUAAUAUUUUUUCAAUGUGGGAUUUGAAGCCCUUUCAUAUACAUACUCUAUGUUCCCAUGAAAAAAGUUAUGUUUUUUCAAUGUAGGAUAAUUUUUUUUUUAAUUUAAAUACUUCAACUUAAAAGCUUAACAUAAUAUCUUUUUAAUAUGGGAUAAAAAACUUUUUAAAAUAUUAUUUUAAACUUCAUUAUUUAUAAUAUGUAUAAUCUAUAUUUACAUGAAUUUUUUCAUAUAAAAUAUUAAUUUUUUUUUAAUUAUUACGGGUUAAUCCGGGUCGACCCGGGUCGACCCAUGAAACCCGAGACCCGGCCCCUUGGCCGGGUCAACCCCGGGCCGGGUUUAAUAACUAUGGUUGAGAGUAGUUAAUAUCGCAAUAUCAUUACAUAGGAUUCAACUUAUAACGACAAAAGAAUCCCAUUAAACACCAACUUGACCACACGAUAAUAAAUAAACAUUGAAUCUGAUCGAUCAGUGCUACCAACAGGAUUGCAUAAAGAGCAUCAAUUUCAAUAAUAUUAUAUUUUUACACCAAAAGAGAUGUGAAAAUAACAUUUAUACAAGUCUUGCAUUAAACUUUAUAGGUUUCUAGCUUCUGUUUAAUAAUGGAGACCCUAGUUAUGUUUUACAUGGAAAUUCUGGUCUGAAAUUGACAUAGAGAGGGCAGAUGACUAUCCGAGUCCAAUUAUUCACGUUUCUUUAAGAAACUCUUUUUAAAACACCCAACAACUUUCAUGAAUUAAUUAUGUAUUUGGUGAAGACUCAUGUCAUCAAAGUCAGGUCGUUCGGCUCAAUAUAUAUUUAAUAAUAAAAUAAUAAUAUAAUUAUAUUAAAAUAUAUUUAAUAAUAUAAUUAUAUAUAAAACAAUAUAGCAUAGUCUUUAAAUAUGCUAAAAAGUAGUUAAUAUCGCAAUAUUAUUACGUAGGAUUCAAAUCAUAACGAUAAAAGAAUCCCACUAAACACCAACUUGACUGCAUGAUAAUAAAUAAAUUUCGGACCCGAUCGAUCAGUGCUACCGACAGGAUUGCACAAAGAACCAUUACAUAUAGCUAGAACCAUUACAUUUUAACACCAAUUUUAAUAAUGUUAUAUUUCUACACCUAAAAAGAUGUGAAAAUAACAUUUUUAUUUCAUGAUAUUGGUAUAUUUAACAGUAUGGUUGUGUGUUUGUUUUUUAAAGUGUAUUUUAUUUAAAAAUAAAACAAAAUAAUAUUUUUUUAAUUAUUUUUUAUAUUAGUAUAUCAAAAUGAUUUGAAAACAUCAAAAAAAAAAAAUAUAUAAAUAUUAAUUUUUUUUUAAAACCUUUAAAAUGUAAAAACCAACAGUUAUAAGAUUAGUAUUUGCAUUAUGCUGGUGGGGUCAAUUUAAGACCAAACAUGGCCGAGAUUGAUUGAUUUUUUAAAAAAAUAAUUGAGAGUUGACUGAGACCUUAAUAUUGUUGGUGAAAACACCUUUUUAAAAAAUUCAUAAAUCGUCCUUUUAACUUUCUUUUAAUUUUUUUUAUUAAAACAACGGUUUUUUUUUUUCCUCUUCAUCUGCCAAUCAAUCGUCGACUGCGUUCCCAGCUAGCUCAAUAACUUGGGUAUCAUGUUUACAUCAUAUCACAGCAAUUGAACACAUCUUAAUUAAGAAACGACUACAUUAAUUGUGUCGCACCCCUAAGAAACGACUACAUUAAGAAACGACUACAUUAAUUUUUAUUUUUGUUCUUUGGAGUCGCCACCUAGUAUUUUGGUCACUAGGAACCUAACUGAUCUCAGAGAUCGGGUACGGAGACUGGUUGCGUAAAGGGAAGGUAUUAGCACCCCAAAUACGCCCUACCUAAGGUAAGCUGCAUUGUUUUAUUGUCUGAUAAAAAACUAAAGUGUUAUUGUACUUCUAGUCGUUGGUCUGUCUAUAGUUCAAGAAAAAUCCUCCUCAGUAAGAAGGUCUUUUAUCUUAUCGGGUAGAAUCCUAACCGUUCUAACGUCUAUACCAAACUUUAUUAAUAAUAUUUAGGAAUACAUUUUACGUAUAAAUUCGUAAUCCCAGAUACUAAAAGAAAACAAAAAGAUUUUUUUAGAAUUUUUGAAAUAUUGGCCUAGUUCUCAUGGCUUGAAUAAACUGGUUAUUAAAGCCAAAAUGCAUGUUAAUACAUAUAUUGUUUUGAAAAUUUUCUUUGUUGUGUGAAAAUAUGAUGUUAUAAUAUAUAUAUAUAUAUAUAUAUAUAUAUAUAUAUAUAUAUAUAUAUAUUGGAGAAACUAGGUCGUAUUUUAAAAAAAUAAAAAUAAAAUUGGAAAAUAUUAUUUUUUUAUGCUUUGACGAAAAUCGGGUAUUUUAAUACUGAGUUUAUAUCCUUACGGUAUAAAAAUACAACCCAAUAUUAAUCCACUUUGCUAAAAAUAUGCAGAAAAAUCAACAACAUUUUUUUAGGGACUUUUUAGAAAUUUUUUGAAAGCAAAAACAUUUUUAUUCUGAAAAAUAUUUGAUGUUUUGACGAAAACCGGGUAUUUUUAACACUGGUUUUGUAUCUUUACAGUAUAAAAAUACAAACCAAAAUUAAACCACUUUGACAAAAACAUGCAGAAAAAUCACAAUAUUUUUUUAAGAUUUUUUUUAAAAUAUUUUUUUAUUAUAUAAAUAUUUUAUAUAUAUAUAUAACAUAUAUACACAUAUAUAUUAUAUAUUAUAAUAAUAUAUAUGUUAUUAUAGGGCUGGGCCGGUCCAAAUAAAUGGGCUAGGCUCAGCCCAGAGAAAAAAAGGGGGCGGGCCGGUCUCGACCCGCCAUGACAUUGGGCCGGUCUUGGCCCAACACUAAAGUGGGCCGAUCUCGGCCCGAAACUAAAGUGGGCCGAUUUCGGCCCGAAAAACUUUAACAGUCUGGGCCAAGACCGGCCCAGACUUGCAAGGCUGGGCCAGCAUCGGGCUGGCCCAACACCUUAUGGCCCAGCGGGGGGGAGAAUUAUUUUUCUCCCCCCCGCCUCCUGCAUGCUACAUGCAGGAGGCAAGACGGCUACAACGAGAAGAAGAAAAAAAAUGCAGGGGGAAGAAAUGUGUACCUGGCGUGGAGGCGAUUGCUGGUGGAGCUGCGGUGGCGCUGCAGUGUCGUGGCCUCGAGGACGGCGGCGCUGUGGCUGUUCCCAAGCGGCGGAGAGAAAAGAUUUCCUUCCUCUUCCCCUCUUUUUUUCCUUCCUUUCUCUUUAUUUUCUGUUUUCUUUUCUUUUUGUUUUCGUUUUAUUCUUUUCUCUUUCCCUCUAUCUCGCUGGUUCUAUCUCUCUCUUCGGUCUCCUCUCUCUCUUCGGGUCUCCCUCUCUCUCUCGGCCUCUCUCUAUUUAUAAGCAAAAAAGGAAACGACGUGCCUUUUGUUAGUGCGCCUUCAAUCACGCAACGGCUGGUCGGCUAUUCUUGCUUUCGGUGGUGGUGGUGGGGGCGAGGAGAGAGAGGCGGGAAGUUUUGAAAAAAAGAAAAAAAUGGUUUUGUCUCUGUUUCUGUUUAUGCGGGGGAAAGGAAGAAGACGAACAGUGUCGUUCAAAACGACACCAUUCUGGUCUUUUUUUUUUUUAUAUAUAUAUGAAACGGCGUCGUUUUGGAUAAAACGCGCCGUUUCAUUUAAAUGGGUCAAACUUCAAAUCAGUCCUUCGGACUCGGUCCCCGCCCCUCUUGUUGGCCGCCUUUUUCACUUUGGUCCUUGGUCUCUGAUUUAUGCAAUUUAACCCUCAAUUGAUUAAUAAACUUUCAAUUUCUUCAAUUAGGCCCCUGAACCGAAAAAUUACAGCCCCUCCAUUUACGCGCCUCUUCCAAUUUGGUCCCUGGUUUCGGAUUUUCUUAAUUAAAUCCCUAAUUGGCCCUUAAACUUCAAUAUUUAUGCAAUUAAACCCCUGAUUUGACCCAAUAAAUUCCUAAAAAAUAUAUUUUGGCCCCAGAACUUAAAUUUCUUCUAAUUAAAGCCCAAAUUGACUUAAAAAUUAAUUUUUCUUGCAAUCAAAUCCUUUAUAAAUUCAAAUAAAAAUCCAAUUAAGUCCAUAAAAAUCCAAUUAAGUCCAUAAACAUCCAAAUUUGGGCUUUUCUCCUCAAAAUUCAAAUUUUCCUUCUCAAUAGGGCUUUCAUCCUUCAAGAAUAUACUGUCAAAAAUUCAAUCCUUGUAUUUUUAAAUUUCUUGACCAAUUUUCUGACUGUUUCCUGAGUGCUUCUGCCUUCUGUUAUUUUUUCUAAACUCUUUUGGCUAUUUAUUUUAUUUUUCAUGGGGACCCAAAAAUGGGUUACAACAGAUGCCCCCUCUUUAUAAUACUUACGGAGCAUGGGUUUUGCGUAGUAAGUGUUAUAAAGAUAAACCCAAAACGGAACUCCCGAAACUGAUAUGGUCGAAGCUUGAUUUAUCUGAAACUUUGUCCUUUACAACAAACCUCCUUAGCCCAAAAACUAUGAUCAAAACUUAGUUAUCUCGAGAUCCUUAUCCAGCGAUCCUCUGAAUUCUUACUUUAGCUUGAUCAAUAUGGAAAUCCAUCCGAGAUCCCAUCUGGUGAUCUCCUUUAACCUGGAAUCCCAUCUGGCGAUUCCUUUACCCAUAACCAAUACAAAAAUGCGUGUGUGGUCUCAUUAUGAUGGGUGACCUGCCCGAGUGGAAAAGAGAAAGAGUGGUCUCAUUCUUUGGGUGACCUACCCAGGGGGAAGAAUGGCCUCAUUAUUAUGGGUGACCUACCCAGGUAAAAAAAAUGGAGAAUGGUCUCAUUCUUAUGGGUGACCUACCCAGAAAAAUAUGGUCUCAUUAUGAUGGGUGACCUACCCAGAAAAAGGAAGAGUGGUCUCAUUCUUUGGGUGACCUACCCAGGGGAAGGAAUGGCCUCAUUCUUAUGGGUGACCUACCCAGAUAAAAAAAAAUGGAGAAUGGUCUCAUUCUUAUGGGUGACCUACCCAGAAAAAUAUGGUCUCAUUGUGAUGGGUGACCUACCCAAGGAAAAAAAAAAGAGUGGUCUCAUUCUUUGGGUGACCUACCCAGAAAAAUAUGGUCUCAUUGUGAUGGGUGACCUACCCAGAAAAAGGAAGAGUGGUCUCAUUCUUUGGGUGACCUACCCAGGGGAAGGAAUGGCCUCAUUCUUAUGGGUGACCUACCCAGAUAAAAAAAAAUGGAGAAUGGUCUCAUUCUAAUGGGUGACCUACCCAAGAUGAAAAAAAUGUGAAGAAGUGGUCUCGUUGUGAUGGGCGACCUACCCAAAUAUAAAGAAUAUGAAGUGCGGUCUCAUUGUAAUGGGUGACCUACCCAGAAAAAUGUUGGUGAGGGCUCAAAGGCACACUCGAAAAGAGGUAGGGUUAGAAAACUCACUACCCAAAAGUGAGGGCUAAAACAGCGCACUCGAAAAGAGGUAGGGUUAGAAAACGCACUACCUGAGAAAUGGUGAUGAAAUCCCGAUCUGACAAAUGUUGAAAGCAAUAUAUUAUGGUUAAUAUGCAUGUAUGUUUUUGUUACCUAUCUUGGAAACAUAGGUCCCCCUUUCGUCGUAAACCUCUUUGCUCUUGUUUCAAGCUUUUCUCAUGAACCGAAAUAUCCUUCAUAUCCUUUUAGUGAAGAGAUCUUUGGUUCCUUAUGGGGCCCUUUCUUGCUCCAUUGAGUUUUGCGCCAAAGGAAAAAAUUGGUUUUGUUCAUGAAAACUGAAACUUUUAAUGCAAUUAGCAAAUUUUAUAAAAGAUGCUUUUUUAGAAGUUUUUAUUAUGAUAUCCCUUUUGGGCUUGGGUUUACUAUGGACCCUUAUGUGCACUUCGUGCACCUUUUGCCCCCUAGUGUGAUGUGCAACUAUAUGUCAAGUAGAUUUGAUUUGGUUCACCAAUUGAUGGAGUCAUCUUCUUAGUCAUGCCAAAAAAGUUCUUUUAAACAAAAGAUUUCAAAUGCUAUGAGAUCAUAUGUUAAAUACAUAUAUAAAAGGACUCUUUACAAAGAGAAUUCAUGGCCGAAACUUAUUUUUAUUGACUGGGAAAUUAUGAAAUACAUCAAGCGUAGUAUUUCUUUACAGAGUCGGAAUUCACAGGCCUAGCUAGAUCUUCUCCAUCCAUUCUAGACAGUAACAAAGCUCCUCCUGAGAAUGCUUUCCUCACCACGUAAGGCCCCUCGUAGUUAGGUGCCCAUUUACUCUGAUCUUCUCCAGGUAAAGGUAAUAUUUUCUUUAGUACAAGAUCUCCUUCGUGGAAUCCUCGAGGUCGAACCUUCUUGUCAUAUGAUUUAGCCAUCCUUCUUUGGUAGAGUUGAUGAUGACAGAUCGCGGCUAUCCUCUUUUCACUGAUCAGAUUCAACUGUUCAUAUCUAACCUUUGCCCAUUCUACCUCUUCCAGCUCAGAGUCUAACAACACUCUCAAUGAUGGGAUUUCCACUUCUAAAGGCAUCACCGCCUCCAUUCCAUAUACCAACAUGUACGGGGUGGCUCCUGUUGAGGUUCGAACUGCGGUGCGAUAUGCAUGAAGGGCAAAUGGCAACAUCUCAUGCCAAUCCUUAUAGGUGACUACCAUCUUCUGAAUAAUCUUUUUGACAUUCUUGUUAGCAGCUUCUACCGCCCAUUCAUCUUUGGUCUAUAUGGCGAAGAAUUGGAAUGCUUGAUUUUCCAUUUAGUGCAGAGCUCUAUUAUCAUCUUGCCGUUGAAAUUCUGGGCGUUAUCAGUUAUAAUCUUUUCUGGUGGACCAUACCGACAUAUCAAAUCUCUCUCAAUAAAUUUCUUCACCACUUUUUGCGUCACAUGAGCAAAUGACCCAGCUUCUACCCAUUUUGUGAAGUAGUCGAUAGCCACGAGAAUAAACCUAUGACCAUUGCUGGCUUUUGGGUUUACCGGUCCAAUUACAUCAAUUCCCCACAUCGCGAAAGGCCAUGGAGAUGUUAAAUUAAACAGAGGAGCCGGAGGAGCAUUGAUUUUGUCACUGUAUACUUGGCACUUAUGACAUUUCCGGACAUAAUCGAUACAAUCCUUCUCUAACGUCAUCCAGAAGUACCCGGCUCUUUGUAUCUUCCUGGCCAUCACAUGUCCACUAGCAUGAGUUGAGCAAAUCCCUUCAUGGACUUCCCGUACCGUGCUUUUUGCCUCAAAUUCAUCCAAACAUCUCAACAAAGUCCCGUCAGAUGAUUUCUUAUACAAAAUCUCCCCAUCAAGAUAAAAAUCCAUUGCCAACUUCUCAAGGUCUUCUUGUCGAUUUUGGAUGCCCCCAUGGGAUAUGCCUGGUUUUGGAUGAAAUUCUUGAUAUCAUAGUACCACGGGUUUCCAUCCACUUCUCUUUCGACUGAGCAACAAUGAGCGGGGUUAUUUCUGAUAUUGAUGUGUACUGGCUGUACCUUGUGCCCAAAGUCUAUCUUGGCCAUAGAUGCUAGUGUGGCCAAAGCAUCUGCAAACUGGUUCCCUUCCCUUCCCAGAUGGGUGAACUCUAUUUCCUCAAAUUCUUUAGCUAGCUGAGACAGGUAUUCUUGGUAAGGCCUUAACUUCUCUUCUUUGGUUUGCCAUUCUCCUUUUACUUGGCAAAUGAUCAGCAUUGAGUCUCCAUACACAUCUAUCUUUUUAUGUUCAUCUCUAAUGCAGCCUCUAAACCAAGAAUGCAAGCUUCAUACUCAGCCGUGUUGUUGGUGCACCCGAACUGCAGCUUAACUGAAACCGGAUACUGCUUCUUAUCAGGAGAGAUUAUCACUGCCCCGCUCCGUUACCACAUACAUUUACAGCACCAUCAAAGUACAUAACCCACCAAUCUGAUUUCUCUUCCUCGAUUGCAAACACAUCUUCAUCGGGAAAGUCAAAGUUUAACGGCUCAUAAUCUUCCAUAGCAUGGUCAGCCAGGUGAUCGGCAAUAACACUCCCUUUCACGGCUUUCCUUGUCAUUAUACUAUGUCAUACUCAGCCAAAAGAACUUGCCAUCUUGCAAUUCGGCUAGAUAGAUAAGGCUUUUCACAAAUGUACCUUAAUGGGUCUAACUUGGAAAUUAACCAUGUAGUGUGAUACAACAUAUACUAACGUAAUCUCUUUGUAGCCCAUGCUAGUGCACAACAUAGCUUCUCAAUCACAGUAUACCUAGACUCAUAUUCCGUGAACUUCUUGCUUAGAUAAUAAAUGGCCCUUUCCUUCCUUCCGGUUUCAUCAUGUUGCCCAAGCACACAUCCCAUUGCUGUUUCGGUUACUGUUAGGUAUAAAAUCAAUGGCCUUUCUGGUACGGGAGGAACAAGCAGAGGUGGAUUUAGCAAGUACUGCUUGAUUUUCUCAAAAGCUUUAUCACACUCUUCAUUCCAUAUUCCAGGGUUCUUCUUCCUCAACAAACGAAAGAUCGGGUCACAAGUCGCGGUUAAAUGGGAUAUAAACCGAGCAUAGAUUUUACUUUUUCAGGAUCCACUUCUAUACCUUUGUCACUCACCACAAAUCCCAACAGCUUACCGGAUUUCACCUCGAAUGAACACUUUGCUGGGUUAAGCCUCAACUUAUAUUUCCUUAAUCUUUCAAAUAAUUUCUUCAAUAUUUGGACAUGAUUCUCUCCCUCUUUAGAUUUAGCAACCAUGUCAUCCACGUAUACUUCAAUCUCGUUGUGCAUCAUGUCGUGAAACAAAGUCACCAUAGCCCUUUGGUAAGUGGCCCCAGCAUUCUUUAAACCAAAUGGCAUGACUUUGUAGCAAAAGGUUCCCCAUGGUGUUACGAAGGUCGUCUUCUCCCUAUCCUCUGGCGCCAUUCUUAUCUGAUUGUAGCCUGAAAACCCAUCCAUGAAGGAAUAUAUGGAGCUGCGUGCUGCAUUAUCAACUAACAUAUCUAUGUGUGGUAAAGGGAAAUUAUCUUUAGGGCUAGCCCGGUUUAAAUCCCUAAAGUCCACGCAAACUCUGAUUUUACCUUCCUUUUUGGGUACCACCACUAUGUUUGACACCCAUUGUGGAUACUUCACUACUUCCAAAAAACCAGCGUCCCAUUGUUUUUCAAUUUCCGCCUUUACUUUGAUUAAGACCUCCGGAUGAGUUCUCCUUAACUUCUGCUUAAUCGGCUUGCAUCCUUCCAUCAGUGGUAUUCUAUGCACUACAAUGUCCGUAUCCAGACCAGGCAUAUCCUCGUAGGACCAGGCAAAGACAUCCACAUAAUCCUUGAGCAGUGCAAUCAACUCUUCCCUUGCUUCGGGGGUGAUCAAAGUCCCUAUCUUCAGCUCUCGCUUGAUUUCUUCAUUGCCUACAUUUAUGGUUUCAAGUUCCUCUUUAGCAGGCCUCCAAGCCUGUUCGUGUUGUUCUAUUAAUUUUGUGAAUUCCCAUAUGUUUUCCUCCUCCCAUUCCUCAUCUUCUACAGCCACUAUGUAUUCUUUAAAUUUUGGCCAUUCAUUCUCAAUGUAAAGUGCAAGUGUUGUUGUGGAGGAUCCGCUUUCAGAGUUCCUGAAAGCGGAAAGUGAUGUGUAAAUGCAUAGUAAGACAUCAAGAUGAAUUUUGAAAAUGCAUGAUCUCAUUAAAAAUAAAAGAUUGGCUCACAAAAAUAAAAUCCAUUGACAUCUUGAGCCUCGAUUGUCAAUGAAUAAAAACAAAACAAAAAGGCAAACAUAGAUAAAAAUAUAAUCCAACCAUCAUUGUUGAUUACAUUUUAAAAACCAAUGGAGCUUCUUGGGUCUCCCAAUUCUGGAACUUCUCCCCUUCGGCUAGCUUCCGGACAAAAGUCUUGACGGUGACUUCUUCCAAAGUGUGGAUGGUCAAUUGUGGCAGCUCUUCAAUCCUCCUUUCGGACUCGAUUUUCUCAGCAAUGUCCUUGACUUGAUUUUCCUCCAGAGUGUUUAUGUUCAUUGAAGAAACUUUGAAAGAGGUCUCCAUGUCCCCCAUCAGGUUGUAUCACAUAUGCGGCCUUUGGAAAUGAAAUCCUGAUUGGAGGGAUGGCUAAGUUUUCUUCUACAGGCUUCCUUCCUUCCAUCCUAGCCAUUCUCUUCUCCCUUCUUGCACCAGCAGCUCGUUUGUAAUCCUCUUUCUUGGGCUUAUAUCCAAGCCCAAACCUCUGUUCUGCAGCUUUCAAUUUGAUUAUACCCCUCCAUUCAGGCCUUCUUUGCUCCAUAUCGUAUGGGAAAGGAAUCUUGUUUUUCAAAAAGAUUUUAGCGGCCAUUUUAGUGGCUUCAGAGAUUUCUGGCUUCCUCAACACAGUGUUCUCGGGCACCCACUCGGUAUUCACAAUCUCAAAUGCAUGAAGGUUUCCGUCCCUACAAUCUUCUGCUUCAAUGAAUGGAACCGCCACAUUUCUUACCAUCGAUAUAGUCUCCUCAGCCUUAACAGUAACCAGGACACCGUUGGCAAUGUACUUUAAACAUUGAUGUAGCGAAGAGGUGACAGCUCCCGCAGAAUGUAUCCAUGGCCUUCCUAACAGCAUGCUAUAGAAGGGUGGAUAUCCAUCACUUGAAGGGUUACUAGAAAGACUUGUGGACCCACAGCUAGUUCAACAUCAAUUGACCCUACAACUGGCCUUGAUGAGCCAUCAUACGCUCUGCCGUUAUCACACUGGGUUGCAUAUGUGAGGGAUCUAUGGCAUUUCAUCCAGCACAUGCCUUGGUAACACAUUCAGGGCCGAGCCGUUAUCAAUGAGAACUUGCCGACGAGGCAAUCCUUGCAUCGGACCGUGACAUACAAGGGCUUGUUAUGUCCAGUUCCUUCAGCAUCGAGUUCAUCUUCCGUGAAAUACAAGUAAUUGGCAGCAUGAAUCCUCCCUACUAGAUGUUCCAUAGUCUUUUGCUCGAUAUCUUGGGGCACAUAGGCCUCAUUCAAUACUUUUUGCAAAGCAUUACGAUGUGGCUCCGAGUUGAGUAUUAAAGACAUGAUGGAGAUCUUAGCAGGGGUUUUCUUCAACUGAUCCACUAUACUGUACUCACUAUGCUUCAUCAGUUUCAAGAACUCAUUUGUUUCUUCCUCAGUCACAGGUUUAUUCACCUCAAACUCUUUAUCGAGGUCCAGCACCUCCUUGCCUUUAGCCUUUCUUUGUCUUUCUAGUUCUUCAGGUGUGUAACAACGACCACUCCGAGUUAGCCCACUUAUCUCCGUUCGGAACAGCGGCAAAGGAGCUUCAACAUUCGAGGUAUAACCAUAAUCUCCAGGCAUCGCUCCAUAGUUUACUUUGCUUGCAUAGGAGGGCCUAGUUAAUACCAGUUUUGAGCGACCAUUAGCUGUUGAUUGGAUUCUACAUUUCUCUAUCAUCCCUACCUCUUCAUUGUCACUUACGUCCUCAAUCCUCAACUCUCCUAGAGCCAGCAUUCUUGCAACUUUUUGAUGAAAUUCACUGCAUUCAUCAAUGUGAUGCCCUUCCUUUUUAUGGAAAGGGCAAAAGUUACUUUCCCCUGUGCAGUACUCAGUCGUUUCUUCCAAAUGUCCAGACUGUACCAACAUCAGGUAUAGCUUGGCCAUGGUCACUUUCAACACCCUCUUUUUGCUACCAAUCUCCAUGGUAUUCACUCCUCCCCUACCAUCAACAUGCUUAGGUAAAGGGUUGGAAUUCUGAUUUGGCGAAUCCUCAAAAGUGACCCAUCCCACUUUGAUUAGUUGCAACACCUUUCUUUUAAAAGCGAAGCAAGACUCAAUGCUAUGGCCUGCAUGACCAGCAUGGUAUUCACAAGUUACCUCGGGGUUGUACCAGGCAGGGAAAGGUGGCUGCAUAGGUGGUAUGGGUAGGGGAGCUAUCUGCCCGAUACUCAACAGCUUGGCAUACAACUCUUUUAAGGUUAUUGGUAGAGGAGGUAGUUGUUCUUCUAAUGGUUGCUUAUCCCUUCUUUGGUAAUUGUUGUGGUUAUUUGCUGGGAAUUUUACUUGAUUGGGCUGGUUUGGAGUGGGGGGUUUGGAAAAGUUAAUACUAGUGACUUGGGGGGUAGGUAUUUGAUAGUUUUUGCUUCUCCUUUCUAGGUUGUUCACCUCAAUUUCUUUCUUCUUUCCAAUGAAACCUCUCUUCUCUAGAGGUUCUGCAAUUCUCCCACUCCCGGAUCCCUUGUUCAAUCCUCUCGGCGAUCCGCACGACAUCAUAGAAAUGUUGUGCUGAACUACCCAUAAGGUGUUCAUAGUAUGGAGCCCUGAAAGUAUUGGCAAACAAAGUCACCAUUUCUGUCUCUAUCAGCGGAGGUUGCACAUUGAUAGCUUGGUCUCGCCACCUUUGAGCAUAAGCUCUCACGGACUCUUGACUUCCUUUCUCCAUGCUGAUCAGACUGGUCCUAUCAGUUGCACCAUGUAUUGAGCUCUAACCUUCCUUUCUUCUUCUAUGUCGAGGUUGGCUAGAUGAUUCUUCUCCUUCUCAACUUCUAUUUUCUUUAAAAGAAGUUUCCUUCCCUUCUUCAAAGAAUCCAUUGUCUCCUUAUCAACAUUCACGCCUUUUGUUGCCCUUUUAACCUUAGCCAAUUCUUUUUCUGCUAUCCCAUUCUUCUUGACCAACUCAUCAUAAUCAGCUAUUCGAUUCCUUAACUCAGCCUGUACCCCCGUUGUUAUCUCUUCAGCUACCUCGGCCCUUUUCUGCCAUUCCUUUAGAGACAUUAGCUGCUUCUCUUGUUUUUCUAACCGCUGAUUCAAGAAAACCCUCAUCGUAUUUUCCUCCUCUAGCUGGUUCUCUAACAAUUGUUGUCGCCCUUUACUUUUGCUGAGUUCUAUUACACACUGAUCUAGCUGCUUUCUUAGAUCUUCCUCAUCAUCCUUUCUUUUCCUUUUCUGUGUUUCUAUCUCUGCCUCUGACUAUUCUUGUGUAGAGAGACCCUUUACUUCAGAAAAUCCUCAUUCCUCCAAACUGUAUAAUUAUGGCUGAAUGAGGUUUCAAAACUGCUUCCUUCUUCUCUUUUACCUUCACGGGUCUUUCCCAAUCCUGUCGGAUAAGCUCCAUUUCUUUGAUGAACGGUUGGUGCUUGAAUAACCCAAUGAAAUCAUCUAAACCCAAGGUUCUUGGCGUAUAUUGCAUUCCGCCUAACUGCCUUGUUACGAGGGCGGGCGCAUAGCUGAUGUAACCAGUUACACCAAUUAAAGGAACCCAUAUCUUGCUUCCGCAGCUCAUUGUGCAAAUAGCGUUGUUCAUCCACGGUGCUUUCCAUUUGAAGUUGCUACUUGGCAAUGCUGCAUACUUAUCCCUCCAUGCCUUCUCAUCCCAAUUCCUCCAAGUCUCAUCUAUGGUAAUCUUUAACGGUCGCAAGUCAAACUACCAAAAGUUGUUGAAGAUGUCUCUUGGUGCUUCGAUAUGACUGAUUAUCCAUAGGUACAACAUAGGGACGCAGCACCUCAUAGCUCCUUUUCCAUGUGUUCGGCAGUGAUUAAGAGAUAACAUGGUUUCCCCCAAGAUGGCCGAGGAAGGAUUGAUCCAGUCAUGCUCAUAUUCGAUGAAGACACUCGCUGCUUCUAAACUGAUGACCCCAGUUUCAGAAGGGAACAACACUAGCCCAAAAAUGGCGAAGGCCACCAACCUAUAUCGUUCGUCUCCCAACUUGCCUUCUUCGGCAUUUUUCUUCAUUCGAGCUUCAAUGACCUUCCAUUUAAAACCCCCUUCAGCAACUCUACACUGGCUGAUCUUUCCUAAGCCUAAUAAACUGACUACUUCUGAAGCUGUGUCUUCAAAUCUGCGUCGGCGGUAGAUUCGGCAGCUGUCAUUUGGAAAAUCCAGGAUUCUCUCAUAUUCUUCCAAGGUGGGCGUCAUAUCGAUGUUUCCAAAGGUAAAGCAUCGAUAACUAGGAUCCCAAAAAUUCAGAAGGGCUUUGAUCGCCGCUGCUUGUACAGGCAACUUCAUUAUUUGUGUAAUCCUCCCAUAUCGCCUUUCAAACAGGGUCUCGUCAACAUAUUCCAUGAUAGGCAAUAACUUUCCUAAAUCGUUUACCAUGUGAUUUACCUUGGUAAUGCAUGGUAACCCACUAGCAUCGAUUCUUGGGCAUUUUCCUUCGGCAAUCUGAGCCAACUCAGACUCUUGUCCAUAUUCUUGGAAAGAGAGGUACUUAGUCAUGAUUUCAGCUCAAAACCUGAGUUGAUGAAUUUAACCCAUUAAUCGUGAUGCAAAUGAAAAUAAGAUUCAUAACCUAAAGACAAGCUCUAUUUAUUAAGUGAGAGAGGGUAGUUUUUCUAUCUGGUCUCGAAGGGUCUCAUAUCUGCCCAGUGACAUUCUUCGUAAAGAAGUAUGGGGGCGUUGCAAGGAACAGUUAAGACACGUAUGCCCACCAUUACCAAGCAGGCACUCAGAUAUGAGUUGGGUGUUUCACGCAUUUAAACCCUGACCAAUAGUCUUAGGGUAAAUCGCUAAUUCCCCACUUAACUUAAAGCUUGUGUGUGCUUUUCAAAAUUAAGGCAAGUGAUGCAUGAAACAAUUAUAUACAAUGCAUGAAUAAUAUGCGUAAAAUAAAAAAUAAAUACGCAAAUAAAAGGAAAUGCAUAUUAACAAUAAACACAAAAAAAACACCAACAAAUCAGAAAAAAACAAUGCUUACUCUACAAUUUCCCCAGUGGAGUCGUCAUUCUGUCGCACCCCUAAAAAAAAACAAAUUUCAAUUGCGGGUUCGACUGGCGGAAUUUUUAUUUUUGUUCUUUGGAGUUGCCACCUAGUAUUUUGGUUACUAGGAACCUAACUGAUCUCAGAGAUCGGGUACGGAGACUGGUUGCGUAAAGGGAAGGUAUUAGCACCCCAAAUACGCCCUACCUAAGGUAAGCUGCAUUGUUUUAUUGUCUGAUAAAAAACUAAAGUGUUAUUGUACUUCUAGUCGUUGGUCUGUCUAUGGUUCAAGAAAAAUCCUCCUCAGUAAGAAGGUCUUUUAUCUUAUCGGGUAGAAUCCUAACCGUUCUAACGUCUAUACCAAACUUUAUUAAUAAUAUUUAGGAAUACGUUUUACGUAUAAAUUCGUAAUCCCAGAUACUAAAAGAAAACAAAAAGAUUUUUUUAGAAUUUUUAAAAUAUUGGCCUAGUUCUCAUGGCUUGAAUAAACUGGUUAUUAAAGCCAAAAUGCAUGUUAAUACAUAUAUUGUUUUGAAAAUUUUCUUUGUUGUGUGAAAAUAUGAGUUAUAAUAUUUAUAUAUAUAUAUAUAUAUUGGAGAAACUAGGCCGUAUUUUUAAAAAAAAAAAUUUUGGAAAAUAUUAUUUUUUUAUGCUUUGACGAAAAUCGGGUAUUUUAAUACUGAGCUUAUAUCCUUACGGUAUAAAAAUACAACCCAAUAUUAAUCCACUUUGCUAAAAAUAUGCAGAAAAAUCAACAACAUUUUUUAGGGACUUUUUAGAAAUUUUUUGAAAGCAAAAACAUUUUUUAUUCUGAAAAAUCUUUGAUGUUUUGACGAAAACCGGGUAUUUUUAACACUGGUUUUGUAUCUUUACAGUAUAAAAAUACAAACCAAAAUUAAACCACUUUGAAAAAACAUGCAGAAAAAUCACAAUAUUUUUUUAAGAUUUUUUUUAAAAUAUUUUUUAUUAUAUAAAUAUUUUAUAUAUAUAUAUAUAUAACAUAUAUACACAUAUAUAUUAUAUAUUAUAAUAAUAUAUAUGUUAUUAUAGGGCUAGGCCGGCCUAAAUAAAUGGGUCAGGCUCAGCCCAGAGAAAAAAAGGGGGCGGGCCGAUCUCGGCCCACCAUGACAUUGGGCCGGUCUCGGCCCGACACUAAACUGGGCCGGUCUCGGCUCGAAACUAAAGUGGGCCGAUCUCGGCCCGAAAAACUUUAACAGUCUAGGCCAAGACCGGCCCAGACUUGCAAGGCUGGGCUAGCAUCGGGCUGGCCCAGCACCUUAUGGCCCAGCGGGGGGGGAGAAUUAUUUUUCUCCCCCCCGCCUCCUGCAUGCUACAUGCAGGAGGCAAGACAGCUACAACGAGAAGAAGAAAAAAAAUGCAGGGGGAAGAAAUGUGUACCUGGCUUGGAGGCGAUUGCUGGUGGAGCUGCGGUGGCGCUGCGGUGUCGUGGCCUCGAGGACGGCGGCGCUGUGGCUGUUCCCAAGCGGCGGAGAGAAAAGAUUUCCUUCCUCUUCCCCUCUUCUUUUCCUUCCUUUCUCUUUAUUUUCUGUUUUCUUUUCUUUUUGUUUUUGUUUUAUUCUUUUCUCUUUCCCUCUAUCUCGCUGGUUCUAUCUCUCUCUUCGGUCUCCUCUCUCUCUUCGGGUCUCCCUCUCUCUCUCGGCCUCUCUCUAUUUAUAAGCAAAAAAGGAAACGACGUGCCUUUUGUUAGUGCGCCUUCAAUCACGCAACGGCUGGUCGGCCAUUCUUGCUUUCGGUGGUGGUGGUGGGGGCGAGGAGAGAGAGGCGGGAAAUUUUGAAAAAAAGAAAAAAAUGGUUUUGUCUCUGUUUCUGUUUAUGCGGGGGAAAGGAAGAAGACGAACAGUGUCGUUCAAAACGACACCGUUCUGUUCUUUUUUUUUUAUAUAUAUAUAUAUAUGAAACGGCGUCGUUUUGGAUAAAACGCGCCGUUUCAUUUAAAUGGGUCAAACUUCAAAUCAGUCCUUCGGACUCGGUCCCCGCCCCUCUUGUUGGCCGCCCUUUUCACUUUGGUCCUUGGUCUCUGAUUUAUGCAAUUUAACCCUCAAUUGAUUAAUAAACUUUCAAUUUCUUCAAUUAGGCCCUGAACCGAAAAAUUACAGCCCCUCCAUUUACGCGCCUCUUCCAAUUUGGUCCCUGGUUUCGGAUUUUCUUAAUUAAAUCCCUAAUUGGCCCUUAAACAUCAAUAUUUAUGCAAUUAAACCCCUGAUUUGACCCAAUAAAUUCCUAAAAAAUAUAUUUUGGCCCCAGAACUUAAAUUUCUUCUAAUUAAAGCCCAAAUUGACUUAAAAAUUAAUUUUUCUUGCAAUAAAAUCCUUUAUAAAUUCAAAUAAAAAUCCAAUUAAGUCCAUAAACAUCCAAAUUUGGGCUUUUCUCCUCAAAAUUCAAAUUUUCCUUCUCAAUAGGGCUUUCAUCCUUCAAGAAUAUACUGUCAAAAAUUCAAUCCUUGUAUUUUUAAAUUUUUUGACCAAUUUUCUGACUGUUUCCUGAGCGCUUCUGCCUUCUGUUAUUUUUUCUAAACUCUUUUGGCUAUUUAUUUUAUUUUUCAUGGGGACCCAAAAAUGGGUUACAACAAAUUGUUUAAAACCAUGAACUUCCCACUCCAGAUCAAAGGCACUUUAGAAGCUUUUGUUGUUUUUUCCUGUAAAAAAUAUUCAGUAAAAAUGCAGAGUGUUGUUUCGAGGGAUUCGAGAGUUGUUCGAAAAAACUUUAAAUUUUGAUCCCGUUAUCAUAUCCUACAAAUUGAAGGCUGCCCAAAGGUAAGGAACUUGUCAUCUUAUUGAAGUAAAUGAUUGAAGUAAACAAUCAUUCAAAAUAAUAUUCUACAAUAAUUAUUUGUUGAUUAUUAAGCUAAUUGAUGAAUUGACGGAAAUAAUAAAUAUCUCAUAAAUGUCAACAAUGUACGGGUAGUUUUGUAUCAAUUCAACUUGUAUAUCAAUUCAUUGUUUGUACAAUAAAUCAUUUUUAAGGAUGGAAAAUUAAGAAUAGAAAUUUAUCAAAAUCUUUUCUAAACUUGUUCCUUACUUUUAGUUUUUCUUAUUUGUAAUAUUUUUUAAACCAAAAUUAAUUUGUCAACACUCCUCCUCAAGUUGGUGCAAAGAUAUCUCAUAUGCCUAACUUGUUGAGAGAGCAAUGAAAUACUUUACUUGAUACUGCUUUAGUAAGUAUAUCUGACAGUUAAUCCUCGGAUUUGACAAAAGAAAAAAUCACAGUCUUCUCAUCAAGUUUAUGUUUGAUGAAAUGUCUAUCUACUUUCACAUGUUUAGUUCGAUCAUGUUGAACUAAAUUAUUAGCUAUGGCAAUUGCGGCUUUAUUAUCAUAGUACAUCUUGAUCUCAGUUUCCAUAAGAUAUCCUAGCUCUUUUAGUAGCCCAUUUAUCCAUAGUAUUUCACAUAAUCCUUUGGUCAUCCCUCUGAAUUUUGUUUCAGCACUAGAUAAAGCAACAACAUUUUGCUUCUUAUUUUUCCAAGUCACCAAGUUUCCUCCAACAAAGGUAAAGUAUCAUGAAGUAGACUUUUUGUCAGUCAAAUUUCUUUCCCGGUCUACAUCAGUAUAACCAAUGAUGUUACGGUGACCAUUCUUUCAGAAAAGAAUUCCUCUUCCUAGAGAGGAUUUUAAGUAUCUAAGUACUCGCAAUGUUGCCUCCAUGUGUACUUUACUUGGGUUGUACAUGAAUUGGUUGACUAGCCUGACUACAUAUGUGAUAUCAAGACGUGUAUGUGAACGGUAGAUGGGGCUUCCCACCAAUUUCUGAUAUCGUUCUCUGUUUGUGGGAACCUGAUUUGGAUAUUCCGCUGAACAAUGAUUUUGUACGAUUGGUGUAUCCACAUGUUUGCAAUCCAACAUACCUAUCUCAACUAAUAGGUCCAAUACAUACUUCCUUUAUGAGAGGAAUAUGCCCAGUUUUGAUUCGUAUACUUUGAUGCCCAAGAAAUACUUUAACCCACCAAGAUUCUUUAUUUCAAAUUCACUUGCUAGAUACCUUUGUAAUUCUGAAAUUCCUUCUUCAUCAUUUCUUGUGACUAUCACAUCAUCAAUAUAAAUAAUCAAGGCUAUUGUUCCCCCCAUUUCUUUUCAAAAAUAGUGCAUGGUCCGAGUUGUGUUUGGCUAAAUCCAUGCUUUUGUAUUGUUAGAAUGAAUCUUUCAAACCAUGCUCUGGGAGACUGUUUCAGUCAAUAAAGUGAUUUUGUAAGCCUACACACCUUUUUUUUUCCCAGUAAAACUUGGAGGAACAUUCAUAUACACUUCCUCCUCUAGAUCUCCAUGAAGACAUGCAUUUUUUACAUCAAGUUGAUGUAAAGGCCAGUCUAGGUUUGCUGCAAGUGAUAGGAGUCUUCGAAUGGUGUUCAGUUUGGCUAUUGGUGAGAAUAUUUCCUAAUAGUCUAUGCCAUAUGUGAAUGUAUAUCCUUUAGCUACCAGUCUCCCUUUGUAUCUUUCUACUGUCUCAUCUGCUUUAUAUUUCACAGUAAACGCUCAUUUGCAUCCGACUAUUUUCUUUCCAUCUGGCAAUGUAGUUGGUUCCAAAGUAUUAUUAUUCUGGAGAGCUUUCAUUUCAUCAUAGAAAUGUUUUGUGUUCAUCUAGCAUAGCUUUUUCAAUGUUUUGUGUGGACCUGUUUUGAAGAUACUUUUCCCAUGAAGACCUUUGUUGCAGCUGACAUGUUAUGGGCUGAGAUAAAAUUUGCAAUUGAGUAUUUGGACUUUCUUCCUUUUGUUUUUGGUGAGUACCGGCUUUGGGUUACUCCCUGAUUAUGCAUGUGAGGUAAAUUGUAUGUCAUAAAAUCAGGUAAUGUAGAAGAGUCAGGAGAUCUUACCUUAGUUGUAGUGUCAGGAUUGUCCUCAUGAUUCUGAUUUUGAUCGUGUUGUAUAUUGGAGAGGGGGUUAUUCGAUGUGGCUUGAGCAUGUAAGUCGAUAUGGUUGAUCUGUUCAGAAAUUCCUGGUUCUGUUUGAGUAUGGUCAGGAUGAACCCAAUCCUAUAUUUGUUGUUCAUGUCUAUUCUCCCCCUGAAGAACAGACGAGGAUGGUUCAUUGAAGAAAUAUUCGGUCUCAAUAAAGGUUACAUCCACAGUAACAUAGAGUUUCCAUGUAAGGGGAUCAUAACAACGGUAUACUUUCGUAUGAGAACCAUAGUUAAUAAAGACACAACGAACAACACAUGGAUCCAACUUGGAUCCUUGGUGCUUCAGAACAUGUACAAAUACAACACAUCUACAUAUCUUUGGAGGUAUAUGGAGUGUUGAAGGUAGUUUAACAUACUGUUCCAAAAUUUGGAGUGGUGUGUGAAAAUUAAGUACUCGGGAUAACAUCCGAUUGAGAAGAUAAAUAGAUGUACUCAUGGCAUCAGGCCAAUAUUAUUGGGGCAUAUGGACAACUCUCAUAAUGGUUCGUAUUGUCUCUAGUAUGUGUCUAUUUUUCCGUUCGGCAAUUCCAUUCUGUUGAGGAGUAUGUGGACAAGUAGUUUUGUAUAUGAUGCCCUUGUUAUCAUAAAAUUGUCUAAACUCUUGGCUAAUAUAUUUGCCUUUAUUAUCAGAUCGAAGAGUUUUAAUGCCCAUAGAGAACUGAGUUUGUAUAAGGGUAAUCAAUUUCUGAAAAACUGGUAAGACAUCUUUUUUAUGUUUCAACAUAUAAACCCAAGAGAUCCUUGUACAAUCAUCAAUAAAGGUGACAAACCAUCUAAGGCCAGCUGUAGUCAUAACAGGUGCAAGGCCUCAUAAGUCAAAGUGAAUAAUCUUAAAUGAUGCAUUACAUUUAUUAUAAUUGAUGGGGGUAAUUUGUUCGAUGACUUUUACCUAGGAUACAAUCCUUACAUUUGAAACUAGAGAGUAAUACUUCAAAUAAAUUAGGGAAUAAAUGUUGUAGAUAGCUGAAUGAUGGGUGUCCUAAUUAACCAGUAAUGCCUUAACCAAAUGUCUUGUUCUUGCCGCUGUGAUGAUUGGACGGAAUGAACUUUUCCAAGGUCUAAAUCAUCCACAUAAUAAUCUUCCCCUCUUAGUACCACGAUAAAAAAUCUUCUUCAUGAAAACAUCUUAAAACAAACAAAAUAAGGAGUACAUCAGUACGCAACAAUUUAAAUCUUCUGUUACUUGCCCUAUUGAUAAUAAUUUAGUGGAGAGUGAAGGAAUAAAAAGAGUAUUAAAGAGAAUGCAUGUGGUUGAUAAUUCCAUUGUUCCUCUCACUGUUAUCGGAUAUAUAUCACCGUUAGCAUUUGAUAUGGCCUUCCAUCGAGGAACUGACUUUGUUUUAACGUCAUUAUGAUCAUAGGUCAUGUGAUCUAUCGCCCUUGAGUCAAUAAUCCAAUUGUUUAUAUGUUCAUCGUUGCGUGGCCAUUUCGUUUGUGUUUUUUUCCCUUCAGUUCAUACCACCACUCUGGAUACUCGUGUAGUUGAAAACACGUGUCUUUAGUGUGUUUAUUUCCGCCACAAUGAGUACACCCGCCCUCCUGGGAUUUUGAUCUAAGAAAAAUUUGUCUGUUGAAAUUCAACCCAUGUGGUCCAGGCCUGGGCUGAAGGGUCUGUUUAUUGAAAGAUGAUGGGGCAAAAGAUGGUUUGGAUGAGUUGCCACCAAGUCCAACCUGUCUGUUCGGGCUUACGAGAGCUUUGUCAUUUUGUUGUCCUAGGUUUACCAUGUCUUCCCUUCUCAUGUCACCCCAGUUUCUGUCUUUUCCCCUUGUUAGUAAACCAAAACUAUCUCUCUCUUCCUUCUCCAUCAUCACGGUUUGUCUAGUGUUCUCUCUUCUUACUUGAGCGAAGGCUUGUUCGAUCGAUGACAAAGGGAUCUGUUGAAGAAUGUCUCGGCGGGUUUGAUCAAAUUGAUCAUCCAAACCAUCCAAGAAGGUAUAAAUUCGAUCUUCUUGAAUUAAUUUGUUGUAUUCUUGUAUGUCCAGCUCACUGCAUGUCAUGGGAUUUGGGUGUCUGUAGUCAAUCUCUCACUAUAGAGAUUGUAAGCUAGCGUAGUCGUUUUCUAGAGAACCCCUCCUUCGUGUGGUUUGACUAACAUUUCAUUUUAGGUUAUAUACAUGUACAUUAUCUCCUCCGUCGAAGUAGCUUGUGGCAAUGACGUCCCAAACACUUUUAGCUGUAAGAAACAUAAUAAAAUUCCCAAUUAAAUCUAGGGUUAGGGAAUUGAUACACCUUUGGUAGUAAGAAACAUGAUAAAAUUUCCAAUUAAAUCUGGUGUUAGGGAAUUGAUAAUCCAACCUUUAACAAUUACAAAAAUAUGUUUUAUAAAAUUUCAAAAAUAUCAUUAUUCAAAAGCAACUUUAUCCAUACAUGUGCUUCAAAACAUUUUUCCUUUUAUUUUCUGUUUCUUUUCUUGUAAUAUUUCCUCACUUUCUUUUUUAUAAAAUCAUCAAAUUUCAUUAAACUCAAGAAAUUGAAAACAUCAUCAUCUACUGUAGCUUCAAUUUUUCCCCACCAUUGAAUAAGGGUAUGGGAAUUCUAUUGUGAAAUCGACAGAGAUAUUAUUAUCAGGACAGCUUUCAUGAAUACUAUAAAAUCCAAUUCUAAGAACAUAUUAAUGUAAAAUAAAUUAUAUAAUUUUAUUUAUACUAGUUCUAGAUUUAAAAUUAUUAUUAUAGAAAAUCACAUGAAUGAGAUUCUUAAAUUAAACAAUUUUUUAAAUCUUAAAGAUUAAAUAUAUAUUAAAAUAAAACAAUUGGUCCUUCGAAUUUCUCCCACCAUUAAAUAAGGGUCGUCACCGUGUAAACAAAUUCAAGGAACAUAUCUAAGCAGUUAAAUUUCUAGAUUAUAGCAUUAAUUGUAAGAAUAUCUAAGAAAAACGAAUCCAAUUUUGAAACAUAAAAACGUGUGCAAAACUUAGUGAUUGGAGAAGUGACAGUGAUUGUAGUGGCAGUAAUUUUCAAACAUUACAAUAUGUCAAGAAACCUCCCCACCGUUGAAAUACGUGUAUUGGAAAAUAAAAUUUUACAAUAAAGAAAAAUUUACAAUAAUUAUUUAUUGAUUAAGUGAAUAUUUAGUUUUACAUUUAAAUUUUUUUUUUAAAUUGAGUGUUUUUUAAUUUUUUAUUCACUUUAAAUUAUUUUUUUUAUUAUUUUUAUAUCGUGUAGUAUUUUUAUAUCGUGUUAAGGUGUUGAUGUCAAAAAUAAAAUUUAAAAUAUAAAAUAUUAUUAUUUUAAUAUAUUUUUAAAUAAAAAAUAUUUUAAAAAAUAAUAAUUAUCAUAUAAUUAAAAUUUAAUUAAUGGAUUGACGGAAAUAAUAAAUAUCUCAUAAAUGUGUGUUUAAGAAAAGAGAAAUUUUGCAAACCUAGGCUCCGUUUGUUUGCAAGAAAGUGAAUUCCUUUUAGAAAGUGAAUUCCGGGGAAAGUGAAUUCCUGGAAAGUGAAUUCCGGGAAAGUAUUUUCCGAUGUUUGGUAGUGUUAUGGAAAAUGAACUGGAAAACACUUUCCAGUGUUUGGUUGUGUCAUGGAAAAUGAGCUGGAAAAUAACUUAUUAAUAUUUUAUUUUUCUCAAGUUUAUUAAAAUAAUGAGGAACAAAUCUUACAAAUUAAAAAGUUGAAUGAGAAUGAAAUUGAAAAAAAAAAUAUAAUUUCAUAAACUAUCUCAAAUAAAACAAAUAAUAAUCAAAAUAAUAGGGAUCAAAUUUGAUAAAUAAAAAAUUUCAAUAAAAAAAUGAUAAGAAAAAAGCAAAUAGCAAUUAUAAAAAUAAGGAUCAAAGUUAAUAUAAAAAUAAAAUUUUAAGAGAUGAAAUUGAAAAAUAAAUAUUCAAAACAAAAUAUAUAUAGCAAUCAAAAGUUUGAGAAUCAAAUUUGAUAUAAUCAGCAAAUAAUGACAUUUCUAAAUAUUUCACAACUUCCGAAAAGUGUUUUCCCCUCAAAUUUUUCAGGAAAACACUUUCCUGAAAACUAAGCCAAAUUUUCCUUUUACUGGAAAGUGUUUUUCAUUGACCAACUUUCCUACUGGCAAACAAACACAAGAAAGUUUGGAAAAUGCUUUCCCGGAAAUCACUUUCCGGAAAACAAACACAGCUAAAAGGAAAACACUUUCCUGAAAACCAAGUCAAUUUUUUUUUUUGACUAAAAUUGACUGGAAAGUGUUUUCCGUUGACUAGAAAGUAUUUUCCGCUGACCAACUUUCCUAAUGACAAACAAACACAGGAAAGUUUGGAAAAUGGUUUCCCGGAAACUACUUUCCGAGAAACAAACAAGGCCCUAAGGCUGUUUAUAUUACUUGUUAGGGGUGAGCAUUUCCGGUUCGGUCCGGUUUUCACCCAAAAAACUAACCAAACCGAUUUAUUUAUUUAUUUUUAAAUUAAAACCGAAACCGGUUCAAACCGAGCAUUUUCUGUUCGGUUUGGUUCAGUUAAUUGAAAGGAAAAACCGGAAAAAACCGAUUUCAUCUUGGCCAAGCAUAUCAAGCAAGUUUUCUGAAUUAGGAAGCCAAAAAGAACAAGAUUCAAACGAAAAUUUGAAAAAAUAUUUAUCACAACAUCCAUUACAUCCAUUACAGUAAUCACAACAUAAAUGGCAAAUCAACAUUCUUGUAAAUAAAUAUAGAAAAUGAAUACAUAACAGAUCUACAAAAAUUUUAAAAAAAAAUAAACAUGGACAAAAAUUAAGAGAAAGAUUGAAGAGAGGGAGGCUCCCGAGCUGCUAUUUGGUUGUAAAUCCAUGAGUUUAGUCGAUUAUGCUUAAAGAAAAUGACAAAAAAAUUGUGCUUAAAGCCUUAAAGAAAGGUUGAGAGAGAUGAGAGAUGGAGAUGUUGAGGGGGGUUUGUGAGAAAAGUUGAGAGAUAAGAGAUGAAGAUGGAGGCUGUGAUGGGGGGUUGUGAGAAAGGUUGAGAGAUGAGAGAUGAAGAUGGGAGGGGGGGUUGUGCAGAGAGAUAAAGAUUGAGAAACAUGGGCAAUAAAAGUUAAGAGUGAAGAUGGGGAUGAGGGCUGAGUUGAGAGGUAAAGAUUGUGAAACAUGGGUGGCGGCUAGGGUUUAGAAAGGAGAAGGGGAAAGCUGAAAAGUAGGUAUUUAUAGUAUUAUUAAUUUUUUUACUUGAACCGGUUCGGUUCGGUUCGAUUUAUUCGGUUUCAGCUUUUUAAAACCGAAAACAGAACCGAACCGGCUUGUUUUUUAAAUUUUCUAAUCGGUUUGAUCGGUUUCUUUUUUUAGAUUCGAUUUUUUCGGUUAUUUUUUUUUCGGUUUUCUCGGUUUAAUCGGAUUUUCGGUUUUUUUGCUCACCCCUAUUACUUGUUAAUAGGAAGCAAAUAAAGCAUUUCUAUUGGUCACUUAACAGAGUACGCAGGUGGCGAUCCUCAUCACGCUUCUCUAAACAUUCACAGCCGCUGAUCACAUUAAGAUUCACGGUCCAGAAAGUCUCCACAAAGAGAGGUAAGGAGCUCCAUAAGAUGAAAAACGAGCCCGCCUCAAAGAAGCAAUCCUUUUGGCUGCAUCAUGUGCACGCGGAUCUCCAUCUCCACUGCCCAUUAGCUUACCGAUCAACGGCUCAAAUCCCAUUUCACUGUCUCCUUCCUUCCUCUUUCACCUCUCCUCUUGCCCUAUAAAAAACCCCAGAACCUCCUAUACUUACACACGAAAACUUCUCAAAUACCAUUCUUGGCACAUCUUUUUGGACACUAGAGGUAGAUUGUCAUCAUUUGAGACGAGAAGAACUUCUAAAACUGCCGGUUGUCGAGAGCUAUUAGGUGUGCAAGUUUCUAUCCAGCAGGCUUUUGAUGUUUUUGUCAAUUGCUUUUAGAGUAAUAUUAAUGGAAUUUUAUGAAAACUACAAGGGUAAUAGUGGGAAAAUUGUAAUGAUAAGAGUAGAAGUAGAACAAUGAUGAAUCUGUAAGGAUAAUUAUUAAUUGAAGUUUACCCUUUUAUUUUACAGGAAGACACCCCUAAUUUGUAUUCCAUAAUCAAACAUAAUUUGUAUGCCAGGUUUUUUUUUUUUAGCGGGUUAACAUGUGAAAAGACAUGAUUUAAGAGAAUAUUGUUCAAUUUUGAUUUCUUGCAAAUAUUAUUUUGGUUGUUUCCUGAUAAUGUUUUUCUUAAAUAUGGUAUUUCAAUUUGUUUUAUCAAAUAGUGAUUAAUUAUACGUGCUGGUUCUAACCCCGUUGAUUAUCUCAGUUCGAUCAUAAGAUGGAAAUUGUCGAGACAUCAAGUACUGCUCAAAGGAUAAAGGAUCAGAGCCAUGAAGUUCCACUUGAUAUCAAUGAGUUAGCCAACUCUUUGAGGGAGCAAUUGAAGAUCAAGAAGGCUUUUUCCGCGGCAUGUUGUAUCUAUAGAGUCCCUGAGAGGUUACGGAAGUUAAAUGCAGAGGCAUAUACACCUCGAGUUGUGUCUAUAGGCCCUAUUCACCAUGGUAAGGAAAAUCUAAAAGCUAUGGAAGACCACAAAAUAAUGUACCUGCAACAAUUUCUUGAACAGAGCAAGGUAAGUCUGGAGGGUUUAUGUAACGUUAUCAAGGAUAAUGAAAAAAAAUUACGUGAUUGUUACGCAGAGACCACUGGUCUUAAUGAUGCAGAGUUUGUAACAAUGAUCUUACUGGAUGCUGUCUUCAUUUUUAUGUUCUUGGUGAAGUGGAAACACAUGGACUCCGACUCCGACUCCGAAGAUUCUAGAGACUCCGAAGAUUCUAGAGACCCCGUAGAAAUCACAGAUUGUAGUGGAGAUGGAUGUAGUGACCAGAUCUUCUUUCCUCCGUGGAAGUUACCUGACGUAAAUUUUGAUUUGUGCCUGCUUGAAAAUCAGCUUCCAUACUUCAUCCUCGAGGAGUUGUAUAAACUAUCCCGUGUAGAUGAGGAAUGUACCAUUAUUAAGCUUACCGGUGGGUUACUAGAAAGACAUUGCCCGGAAUGGGUAAAAAGGGACAGUUGGAACACAUUCAUAUCCUCUGAAAUCCUUCAUUUCGUUGACUUCCUAAGAAAGUGUCAGCAGCACACUCCAGAUGAAGAAACUUUUUUGUCACGCUCGUCCAGUGCAACGAACCGGGACAGUCCAGCGGAACAAACAUCAACGUCAAAAGAUGUUGGUCAUCACGGUGCUUCACGCAAUCCAUUUCUGCACCGUCUAAAGAAUGUAGCAAAACAUCUGGCAGAACAAACAUCAAUGAUGCGAGGGCGCGCACCCAUUGCAUCCAUCCAGCAGCGUCCAGCAGAACAAACAGAAAAUGCUGAGUUUGUAAUCCGUGUUAUGGCUGCACACAAUCCAACCAUGCUGCACCGUCUAAAGAAUCUAGCAAAACUUCCAGCCUCCCCGCACCAUCCAGUAGAACCAUCACCCACUUUAAGCGUGCCCACUGCAUCAGAGCUUCAUCAAUCUGGAGUGAAGUUUAAGCUUUCAAAAGAAGGAAAACUAUGUGGCAUACAAUUCAAUAAUGGUAUUCUAGAAAUUCCACAACUAGAAAUACAUGACGGUACAGAAAUCCUAUUCAGAAAUCUCCAGGCUUUUGAACAAUGCCAUCAUUUGUCCAAGGAAACUUUUGUGAGUGACUAUAUUACUUUCAUGAAUUGUCUUGUCCGUGCUCCUGAUGAUGUGGAAGUACUUGUUCAGAAUGAGAUUUUGAAAAAUAUGCUAAGCAGUAACAAAGCAGUGUCAAAUCUUUUUCACAAUCUUAACAAGGAAAAUAUUGUCACUAAUCGUUUUCUUUUGGGAGUUUGCGAGGAUCUGAAUUCAUAUUGCUCCAAGCGUUGGCACAAGUGGAAGGCAAUGCUCCAAGCGUUGGCACAAGUGGAAGGCAACUUUGAAGCAGGAAUAUUUCAAAAAUCCAUGGACUGGCAUAUCUGUUAUUGCUGCUACUUUUCUCCUUAUACUCACUACCGUACAAACGGUGUGCUCUAUCCUUCAGUUAUGAUAAAUAUUUGAUCUUUGUAUUUAUUUAUCUUUUUUAUGAUUUUGAUGUACUCUAAAUGGUGUGGUCUAUCCUUAAGUUGUGAUAAGUAUUUAAUCCCUUUGUAUUUUCUGUUCUUUUUAUGAUUUCAAUGUACUUAAUCUCCCUUGUAAUGAUAGUUCUUUUCAUUUCUCUUUUGUUUUUCCUGAUCUUGUUUAUUCUCUGCAACACAAACCAGAAUAAGUGGCAAGCUAAAUUUAUAAAUCUGACUCUCUCAAACAUUUGUAAGAGGAACAAAAACAUUUUACAGGAGAAAAAUAAAAGAGUAGAGUUUUAAAUAGCCAGGAGUUGUUUUAAAUGUUGAAUAAUUUUUAGAAUUGUCUAUAUAUAGAGAGAGUAUGACAAUUAAUUUGUUUUUUUUUUAUAUAAAUAAUUUAUUAUUAUUAUUUUAACCGAUGUUUUAAAAAACACAACUAUAUUUUAAAAAACACUUCUUAAAGACACAAUUUCUCAUUCACUCAAACUGGUGCAACUUCAAUUAAUGUAUUCUAUGAUAAAGCAAAUUAUUAUAAAAGAGGAUCCUUUGCUUGCCAUUGUAGCAAUUGUAAAGGAGCGACAAAUUUGUGAAUAACUCUUUGGAACAAUUAUAUUAAAGAGGGAGAGUCUACCAUUCUUGUUACAUCUUUUUGGACACUAGAGGCAGAUUGCCAUCAUUUGAAACUUCCGGUUGUUGAGAGCAUUUAGUCAUGUAAGUUUCUAUCCAGUAGGCUUUUUAUGUCCUUUGUAAUUGUUUUAAUGCAUAUUGUUAUUUUCUUCCUGAUACUACAUUGAUUAAUAUAGAAUUUAUUUUAGCAUUUUGCCUUUAUAGAUUUAUCAAUGUUUCACUUGUAUUCCUAUAGUUUAAAAUUAUCCAAUGUUUUCACUUCUAUCCCUAUAGUUUAUUUACUACUAAAUAACUAAAAAAAAAGAGAGGUAGUUUUUCUUACUUUUCAAGUUGACUUCCAAGUCCGAAAACGUUGACGAAGAAUUUUGUGUAGAAUUAGAAGAGGUGCAGAAUUGCAGGAAAAAAAGUAGCAGACAAGAAAACUCUUCAAAAAAACUUCAGAAUUUCAGAGUUUGUGUAAGUAGCAGACACUAGAGUCCUUUUUGUUUUUGGUUCAGAAAAAUGCUUGCAAGUUUUAAUUUAGAGAAGCUAUGGAUUUUUAAUGUUUAGCUCUUUCAAGUAGUCAAAGACAUGCAUUUAGGUGAAACAUUUACAAUUAGAAAAACAAAGAAAAAAUCAGAUUUGAUUCCUUACAGAUGCUCUUACGGGUUGUCUUGGAAUCUUGUGUUUGAUUGUGCAUUUUUCAUCUCCUUUUACAUUUGUUCUUGAAAUUUCUUUUGCAUUAAUCUGAAACCCCUUAAAAACUAACGCAGACAGAAAUAACCACAAAUUAAGAUUGUAAGGUUAUCAGGAAAGGCUAUACAAAAGAAGCUUGAGAAAGCUUAGCCUUGCACAAUUCUCAUAAUAGAAGGAAAAAUACUUUAAAUUUUAUUCUCAAUAAUCAAAACUUAAUAUUACACUUUUCCAUCGCAAAGGUGAUAAACUAUAUAUAAAAUCUCAAUAAUGAUAAAAUUUUAUUAUUUGCUGCAAACUAAAAUAAAUAUCUCAAUAAAAAAUUAGUGAAAUAGUUUUUUUUUUAAUUUCUUUGUUGAGGUUUGUAAGUGAACAUAGUUCUCUCUUUCUUUUUAUUUUUAUUUUGGACUCUUUACAUUAACAAAAUUUAUAAAUAUAUUCAGUGAAAAAACUAUAAAAUAUCAUUUUAAUUCUAGUAAUUGAAGUAACACUGAAGUGUUAUCCAAAAACAAAAAAAAAAACAAAUUUUCAUGUUAAAAUAAGUUUCCUUUGAAUUUUACAAUUAAGUUUUUAGUUACAUAUUUCCAUCUUAAUAUGAAAAUUUAUGUCUAACCCAUUAUACAUGGUGGCAAACAAAAUACUCUUGGAAUUCCACUGUCCUUCGUAUUCCAAAUAAUCUUGACAUAAUUUCGAGUCAUAAGAGUAUGAAGCUAAUUAGUUGUCAUGUCAUUAGAAAUAAAAAUGAGUAUAUAUACAUAGGUUUGGUUUUAGUACUAAGCCCAAAUCCAAAACUAAAAUUCAUAUCCAAUAUGAGUAUAAAUGUUAGAUAUCCAAAUUCAACCUGUUCAGUUUCAAGCAUCCAAAUUGGAUAUUUUUAUUUUCACAGUUUCUUUAAACUGCACUGCACUGAUAUAUAUAUCUCAGCUUAACGGUUAGGUUAAUCAAUACAAAAUAUUUAUGGGAUUGAACUAUCAAAGGCGAAAAAAGAAACACAUGAAUCCUAAGAGACAAGGAAAGCUCACAAAAUAUGACAAAAAAAAAAAACACUAAUUUUCUCUAACUUGACUACCACAACCUAGUAAUAACAUAACAUGUUAUUUGUUGCAGCAGAUGGAAAAACAACAGGAUCAAGAUUUUGGGUCAUCAACCGUUUCAAUCACCUUGCCCUCUCUUGAAACCAAAAUAAUUCCUUCUUUUACCUUAUAAAAACACAAACCAUAAACCAAAACAGUAAGAAAAUCAAAACAACUAUGAAUAAGUUAAAGAAAAGUAAUGAUUAUUAAAAGAGACAUCAAUGGAAGAGAAAAUUUGUUUCUUUGCAAUACCUAGAGACCCACCAAAGAAAAGCAGACAAAGUUCAGGAAUAUUGAAAGAAAAGAAACUGUAAAAAUAGAAGGGAACAUGUAGUUGUAUAUCAUGUAAUUGUAUGCACAAGUUUGGGAGAUGAAGAUUUUCUUUCUUGUUUUGCACAACUUCUAUUCAAGAAAAUAGGCCGAACUUUGUCUCGCAUACUCGUAAUUGUAUGCAAGUAGACAAUUGAAAAUAGGCCGCGUAAUACUUUUUUAUAAUUAAUGCUUCGGGUUUAGAAAUAUCUGUGAUGACACGUAUUUUACUCUUCAAAAAUAAAUGAAAUUUGCUUUUUCGUUUUUCGUUUUUCUUUUGAGAAUAACUAUCAAAUAAAGUUACAUCUUUAAGCACUCAAAAUUAAAUGAAAUAAAUAUUAUUUUUCAAUCAUUAUGUCUCACAAGAUUUGCUAAAAUGAGGUAAUGUAGACUAAUAUUUGGUCUAUUGGUUAUGGAAGAGUAGCAAUUCUUGAGAUCGCUAAGAACUUUAGAACUUCUAGGGUUAUUUUGUAAUUUUUAAAAUUGUUGGGGUGUUUAUUACAUUUGAGAAACAUGAGGAAUUGUUAAGAAAAUUAUGAAAAUUUUGGGUGGCUUUGAAAUAUUUAGUGUCCAUUCUGACAUUUAUGAAAAUUAUAUGAUUGUUUUGUAAUUUCAGAACAUUGACCGGUCUGAUUUUUUUAGAUUGUCUUUUUCAAUGAAGGUGACUUUUCAUGGUGAAACUUCAAGAGGCUCAUCUAGAUUCUAUUUGGACUGAUUUUUGUCUCAUUAUAAUUUUUUUAUUGAGUACUUUUCAAUGAUGCAUUCAAAAUACACUUUCAAACAUUAUUAUUUAAGGGUAAAAAAUCAAGAACACCUUCUAUUUUUGCUUCUUAGGCUUUGAUACCAUAGUUGGGUGGAGUGGAUGAUUGAGGUUACUAGCUGUGCACCUCCAUGAGAGACAAAUACACACAAACAAACACUAAAUUCAGAAUUCUUUCAAACAAUACUCAAGAUUACAAUGCUCUCUCUAACACUCUUUAAUCUCUUGAUCAAUCCACACAUCUAAACUCCCAAACCACAUGCCUAAUUAUAGGAAAACAAAACACUAAGAAACCUUAUUGAUUACAUCACCCCAUGUAUUUUCUUCAUUUUUGUUCUAUUACUGCACCUCCUUCAUUAAUGGCUAUUGCAUUCUUUAAUACUGGCGGUUGCCUCUUUCUUUCACAAUUGCACCCACCCACUUCUAGAAAGUAUAAGCUGAUGAUGUGUUAUGAGUCAAGUUUAAAUAUUUAAUCCCUUUGUACUGUUUCCCCGCCUUAUGAUUGCAAUGUAAUUAAAAUCCUGAGUAAUAACAGAUCUUUUUCGUUUCUUGUUUUCCUGAUCUUGUUGCAUAAUAAAUUAAUCCCCCUCCUAAAGAAAAUAAUAUGCAACCAUCUCGUUUCCUCUAUAACACCUAAAAAAACACUUACAGCAUCGAAAUCCAACCAAGCCGCUACCCUGUCACCAUCAACCUCGCCUAAUACACCACUGUCUCAGAUUUUCCUAGAGCGAUUCACCUCUUGGUUAGAUUAUCAAACCCUCCGCAGAACUUUUAACAAAUAUGGCGUAGUAAUUGUUAUGUACAUAUCACGACGACACAACGGAAGAAACUGGAGGUCUGGCUGUGUUACAAUGCAAACAGAUUCUGAACAACAGGAUCGCCUUGGAAAGCUUAAUGGAAUAUGGUUUGGGUCUUAUCGUCUACGUGCAAAUUUGAAGCGGUUUCAACUGGGGAAAUAUACAAAUUCGCAGCAUCGGAUUCCGAUAAAAAAAAGCAUGUUCAGCGUGUAUCAGUCAGGGAGUGCGACUGCAGAAGUUAUUAAUUAUAUGGUUGCGCGAAAAGGGAAAAUCAGCAGUGAUUCAGCUAGCACUCGUCAACUCCAAAGCAAUGCAUACCCUGUUACUCAAACAGUGGAUAUAAACGUAGCCCUUGUCAUCCAAGAUAAUAUUAUUAAUGCGGUCCCAGUUGUUCAACCAGUGCCUUCACUCGUUAUAACACAUGAUCCAGAAGAGGAGGAGCUUGCAUUGAUGGAGAAUAGCUUAGUAGGAGUGAUAAGUGAAGGUGUUAAUUAUCAGGAUAUCAGGAAGGGUUUGCUUUGUAACGGAGUUCAAUUAACGGGUUUUCGUUUUAUGGGUGCAUCAGAAGCUUUGAUCUCUGAUAACGAUGCAUGCAGUUUCAAUCCUUUUCCGCAAUAUUUCAAUGGAAAAUCUUAUCAACGUCGAAAAUUUCUACUUUUCUGGUGUAGUUGAAUUCUAGAUCCUCGAAGAUCUGAACAAGUACUACCGAAAGCGGGGACACAAAUGGAAGGCAUUCUUGAAACAGAAGUAUUUCCGUAAUCCAUGGGCUAUAAUCUCUGUUGUAGCAGCUGCUGUUCUAGUCAUACUCAUAUCAUACAGACAGCGUGUUCGAUCGUUCAAGCUGUUUGAUUAUGCUAUCUCAAUUGUUUCGUAUGACUUAAACUCUGUGUACCUCACUAUCUAGUCAUUGUUAGCUUCUUAAAUUUACCUGCUGUAUUUCUCAACGAAAAAGCAUCAAGAAAUUUUUUAAUAAAUUAUGCUCUAUAAUGUGCCAUGAGUGUUUGCUUUAUGCUAUACUUCAAACGAGGUUUAUAAUAGAAUAUUGUUAACGUGCAAACCAUUUUAAUUGAAAUGCUUUAAAGCCACUGUAGAAAAUGCUUCCACCUUUGAUGCAUUUGCUAUAUCCUAUACUUUUUUUUGGAUAAUUAUCAAGAGUAUAUUGAAAAGGCCAUAAAGCCAAUAGUUAAAAUGAAAUACGAAAAUAUUAAAAAAAGAAAAAAGAAAAAAAAAAACCUCGUUUGAGAGGGCUGAGAAUAUAUAUUAUAUUGCUGAAUAUUCCCUGUAAUUUUUAACAUUUAUUCUAAUCUAAGACUUUAAGCCUAAAAUUCUAAUAUGUUGACAAGAGUUCUAUAGAUUAAGCAAUGUGCUCUUCAAGAGAGAAUAGUACUAGUACUCUUCUUCUUGCUGAAAAUGCCGGACUUGAAUUUGAACAGAAAGAUCAAAUCAGUCAGAAUUCCAAUUCCAGUAGCAUUUUAAUUCUAUUUAAAGUUUGUUAAUAUAUAAUUAAUUAAAUAAUUUUAUUUAUGAUUUUAUAAUUUAAAUUUACAAUCUAAGUUUAUAUUAUAAAUUGCAUGUCGUGUCAAAAAAAGUUUUUGACAACCUUGAUUCACACAAGUGUUUGGGAAUCUUAUCCUUUGCUUGCCAUUGUAGCAAUUGUAAAGGAGCAAUAGAACAUUUUGGAAUUUUCUUAUUAAAUAGGGAGAGUCUAGUACCAUUCUUCGCAGAUCUUUUUGGACGCUGGAGGCAGGUUGACAACGAGCAAAACUUCUACAACUGCCUGUAAGUUUCUAUUCAAUGUUUUCACUUCUAUCAUGAUAGUUUAUUUACUACUAAAUAACUGUGUGAUAAUCUGAUGCUUUUCAUAUUAUAUAUAUAUAUUUUUUUUUUCUCUUAUUAUUUCCUCUCAAGUCUUUAUGCAUGUCAUAGUAUCUUACAACAAAAAUCCGAAACCUAAAAUACUUAAAAACCAAAAUUAAAAAGAAUUAGAUAUUUCAUAGUUAAGAGUAAUAUUAACAGGAUUUUAUGAAAACUAUAAGAGUAGGAGUAGAAUAUAAAUGAAUCUAUUACAAGGAAAAUAAUUGAAGUUUACCCUUUUAUUUUACAGCAAGACACCACUACUUUGCAUUCCAUAAUAAAACAUGAGUAAAAAGCACGUCACUAGAAACCCCUUGAAAACUAACACAGAUAGAAAUAACCACAAGUUAAGAUUGAUUUCAUGCAAACUAUUAUUGUGGUUGUUUUCAGAAUAUGUUUUUUUCAUGACUUAGUGAUAGUAUAUACGUGCUGUUUCUAAGCACCAGCUAGCCAUUGUAUCAGUUCAAUCACAGGAUGGAAAUUGUUGGAACAUCAAGUACUGAUCAGCAGAUAAUGGAUCAGAGCGAUGAAGUUUCACUUGAUGUCAAUGAGUUAGCCAAUUCUUUGAGGGAGCAAUUGAAGAUCAACAAGGCUUUCUCCCGGGCAUGCUGCAUCUACAGAGUCCCGGAACGAUUGCGGGAGUUAAAUGAAAAGGCAUAUACACCUCGAGUGGUCUCAAUAGGGCCAAUUCACCAUGGUAAAGAAAAUCUAGAAGCUAUGGAAGACCACAAAAUAAUGUACCUGCAACAAUUUCUUGAGCGGAGCAAGGCAAGUGUGGAGCAUUUAAUUAACAUUAUUAAGGAGAAUGAAACAGAAGUACGUGAUUGUUAUGCAGACACCAUUAAUCUUAGUAGGAAAGACUUCGCAACAAUGAUCUUACUGGAUGCUGUCUUCAUUAUUAUGUUCUUACUGAAGUUGAAUUGCGUUGGAGAGUCUUAUGAAAGUAGACGCAGUGACCGCAUUUUCUAUCGUCCAUUUAAGCUCUCUGACGUAGUGUAUGAUAUGUGCUUGCUUGAAAAUCAGCUUCCAUUCUUCAUCCUCCAGAAGUUGUUUGAGCUAUAUAGUGUAGCUGCCAAUCCUGAGAAUUGUACCCUUACUGAGCUUACCUAUGGGUUAUUAAGAGAACCAUGGUCUAACUGGGUAAAAGAAGACAGCUGGAAAGAAAUCGAUUCCUCUGGAGUCCUGCAUUUCGUUGACUUCCUAAGAAAGUGUCAGCAGCCAAAGGAACAGCGCCGUGCACCGAAAGCAAAUACUUUUUUUGACGCACCAACCGCAACAGAGCUCCAUCAAUCUGGCAUGAAGUUUAAGAAUCCAAAAAACGGCUCAUUAUUAGACAUAACAUUCAGUAAUCGGAUUCUGGAAAUACAAGACGGCACAGAAAUUUUAUUCAGAAAUCUCCAGGCCUUUGAGCAAUGCCAUCAUAGGUUAUUGGAUACUUUCGUAACUAACUAUAUUACUUUCAUCAGCCGCCUCGUCAGGGAUCCCAAUGAUGUGAAAGUACUUGAUCGUGAAGGGAAUUUGAAAAAUAUGCUAAUCAGUGAAGGAGCAGUGUCAAAUCUCUUUUACAAUCUUCAAAAAGAAAUUUUUGUCACUACUGAUGGUUUUCUUUCGGGUGUCGGCGAAGAUUUGAAGUCAUAUUGCAGAAAGCGUAGGCACGAGUGGAUGGCAACCUUGAAGCAGGUUUAUUUCAACAAUCCAUGGACUGGCAUCUCUGUUUUUGCCGCUACUUUUCUUCUUAUUCUUACUAUCAUACAAACAGCGUGCUCUAUCCUUCAAUUGCCGUAAAUAUUUAACCCGUUUGUACUUUUAUUUCUUUUUAUGAUUGCAAUGUACUUAAAAUCAUAAAUUAAUCUCCCUCCUAAGGCAAUACAACUUGGGAAUUUAAAAAACGCCACUGUAUCAUGGGAAUCACUGUCCCUAUAAGGUCAUGAUGCACCCUUGAUUUUGAUGGCUAUUCCUUUUAUUUUAUAUUUCUUUUCUUCUAAUAUUUUCUUUCUUUCUUUUAUUUUCCUUUUAUUCGCUUCGUGGAAAGUCAUGUCAGAAACAAUACUGCUAAAUGAUAAAAGGCCCAGGCCUCCACUUGAACCCUGAUUUUAAGCAGGGUUGAGGAUUUUUAUUUGGGCAAAGAUUGCGCCUUAUAAAUUUAGAUGGCAACAGCUAGCCCACUUGGCCAGUUUUAAUUUUCUCAAUGAUCUGGGCUAAAAUCCCAAGAGCUGCACUAACCUGGGAAUCACAGUUCCUAUAAGGUCAGGAUCCAUCCUUGCUAAGGCCACUCUUUAUAUGUGUAAUACAAUCUCUGUAAACAUCAUUCUACAGAGGAUGAGAACAACGGAACUGUAAACGAGCAAGGCUUUAUUAAGUAUCGAAACUGAGUCUCAUCGACAUAAUGGGCAGGAUUAUGAAUUAAAAAUAUAUUUGCCUGCAAAUGAAACCAUAUUUUGCUUCUAGACAAAUAAUGUCAGAAACAAUAUUUGCCUUCACUUUCCUCUACAAUUAACCCUGCGAAAAAUCAGGUUUCUUGGGCCUCAUAUAAUUGAGCACAUUCACAGAGAAAAUUUAUGUCCUUCAGCCUUCAAGGAUAGUGUUCCUUUCAAUGUUUUGCAACUUGAAGGUUAGGGUUGUUGACUGUUAAUUAAAUGCAUAUUAAUUUAGAUUGUUGUAAACCCUUAUGAAAAAAAAUAAACGAUUAAUUAAAUUAAUAUUGUAUGAAAAAUUUGAAAUAAAUAUGUACUGAGUACGAGAAAACAGUUCCAAGGAAUUAUAAGGAAAAGAAAAUUUAAGAAAGAAUUGUAUUGUAAGCACGGCUUUAAAAUCAACUACAUUUCCGGGGAAUAGUAAUGGGUUUGUAUAGAAAAUAAAUGGCAAAAAUACAAAAUAGAGAUAUUUAAGAUAAGAAAAUAAUCUUGAUAGUUAAGUAAAAUAAUUUAUAUAAGAAUGAAAUAAAAAAAAAUUGAAUUUUUAAGAAAAAAUCACAAGCUAACUAGUUUUACGAUGUAACAGAUAACUUUUAAUAUGAUUGUCAUAUUAAGUUGAAAUUUUAUAUGGACUCUUAUAAAAUAUUAUUUUAAUUUAAAUUAAAAUUUCAGAGUUUUUAAAUUUUAAUAAAAAAAUAUUUCAAAUCAAGUACAGUUAAUGAAUAAAAAAUAGCACAAAUAAGUGCUUAGAAAUUUCUUCAAGAAUCCUUCCAUGUGGGACAUGGUUGCAUGUGAUACAAAUGAAUAAAUGCCAUAGGUUUGCAAGCUGUCCCUUCUCUUUUGUUCUUUUAUUUAUGACAUCACGACGGCCCCGCCCUUAUUCAAUGGGGGGGGGGGGGGGAGCAAUCCGUUACAUGAUUUCUCAAAGUUUAUUUUAUAAGAUAAAAUAAAAUAUUAUGAUUCCAACUACUGCCACUGACAUGCGGUGUUUUGUGGCUUUGAUCUAAAACUGUUAAGAAAAAAAAUCCCAAGAGUUAUUUACCCAAGAAAAUUGCGCCGAAAUGCAGGGGUCCAAUUACAAUUUACCCAAGGACUUGAUUACAUAAUUUCAGAACUUCAGUGACCAGAUUGAAAAUAGAUAUUCCCAUCAAACAAACGGCGCCAUUUUGGAAAUUUUAAAUUAUUAGAUAAAAAUAUAAAAUAUAAUAUUUUUUAAUAUUCUUUUAAAUAAAACAAUUUUAAACUUUAAACUUGUACAUAUUUAAUUUAUCUUAUACUUAAUUUUUAUUAAAUAAAUAAAAAAAUUAAAAUUAAAAUUCAUGACUAUUUGAUAAAACUUUGAUACUAUAUAAAAAAAUUAAUUCAAUUUAAAAAUUUAAAUUUUUAAAUAAAAUAUAAUUUACAAUUUAUAUUAUUUUACAACCCGUUAAAGUCGUUGCAUUUCCCCCACUUAAAGCGUCUCCAAUGGAGUUGCUAAAUGGAUAGCCAAAAAUAAAAAAGGUAAUAUUUUAGCUUUUCUUUACUUGUUUUUCAUACUUCAAGGGGAAAGCCAAACAAAAUGCUAAAAUAAUUUUUUUUUCUUUUCAUAAAUGCGAUUCUUAUGUAUCUUUCAAAAGAGUUAAAACUAAUAAAGUGAGGCCAACAAAAGAAUAAACCAAUUAAAUCUAGCCAUGUGGAAAAAAACAUCAAAAUCAUUAAAAAAAAUAAAACACUUAUUUAUUUCACUCUAAUAAAAUUAACUUUUUAAAUGUUUUUUUUUUCAUUGAAAUACAUCUUAUAAAAAAAACUAUAUUUAUACUAUUCAAAAUAUUAUUUUAUCAAUUUACAUAUUUUCAUAUGAGAUGCUCUUACUGUUGCGUUUUUAUUGCUAUCUAAGGCCCCGUUUGUUUGCUGGAAAGUAGUUUCCUUUUGGAAAGUGAAUUCCAAGAAAGUAUUUUCUGAUAUUUGGUAGUGUAAUGAAAAAAAAAGUUAGAAAACAUUUUCCAGUGUUUGGUUAUGUCAUGGAAAAUGAGCUGGAAAAUAACUUAUUAAUAUUUUAUUUUUUUCAAGUUUAUUAAAAUAACGAGGAACAAAUCUUACAAAUUAAAAAUUUGAAUGAGAAUGAAAUUGAUAAAAAAAAUAUAAUUUCAUAAAUUAUCUCAAAUAAAAUAAAUAAUAAUAAAAAUAAUAGAGAUCAAAUCUACAAAAUUAAAAAAAAAUGAAAGAUGAAGAAAUUAAAAUAAUAAUAAUCAAUAUUUCAUAAAUUAUUUCAAAUAAAAUAAGUAACAAUCAAAAGAAGGAGGACCAAAUUUGAUAGAUAAAAAAUUUCAAUAAAAAAAGAUAAGGAAAAAGCAAAUAGCAAUUAUAAAACUAAGGACCAAAGUUAAUAUAAAAAUUAAAUUUUAAGAGAUGAAAUUGAAAAAUAAAUAUUUAAAAUAUAUAUAUAUAUAUAUAUAUAUAGCAAUCAAAAGUUUGAGGAUCAAAUUUGAUAUAAUCAACUAAUAAUAACAUUUAUAAAUUUUUCAUAACUUCCGGAAAGUGUUUUCCUCUCAAAUUUUUAAGGAAAACAUUUUCCUGAAAACCAAGCCAAAUUUUCCUUUUACUGGAAAGUAUUUUCUAUUGAUCAACUUUUUUAAUUGCAAACAAACACAAGAAAGUUUGGAAAGUGGUUUUCUGAAAACCAUUUUCCGGAAAACAAACACAACUAAAGGAAAAACACUUUCUUGAAAACCAAGCCAAAUUUUUCUUUAACUGAAAUUGACCGGAAAAUGUUUUCCGUUGACUUGAAAAGUAUUUUUCGUUAACCAGAAAGUGUUUUCCGUUAACUAAUUUUCAUAAUAACAAAUAAACACAUAAAAGUUUGAAAAAAUAAUUUCUCAUAGACUAGUUUCCGGAAACAAAAUGGCCUAGGUGGAAUGAACGUUGUAAAGUGCUUCAUUUUCAUGCGGUGCAGAACUGUAGAAGAUAAGGUACAAGAUUAGAAAAGUCUUCAGGAAAACUGUAGAAGUGCACAGUUUGAGUGAGAAGUGAGAGGUGGUCCCCUUUUCAUGAGAAAUAAUGGAGGUGGUCCCCUUUUAUUAGAUAAAUAAUAGAUGGCCUAGGUGGAAUGAACGUUGUAAAGUGCUUCAUUUUCAUGCGGUGCAGAACUGUAGAAGAUAAGGUACAAGAUUAGAAAAGUCUUCAGGAAAACUGUAGAAGUGCACAGUUUGAGUGAGAAGUGAGAGGUGGUCCCCUUUUCAUGAGAAAUAAUGGAGGUGGUCCCCUUUUAUUAGAUAAAUAAUAGAAGGCCAAUCAUUCCAAAAAAAAGAAAAAAAGAAUUGGAAAUGGUUUGUUGGUAUAUUGAAAUAGAAAAUUGUAGAAUCAUUAUUAAAACCGAACCGAGAUAAAAAACCGAUUAAACCGAUUACUAAAACAAAAUAUCUUUCCGGUUCAAUUCGGUUCCGGUUUCACCACCAAAACCGGUGAACCGAACCGGCUACCCAUAAAAAUAAAGCAGAAAGGCAGAAUGACCUAGUAUAAAUACUAAAUGGUACAGUAAAGUGUAAACCUAAACCUAAAUGAUAUUACAAUUCACUUCUGCAGCCGCCGCCCACACCAAACCAGCCUUCUUCAUUUCCCCUUCAAUUUCAUCUUCCCUGCCUCUUGCCCCAUGUGUUCAUUCUCGUGUGCUUCACAUAGUAUGCUAAUCUUGAUCUUUCAUUUGAUGACUUUAGUGCCACUUACACAGGGAAGACUCUAACUAUGCGCUGGCACUAGCCCUGGGCAUGUCAUCUUCUUUGAUUGAAGGAACGGGAUAGAAGAGAACCAGAACCAUAUCGUUCACACAUUCAGUCUGAUCUUAUCUGCGCUAUUGCCCGAUCAUAGCUGGCACUGUAUGGUUUUUUUUUCUGCUUUUCUUGUAAAACAAUGUUGUGAGAUGCAUGAAUCACGAGCAGUUUUCAAUAGAGCUAUUGUAUGGGAUUUUUUUACAUUUAUUUGUGGGUGAGAGCAAUUUUUGCCAGUGCUACUAAGUACUACCUAUAACUAUUGUCGUUACUCCUCCUCUGGCAAGGUUUUUGGCUAGGAGAGGGAUUAUCAAGAAUGGUGUAUGAUUCUUGAUUUGUGUUUUUUUUAGGAGCUUUUUUACCUCUUUGCUUCUCUAUUUAGUAAGUUUUCUAAUUGUUAAUGUUGAACGGUAUAGAAAAGGAGAGGAAAUUUGGAAUAAGUUUAUAAAAUUUGAAAUGGGUUUUGGUGGAUAUUGGUUCAUAGUGGUGUUUUUAAAGUUGCUACAAAUAAUAAACUUGCUAAAUCUUCCCAAACCGUAAGCCAAUUUUAAAUCAAAAACCAAAAAAAACUCAUGGGAUUAGGUUUCCCGGUUUUUUCCUUAAAAAACCGAAUUUAAACGAACCGGACCGGUUCGGUUUGAACCGGUUUUCGGUCCGGUUCGGUUCAUUUUUUGCAACAAUACUGUAAUUCGAUUCGGUUGGUUUUUUUAAUCUAAACUCAACCGAACCGAACCGAACCGUGAACACCUCUAAUCUAGGUAGUGGCCCAGUGGUAAAAGCUUGGGACCAAGAGGUUUGCUCCCUCUGUGGUCUUAGGUUCGAACCCUAGGUUGCUCAUAUGAUGGCCACUGGAGGCUUACAUGGUCAUUAACUUCAGGGCCAGUGGGAUUAGUCGAGGUGCGCGCAAGCUGGCCCGGAUACCCGCAUUAAUAAAAAAAAAAUAAUAAUAGGGAUAUUACAAUUGUACUGUGUCGUAUGUGGUGAUUAAGGAUUAUUGAUAAGUACGUGUGUGGUGAUUAAGGGGCAAUAGAACAUUUUGGAAGGUAUAUUAAAGAGGGAGAGCCUACCAUUCUUGGCACAUCUUUUUGGACACUAGAGGUGGAUUGUCAUCAUUGAAACGAGAAGAACUUCUAAAACUGCCGGUUGUCGAGAGCUUUUAGGUAUGUAAGUUUCUAUCCAACAGGCUUUUGAUGCGUUUGUUAAUUGCUUUUAGAGUAAUAUUAAUGGAAUUUUAUGAAAACUACAAGGGUUAUAGCGGAAAAAUUGAAAUUAUAAGAGGAAAGUAGAACAAUGAUGAAUCUAUAAGGAUAAUUAUUGAAGUUUACCCUUUUAUUUUACAAGAAGACACCACUAAUUUGCAUUCCAUAAUCAAACAUAAGUGAAAAGGUUGUCGCUAAAACCCUCAGAAAACUGAAAUUUUCGAGUCCAAAAUUGGGUAACAUAUAGAACUGGAUACCCGUUUUUUGUUUUUUGUUUUUUUGAGCGGGUGAACAUGUGAAAAGACAUGAUUUAAGAGAAUAUUGUUCAAUUUUGAUUUCUUGCAAAUAUUUUGUGUUUGUUUCCUGAAAAUGUUUUUCUUAAGUAUGGUAUUUCAGUUUGUUUUGUCAAAUAGUGAUUAAUUAUACCUGCUGGUUCUAACGCCAUUGAUUAUCUCAGUUCAAUCAUAAGAGGGAAAUUGGCGGAACAUCAAGUACUGAUCAAAGGAUAAUGGAUCCGAGCCAUGGAAGACCCCCAAUAGAAUACUACGCGGGAUUUGAUUGGCCUCCUAAAAAUGUACAAGCUAUAGAAGAUGUACCUGUACAAGCUACGGGAGAGCACAAAAAUAUGCACCCGCCGCAACAAUUUUUUGAACGGAGGAAGGUAAGUGUGGAGGGUUUAUUUUACGUUAUCAAGGAUAAUGAAAAAGAAUUACGUGAUUGUUAUGCAGAAAUAUUAUUGUUUUUUUUUUUUUAUAUAUAACUUUUCCCUUAUUAUUUCCUCUCAAGUCCUUAUGCAUGUCAUUGUAUCUUACAACAAAAAUCCGAAACCUAAAAAACUGAAAAAUCAAAAUUAAAAGAAUUAGAUAUUUCAUAGUUAAGAGUAAUAUUAACAGGAUUUUAUGAAAACUAUAAGAGUAGGAGUAGAAGUAGAAUAUUAAUGAAUCUAUUACAAGGAAAAUAAAUGAAGUUUACCCUUUUAUUUUACAGCAAGACACCACUAGUUUGCAUUCCAUAAUAAAACAUAAGUGAAAAGGUUGUCGCCAAAACCCCUCAGAAAACUGAAAUUUUCGAGUCCAAAAUUGGGUAACAUAUAGAACUGGAUACCCGUUUUUUUUUUUUUUGAGCGGGUGAACAUGUGAAAAGACAUGAUUUAAGAGAAUAUUGUUCAAUUUUGAUUUCUUGCAAAUAUUUUGUGUUUGUUUCCUGAAAAUGUUUUUCUUAAGUAUGGUAUUUCAGUUUGUUUUGUCAAAUAGUGAUUAAUUAUACCUGCUGGUUCUAACGCCAUUGAUUAUCUCAGUUCAAUCAUAAGAGGGAAAUUGGCGGAACAUCAAGUACUGAUCAAAGGAUAAUGGAUCCGAGCCAUGGAAGACCCUUCCUGAUCGAUUGCUGCGUGGAUUCUAUGAUACCUCCUGUACCUGAACAAGCUACGGGAGAACACAAAAAUAUGCAGAGGAAGGUAAGUGUGGAGGGUUUAUUUUACGUUAUCAAGGAUAAUGAAAAAGAAUUACGUGAUUGUUAUGCAGAAAUAUUAUUGUUUUUAUAUAUAUAUAUAUAUAUAUAACUUUUCCCUUAUUAUUUCCUCUCAAGUCCUUAUGCAUGUCAUUGUAUCUUACAACAAAAAUCCGAUACCUAAAAAACUGAAAAAUCAAAAUUAAAAGAAUUAGAUAUUUCAUAGUUAAGAGUAAUAUUAACAGGAUUUUAUGAAAACUAUAAGAGUAGGAGUAGAAGUAGAAUAUUAAUGAAUCUAUUAUAAGGAAAAUAAAUGAAGUUUACCCUUUUAUUUUACAGCAAGACACCACUAGUUUGCAUUCCAUAAUAAAACAUAAGUAAAAGGCUCGUCACUAGAAACCCCAUGAAAACUAACACAGAUAGAAAUAACCACAAAUUAAGAUUGUAUGGUAAUCAAUCAGCAAAGGCUAUACAAACGAAGCUUGAGAAAGCUUAGCCUUGCACAAUUCUCAUAAUACAAGGAAAAAUACUCUAAAUUUUAUUCUCAAUUAUCAAAACUUAAUAUUACGCCUUUCCAUCCCAAAGGUGAUAAACUUGAAGAAAUUUGAAGCAGAGAAGAGACGUGAAAAAAACAGGGUUCUCAUUCAUAGUUUUUUAUGUUGUAUAUAUAUAUAUACAGAAAAAACUUGCAGCAAGGAAAGACAAUCCUGCGCAUUAUUUCUCCCAACAGUAUGCUAAGAUUAUAUGCUAAUAAUAAAUAUACAAUCAUAUUUAAACUAGGUAACAAAUAAGUUAUAUUUGGUAAUAGCAUAAUAGCGAAGUUCUUUAGAAUUGAUUCAGUAUCUUCAAUAAAACUAUAUAAAAAAUCUCAAUAAUGAUAAAAAUUUAUUUUUUGUUGCGUGCAAACUAAAAUAAAUUAUCUUAAUAGAAAAUUAGUGAAAUAGUUUUUUUUUUAAAUUUCUUUUUUGGGGGCUUGUAAAUGAAGAACUUUUUGAAGCCAAUAAAAUUUAAGUGAGCUUGAGUAGCCAUGAAAAAUAUCUGCGUUUAGCCAUUAUAUUGCUGUUUGUGUGAAAAUGUGAAAAGACGUGAUUUAAGAGAGUAUUGUUCGAAUUUGAUUUCCUGCAAAUAUUACUUUGGUAUUUCAGUUGGUUUUAUCAAUAGUGAUUAAUUAUACGUGCUGGUUGAUAAUGGAUCAGAGCCAUGAAGUUUCACUUGAUAUCAAUGAGAUAGCCAAUUCUUUGACGAAGCGGUUGGAGAUCAAGAAGGCUUUCUCCCAGGCAUGCUGCAUCUAUAGAGUCCCCGAACGAUUGCGGAAGUUAAAUGAAAUGGCAUAUACACCUCGAGUAGUCUCAAUAGGCCCUAUUCACCAUGGAAUGCGAUAUCUAAAUGCUAUGGAAGACCACAAAAUAAUGUACCUGCAACAAUUUCUCGAACAGAACAAGGUAAGGGUGGAGGAUUUAAUUAACAUUAUCAAGGAGAAUGAAAUGGAAUUACGUGAUAGUUAUGCAGAGACCAUUUAUCUUAGAAGGAAUGGCUUCGCAACAAUGAUCUUACUGGAUGCUGUCUUCAUUAUUAUGUUCUUACUGAACAGGAAGUACUGGAGCGAGCUUUAUGACAGGGGACGUAGUGACCACAUUUUCUAUCGUCCAUUUAAGUUCUCUGACGUAGUGUUUGAUAUGUGCUUGCUUGAAAAUCAGCUUCCAUUCUUCAUCCUCGAGAAGUUUUUUGAGCUAUCCAGUGAAGCUGAGAAUUGUACCCUUACUGAGCUUACUUGUGAGUUAUUAAACGUACCAUGGCCUGACUGGGUAAAAGAGGACAGUUGGAAAACAAUCAAUUCCUCAACGGAGAUUGACGAAAGAGUCCUGCAUUUUGUUGACUUCCUAAUAAAGUGUCAGCAGCCAAAGAAACAGUGCCGCGCAACGAAAGCAAAAACUUUUUUUGAGGCACCAACCGCAACGGAGCUCUAUCAAUCUGGCAUGAAGUUUAAGAAUUCAAAAAAAAGCUCAUUAUUAGACAUAACAUUCAGUAAUGGGAUUCUGGAAAUUCCACAACUAAAAAUAGAAGACAGCACAGAAAUCUUAUUCAGAAAUCUUCAGGCCUUUGAGCAAUGCCAUCAUAGGUAUAAGGAUAAUUUCGUAAGUAACUAUAUUACAUUCAUCUGCCGCCUCGUCAGGGAUCCUAAUGAUGUGAAAGUACUCGAUUGUGAAGGGAAUUUGAAAAAUAUGCUAAACAGUGAAAGAGAAUUGUUAUAUCUCUUUUACCGUCUUCAAAAAGACAUUUUUGUCACUGAUGGUUAUCUUUCGGAUGUCGGCGAAGAUCUGAAGUCAUAUUGCAGAAAGCGUAGGCACAAGUGGAUGGCAACCUUGAAGCAGGUUUAUUUCAAUAAUCCAUGGACUGGCAUCUCUGUUUUUGCCGCAACUUUUCUCCUUAUUCUCACUGUCAUACAAACAGUUUGCUCUAUCCUUCAAUUGCGAUAAAUAUUUAACCUCUUUGUACUUUUAUUUCUUUUUAUGAUUGCAAUGUACUUAAAAUCAUAAAUUAAUCUCCCGUCAUUCCUUGUUUUCCUGAUCUUGUUGCUGAAUAAAUUAAUCUCCCUCCUAAGGGAAUCACUGUCCCUAUAAGGUCAUGAUGCACCCAUGAUUUUGAUGGCUAUUUCUUUUAUUUUAUAUUUCUUUUCUUCUAAUAUUUUCUUUCUUUCUUUUUAUUCGCUUCGUGGAAAGUCAUGUGAGAAACAAGACUGCUAAAUGAUAAAAGGCCCAGGCCUCCAUUUUAAGCAGGUUAGAGGAUUUUUAGUUGGGCAAAGAUUGCGCCGUAUAAAUUUAGAUGGCAACAGUUAGCCAAACUUUUCUUUUCUCAAUGAUCAUGAUCUGGAAUCACAGUCUCUAAAAUGUCAUGAUCCAUCCCUGCUAAGGCCACUCUCUAUAUAUAAUUUGUUAGAUAAGACAAAACAUCAUUCUAAAAGGAUGGGAACAACGGAACUGUAAACGAACAAGGCUUUAUUAAAUAGCUUUUCAUGUCAAAAUGAAUGUUAAUGAUAUUUUUUUUAUUUUUUAAAAAUUAUUUUUGAUAUCAACAUAUCAAAAUAAUUUAAAAACACUAAAAAUAUAAUAAUUUAAAGUUAAUAAAAAAAUAAAAAGUUUUCAAAUUUUUUCAAAAACGUUUUUGAAACGUAAAAAACAAACAGCCCAAGUAUUGAAACUGAGUCUCGUCGGCAUAAUGGGCAAGAUUAUGAAACAAAAAUUUUGAGAACGUAUAUAUUUGCCUGCAAAUUAAACCAUAUUUUGCACUUUCCUCUACAGUCAACCCUGCCUAAAAUCAGGUUUCAAGUGGAGGCUUGGGCCCUAUACAACUUGGCAAAUACACAGAGAAAAUUUAUGUCCUUCAGCCUUCAAGGAUAUUGUUCCUUUCUUGAAUCCUACCCUACAACUAUCAAUGUUUUGCAACAUGAAGGUUAGAGUUGUGGACUGUUAAUUAAAUGCAUGUUAAUUUAGAUUAUUGUAAACCCCUGUCAAAAAAAAAUUAAAUGAUUAAUUAAAUUAAUAUCGAAUGGAAAAUUUGAAAUAAAUUUGUACGAGGAUGAGUGGAUAUUUCCAAGGAACCUCUAUUUAAUUCUAAAUAAUAUACUAAAAUUGUGAUUCAAUAUCCAAUAGUUUGACCCUUUUUUUUUAAAUUCCAAAUAAAACUGUGUCAAAAUUAGUUUCAUAAUAGAAAAGAAUAUCUACGUACCCAUACCAAAUUAUCAAUUUUUACAUUUCUUUAUCAUACUUUCUUUCUAAUGACUAACAACCAUGCACUAACGCACACUGUGCAAAUCAGUAUACAGCUGUUAUAACAACAAUGUGUACAAUUCUAUUAACAAUUCUGUUAGCUUAAGAUUAGGCAAUUCUGUUAGACAAUCCUGCCAGCUCCGCUUUCUUAUGUUGUAUAUAUACCUGAUUGAUUAAUUCAAUAUACAAGCUUUUCUCAGUCUUGCUCAAUAAUGACAAAUUAUCAUUUUACAUUAAAGAAACCAAAAAAAUAUUUUUGGUUUCUCUACGUACCCGUACCAAAUUUUUUUUUUCAAAAGAAUAAAGUGUUUAACCAUUACCAAAAAAUUGAUAAAUACAAACAGAAAUACCGAGAGAAUAUUUCCCUCGGUAAUUUACCAAUGAAUUUUACCGACGGAAAUAUUCUCUCGGUAUAUAUCGAGGGAAUUACUGUGAGGGAAAAAAAUUAAAACAAAGCAGAAAAAAUGAUGACGUGUCAUUUUUACCAACAAAAUUACUGAUAGAUUUUAUUCCGUCGGUAAAUAUGUUUGUAAACUGUGAACACUGUUCAUCAUGUUAAUUAUAAAGGGAAUCACUAAUGGAAAAGUUCAUCGGUAUUUUACAGGGAGCUCUGAAACUAUUCACUUUCCAAUUGCACUGUCAAUUAUUGUUCUUAACAGAUAAAAUCACUGAUAGAUUAAAAAGUCAUCGGUGUUAUAAAAAGCCUCGAAUCCCUAAUUUCACAAUAGACCCGUCUCCUUUCUUCUUCUUCUUCUUCUUCUCCAUAUAUAAAAAACAUCAAUAUUCAUUUCUUUUUCUUCUCUUUUCUCCUCAACUACUCUUCUCCUCCAUGCUCAAUUCCCUCUAUAAUUAUUCGACGUCAUUUUUGCAAUUAUGAAUAUAGCAUGCAUUUUGCAUAUCCAUUCGAAAGUAUAUAGAUUUUGUCAUUUUUUGUUUUCAAUGUUACUAGUUAUUCACUCAAACCCUCCUCAACCAAAAAAUAAAAGGUUGUGAGAAGAGGAUGCCAAAGCGCCUAGAAAAUGGCUAAAAAAUUGGUUGAGGAGGUUUAAAAAUACAAGGAUUUAAAAUUUGACAGUAUAUCAUUGAUUGAUGAGAGUCCGACUGUCAAGGAAAAUUCAAUUUAAGGAAGAAAUGCCCAAAAUUAGAUGUUUAUAGACUCAAUUAAAUUUUAUUAAAGGUUUAAUUGAAUUUAUGGAGGGUUUGAUUGCAAGAAAAAUUGAUUUUUGGAGUUAAUUCGGGCUUUAAUUGCAAGAAAUUAAAGUUCUGGGGUCAAAAUAUAAUUUUUUAGAGUUAAUUUGGUUAAAUCAGGAGCUUAAUUGCACAAGUAUUGAAGUUUGAUGGUCAAUUAGGGACUUAAUUGAAGAAAUCCAAAACCAAGGACCAAACUGGAAAAGGCGCGUAAAUAGAGGAGUUGUAAUUAACCGAAUCAGCGGCCAAAUUGAAGAAAUUGAAAGUUUAUUAAUCAAUUGAGGGUCAAAUUGCAUAAAUUAGAGACCAAGGACUAAAGUAAAAAAGACGGCUAACUUUAGGGCCAACGAUUGAAUUUGGCAGAGAUGCAAUUAAAUUAAUUUUUAAAAUCAAAAUUUCAAUUGAAAAUGGAUUUACCGACGAAAUUAAUUCGUCGGCAUUAGACAAUAGCCGCCACCAUCACCGAUGAAUUUCCAGACGGAUAUAUUCAGUCGGUAUUUUCAUGACUCACCAACAGAUUUACCGACGAAUUUACAGACGGAUAUAUUUGGUUGGUAUUUCAACAAUUCACCGACAAAUUUACCGACGAUAAUUGUCCGUAGGUGAAUUGUUAUAUCGCCGACGGAUUAACAUCCGUCGAUAUAUUUCAAGCGGGAAACUUUUUUUUUUUGCGCGUGAAUUCCGCUUGUAAAACCGUCGGCAAAUGAUUUUUUUGUUUUUCCGACCGAUAUAGCGAUGGAAUGAGGAAUCACAGACGAAAGGUAAGCCGACUGACGUAUUCCAUCGAUAAUGUAAUCGGUAAAUAAUUUACCGAUGUACUCUCAAUCAUCCACCGACGGAAUAUUUCCGUCGGUAAAAUUGUGAAAUCUUGUAGCGAGUUUUGCAUUAAAAUUGGAUCCUUUUGUUUUGGGGCCAUCUCAUACAAAAUAUAUCUGUCUCAAAUCCAAAAUCUUUCUAAAACAUUAUUAUCACGAGAGCUUUCAUGAAUUAAUUAUAUAUUUUGGUGAAGACUCAUGUCAUUGAAGUCAGGUAGCAUCCCCUCCACGUCAGGUGAAUAUAAACAAGACAACAAAAGAGAAGGGACAGCUUGCAAACCUAAGACUGUUUAUACAUGGAAAUUCUAGUGUGAAAUCGACAAAGAUAGGACAGAUGAAAAUACGAAUCCAAUUAUUCAAUUGUAUCACAUGCGACCAUGUCUCAUAAUUACGACUAUUACCAAUUAAUAUUAGUGUAUUAAAAUUAUAUAAAAUAUAAAAAAAAUUAAAUUUUUUUAAAGGUGCAAACUGUAGUUGAUAAGGUACAAGACUAGAAAAGUCUUCAGGAAAACUAUAGAAGUGCACAGUUUGAGUGAGAAGUGAGAGGUGGUCCCCUUUUCAUGAGAAAUAAUGGAGGUGGUCCCCUUUUAUCAGAUAAAUAAUGGACGGCCAAUCAUUAAAAAAAAAAAAAAAGUAUUGGAAAUGGUUUAUUGGUAUUGAAAUAGAAUAUUGUAGAAUCAUUAUUUAUUGAUUCAGCUAAUUGAUGGAUCGAUAAAAAAAAAUAAUGUUUUAUAAAUAUAUGCUUAUGAAUACAAAUGAUUUGAUUGAGAUUAAUUGUCCCAUAAUCCAUGAAAUAUAUAUACUUGAUUAUUAUGUUUAAAAUAUUUUAUAGAACUAUUUAAGGUAAAGUUAUUUUUAAUGAAAAAUGAAAUUUAUAGUUUGAUCUGCAAAAUAGUUUACAUGUUUUACAUAUAAUAAACAUCCUUUAAUAAAAAAAAAACAUUGUAAGAGUUUAUCUAAAAAUGGUUUAUAUAGAAAGGUUUAAUCAAGAAAUUAAUAUAGUAAAACUUUCACAAAACUUUUAAACAAGUUUUGCAUUGAAGUCAAAAUUGGAUCCUUUUGUUCUGGGGCCAUCUCAUACCACUAUACAAAAUAUAUCCAUGUCUCAAAUCCAAAAUCUUUCUAAAAAUUAUUAUCACGAGAGGUUGAAUUAUAAUUGUUAAUGUUGAAUUAUAAUGAUUAAUUUGUUGAAGUAUAAUUUGUUGAAUUUAUUGAAUUUAUUUUUUGUCAUAUUUUUUAUUGUUUUGAAUAUAAUUAUUGAUUAAUUUGUUGAAUUAUAAUUGUUAAUGUUGAAUUGUAAUGAUUAAUUUGCUGAAUUAUAAUUUAUUGAAUUUAUUUUUUGUCAUAUUUUUUAUUGUUUUGAAUAUAAUUAUUGAUUAAUUUGUGAAUUGUAAUUGUUAACGUUGAAUUUAUCUUAGGAUUAAUAGUUGAAUAUGUUGGAAUAAUUAGUAUAGAUUGGUUCGAUUGGUUGUGGCUAUUGUUAAUAUUUGCAGGUUUGUGGAUUUGGGUAGUAUCCAGUAUAGGGGAGGUGCUGCCGAUUUUUUUUUAACUUUUGAAUUUUAUUAUACAAUUAUUAAUAUAAAAUUGUUUAGAUGCGCAAAAUGAAAACCAGAGCUGGUCGUCCAGUCGAAUCAAGUUCGUCUAGCAGCGAUGAUGAUGUUUCCUUAGGUGCCUCUCAAGAAGAGGCACCUACACCACCUGCGCCGUCAACCGAUGCUGCCUCUUCCAGCGAUGUUUCACAUCGCAGACGCGGCGUGCCUUCGAAGCGGAAUCAAUUUACCCGCCAGUACGAGGCACAGUGGAAGGACGAUCUUUCAAUGUAAGUUUGUUAAGGUUUUAGUUUUUUUUAUAUAAAAAAAACAAAUUUAAAACAUAAUUUAUGAAGUAAUCACAAAUUAAUUUCAUUUCUUUUCAGGUUCACAAACAUUGAGGCCGCCCGAGUAAUAUCAUCGGCGUUUAAAGCGUCGAUGGAGAUUCCAUUGUUUCAAUGGAGUCAGAUAUCCAGACAUCCUGAAUGGAUGCCUCAAAUCAAUGCAUGGUUUCGUAGAUUUGAGGUUCGUGUUAAUAUAUAAUUUUCAGCUUAUUUCUAAUAAAUUCAAGUUAUAAUUGUAAAUAAAUUAUUAACAUUUUAAAAAAUUAUUUUUUAUAUACAGCAUCGAUUCUGCUGGGACGAUGAACAUGACACUGUUGUGAGGAGGGUGUGGGAAAAUCACGCGGCAAUUAGGUAACAUCGAAAACAAUACGACUUUUUUUUACAUAAUUAUUUAUGUUUCGAAAUGUAAUUUUUUCGUGCGUGAAUUAGGUUGCGUGAUUUUUGGUAUGACACCCAGAAAAAAGCAAAAAAAACAGCGAGGGAUAAGGGGUUCCAAGGCUGGAACGAUGUUGCGGUUUGGAGGGAUUUCAAACCAAUAUACAUCCCGGAAGAUAUAUGGCCGCACUAUCUUCAGCACGUGACGUCUGAGCGGUUCACUCGACGCUCACAGUCCGGUGCUGGCAACCGGAAUCGGCCAAUUCAUGGCUCGGUGACAACGCACACCGGCGGCUCCGUUCCGUUUUCUGCACAUGCGAAACGGAUGGUAAGAUUAAUUUAAAUGAAAUAUAUCGUUCAAUUAAUUUGUUGUUAAUACAUUUUUUUCAUUAUAGGCUACGUCUCUUGGACGUGAGCCGAGCCCUAUGGAGCUGUUUGUGGAGACGCACGUGCGAGUCAUGACCGCCAAAAGGGGACGCAACAGUUCGUUGACAACCGUGCUCAACAUUUUGUGGUAUGUUUGUUCAACCAUUUUAUUUUGUAAGUUAUUAUUAUGUUUAUUGAAUUGAAUAUGAUGAUUUUUUUUUCAGGAGACCUAUAAUAAUCGGUUGAGGGAGAGAUACGGGGACGAUCCAUCGACCCAUCCGGAAUUCGAUCCGGAUUUGUGGAUGGAGGCUGGAUCGUCAGGUGGACCCGAUAAAAAUCGGGUUUACGGGCUCUCCAACACUACCGCGGCCAACUUGCGGUCGACCGGUACUGCUUCAACCGCUGGGAGCUCCCAAUCUAAGGAGUUUGUGGCCUUGCAGCAAAGGUGCGACCACCUAUCAGAGGCAUACACACAACUCAAAGAAGAGCAAAGAUUGGCGAACGAACAACACAGAGCAGAGUCUGAACAACAAAGAGCGGCCUAUGAAGAGCUUCGGCAAAUGGUCAUGAACAUGACACAAGGUGGAACAUGUGCGCCUAAUCCUUUUUGGCCGCCUAACCCCCAUCCUCCUCCUCCACCUUUAUAUUAAUUUUUAAUUAACAUUAUUUACAUUUAAAAUUUUGUUUAAUGUUUUUUUAAACACAUUCAUUUUGUAAUGAAUAUUAUUUCACUUUGAGUUUUUGUUGCUUAAUAUAAAUUUUAUUUGCAUAAUUGGUUUGUAUUACCAUUAAUUUAUAUUAUUUUUUCAAAUAAUUAAAAAAAUUAAAAAAAACAAUUACACAGGGAUUUACCGACGGAAUAACUCCGUCGGCAUUGGACAGUGUCUGCCACCGUCACCGACCAUCACCGACGGAACAAAUCCGUCGGUAUAAAUUCCGACGAUUUACAGACGGAAAUAUUCGGUCGGUAUAAAUAUCACCGACACUUUUGCCGACGGAGUUAUCCGUCGGUAUUUUAUAACACCGACGGAAAUAUUCCGUCGGUAUAUUCCAAGCGGGAAACUUUUUUUUUUUGGCGCGCACGGUCCGUCGGUAAAAUCGUCGGUAAAAGUUUUUUUUGUAUUUCCGACCGAUAUAGCGACGGAAUGUGGAAUCACCGACAAAAGGUAUUCCGACGGGUGUAUUCCGUCGGUAAUAUAGUCGGUAAAUAAUUUACCGAUGAAAUGUCUAUCACACACCGACGGAAUAUGUCCGUCGGUAAAACUGUGAAAUCUUGUAGUGAAUUCCGUCGGUAAUAUUUAAUUUAAAUUUUCAAUUUCAUAAAAAGUUUUCAGAAACCGCCAAAAAUUACCGAUGAUUUUUCAAUCCGUCGGUGAUUCCGUCAAUAAUAUUUACAUGAAAAUUUUAAAUCAAUAGAAUUUUUUCAGAAAACCGCCAAAACACACCGACGAAUUUUCAAUCCGUCAGUGAUUUUAUCCGUAAAGUAAAACAAUUAACAGUUCAAUUGGAAGAUGAAUAGUUCUGGAACUCUCUGGAAAAUACUGACGGAAAAUUCCGUCGGUAAUUCCCUUUGUAAUUGACAUGAUGAACAAUGUACACAGUUUACCAACGGAUUUCUCGACAAAAUUACCGACGGAAUAAUUCCGUCGGUAAUUCUAUCGGUAAAAAAUGACAUGUCAUCAUUUUUUUUUGCUUUGUUUUAAUUGUUUUCCCACGGAAAUUCCCUCGGUAUAUACCGAGGGAAUAUUUCUGUCGGUAAAAUCCCUCGAAAAUUUACCGAUAGAAAUAUUCCCUCAAUAUUUCUGUUUGUAUUUAUUAAUUUUCUAGUAGUGUCUAGCUUCUGUUUAAUAAUGGAGACCCUAGCUAUGUUUUACAUGGGAAUUCUAGUCUGAAAUCGACAUAGAUAGGGCAGAUGAAUAUCCGAGUUCAAUUAUUCACAUUGCUUUAAGAAACAUCAUUAUCACGACAGCUUUCAUGAAUUAAAUAUGUAUUUUGGUGAUGAAUUAUUUUCAAAUAACUAAUUCAAUUUUAAAUUUUAAAUUAUUAGAUAAAAAUAUAAAAUAUAAUAUUUUUUAAUAUUCUUUUAAAUAAAAAAAUUUUAAACUUUAAAGUUGUAUAUAUUUAAAUUAUCUUAUACUUAAUUUUUAUUAAAUAAAUAAAAAUAUUAAAAUUAAAAUUCAUGACUAUUUGAUUGUUAAAACUUUGAUACUAUAUAAAAAAAUUAAUUCAAUUUAAAAUUUUAAAUUAUUAAAUAAAAUAUAAUUUAUAAUUUAUAUUAUUUUACAACUCGUUAAAGUCGCUGCAUUUCCCCCACUUAAAGCGUCUCCAAUGGAGUUUCUAAAUAGAUAGCCAAAAAUAAAAAGGUAAUAUUUUAGCUUUUUUUUACUUGUUUUUCAAACUUUAAAGGGAAAGCCAAAUAAAAUACUAAAAUACUUUUUUGUUCUUUUCAUAAAUGUGAUUCCUAUGUAUCUUUCAAAAGAGUUAAAACUAACAAAGUGAGGCCAACAAAAGAAUAAACCAAUUAAAUUUAGCCAUAUGAAAAAAAAACAUCAAAAUCAUUAAAAAAAAAUAAAACACUUAUUUAUUUCACUCUAAUAAAAUUAACUUUUUAAAUAGUUUUUUUUUCAUUAAAAUAUAUCUUAUAAAAAAAACUAUAUUUAUACUUUUCAAAAUAUUAUUUUAUCAAUUUACAUAUUUGCAUAUGAGAUGCUCUUUAGUGUUGCGUUUUUAUUGCUAUCUAAGUGGAAUGAAAGUUGCAAAGUGCUUCAUUUUCAAGCGGUGCAGAACUGUAGAAGAUAAGUUACAAGACUAGAAAAGUUUUCAGGAAAACUGUAGAAGUUACAAGACUAGAAAAGUUUUCAGGAAAACUGUAGAAGUGCACAGUUUAAGUGAGAAGUGAGAGGUGGUCCCCUUUUCAUGAGAAAUAAUGGCUUUUAUCAGAUAAAUAAUAGAGAGCCAAUCAUUCCAAAACAAAGAAAAAAAGAAUUGGAAAUGGUUUGUUGGUAUAUUGAAAUAGAAAAUUGUAGAAUCAUUAUUUAUUUAUUCGGCUAAUUGAUGGAUAGAUAAAAAAAAUAAAAAUGAUUUAUAAAUAUAUGCUUAUUAAUACAAAUUCUUUGACUUGUUUUUUUCAGAAACGCGUAAAUUUUUUCUCGAGUUUAAACUUGUCGAUAUGUAUCUUGCGUUAUUUAUUAAACGUUUUCAAGAAAAUAAUAAAAAGUUUAAGAUUUAUAUAGUAGGUCCGAGUAUGAAUUAGGGUAUAUAUCUUUUAUAAAAAGUUAAAAUAAUCAGAAUUUUACUUAUUUAUCAGAAUUUAUAAAAUAUACUUUUCAAGAAGUGGGUUUUCUCGAAUAAAAAAAAAAUUAUUUAUUAAACACUGUCCUGUAAAACCACUCUAUCUCCAACCGGUAUGUGGAUAAAAUAAUAGGGAUAUUACAAUUGUACUGUGUCGUAUGUGGUGAUUAAGGAUUAUUGAUAAGUACGUGUGUGGUGAUUAAGGGGCAAUAGAACAAUUUGGAAGGUAUAUUAAAGAGGGAGAGCCUACCAUUCUUGGCACAUCUUUUUGGACACUAGAGGUGGAUUGUCAUCAUUGAAACGAGAAGAACUUCUAAAACUGCCGGUUGUCGAGAGCUUUUAGGUAUGUAAGUUUCUAUCCAACAGGCUUUUUAUGAUUGACAUUAUGUUUUUGUUAAUUGCUUUUAGAGUAAUAUUAAUGGAAUUUUAUGAAAACUACAAGGGUUAUAGUGGAAAAAUUGAAAUUAUAAGAGUAAAGUAGAACAAUGAUGAAUCUAUAAGGAUAAUUAUUGAAGUUUACCCUUUUAUUUUACAAGAAGACACCACUAAUUUGCAUUCCAUAAUCAAACAUAAGUGAAAAGGUUGUCGCUAAAACCCCUCAGAAAACUGAAAUUUUCGAGUCCAAAAUUGGGUAACAUAUAGAACUGGAUACCCGUUUUUGUUUUUUUUUUUUGAGCGGGUGAACAUUGAAAAGACAUGAUUUAGAGAAUAUUGUUCAAUUUUGAUUUCUUGCAAAUAUUUGUGUUUGUUUCCUGAAAAUGUUUUUCUUAAGUAUGGUAUUCAGUUUGUUUUUGUCAAAUAGUGAUUAAUUAUACCUGCUGGUUCUAACGCCAUUGAUUAUCUCAGUUCAAUCAUAAGAGGGAAAUUGGCGGAACAUCAAGUACUGAUCAAGGAUAAUGGAUCGGAGCAAUGAAAGACCCCCCCCCGAUGCCUAGCACCUGCGUGGAAUUUAAGAUACCUCCUGUACCUGAACAAGCUACGGGAGAACACACAAAAAAUGCAGAGGAAGGUAAGUGUGGAGGGUUUAUUUUUACGUUAUCAAGGAUAAUGAAAAAGAAUUACGUGAUUGUUAUGCAGAAAUAUUAUUGUUUUUUUUAUAUAUAUAUAUAUAUAUAACUUUUCCUUAUUAUUUCCUCUCAAGUCCUUAUGCAUGUCAUUGUAUCUUACAACAAAAAUCCGAAACCUAAAAAACUGAAAAAUCAAAAUUAAAGAAUGAUAUUUCAUAGUUAAGAGUAAUAUUAACAGGAUUUUAUGAAAACUAUAAGAGUAGGAGUAGAAGUAGAAUAUAAUGAAUCUAUUACAAGGAAAAUAAAGAAGUUUACCCUUUUAUUUUACAGCAAGACACCACUAGUUUGCAUUCCAUAAUAAAACAUAAGUGAAAAGGUUGUCGCCAAAACCCCUCAGAAACUGAAAUUUUCGAGUCCAAAAUUGGGUAAAUAUAGAACUGGAUACCCGUUUUUUUUUUUUUUGAGCGGUGUGACAUGUGAAAGACAUGAUUUAAGAGAAUAUUGUUCAAUUUUGAUUUCUUGCAAAUAUUUUGUGUUUGUUUCCUGAAAAUGUUUUUCUUAAGUAUGGUAUUUCAGUUUGUUUUGUCAAAUAGUGAUUAAUUAUACCUGCUGGUUCUAACGCCAUUGAUUAUCUCUGUUCAAUCAUAAGAGGGAAAUUGGCGGAACAUCAAGUACUGAUCAAAGGAUAAUGGAUCGAAGCCAAGGAAGAUGCAUGAAGCCUUGCUGCGUGGAAUUUUAUAUGCAUCUUGAAAAUGUACCUGUAAGUGUGGAGGGUUUAUUUUACGUUAUCAAGGAUAAUGAAAAAGAAUUACGUGAUUGUUAUGCAGCAAUAUUAUUGUUUUUUUUAUAUAUAUAUAUAACUUUUCCCUUAUUAUUUCCUCUCAAGUCCUUAUGCAUGUCAUUGUAUCUUACAACAAAAAUCCGAAACCUAAAAAACUGAAAAAUCAAAAUUAAAGAAUUAGAUAUUUCAUAGUUAAGAGUAAUAUUAACCAGGAUUUUAUGAAAACUAUAAGAGUAAGUAGGAGUAGAAUAUUAAUGAAUCUAUUACAAGAAAUAAAUGAAGUUUACCCUUUAUUUUACAGCAAGACACCACUAGUUUGCAUUCCAUAAUAAAACAUAAGUGAAAAGGUUGUCGCCAAAACCCCUCAGAAAACUGAAAUUUUCGAGUCCAAAAUUGGGUAACAUAUAGAACUGGAUACCCGUUUUUUUUUUUUUUUGAGCGGGUGAACAUGUGAAAAGACAUGAUUUAAGAGAAUAUUGUUCAAUUUUGAUUUCUUGCAAAUAUUUUGUGUUUGUUUCCUUAAAAUGUUUUUCUUAAGUAUAGUAUUUCAGUUUGUUUUAUCAAAUAGUGAUUAAUUAUAGCUGCUGGUUCUAACGCCAUUGAUUAUCUCUGUUCAAUCAUAAGAGGGAAAUUGGCGGAACAUCAAGUACUGAUCAAAGGGUAAUGGAUCGGAGCAAUGAAAGACCCCCCCCGAUGCCUAGCACCUGCGUGGAAUUUAAGAUACCUCCUGUACCUGAACAAGCUACGGGAGAACACAAAAAUAUGCAGAGGAAGGUAAGUGUGGAGGGUUUAUUUUACGUUAUCAAGGAUAAUGAAAAAGAAUUACGUGAUUGUUAUGCAGAAAUAUUAUUGUUUUUUUUUUAUAUAUAUAUAUAUAUAUAACUUUUCCCUUAUUAUUUCCUCUCAAGUCCUUAUGCAUGUCAUUGUAUCUUACAACAAAAAUCCGAAACCUAAAAAACUGAAAAAUCAAAAUUAAAAGAAUUAGAUAUUUCAUAGUUAAGAGUAAUAUUAACAGGAUUUUAUGAAAACUAUAAGAGUAGGAGUAGAAGUAGAAUAUUAAUGAAUCUAUUACAAGGAAAAUAAAUGAAGUUUACCCUUUUAUUUUACAGCAAGACACCACUAGUUUGCAUUCCAUAAUAAAACAUAAGUGAAAAGGUUGUCGCUAAAACCCCUCAGAAAACUGAAAUUUAGUGAAAACCUAGUGAAAUAUAUGAAAAAUCUCAAUAAUGAUAAAAAUUUAUUAUUUGCUGCGUGAAAACUAAAAUAAAUUAUCUCAAUAGAAAAUUAGUGAAAUAGUUUGUUUUUUAAAAAAUUCUUUUUUGGGGGCUUGUAAAUGAGAAGAACUUUUUGAAGCCAAUAAAAUUUAAGUGAGCUUGAGUAGCCAUGAAAAAUAUCUGCGUUUAGCCAUUAUAUUGCUGUUUGUGUGAAAAUGUGAAAAGACGUGAUUUAAGAGAGUAUUGUUCGAAUUUGAUUUCCUGCAAAUAUUAUUUUGGUAUUUCAGUUGGUUUUAUCAAUAGUGAUUAAUUAUACGUGCUGGUUGAUAAUGGAUCAGAGCGAUGAAGUUUCACUUGAUGUCAAUGAGAUAGCCAAUUCAAAGGCUUUCUCCCCGGCAUGCUGCAUCUAUAGAGUUCCCGAACAAUCCCGGAAGUUACAUGGAAAGGCAUAUAUACCUCGAGUAGUCUCAAUAGGCCCUAUUCAUCACCAUGGUAAGGAAAAUCUAAAAUCUAUGGAAGACCAGAAAAUAAUGUACCUGCAGCAGUUUCUUGAACAGAACAAGGUAAGUGUGGAGAAUAUAAUUAACAUUAUCAAGGAGAAUGAAAUGGAAUUACGUGAUAGUUAUGCCGAAACCAUUAAUCUUAGUAAUGAAGACUUCGUAAAAAUGAUCUUACUGGAUGCUGUCUUCAUUAUUAUGGUCUUACUGAAGUUGAAGUACAGGAGGUUGGUUUUUAGAAAUGGACGUAGUGAUCGGAUUUUCCAUCGUCCAUUUAUGCUACAUAACGUAGUGUUCGAUAUGCUAUUGCUUGAAAAUCAGCUUCCAUUCUUCAUCCUCGAGAAGUUUUUUGAGCUAUCCAGUGAAGCUGAGAAUUGUACCAUUAUUGAGCUUACCUGUGGGUUUCUAAGAAGUCAAUGGGCUGGCUGGGUGAAAGAGGACUGUUGGAAAGCAAUUGAUUUCUCUGGAGUCCUACAUUUCGUUGACUUCCUAAGAAGGUGUCAGCAGCCACCGGCAUUGUGCCAUCGUCCACUGGAAACAACCUUUUCAAGAGCACCCACUGCAACAGAGCUCCAUCAAUCUGGAGUGAAAUUUAGGAAUCCAGAAAGAAGCUCACUGUUUGACAUAACAUUCAGGAAAGGGAUUCUAGAAAUCCCACAACUGCAAAUAGAUGAAGGCACGGAAAUCUUAUUCAGAAAUCUCCUGGCCUUUGAGGAAUGCUAUAAUUGGAUUGAGGAUACUUUCGUAGAUGACUAUAUUUCUUUCAUCAGCUGCCUCGUCAGGGCCCCUAAUGAUGUGGGAGUACUUGCUCGUAAAUGGAAUUCGAAAAAUAUGCUAAACAGUGAUGAAGUAGUGUCGAAUCUUCUUUACAGUCAUGACCACGACAAUAUUGGUGUCACUACAAAUAGUUUUCUUUGGGGUGUCUGCGAAGCUCUGAAUUCACAUUGCAGAAGGCGUAGGCAUAAUAAGUUAAUGACCUUGAAGGCAGCUUUGAAACAGAUGUUUGUCAAUAAUCCAUAGUCUCUGUUAUUGCAGGUGGAAUUCUCCUCAUUCUCACUGUCAUACAAACAGUGUGUUCUAUCAUUCAAGCAAAAACAUUAUUUGCUGUAUAUUAAAUCAUUAUUUGCCUCUUGUCACAGUCUUAUCAGAAACAUAACAAUUUAGAGCAUUAACCACCUAAUUACUCUAUAGUAAAGAGAUAGGCAAACGAGGUAGAGAAUCAAGAGAGAAUAUAUAUGAUUUGGCUUAUAAAUGGAAGAUUAAGUUCCUUCUCCAUGCUAUAAGAACGAGUUUAAUGAACGUUUCGGCUUAUAAAUUAUUUGAAUUGUGGUACAUUGGGAUCUGUACAACUAAUUUCGUUAAUUUUAUCUUUAGAUUAUUAUAUUCAAUCAAAUAUUAUCCAUCUAUUUGAUCAUUAGAAAACAAGUCAAAUUUUAAGGACCAGCAAAAAAAACCCUCUUAAUAAUUUUAUUUUUUAAAAUAUUUUAAGUUGAGAAUUUUCAUAUAUUCUAAUACAAAUCCAAUCCACAUCCAAAAAUAAUUUCAUAAUUUUUCAUAAACAUCUUCAAUAUUAAAUAUUUACAUAAUUAUUAAAAAGAAUUUGAAAUGAUAAACAAAUUUUGUUAAGGACUCUAAGAAAUAUCAUGUAAACUUAUUGGUAUAAUUUUAGUGUGAUUCUUAAAACAUUUUGUACGGAAUCAGCACCAAAACAAGUUUAAAAUAUAUCAAUUUUGAAAGUCAAAAUAAAUUAACUAUAGAAACAUUUGGGCAACAAUUUAUCAAUCACUGGCGGAUGGUCAGAGUGGGCCUUUGCCACCCGUGGGCUCAAGAGGUUUAUCUUGUUGAGGAUGUGUUUUGGAUCCAAAGAAGGGACACGUGUGUGUUCAAGGAAGUGCGGUCAUUUUGUACAUGAUUUUUAUAGAAUAAAAUCAUUUUUAGGAUCUCUCAUUCCUUAACAUAUUUUUCAAAGUGAUUUUUUGAAAUUAAAACUUGUAUAAAUUUCAUUAUUUUUAAUUUAAUUUUAAAAUUAUAAUUUAAUAUCCGAUAUUUAGAUAUUUUGUACAUGAUUUGUUUUUCUUUUUCACUGUUAUUAAACCUCUUGGGUUUAUAACUAUGUUUUCCAUGGAAAUUUUAUCAUUAGAAAUCGACAGAGAAGGCGCAGAUGAAUAUCCGAAUCAAAUUAUUCACAUUGCUUUAAGAACCUCUUUUUAAAACAUCAUCAUCACGACAUAAUUCACCCUCCUCUUGAAAAAUAUAUAUUAUAAAAUUUUAAUUCAAUAUAAAAUAUGGCUUUCAGAUUUUUCUAGAAAAAGUCUAACUUUAAUCUAAUAAUGAGAUUAUAAGUUAAUUUACUAAACGCUUCUUGAACUUUUUUAAACUCUUCGUAAACUAAAAAUCUUAACUGUCAAUGAAUUGAAUUGAUGUAAUAAACAUUAUUAUACAAAAAAUAGCGAAGAAACUUUCCCACGUCACAGAUGAGGGUCUAACAUGUUGCAAAUUUCUUCAUUUCAAUUCAGCUUCAGCCCAUCUAACAAAAUAUAAAAUUAAAAAAAGUCAUUAUUUAAAAGCCCUUUAAUUAUGGCUUUGUAUUGUUUGAACUACUAGGAGUGCAAAUUCAUCUGAUAGAAAGCCAUAAUUAAAUGGAAAAUCUUCAAAUAAAUUUGAGUCACCAAUUAUCUCGGGCUUUUCAUUUAGAUAGGUCAUUUGGGAGUACUAAACUUUUUUUUAGGCUUUAGGUCCAAAUACAUAUUUGUUAGGUCAUUUGUAAAACUUUUGGGCUUUUCAUUUAGAUAGGUCAUCUGGGAGGACUAUAAACCUCUUUUUAAGUUUGUACCUAAUUAUUAGGUCCAAAUACAUAUUUGUUAGGUUAUCAAACGUGGAUUGAAUAUAAUAAAUUUGUUUCUAAUUGAUUAGAACCUCCUACAUCAAAUAUUUACCCCGACUUAUUGAUUAUAAUUUUAAACUAUAUAAAUAAACAAGACUCGAAGCUCAAGCUCUGUCCUUUCUAUAAUUAUUCUUCAAGGAUGAUCAUUGCUAGCAGCAGCAUCAUGAUAGCAUAUUGCAGACGUCGUUUCUGCACUUCUUAAUAAUCCAGAAUAGACCUUACCUACACGAUGCCGAUCUGAAUUCGGGUGUGAAAGACAAUAAGUUUUUAUUGAUUGUGAAUAAUAUAAAUGCCACAUUGUCACAGUACAGAAAAAAUUUUAAUAGCCUCAUUGACCUUACCUCCUUUUAUAUAUAUAUAUAUAUAAUCGAAGGUAUUAUUAAAAUCAUGCUGGCCAUUUAGAGGAUGGCCAUCAUGAAAAGAUAUAGUUUGUACAUAAAAGAGAUCCAAUGGAGAGGAAACAAGAGAGAUAGAUAACAAAAGAAAGAGCCUACAACUUUAUCUCUUGGCAAUUGUCCAUCGUUGAAUGCAGUCAACUUUAAUUUGAAGAUUAUAAUUACCUGUGUAAGAGAAAUAUGCUUCAUAAUUCUUGAACCUGCAGAUAGACAACCGAUGGAGGGUUAAAGAAAAGUAAUUCUAGAUCUGGUUGAACAUCAUUGAAAACCAAGUUAUUUCUGGUCAACCAGAUACUCCAAGUAAUACUAUAAGAGAGCAGUUUCUAUAUUUUCUUCUAAAAACCUUCUAUUUACCAUCAUUGACCAUUGAACAAGCAGCUCAUCAAUUAUGUUUGUAACACACCAACGAAUAUUGGAGGAUAUGAAGAAAACGUGACUUCUGAAUGUGGGCCAUUUUCCUGAACUUGCAUCAUUUUCAGCUUCAGAUUGGGAUUAACUUGUACUUUUUUCGCUCAGGAUUUCCUUUAUAAUGGCUCUAUGUACAGCGCCGAAGAACUUGAAAUAUUGCGUGGAUCCUUCACGCGAUUGCAUGCCCAAUAUCACUGUGCGAUCUCUCGUACCUCAUCCAAUCAUUGAGGAAAAAAAAUCACGGUUGGCAUCUAUGUAUUCUUCAGUAUAUUAUUUUAAGGCACAUGUACAGGAGAUGAAAAGUCAAAGAGAGAACAAAAAAUGUGAGUCCUAGAAAAAUCUAGUAAUUAAAAAAUAAAGCUGACCUCUUGAUCGAACUGCCUGCUUUAGCAAAGAAAUGUGGAUUAUAUGUUCAAGGAAUUAGAAAAUUAUGAUUUAAAUGGAAAAUGAAAAUCUUGAGUAUGUAUAAGGAAUAGGAUUAAUUUUCUACUAAUUAUUAUAACAUAUGUCGCACCCGACAUCACGGCGGCUCACAAAAUAAAAUCUUAAAUUAUGGAAAAAAAAGAACAGAUUACUGGCUUCUUGUUCUUUUAGAAAAAUAUGUUUUAUUUGAGGAGUCGUCACCUAGUAUUAUGGUCACUAGGAACCCUAACUAGUCAACAGAGAUUCUAUGGUUCAGGACUGGUUACGUAAAAAGGAAGAUAUUAUCACCCCUUAAACGUCCUGCCUAAGGCAGGCUGCAUUGCUAGUUUUGUCUUAAAUUGUUAAAUGUUUAUUAGUUUAUGCUAUGAAAAUUUGCUUAUAAUAUUCCUGACUCUGGCGCCAGUGAAUAUUCAACUACGAAUAUUUCCAACUCUGGCGUUGGUAAAUAUUACGCCACAAAUAAUUUCAAUUUAAAAAUUCGACCAUGAAUAAAUCCAACUCGCGUUGGUAAAUAUUCCACCACAAAUAAUUCCAAUUAAAAAAUUCGACCACGAAUAAAUCCAACUCUGGCGUUGGUAAAUAUUCCACUACAAAUAAUUUCAAUUAAAAAUUCGACUACGAACAAAUCCAACUCUGGCAUUGGUAAAUAUUCGUGGCCCUAAAAAAAAAAUUAAGACAUGCAAAAUUUUUGUCUACACUUUUUUUAUUAUUAUCUAUAUUUUUUGGGCCGGGCCCAGUUCAGCCCAGAAGGGGCUGGACUGGGCCCAGCCAGCCCGGCCACUGGCCCAAGCCAGUAGCCUGGCUUGUUUAAUUACACUGCACGCGUGAAGCAAUUUCACGCGUGCAGCAACGGUGCGAAGGUAAUUAAAUUACCUUCGCACAGUUCUUGCAUUUGCACAAUUCAAAUAAGAAUGAAGAGAGAAUGGCUUACCUGCUUCUGGAGAUCGUGAGGAGGCUGGCAGCAGAGUGAUUUCGCUCUUGACUGUGUAUGACUGUCCCCUUUUGUUUUCCUCUUGUUUCGGUGAUGAUGAAGGUCACGGCUUGUUGCUUGGUUUUUUUUUUCUUUUCUGAUUUGCAGGGGGAAUUGAGGAGAUUGUGAUGUUAAUGUUGGGUUUUCUGGGUUUCUAUGCUUGCGUUUUCUCUGUUUUGUUUUUGGCUGUGUAUUUUCUUUCUCUCAGUUUUUUUGCUGGGUUUUUCUCCUCUGUCCCGCUCUGUCUCUCCCCUGUCUUCGCUGGUUUUUUUCCUCUGGUUUUCUCCUUUUCUGUGGUUUUCCUUUGGUUUUAGUCUCUCUCCCUGCCGUGCAUGGCUUUCUUUCUCUCUGUUUUGCUGGGUUUCUUCCCUUCGUCCUGUUCUGUCUUUUUUUUUCGUUCCCGUGAUUCCUUGUUUUCUCCGGCUUUAUAGCCACAGCAUUCCACCGUUACCAGGUAAUCAAUCGACUGUUAUUGCAGGAGUAAUGGUGGCGGCCGGCAGCUGAAGCGUUUUAAGAAGAUGAACAGUGCUUAGAAACGGCACCUUUUUUGGUGUUUAAUGGUUAUUUUCAUUUUGCUCCUUAAAUUUUUGGAAGUCUUGUAAUUAAACCCCUAGUUAAUCUGUAAUUGGACCCCUGCAUUUCGGCGCCUUUUACCAGUUAGUCCUUGGAUUUUAAUGUUUUCAAUUUGAACCCCAAUUAAACUCUAAACUUUGAUAUUUCUUUAAUUAAGUCCUUGAUUUCAUUAAUUUAAUUAAAUUCAAGUCCAAUUAAGUCUCAAAACUUAUCAAUUCUCCAAUUAACCCUUAAUUGGAUUAAUUAAAUCAAUUCCAAGCUUAAUUAAGUUUCAAAACUUAUCAAUUCUCCAAUUAAAUCCUUGAUUGGAUGAAUUAAAUCAAUUUCAAGCUUAAUUAAGUCUUAAAACUUGUCAAUUCUCCAAUUAAAUCCUUGAUUUGAUGAACUAAAUUAAUUUCAAGCUUAAUUAAGUCUCAAAUUUAUCAAUUCUUCAAUAAAACCCUUAAUUGGAUGAAUUAAAUUAAUCUCAAGCUUAAUUAGAUUAAUUUUAAAGUUUAAUUAAACCCCAAAAACUUCCAAUCCUGUUGCCCUUAAUCCAAAUUUUAAUUCAUUCUUCAUUUAUUUUAUUUUACUUGCUUUUUCAUCAUCAUCAUUAUUAUUUUUUCAUCAAUUUUUUUAUCCUUUUUAGUAAAUAAAAUAAUAAAAAUAAAAUGAUCAAAAAUUGGGUUAUGACAACAUAUAUAGAUAGGAUCUUUCAUUCCUAAGAUUUUGCGACUGUAUAUAGAGAGAAAACAAUUGGUGUUCUUAAAUCUAAGGUUAUUUAAAUAUAUAUAUAUAUAUAUAUAUAUAUAUAGCUUAAAAAACUGUUUCAAUACAAGAAAAAACUUAAUUUGUAAAAUAAUAAUUAAAUUAAAAAUUGAUGUAGAGAAAGAUAAGGAUUUGAAUUUAACACACGAUAAGAUAUAAACACAAUCUAAGUUCUACAAGACUAUAGUUUUAUUAAUCAAAAAGUCAUAUAAAAUCUGAGAAUAUAAAUUUAAAUACCGUAAACAUUCAUAAAUAGCUAGAAAACAACUAAUUUUGAAAAAUAAUAAAGCUAACAUCCAAAAUUAACAAGGAAAAGGUUCCAAAUAGGGUCCAAAACUUUGAAGGCAAUUUUAAGGACUUUUGUAUCAAGGAAACUGAUGAAUUCAAAUUACUGCCAAUACAAGCGUAGCUGUCACCAAAAGAAAUGCCAGAUUUUGUGAUUGAAUGAAAAUUGUGUGAUUCAUAUUACAAUAACAUUGCAGUGUAAGUCUUCUCAUUUUGAAGUGGAAUUCAGGAUUUUUGAAGUGGAAUUUGGUGAAUAUGAGCAAUGAUCAAGUUUGGAGUGCGAAAGUUGCUAAUCGUAAGUUCAAAUUGUUUUUUUUAUCAAGAAUUCACAGUAAAAUUUGAAUUUGAUCUAGUAAUCAAAUAAAAAAUUAUAAUUAUUUUGAGCCUUAACUGUAAUGUUUUGAAAUUAAUAAGAUAGGAUAUUACAACAAAGCCCUUGGAGGCUUAAAAGUUGGAAUAAAUGAAUAAGGGGUAUUAUGGUAAUUGAAUAAAAAUGAUAAAUAUAAAUAGGAAGUAAAAAAAAAAAAAGGAAAGUGUGAUCUGAAAUAUUGAAAGUAAACCGUGAGAGAGAAGGGAGAAAGAAGAAGAAUAGAAAAUAAGGGGAAAAGGAAGAGAUUUUGGAGGAAAUAAGUGAAAAAUGUAAGAUUUAAAUGUGUAUAAUAUGUUAAUUAAGCUUUAAUUUCAGUUUUGAUGAAUGUUAGGGUUUUGAGAAUUUGUGUUUGAUUUAAAUUGAUGAAUUAAUUUGAAGGUUAUAAGGUUAAUUGUUGUAGGUAAUUGAUUAUUAAGUUGAUUAUGGAAGAUUAUGAUGAUUUUGAGUUAUGGUUUUGUUUGAAUGGUGAAAUUGUGUUAGAAAUCAGGGGAUAACAGUAGGUGAUCUGUUGAAAUUCUGGGUUUGAGGUUGAAGAUGACGAAAAUUCAAAUUGGUCCCUCAAUUUCCGAAAAUUACAGUUUAGUCCCCGAACUUUGGAAAAUUACAAAUUGGUCCCUGGAGCAUAUUCCGAGAUUCUGAACAGAAUAACAUAUGAAUUAUGGGUAUAAUUACUGUAUAGAUAAGAUAAUUUAACACUUUCAAUUUAGUCCUCCAAUUUGACAAAAAGUACGAUUUGACCCUAAAAAUUUAGUAAAAUUCCAGAAUGAUCCCUGGAGCAUAAUGAUACAUCCUGGAUAGAAUUGAGGAUUAGUUAAGGUCAUAAUUUCAUUAUAUUCAUGGAUUUAUGACAAAUUUCAGUUUGGUCCUCCAUUAGAUGAAAAUUACAAUUUGGCCCUAAAAAUAUGAUAGGUUCCAGAUUAGUCCCUAGCUGUAAUAUUAGAGUUUUCAGAUUAGUUUGAUGAAUAAUUAAGGGUUAUUUAGUGAAUUAUUAUCAAUUUUAUUAGUUGUUUUUAUUAUGGAUUAGAUUUCGGGAAAACCGUUAGAUUUUGGGUUUUUGAGAAAAUUGACUAGUUAGUUCAAAAAUAUAUAGGGUUACAGAAUACACCCUUAGUUAAGUGUAUUAAAUAGGUUAAAUGUUCUUUCGAGUCGUUUUUGAAUAUGUCUCCUUUGUAUUCAGAUAAUCCUGAUAUUCUACCGGCAGGACGUCAGUAGAAUUUCCUUCGGUUUCAGCUUGUGAGUGUUGUUUGCUUUUGAGUCAGGUGAGUGAAUAAUUUUCCAUAUGCAUGAGAAAUAUUAUAAAUACUUGAUUUGUUAAUAUGAAUUGGAUCAUGCUUCUUGAUAAUAUAUAUGUUGAUUAUUAUCCUUGAUAUGAUAAAGCAUGAUCAAUUAUUGAAUCUGAUUUCUUGAUAUGAACCAAUAUGAUUUGACUUCUGAAUUGAUAGCUCUUCAUUUGAUGGAUGUCAUGAGUUGAGCUUUGAGAUAUGAAUAUGUUUGUUUGAUUAUGAUUAUGAACAUAUGGUAUGUCAGUCAGAAUACCCAUGCUAACAGGGUAGUGUUAGUCUUUGUGCACAUCGUAUCUGAAUCCUAGUUGGUCGGGGGAGUCACCAACCUGUGUGGACUGAUCAUCCCACAGUACGGAGCCUGAUUAGUACUUAAAAGUGCAUGUUUAUCGAGGUUUUAUAUUAUCAUUUUGCACUUGAAGUAUCAAUAACUCCUUAACUAAAACAUGUUUUAUAAUAACAAGUUUGAUAUUAUAAGAUACCUUAAUUUAUGGUAAAUGCUCAUUUUAAAUGCAGGACUAUCACAUAAAUAAAAGGAUUGAUUGAUGAGUUUAAGUAUUGAAAGUUAAAGACAAAGAGAUGGCCAAACUUAGAAAAGAGAUGUCGGUGCAGUCCAAACCGGAACAUUGCUCGGUAAUUGGAUCAUAUCUGGAGCUCUAGAUUUCGGAUUUAGGUCCACUUUAUAUGGAUGGAAAGGUAAGACAAAGGCCUACAACUUUCAUGAGGAGCCCAAGAUUUGAAAAGGUCGUUUUGAAGUCCAAAUGAAGGACGAAGAAGUCCGAAGCUGUCCUGCAGCCCAAACACUAUUUAGUGUUCAGCCCAUAUCUUGAGUUCUAGAAGUCCAAAUGACCUCAUCUUUUUUUUGUUGGAAAGCUGAGACAAUUUCCUAGAACAUUCUGAGGAUUCUGGGCAAAUUAUGAUGUUAGCAAUGACGUCUUGAUCAGACAAGAAGAUAAGGAUUGUUAUCUAAGUCAAGAUGUGGCCACCCACUCAUCAAUUAGUCAACAAAUCAAUAGUUCCAAAUUUUGGCCUAUAAAAGGAGGCACUUACCAUGUAUUGAGGCAUCUUGGUUUCAGAUCAAGAUCAUGCUCUUGCUUUCUCUCUUUGUAUUGCUUAUGUCUUGCUUUCAUUAAUAUCAAGUUUAUGCACUUCAUUUCCUUUCCUUUACUAGUUAACUUCUUUCUCAUUUAUGUUCUUAUCUUGUCAUUUAUGUUUCUUUAUUAUGUAGCUAAGUUAAUUAUGUCAAGGUGAAAAGGGUACACUAAUGGUGUAAGAACAAGUAUAAUAUAAACUUAACAUGGACCUUAACGUUGGAUACUAACAUGUUUUAUAUUUGUUAUCUUGUUCACUUUAAUACUUUGCUUGUUAAAUGGUUAAUCUAGAUUUAUGUUGUGUAACACUUGGUACAACAAAUACUUGGCACUUUCAUAGCCCAUACUGUAUGGUUAACCGACACCUGAGCUAUGAAAGGAACUUGAUUUGUUGUUAACAUAAGUUAUAAUCAUGAAUGCCUGCCAACAUUUACAAGUAUUAGCUUUAUUCGAAUAAGAUAACUAAUGUAAUCAUGUUAACAAUUUAUAAUCUGAUUGGAACCUCCUUUAUGUGUGGUUUCCAAUUGAGUAAUAAGAGUUUAUAUAUACUUGUUUGAAGUACCAUUAGUGGAUCCUCUAACCUUGACAUUUGUUUUUAUCAUUGUUUAAUCCUUACGUUAAUCUUUCAUCUCAAAGUUCUCAUUAAUUUCUUCAUCUUCUGUUUUAUUAUUAUUAUUAUUAUUAUUAUUAUUUACAUUCUGUUUAUAUUAUAUAAUAUAUAUCUUUGAUCUUUUCAUAAACUCAGUAUAUAGGCUGGAAACCUGUGACCCGAUCUUUAGAUCAUUCUCAGGUAUAACAACGCCACGUACUGAGUAUUAUUAUUGUUGUUUGUUGUUGUUGUUGUUGUUGUCUUCUUAUUUAUAAUUUGUACAAUUAACCUCUCUGUGGUUCGACCCCGGUCUUGCCGGGUUAUUUAUUACUUCGACACUCCUGCACUUUGGAAAAGACAUCAAGCUUUUGGUUGUGUCAAGUUUUUGGCGCCGUUGCCGGGGAGGUAAAUUCUUGUAUAAAUUAUAAUAUUUAAUUUAUUUUCUCUUUUCACUUUUCAUUUUAUCUAUUUUUGUUUCCUUUUCAGACGCGGACUUUGUCAAAUUGAUUUGGUUUCAUUCAGGGACCAAAAUGAAAUAAUAACAACACUGAAUUUUCCUUAUGCAUACAUUUAUGAGAUAUUUAUUAUACCUGCCAAUCCAUCAAUUACUUGAAUCAAUAAAUAAUUAAGAUCCCAUUUGUUUGUUGAAAAAUAGUUUUUUUAAAAAAGUGAAUUCCGAGAAAGUGAAUUAUUUUCUGAUGUUUGAUAGUGUAAUGGAAAAUAAAUUGAAAAAUAUUUUUCAGUGUUUAGUUAUGUCAUGGAAAAUAACUUAUUAAUGUUUUAUUUUUCUCAAGUUUAUUAAAAUAAUGAGGAAGAAAUCUUAUAAAUUAAAAAGUGGAAUGAGAAUGAAAUUGAAAAAAAUAUAUAAUUUCAUAAAUGAUCUCAAAUACAAUAAAUAAUAAUCACAAUAAUAGAGAUCAAAUCUAAAAAAUAAAAAAAAAAUAAAAGAUAAAAAAAUUAAAAUAAUAAUAAAUAACAUUUCAUAAAUUAUUUCAAAUAAAAUAAGUAACAAUAAAAAAAAUGAGGACCAAAUAUGAUAGAAUAAAUUUUUUUAAAUAAAAAAACAAUAAGAAAAAAGCAAAUAGCAAUUAUAAAAAUAAGGACCAAAGUUACUAUAAAAAUUAAAUUUUAAGAGAUAAAACUGAAAAAUAAAUAUUCAAAACAAAAUAUAUAUAGCAAUUAAAAGUUUGAGGAUCAAAAUUGAUAUAAUUAGCAAAUAAUAUGAUAUUUCUAAAUUUUUUCACAACUUUCAAAAAAUAUUUUUCACCUAAAUUUUUCAGGAAAACACUUUUCUAGGAACCAAGUUAAAUUUUUCAUUGAUCAACUUUUCUAAUAAUAAAUAAACAUAAAAAAAUUUUAAAAAUAAUUUUUUAAAAACUAGAAUCAAACCUAUCCUAAUGAUUCAUGAGUUUUCCUUUUCAACGCCACUAAAAACGAUUUCCAUACUUUUGAAUGAUGGGCCCUCCAUUAUUAUUCGUCUCUCCAGAGAUCAUAAAAGGGCCGGAGACCAAUCAAUUGUCAACUUCACAUUGCUAAGCAAGAUUCUCCUUCGAUCUGUUCAUGUAGAAAAGAAUAAGUAAAAAAUUAAGAGUUAAUUUGUCCUCCUAAAACGUUAAACACUUUAUUCUUUUUGAAAAAAAUAAAAUCUUGUAUGGGUACGUAGAGAAACCAAAACAUAUAUUUGGUUUUUUUUUUAAUGUAAAAUGAUAUUUUGUCAUUAGAAAAAAAGUACGAUAAAGAAAUGUGCAAAUAAUAUUUAUAUGAAAACUAUUUUUGACACAGUUUUAUUUGGAAUUAAAAAAAAGGGGUCAAACUAUGGAUAUUGAAUCACAAUUUUAGUGUAUUAUUUAGAAUUAAAUAGAGAUUCGUUUCACACCCAUAUUAAAAAAAAAAAGAUCAAACAAUUGGAUAAUAUUUGCUUGAAUAUGAUGAAUAUUUAGAGAUAAAAUUGAUGAAAUUAGUAGUACAGAUCUCAAUCUGUGAUAACUCAAAUAAGCCAGAAGCAAAACCAUCAUUAAACUCAUUUUUAGUAGCAUGGAGAAGGAACUUGGUGAUGGUAAAUAUCACUCCCUAUAAAUCGACGCAGACUCGCAAUUGCAUUGCCCAAAGGUAACUUCCUGUGCGUGGGGUCUAUAUAAAUCAAGGCGCAUGGCAAUCUUUUGUUUUUUUUAGAUUAACGUGGGUGUCCGGGCCAGCUUGCGCGCACCUCGACUAAUCCCAUGAACCCUGAAGUUAACGACCAUGUAAGCCUACAGUGGCCAUCAUAUAAGCAACCCAAAGCUCGAACCUGAAACCACAGAGAGAGCAAACCUCUUAAUUUCAAACUCUUAUCACUGGACCACCACUUAAAUAGUUAAGGCACAUGACAAUCUUAUUAUCAAGAGAAGAUGACUAUUCACAAAUACCGAGAAGCUUGGUAGGCAGUAUGAUUUUGAAAACAAAUACAAAUCAGUCUACCUGGUUGAAAACUAGGCAGGUUGACUCAUGAGUUAACCAGCUAACUUAAUCUUUAAUAAAUAAAUAAAUAAAACCCUAAAAAGAUAUUGUUUUAAGAAUUUAGAGGAAGAAAAAUAAUAUUAUUUUGAUAUUUUAUUUUAUUUUAAUAAAAGAAAAAUAAGUUAUUCUUUUGAACCAAUCCAGGUUAGGUUAGGGAGGUCACUCAAGCCAAGUUUAUAACAAUUGUAAGGAGAGCAUCCAAAAAAAUAGUUCUUACAAUUGAUUUUUGUAUUUUUUUUUUACAAGUCUUGGUAGGUGGGACGUACGAUAAGAUGCCAUUUAAUAUAUUUGGCAUUUCUUAGUCAUAUUUCUCCCAAACAAAAAAGAGUUUCACACCCGACAUUAGGUUGGUUGAUUCAUAACUACAUAAAUGACAUCGAAUAUCUAUCAACUAAUUAAUCCUUAAUCAUCACAUGCCACACAUGUAGCCAUCGACCAAUUAAUCCUUAAUCACCACAUACUACAGUAAUAUCCCCAUUAUUUUAUCCCAAUAUUUCUCAAUUAAAUAUGAAAAUUUCAAAAAAUAACAAAGAAAAUUUCAAAAAAUAUGUAUUAGCAUAUAUUUUGGUUUUAAUAACCAGUUUAUUAAAGUCACGAGAACUAAGCUAAUAUUUUAAAAUUUUAAAAAAAUUAUUUUGUUUUUUUCUUUUAAUAUUUGGAUUUACAACCUUAUAUGUAAGACGUAUUUGGGAUAUUAAAUUUUUUUGUUGACGUAAGAAAUAUAAUGAAGAAUAUAGUUAUAAAUCUUAGUAGGUGGGGGUGAUAAGAUGUCAUUUAAUAAUAUAGGUAAGGUCAAAGAAGAUUUUAAGAAAAUUUAUUUGUUGUGACGUGUACUUGUUUCACACCCGACAUUAGGUUGGUUGAUUCAUAAUUGCAAAAAUAACAUCGAGUAAUUAUAGAGGGGACCGAUCAACAAGUUCCCCUUUCUUUCAUUUAAUUUUUAAAAAACACAUUUCCAUUGCAAGUUUUCUCUAUUUGUUAUUUUUUAUUAUAUAGUUAUAGACAUGUAUAUAUUCAUCUUCAUGUAAUUAUACAUGUAGUUAUAGUCAUUAGAUUUGACACGAUAAGACAGCUGAGUUGAUAAAUCAGUAACUCAAAACUUGAUCCAGAUUAGAUUUUAAUUUGCAAUAAUUUUAUCACUAAUCCUGACAAACAUGAAUAAUCCAGUGAAUCAGUAGAUCGGGGCAAACCUUGCCCAAAACCAAGAAUUUUUUUAAGAAAAUAAAAUUGAGAUGACUCAGAUUUUGACUGGUACAGCACUAAAUAAGCUAUGGAGAUCGAGGGGCUGAGCCAUGUUGCACGCUAAGGAAAACUGGUGAGAAGAAUAUAAAAGAAAAUGAGUGAGUAGCGAGUAACAUUGAAAACAAAAAAUGACGGAAUCUAUAUACUUUAGAAUGGAUAUGCAAAAUGCAUGCCAUAUUCAUCUCAAGCCCAAGAAAAAUACCAAGACUACUUUAAAAGGUAGAUUUUCAUAUAUCUAACAUAUAUAAAAGCUAAUAUUAUUUUAUAUUUGCAUUUUAAAAGUGUUUUAAAAAAAUAAUUAUUUUUAUUUUAAAUUAAUAUUUUUUAAAUAUUUUCAGAUUAUUUUAAUAUAUUUAUGUCAAAUUAAUAUUAAUUAAUUAUGUUUAUUGUCAACCUAUUCAGAAGCGGACUUUGUCAAAUUGAUGUGGUUUCAUUUCAGGGGCCACAAUGAAAUUAAUAACAACAACACUGAAUUUUCCUUAUGCGUACAUUUAUAUAUGAGAUAUUUAUUAUUCCUGCCAAUCCAUCAAUUACUUGAAUCAAUAAAUAAUUAAUGAUUCAUGAGUUUUCCUUUUCAACACCACUAAAAACGAUUUCAUCUCUCCAGAGAUCAUAAAAGGGCCGGAGACCAAGCAAUUGUCAACUUCACAAUGCUAAGCAAGAUUCUCCUUCGAUCUGUUCAUGUAGAAAAGAAUAAGUAAAAAUUUAGGAGUUAAUUUCUCCUCCUAACUUUAUUCUUUUGAAAAAAAUAAAAUUUGGUAUGGGUACGGAGAGAAACCAAAACAUAUAUUUUUGGCGUUUCUUUGAUUAAAAUUGAUAUUUUACCAUUAAAAAAAAUAUGCAAUUAAAAAAAGGAAAAAUCUUGAGUUUAAAUUUUUUAAUCAUUAAAAAAUUUUAAUUUAAUCUAACAGUCGGAUUAUAAAUUAUGUUUGAUUUAUAAAACUCAUCUAAAACUCUUCUUAAAUUUAAAAAAAAAUUAAAUUAUUAUACCAAAAAAUAGAGAACAAACUUUCCCACGUCACAAAUGAGGGUCUAAAAUGUUGCAAACUUUUUCAUUUCGUUCAGCUUCAGCCUGUCUAACAAAAUAUAAAAUUAAAAAAGGACAUUAUUUAAAAGCCCUUUAAUUAUGGCUUUGUAGUGUUUGAACUACUACUGCAAAUCUAUUUGAUAGAACAAUUUGACCAUGGACUUGUAGAAUCUCCAAAUAAAUUUGAGUCACUUCCAAUAAUCGAAUCUAAAAGUUUUGGGCUUUUCAUUUAGAUAGGUCAUUUGGGAGGACUAAACCUCUUUUUUGGCUUGUACCUAUUUGUUAGGUUCAUAUACUGAUAUACAUACAAACGUGUUUUAAAUAUAAUAAAUCUGUUUCUAAUUGAUUAGAACCUCCUACAUCAAAUAUUUACCCCGAUUUAUUGAUUAUAAUUUUAAACUAUAUAAAUAAACAAGACUCAAAGCUCAAGCUCUGUCCUUUCUGUAAUUAUUCUUCGAGGAUGAUCGUUGCUGGCAGCAGCAGCAUGAUAUCAUAUUGCAUACGUCGUGUGACAAUGAAAAAUCAUCAGCUGAUGCCGCGCGGGUGACGAUAAAAACCUUCAUAGAAAUCACCCACACACACUUCCAGCAAAAUAUAUAUAUAGCACCACAAGCCACUGGCCUUAAUUAUCUCUGAACAAACACACAAACCACUGGCUUCCUCCACCCGAAACCCUCCAAGCACCAUCAAAAUUCACCCAAAACCCUGCACCUAAUAUCAUCACCACCAUUCAGCAAUCCCAAACAGCUAGCCUAGCGAACAACAGUACUAGUGCAGUCCAUGGAAGCAACCGAUUUUUGAGCCUUAGUUUGCUUUCCUUUUGAUGGUGGUUGAGAUUAUCACCUUCAUCAAAGCUCUUGGAAACCUCACAACAGUCCCAAGAAGGUCACCAAGUCAAAAGCUCACAAAAGUAAGCUGAAUCAUCUCACUUCAUCACUCUAAAACAAUUAGAUUUUUGCUAAAUUCUUCUAGGCUCAACUACUGACAUUUUUUAUUGUUUUGAGUAAUCCCACAAUAUGCAUUGACUUCGAUAAUUGUAAGGUUUUCGAUUAAUUCCUGAUUUUUUUUGUAAGAUAUUUCACAAUUUAUUAGUGGCACUAAGCCCGUUUGGUAUUGUGUUGUUUAGGCAAAAUAUAUAUAUUUUUUUAUGAUUUUAGAUUUAUAAAAAAUAUUUUUUAAAAAUAAAAAAUAUAUUAUUUAAAUACAUUUCUAACUAAAAACUAUUUUAAAAAUAAUCACUAUUAUAUUUUCAAAUAAAUAUUUAGGGUGGUUUCAUAUGCUCGGCUGUCUUCUUUUUUUCCCCUCUGAAUCUUAAAUUGGGUGACAUCUCUACACACAUUUUUAAAGGUAGACAAUAGACAUUAAACAACAUGGGCCAAAUAAUAAGAAGCUAAAGAGUUCAAAUUUGUAACGUAGCUGUUAGUUCAACAUGGGCCAGAUAUUACAUAUAUAUUACUUAUAUUUGCGUUUAGCCAUUAUAUUGCUGUUUGUGUGAACAGAUUUUAUUGAAGUGAAUAUAGUUCAAAUUUGAUAUUAUAGUUCUAGUACUAGAAUCUUCUCUUAAUUGGCAUUUAGUUUGUUUACAAAGUAUGUUUUUCGUGACUAAUAUUAUUCCAGUUUGAAAAUUGGCCGAAAAUCAAGUUCUGACCAGCAGAUAAUGGAUCACAGCCAUGAAGUUUCACUUGAUAUCAACGAGAUAGCCAAUUCUUUGAGGGAGCAAUUGAAGAUCAAGAAGGCUUUCUCCGAGGCAUGCUGCAUCUACAGAGUCCCGGAACGAUUGCGGCAGUUAAAUGAAAAGGCAUAUACACCUCGAGUAGUCUCAAUAGGCCCUCUUCACCAUGGCAAGGAAAACCUAAAAGCUAUGGAAGACCACAAAAUAAUGUACCUGCAGCAGUUUCUUGAACAGAACAAGGUAAGUGUGGAGGAUUUAAUUAACAUUAUCAAGGAGAAUGAAACGGAACUACGAGAUAGUUAUGCAGAGACCAUUGAUCUUAGUAGGAAAGACUUCGCAACAAUGAUCUUACUGGAUGCUGUCUUCAUUAUUAUGGUCUUACUGAACCACAAGUACUUGAGAGGGUUUUAUAGUGACCAAAUUUUCCAUCGUCCAUAUAAGUUAGUUGACGUAGUGCUUGAUAUGAGCUUGCUUGAAAAUCAGCUUCCAUUCUUCAUCCUCGAGAAGUUUUUGGAGCUAUCCUGUGUAGCUGCCAAACCUAGGAAUUGUACCCUUACUGAGCUUACCUGUGGGUUAUUAGAAGUACCGUGGAUUGACUGGGUAAAAGAGGACAGUUGGCAAACAAUCGAUUCCUCUGGAGUCUUACAUUUCGUUGACUUCCUACAAAAGUGUCAGCAGCCAACAGAGAAGCACAGUCCAGCGAAAGAAGAAGCUUAUUUAAGCGCACCCACUGCGACGGAGCUCCAUCAAUCUGGAGUGAAGUUUGAGCGUUCCGAUAAAAGCUCAUUACUAGACAUAACAUUCAAUAAUGGGAUUCUAAAAAUUCCACAACUAAAAAUAUAUGAUGUGAUGGAAAUCUUAUUCAGAAACCUCCAGGCCUUUGAGCAAUGCCAUCAUAUGUUAGGGGAUACUUUCGUAAAUGACUAUAUUACUUUCAUCAGUUGCCUCGUCGGUGCUACCAAAGAUGUGGAAGUACUUGCUCAGAAUGAGAAUUUGAAAAAUAUGCUAAGCAGUGACGAAACAGUGUCAAAUCUUUUUCACAAUCUUGUCAUAGAAAAUGCUACCUCUUUAGAAAGUUUUCUUUCGGGUCUCUGCAAAGAGCUGAAUUUACAUUGCAGAAAGCGUAGGCACAAGUGGAAGGCAAACUUGAAGCAGGUUUACUUCAAAAAUCCAUGGACUGGCAUCUCCAUUGUUGCUGCUACUUUUCUCCUUGUACUCACUGUCAUACAAACGGUGUGCUCUAUCCUUCAAUUGUGAUGGAUAUUUAAUCCCUUUGUAUUUUCUUUUCGUUUUAUGAUUUCAAUGUACUUCAAAUCCUGAGAAAUGUUAGUUCCUUUCAUUUAAAAUAACCAGAUGUACAGAAACUCCAUCAUGGAGUGAAAUUGCAUGAAUUAAAAAUUUAUAGGAAAUUAUGGGUGUAAUUAAAAGAAAUUUUGAAAAAUAAAGGCUCAAUUGAAAUUUUACAAUCCUAAAUAAAAAAAUCCUAAAUGACGCGUCAUUCAGAAUUAAAAAACAGAAGUUGAGUAACACGUCGUUUGGUCUAUUGGACUUUGAUUUUGCCAAUCAGAAUUAAAGAACAGAAGUUCAAAACUUAGUAUAUGAUCAUGCUAGAAGACCUUUCUAAAAAAAAACAAGCAUAACUUUUGAUCAUGCCAGACGACUCUUUUGACAGAAACAAGCAUUACAGUUUUAUUCGACUAUUGUAUUGUGCUUUAAUUUGUCAGGAGAUUUUACAUUCUCAGUUCCUAUUUUUUACAUUGCUUUCAUGAAUUGUGCUGUUUCAUGCAAUUGUUUCCCAGCACCUAGUCAUUGGGCAAAGUGGUUGCUUCCAAGCUUGUUGCAGCAAAACAUGCAACUAUAGGGAUGAAAAGUCAGAGAGAACAAAAAAUGUGAGUCCUAAAAAAAACUAAUAAUUAAAAAAUAAAGCUGACCUCUUGAUGGAAUUGCUGCUUUAGCAAAUAAUCCUGAAAGUUUAAAAUAACCAGAUGAUUAUGAACUCAAUAAAUUUUAUUGAAGAUUUAAUUGAAUUUAUGAAAGGUUUAAUUGCAAGAAAAAAUAAUUUUUAAGUCAAUUUUGAUUUUAAUUGAAAGCAAUUACAGUUCAGGUGUUAAAAUAUAACUUUUAAGAGUUGAUUUGAUCAAAUCAAGAGCUUAUUUAUAUAAACAUUGAAGUUUGAUGGUCAAUUAUGAAUUUGAAUGAAGAAAUUUGAAACCAAGAACCACAAUAAAAAAGACGUGUAACUAUAGGGAUUGAAAUUGACUGAAUUAAAAACUAAAUUAAAAAAAUUAAAAAUUUAUUGAUUAAUUGAGUGUUACAAUGCAUAAAUUCAAACCCAAGGAUUAAAGUGAAAAAAACGAAUAGCUUUAGGGCCGACGAUAGAAUUUAAUAGAGAUGCAAUUGAAUUGAUUUUUAAAAUUGAAAUUGCAAUUGAAAACUUGAUUGAACAAAUAUAAAAUUGAGGACUUAAUUGGAAUUUGGUAUAUUUUGGCGCCAUUUCCUUGUAAAUAAAACGGAGUGUUUUGUGCAAAACCAUGUUGUUGCAUACACUGUUAAAAAAGAAAAAAGAAAAAAGAAGAGGAAACAUGGAACGGUGCCGUUUUGAACGGCAUGCAUCCUCUUCUUCCUCACCGUGCGCAGAGGCAAGGAAGAAAAUGAUUUUCCCGCUUUUUCCUCUAUGCCACCUUACCCUGCGCUUGUACAGGGUAGGGUGGCUCCCUCUCCCCUACCUUUAUAAAUAACAUAAGCUGGGGACAGUUUGAAGGGGGGAUUUUGAGGGGAAAGGAGAUUACAGAGGAGAGAGGAUUAACAAAAAAAAAAGAAACAAAGAACAGAGGGUAGAGUGGAGAGUGGAGAGUGGAGAGAAACCGAAACAAAAAAUAAAAGGGAAAGAAACAGGGGGAUUGAGAGGGAACAGAGGAGAGAUUUUUGAAAACCAGGAGGACGAUUGUUUUGAAACAGGAGAUGAAAAAAAAUAGAGGGAGGAAGGAUAAAACGAAGGAACAGAGAACAAAGGGAAGAAACAGACGAAAAAAGACAGGGGAAGAGAGAGGACAUUUUUAAGUGAGGGAGUUUUCGCAGAGAGAGGAAGUUUUUAGAGACAGAAAGAUUUAGGGGGAGAUUGUUUUUGAAACCAGAGAGAAAAGAACCGAAAAAAGAAGAGAAGAACAGGGGACGAGAGAACUAAAAAAAACACAGAAAGGGGGAGAGAAAGAUUGCAGAAGGGGGACAAAAAAAACAGAGAGGGGGUGCAGCCACCGGCCAAGCAGCUCCACAGUCUGUAACCGCAACGCCACCGCCACCAGCGAACGCCGCCGUGAGCCACCACAGGUCAGCUUCCCCGGCCAUUCUCCUCUUUCCCCUUCUUCUGUUUCUUCGCCAGCUCCACUAUUUUGCAAAGUGAAGUUGAGAGUCUCCCUUUAAGGGCCGGACUAGUUCGGGUCCAUACCAAAAUAGUUGGGCUGGGUUCGGCGAGAAGGUGCUUUUGUGCCGAUCUUAGCCUGGUCCGAUCUCUUCUUAUGUAUACAGCAAUGUCUCACAAAGAUAUAUAUAAAAAAAUCUAUUGUAUUUUUAUAAAAUUUAAAAAUAUAUCUUAGCAUGUAUUUUUUGUUUUACUAACUAAUUUAUUAAAACUAUGAAAAUUUGGCCAAUAUUUUAAAAAAUUUUAAAAAAUUAUUUUUUUUAUUUUAAUACAUAAGAUUAAAAAAUUAUAUGUAAAAUAUAUUCUCGAAGAUAAUUUUCUUAUAUAUAAAUAUUAAAACAGUUAAAUUUUUACUCAAUAAAUAAAUAUUUUUUUAUUAAGCCAAGCUAUGCAUUUGGAUAGCUUCUUGAACAUUUUUAUUUGUCAAUUUAAUCCAUAAAAUUCUUGGCUGGUUGUUCCACAUCUAAAAUCCUAUUUUAAAUUAAAAAAAAAAUUCAAAAACAAUAAAAAAUUUAAAUGGUAGCUUUCGAGCUUAAUUUUGGUCUAAAAACAAAAGCAGCUUGUAAGCUAGUUAUCCUAUAUAAUUAGAUCUUUAAUUUUUUUUUUAAUUUUAUCCGAUGAUUAAAUCAAAAUUAAAAGAUAAGCAUGUUUUUACACUAGUCUUUGGAAACGCCAAAAAAGUCUUAACAAUUAAGCAAGUAAUAUAAUAAAAAUAAUUAUACUAAACUAAUGAAGAAAGUGCCCCGCACCAAUUAGCGCCCCCUUUUUCCUCGUAGGAGGUUUAAGUUCAACCCUCCUCUUUAUGUAUUGAACUUAAUUUAUCUAAAAGCAAAGUCACUAAUCAAUAGCUCAAUCAACACUUGUUAAGGCUGAAUGUUAAAAUAAAUAGUGUAAGAUUCAUCUCUCAGACUAUGUAAUGGUGCAAGAAGAAAAUUUCUUUUGUCCCCCUUUGCAACGAAGCUGAUCGGAUGAUAUUGACUUAGUCCUUUGUUCAUUACAAAGCUGGCUCCCUGAUUAAAACCAGUAUCUGAUGAUGUCUCCGAUUUGCAGCUAAGCUUCAUGCUUUGACCUGACUUAUAAUCCACACCACUGUACACGUAGCAACCAUUCUGAAUACCUGAUUCCAGGGAUACAGUUCCGUCUUUUCCAUCCAAUCCAGGAACCACGCGGAAGAUAGAUGAUCCAUCAUCAUCAGCAGAGUUUGCGAGUGCAAAGCUUCUAUCUUUUCCUUGCUGUACUAAAAGCAUUCCAGGAAGAUGAAAGGGUUCAAGCAUGACUGAUUUUCCAAUAACAUCUUUAACACUUGAGAGUUUCGAGGAAGAAGAGUCUUUUAAUACAAGUCUAAAGGUGGCUUGAAGAGAAGCAUCGGUGCCUGAUUCCGGGAGCUUUUCCAUUGAUAUUGAUUGGUUUGAAUUUGUUAACACAAAAGUCGAAAUUCCAGACUCUUGGGAAAAAGAUACCAAUUGUCCAUUAUAAGAGCCAGGGAUUGGUGUUAUUGAGUCUGAAAGAGAAUUUCCUGACCCGGUUUUGAGGUUCCAGUCACCACUUGUAUGACCAGCAAGUAGGUAAGGACCAUAUAGUAUUGCCUGAACAGAAGCAUACUCAUGCCGGUCAUCUGAAAGUUGUUCAGAGGACUUUGUCAGCUCUAUGUCCAUCAUCAUUAUAGACAUUUACGAAACUAUUUUACAUUUCAAGCAGGAAUCCAAAGAAAAUACCUUUAAUGGCCUCUGUUCUCAAACCGAUGGGAAUCUGAAGGGUUAGCUUGUCACUGCUGAGCCAUUUUCUAUUGACUGAUAAGAAACUACCUGCAUUAGAAGCAGAGUAUUAGAGACUAUUCCAGGUAUCACUCGGAAGAUGCCAAAUGAACUCUCCUAUUAGCACUUAUAAAAUGGAUUAAAUCAAAUAUGAGAAACAUAUAGAUUAACAGAUGCAAAUAGUCAAGAUUAUACUUCACACCUGGAGCUGGUAGACGCAAACUCUGAGAAUUUAUUGUUGCAGUAGCACCUUCUGAGUUUGUCCAAAUUGGUAUCCGCAAGUACAAGGUCGAUGCUUGGCUAGUCCCCUGCACAAAUCAGAUCCAUUAUGAUCACAGGUAGGCCUUUUUUUUCCACCCCUUGUUAAGUCUUUCUAUUCUCUGUGCACUUGCAAAUUAAAAAAUUAUUAUAAAUUUCCAGUAGAUUUAGCCACUUUUUAACAUCCUUUUCCCAGCCUUCAAAAGUAACACUAGUAUGCUCAUAUGAUAGAUCGAUUCAGCAAAUACCUUCUUAGGAGAAAAGGUUAAUGUCACCCGAAGAUACGGAUCCGAAGAAACGAUAGGAUCAACUUUCUGAUUGAGCACAAUCUGUCCAGAUUUCCAAUCAAGAGAGCUUGAUAUAUACUGAAUGAUGUAAAGGCCUGGGGCUUCUCCUUCUUCAAAAUAUAUGGAAUCUCCCAGCUUUGAAAAUGAUUCAAUUCCUGUGGGUACAGCAACAAAAGAUAAUAUCAAAUUGUUAGCACAGAAGCAGAGGUAUGUUUCUACUCUUACAAGUAAAAAAUGAUUCAAAACAGUGAACUGUAUUAGCAGCAAAGAAAGGAUGAGGCAGGUAACAGUUUCCACACCUGUUCCAUAGCAGCACCAAAAAGAAUCAUACGAAGUCCCCCAUCCAUGAUAGCUUUUGGCUUUGGAACUUCCAGAUGUUGUGGAAGCAUGUAAAUCAUCACUCCAGGUUCUGUUCCUCUUUGGAUGCCUAGCACACCGUUUGUCAGAGCUCGCUCGUAAUAAUCUGCAUAAGCCAUUUCUUUGGUCCAUCUGAACAGGUGGCGAGAGACCUACAGGUUGCAAAAAAAAGUGCAGAGUAUUUAAGCAGGAAAAUUUAUGUAACACGAAGAUGCAAAAGCUGCCUGAUAAAUGCCGUAUAGAUGCCAAAAUGUUUACUGACAUACAGACCUUGGAGUCAAAAUAAGUUUUUGAAAAGAUCGAAACAAAUUCUAUUCAUCAAGUACACAUAAAAUCUAAAUCAGUAAGCAGAGAUAUGAGAUGAAACACACCUUCGGCAUAUUAUAAGUUGUGCAUGAUUCCUCAUUUUCUGUCUGUAACGUGCUAGCCAGUCGCUUUGGAUCUGACCUACUCACACAUCAGGCAAGGUGUCAACCAACACAGGAUAAGAUCUUAGCAAGCUUUUUUAUGAAAGUAGAAGCAAGAUUCUUCUAUAUGGAGGCAUUAAACCUACUUCAGAAUAUCACUAUUAUUAUUGAAAGAGAAACAACAAUCAGUACCAGAACUCGCUAACAGAAGUUCCUCCAGUUGCAUAGCUGUGAGAAGAGUUGACUACAUCCAUGAAGAAUGCUCCUAUAUCCUGGAAGAUCAAAUCUGUCUUAGGCAGUUUUAAGAUCAGACAUCAUGCAUGCAUGACUACUCUAACAUGAACUGCAAUAGCUCAGUAGAACAGUAAUCAAAAUGCUACAACAUUUCAUAGAAAAUGCUGCUCAGGUAAUCUAUGAUUAAUAUAAAGCAUUAACCUUAUAAAGAGGAUCGCCAGUGAUUUCAUAUCGCAUCUGUGCACCGAUGACAACAGGGAUAUGUUUAUUGGCGUGGAAACCUGAUAUGUCAUCGGCCUACAUGGAAGAGAAGAAGCUUCUAUAAAAUAGCAAAAACUCGUUUUAUAUUGCAAAUAGAAUGAUAUGAAUUUGGCGUGCCCAAAUUUAAUUUUGCCGAAACUCGUUUAGAAUGCAAUACCAAUAAAGGGGUUAGUAUCACUAAUAAAUUGCGAAAUAUCUUAUAAGAAAAAUCAGGAAUUAAUCGAAAACCUUAUAACGAUCGAAGGCAAUGCAUCUGGGAUUACUUAAAACAAUAAAAAAUGUCAGUAGUUGAGCCUAGAAGAAUUUAGCAAAAAUCUAAUUGUAUUUAUUCUAUUUGCAAUAUAAAAAACUCAGAAGUUCAUCUUAAAUUAGGCUUGCUCUUACUGAUUGGAAUGGUUAUGUCAAAGACGAUAACAUUUCAUUUUACAAAAUCAGAAGCUUGUUUUCUCAAAGGGAAACUAUUCUUACUGGCAAAAGGAAGGAAAAGACCUGAAAAACCAGAAGACUAGAACCCCAGCCAAAAGCUGAUAAACAACAAUUGAUAGUCAUAAAUUACCUGUACUGCAAGCAAACCAAGGAAGCAAGGCUUGUCAAACAGGUGAGCCAGCACCAAAUGCUUUGGAUCUCCCUGCACCAAAGUAACUUUUAAGGCUCCAGUUAAAGAUAUCCAGAGGUUUAUCUUCCACGGAACAGAGUAAAUUCAAAAAAUAUAUCCAUUCCAGCUCCAGGGAGACAAUUCAUAGGACUCGUUAAGUGAAGAAUCAGGAGAAGCAAAGGAAACUGCACAGAUUAGUGUACUUACUGUUAUGCUAAAUAACUUGUAAAGGACAUCAUUCAUACCACCAGUUUCCUCGUUGAGUGAUAGAUAAUGCCUUUCAACACUGUGAUUGGUUAUAACGUUACUAACUCGAUUGUAAAAGUAAUCAACCAUCCACUUAACCAUUUUCAAAGCUUGAGCAUUAUCUGCCAAUGUAUAUUGGUCCAAAAGACCUGCUAGGAUCUGUCAAAGUCAACAACCCAAAUGGUUAGUCGUAUGAUUUUCUAAAGAAUCACUACUGUGAACCAUUUUGAAGUAGAUAAUACCUUAUGAAUGGUGUAAUAAGGAGCCCAGACUGGCUUUAUAGCUUCAAACCGAUCAAAUAAUUCAGAUGGGAAAGCAGAAAGGUAUCCUGCUCCCAUUUUCACCUGACAGGCAGAUAGAGCAGAAACUACUGCAGACAUUUUCUUCUUUAGAGUUACAUUAUGAGUUCUAGCCCACAUCUGUGCUGAUGCACUCAAAUAGUGCCCUUCAACAAGCCAAAUCAAAUUUGUUUGUCAUAAAAAUAUAUGUGCUAAUAUUGAUCAACACUAAAUUCAAGACCAUCAGCAAAAACCACAAAAAACUAACCUACAAAAUGUCCACCAUAAGCUUUUCCUGGUGUAGACGAACCUGCAGUUUUCCUAAAGCUCCACACCAAGUUAUUCACAUCCAACAUCAACAAGUACUCCAAGUUUGUUUGUUGAGCCUUCCAAUGGAUUGAACUUGGAUCCAAUCUCACAUUAUGCAAUGACAUUUCGUUAAGGAAAUUUCCAGAGGAUUUCAAAGGACUUUUCAAAUUUCUAUACAUCAUUUCCCAACUAUGCUCAUUUUCUUCUCUCGGUAACUUUCGUGGCAGCAAACUGGCCCAAGCUGAAUCAUCGGUAGGUAUCAAAUGAUAAUGUUCAAACAUUUCUUCUUUCCAUGUUUCAUUCUGUGAUGAUAACAGUUCAUAUCGAAAUGAAUGUGACGAUAACUGAGUCGGGAUGUUUGUACGCUCCUUGCUGAUACCAAAACUACAUAGCAUAGACACCAUGGCCAAGCUAACAAACCCUUCAUUUCUUUUUCCAUUUGCAUAAAUCACAGUUCAAGAACACCCAAUUUGAGUCAACAUAGCAUAGACACCAUGGCCUUUAUAGAUUUAUCAAUGUUUCACUUGUAUUCCUAUAGUUUAAAAUUAUCCAAUGUUUUCACUUCUAUCCCUAUAGUUUUUCUUACUUUUCAAGUUGACUUCCAAGUCCGAAAACGUUGACGAAGAAUUUUGUGUAGAAUUAGAAGAGGUGCAGAAUUGCAGGAAAAAAAGUAGCAGACAAGAAAACUCUUCAAAAAAACUUCAGAAUUUCAGAGUUUGUGUAAGUAGCAGACACUAGAGUCCUUUCUGUUUUUUGUUCAGAAAAAUGCUUGCAAGUUUUAAUUUAGAGAAGCUAUGGAUUUUUAAUGUUUAGCUCUUUCAAGUAGUCAAAGACAUGCAUUCAGGUGAAACAUUUACAAUUAGAAAAAGAAAGAAAAAAUCAGAUUUGAUUCCUUACAGAUGCUCUUACGGGUUGUCUUGGAAUCUUGUGUUUGAUUGUGCAUUUUUCAUCUCCUUUUACAUUUGUUCUUGAAAUUUUUUUUGCAUUAAUCUGAAACCCCUUAAAAACUAACGCAGACAGAAAUAACCACAAAUUAAGAUUGUAAGGUUAUCAGGAAAGGCUAUACAAAAGAAGCUUGAGAAAGCUUAGCCUUGCACAAUUCUCAUAAUAGAAGGAAAAAUAAUUUAAUUUUUUUUCUCAAUAAUCAAAACUUAAUAUUACACUUUUCCAUCGCAAAGGUGAUAAACUAUAUAUAAAAUCUCAAUAAUGAUAAAAUUUUAUUAUUUGCUGCAAACUAAAAUAAAUAUCUCAAUAAAAAAUUAGUGAAAUAGUUUUUUUUUUAAUUUCUUUGUUGAGGUUUGUAAGUGAAUAUAGUUCUCUCUUUCUUUUUAUUUUUAUUUUGGACUCUUUACAUUAACAAAAUUUAUAAAUAUAUUCAGUGAAAAAACUAUGAAAUGUCAUUUUAAUUCUAGUAAUUGAAGUAACACUAAAGUGUUGAUUCAAAAACAAAAAAAACAAAAACAAAUUUUCAUGUUAAAAUAAGUUUCCUUUGAAUUUUACAAUUAAGUUUUUAGUUACAUAUUUCCAUCUUAAUAUGAAAAUUUAUGACUAACCCAUUAUACAUGGUGGCAAACAAAAUACUCUUGGAAUUCCACUGUCCUUCCUAUUCCAAAUAGUCUUGACAUAAUUUCGAGUCAAAAGAGUAUGGAGCUAAUUAGUUGUCAUGUCAUUAGAAAUAAAAAUGAGUAUAUAUACAUAGGUUUGGUUUUAGUACUAAGCCCAAUUCAACCUCAUCAGUUUCAAGCAUCCAAAUUGGAUACUUUUAUUUUCACAGUUUCUUUAAACUGCACUGAUAUAUAUAUCUCAGCUUCACGGUUAGGUUAAUCAAUACAAAAUAUUUAUGGGAUUGAACUAUCAAAGGUGAAAAAAGAAACACAAGAAUCCUAAGAGACAAGGAAAGCUCACAAAAUAUGACAAAAAAAAACACUAAUUUUCUCUAACUUGACUACCACAACCUAGUAAUAACAUAACAUGUUAUUUGUUGCAGCAGAUGGAAAAACAACAGGAUCAAGAUUUUGGGUCAUCAACCGUUUCAAUCACCUUGCCCUCUCUUGAAACCAAAAUAAUUCCUUCUUUUACCUUAUAAAAACACAAACCAUAAACCAAAACAGUAAGAAAAUCAAAACAACUAUGAAUAAAAAGAUAAAGAAAAAUAAUGAUUAUUAAAAGAGACAUCAAUGGAAGAGAAAAUUUGUUUCUUUGCAAUACCUAGAGACCCACCAAAGAAAAGCAGACAAAGUUCAGGAAUAUUGAAAGAAAAGAAACUGUAAAAAUAGAAGGGAACAUGUAAUUGUAUAUCAUGUAAUUGUAUGCACAAGUUUGGGAGAUGAAGAUUUUCUUUCUUGUUUUGCACAACUUCUAUUCAAGAAAAUAGGCCGAACUUUGUCUCGCAUACUUGUAAUUGUAUGCAAGUAGACAAUUGAAAAUAGGCCGCGUAAUACUUUUUAUAAUUAAUGCUUCGUGUUUAGAAAUAUCUGUGAUGACACGUAUUUUACUCUUCAAAAAUAAAUGAAAUUUGCUUUUUCGUUUUUCGUUUUUCGUUUUUCUUUUGAGAAUAACUAUCAAAUAAAGUUACAUCUUUAAGCACUCAAAAUUAAAUGAAAUAAAUAUUAUUUUUCAAUCAUUAUGUCUCACAAGAUUUGCUAAAAUGAGGUAAUGUAGACUAAUAUUUGGUCUAUUGGUUAUGGAAGAGUAGCAAUUCUUGAGAUCGCUAAGAACUUUAGAACUUCUGAGGUUAUUUUGCAAUUUUUAAAAUUGUUGGGGUGUUUAUUACAUUUGAGAAACAUGAGGAAUUGUUAUGAAAAUUAUGAAAAUUUUGGGUGGCUUUGAAAUAUUGAGUGUCCAUUCUGACAUUUAUGAAACUGUUGUUUUGUAAUUUCAAGAGGCUCAUCUAGACUCUAUUUGGGCUGAUUUUUGCCUCAUUAUAAUUUUAUUAUUAAGUACUUUUCAAUGAUGCAUUCAGAAUACACUUUCAAACAUUAUUAUUUCAGGAUAAAAAAUCAAGAACACCUUCUAUUUUUGCUUCUUAGGCUUUCAUACCAUAGUUGGGUGGAGUGGAUGAUUGAGGUUACUAGCUGUGCACCUCCAUGAGAGACAAAUACACACAAACAAACACUAAAUUCAGAAUUCUUUCAAACAAUACUCAAGAUUACAAUGCUCUCUCUAACACUCUUUAAUCUCUUGAUCAAUACACACAUCUAAACUCCCAAACCACAUGCCUGAUAAUAGGAAAACAAAACACUAAGAAACCUUAUUGAUUACAUCACCCCUUGUAUUUUCUUCAUUUUUGUUCUAUUACUGCACCUCCUUCAUUAAUGGCUAUUGCAUUCUUUAAUAUUAGCGGUUGCCUCUUUCUUUCACAAUUGCACCCACCCACUUCUAGAAAGUAUAAGCUGAUGAUGUGUUAUGAGUCAAGUUUAAAUAUUUAAUCCCUUUGUACUGUUUCCCCGCCUUAUGAUUGCAAUGUAAUUAAAAUCCUGAGUAAUAACAGAUCUUUUUCGUUUCUUGUUUUCCUGAUCUUGUUGCAUAAUAAAUUAAUCCCCCUCCUAAGGAAAAUAAUAUGCAACCAUCUCGUUUCCUCUAUAACACCUAAAGAACCAGCCUUCCCUGCUAAAACACUUACAGCAUCGAAAUCCAACCAAGCCGCUACCUGUCACCAUCAACCUUGCCUAAUACACACUGUCUCAGAUUUUCCUAGAGCGAUUCACCUCUUGGUUAGAUUAUCAAACCCUCCGCAGAACUUUUAACAAAUAUGGCGUAGUAAUUGUUAUGUACAUUUCACGACGACACAACAGAAGAAACUGGAGGCCUGGCUUUGUUACAAUGCAAACAGAUUCUGAACAACAGGAUCGCCUUGGAAAGCUUAAUGGAAUAUGGUUUGGGUCUUAUAGUCUACGUGCAAAUUUGAAGCGGUUUCAGUAUCUGUCAGGGAGUGCGACUGCAGAAGUUAUUAUAUGGUUGCGCGAAAAGGGAAAAUCAGCAGUGAUUCAGCUAGUACUCGUCAACUCCAAAGCAAUGCAUACCCUGUUACUCAAACAGAGGAUAUAAACGUAGCCCUUGCCAUCCAAGAUAAUAUUAUUAAUGCGGUCCCAGUUGUUCAACCAGUGCCUUCACUCGUUGCAACACAUGAUCCAGAAGAGGAGGAGCUUGCAUGGAUGGAGAAUAGCUUAGUAGGAGUGAUAAGUGAAGGUGUUAAUUAUCAGGAUAACAGGAAAGGCUUGCUUUGUAUUAAAAAUUUUAUUUAUGAUUUUACAAUUUAAAUUUACAAUCUAAGUUUAUAUUAUAAAUUGCAUGUCGUGUCAAAAAAAGUUUUUGACAACCUUGAUUCACACAAGUGUUUGGGAAUCUUAUCCUUUGCUUGCCAUUGUAGCAAUUGUAAAGGAGCAAUAGAACAUUUUGGAAUUUUGAUAUUAAAGAGGGAGAGUCUAGUACCAUUCUUGGCAGAUCUUUUUGGACGCUGGAGGCAGGUUGACAACGAGCAAAACUUCUACAACUGCCUGUAAGUUUCUAUCUCUGUAGUUUAAAAUUAUCCAACGUUUUCACUACAAUAUAUCCUGAUAGUUUAUUUACUACUAAAUAACUUUAUGAUAAUCUGAUGCUUUUCAUAUUAUAUAUAUUUUAAUUUUUCUCUUAUUAUUUCCUCUCAAGUCUUUAUGCAUGUCAUGGUAUCUUACAACAAAAAUCCGAAACCUUAAAAACUGAAAAACCAAAAUUAAAAAGAAUUAGAUAUUUCAUAGGUAAGAGUAAUAUUAACAGGAUUUCAUGAAAACUAUAAGAGUAGGAGUAGAAGUAGAAUAUUAAUGAAUCUAUUACAAGGAAAAUAAUUGAAGUUUACCCUUUUAUUUUACAGCAAGACACCACUACUUUGCAUUCCAUAAUAAAACAUGAGUAAAAAGCACGUUACAUGAAAACUAACAGAGAUAGAAAUAACCACAAAUUAAGAUUGAUUUCAUGCAAACUAUUAUUGUGGUUGUUUUCAGAAUAUAUUUUUUUCAUGACUUAAUUAGUGUUAGUAUAUACGUGCUGUUUCUAAACACCAGCGAUUGUAUCAGUUCAAUCACAGAUAAUGGAUCAGAGCGAUGAAGUUUCACUUGAUGUCAAUGAGUUAGCCAAUUCUUUGAGGCAGCAAUUGAAGAUCAACAAGGCUUUCUCCCCGGUACGCUGCAUCUAUAGAGUCCCCGAACGAUUGCGGAAGUUAAAUGCAGAGGCAUAUACACCUCGAGUAGUCUCAAUAGGCCCUAUUCACCAUGGUAAGGAAAAUCUAAAAGCUAUGGAAGACCACAAAAUAAUGCACCUGCAGCAGUUUCUCGGACAGAAUUUAUUAGUAAGUGUGGAGGACUUAGUUUAUGUUAUCGAGGAGAAUGAAGCAGCAUUACGUGAUUGUUAUGCAGAGACCAUUAGUCUUAGGCCUUGUUUGUUUCCCGGAAAGUAGUUUCCGGGAAACCAUUUUCCAAACUUUCCUGUGUUUGUUUGUCAUUAGGAAAGUUGGUCAGCGGAAAACAAUUUCCGGUCAGCGGAAAACACUUUCCGGUCAACGGAAA